rnacentral:lncRNA from 1 species
GUAUGGAGAGUGGGACUAACCUUGGAAGCAAAGGUCCCCUGAGGCCAGUUGAGCAACCCGGCAACCAUUUGCCCUGUUUGAUUGCAAUCGUCAUCAAUGGCCUAGAAAACCCAUGCCCACAUCAGAAAACAACAAUCCACCAUAAAAAGAGUCUAGGAUUUUCACGGAAUCCGCAAAUUUAUUUUUAAAUCGUUACCAAAAACCCUAAUCUCUGGGCACGAAUUCACAGACCUGUUUGCCCAGAAUAAGGAGGCCAGGCUUCUCCACAUCGACGAGAGCUUUGAGAAGCUUAGCAACUGAAAGUGGGUACAGAGUGGCGGAAGCUUCGACGUGGAUGGCCCUAUCGGCGCCCAUGGCGAGACCCGUUCUGAGCGUGUCGACGCACUGGCUGGGACCCACACUGACAGCGAUAACCUCCGACGCCAGACCCGAUUCCUUGAUCCUCAGAGCCUCUUCCAAACCUAUCUCACAAAAGGGGUUCAUCGACAUCUUGACGUUGCUGGUCUCCACGCCGCUCUGAUCGUGGGUUGGCGAUUGUUAUUGGAUGAUGAUGAAAUUACAGAUACUGAAUAACUUGAGAGUUUGGAUUUGGGUUACCUUGUCGGAUUUGACUCUGAUCUUGACAGCGUAGUCCACAACACGCUUUAUCGCCACCAUUAUCUUCAUCUCGUAUAUGGGUGGUUAUCUUCUCCGGCACAAGGGUAUUGGCAAAUGACUGAUGAUGAAGGACGAGGAUAUUCGCCCGAGCCCUACUGCACGACACCACAUCCGCUUAUAAAAUCUUUUGAUACGGAUAAGUACAAGGGAAGUGGAAAAAAAGGAUUAUUAAGAAAAAUAAAUAUAUUACCAAAAAAAUUAUUUAAAAUUUUGUUCAUGUAGAAAGAACCCGUGAAUCAGAUCGAAAAAAUUAUAUUAAAACUGCUGUAUAGCCGAAAAUUGUGUACAGAAUUUAUUUUAACAUUGUAUUAUUGAAUUUUUUAUUCAAAAAUUGCUUAACGUGAGAUAGAAAUUAAAAAAUCAUUAGUAAUUUUGUCCGAAAGUUGUUAUAUUUCAUGUGUUUUAAAAAUAGAUGUAAUUUAUUCCUAUUUGCAUUUUUAACGUACAUUUAAUUAAAUAACCCAAAAAGUUAUUGAGUUCACAUCAUCUAUGGAGUCUACCUCUCUUUGCUUUUGUUGCUUCCAAAAAUACCAUACUCCCAUAUUUUUUUGGUUCUACUCAUUUUACUUUAUUUUUUUCAUUCCAUUCAUUCCACGUGAAGUCUUCAAUCCUAAUAACAUUUACUAUAUUACAAUUAAGUUUAAUUUUUAAAAAACUUAAUUAGGGUUAAAUUUCCUUUGAGAGAACUUCAUUACAAUUAUUUGAGUUGUACGUUAAGUUUCAUUUAAAAAUAACUUAUUUAAAAAGAUGUUAAGCUUCCCCUAUUUUAUUUAUAAAGUUUAAUAUCUAUUUGAUUUUAUAUUUGAAAUCCAACUAAAACCUAAUAACGAAUUGUUGUAAAAAAACUCCAAUCAAAAUACUAACAAAAAUUAAAACAUAAAACUCUGAUAAAAAAUUGUUAAAAAAUCCAACAAAAAAACAAUCAUAAAAAACCCUAAUCAAAAACAUCAUGGAAGUUUAAAUGAAAUUGCCAAAAAAUAAAAAGUAUAGAAAACCCUAACAAAAAAACAACACCAAAACACCUGACAAAAAACAAUUACAAAUUCUAGCACAAAAACCCCCAAUUAAAAAUAUCUAUAAAGAAAAACCUAAAAAAAACCAAUUAUAAAACCUCCAACAAAAAAUAAAGAGAAAGAUGAAGAAUAUGAAAAAUUUUGAAGAAGAAAGAAACAUGAGAGAACUAUCAUUGAUCUUUAUUUGUUAAUCUUUGUUAUAUGUUUGAACUUCACUAGAAAAUGAGAGAGAGAGCAUAAACCUAAAGAGAGAAAGAGCUGAAAAUGAGAGGAGAAAUGAAUCACAAUGAGGGGAAUGACAAUUUGAGGAAAUAUAGAAGGGUUAAAUCAUUUGAACUAGGUUAACGUUUUUAUUAAAAAAAAAGAGUAAUGAAGGUCCUUGUUCUAAUUUCAAGAGUAUGUCUGUUAAUUACCAAAUGUGGCAACUCUAAAUAAAAUCCUUUGUUAUCAACUAAAACUAAAAGUCCCAUUACAUCAUAUCCAACUUUCAUUUGUUAUCAACAAAGUAAAACUAUAUACAACUAUUAUCACCAUCUCUCCUAUUUUGAUGUUAUUUUCUUAGAUGAAUUUGUAAAUCAAAAUUUACACCACCCAUAAAUUUUUUGAGCUUCCUAUUUAACACAACUUCAAUUUGUUAUACUUUGAACAUCACAAAGAUAAAGUAAUCAACAUUUUGCUUGGACAAGUUUUUCUUCUCUAAAGUUUAGAGUCCUAUUUCACUUCCCGUUUAUGGGUUGUUAGUUCAUCUAAUAUCUCACCAUCAUCCAUUCCAUGUACUGUGUUUCCGAAAUGAGUUGAUUCCACAUCCUAAAUGUCUGUGCAAAUUAAUAAGGAAUGUCGAGUUACCAAUUUUCUUAAAAGCUUAAUCUUGCAAGAUUUGGAUUCAAAAUGCAUAUCAUGCUCUCUUUAACACCCCUCCCCCCUCUCACAUGUAGCCCUAUACCCACACGUAGAGAAAUAGACUUAUAGGAAAAUUGGUAGUUUAAUAUAGUAUCAGCACUUGGUUUGGUGGGAGGUCUCCUGUUUGAGUCACCUCUCCACAAUUUACAUUUCUCCUAUUUGUUUAAUUUACAGUUCUUCCCUUAAUCUGUAAUUCUUUGGAUAUAAAUUUUCCCCCUAAUUUGUAGUUUUGUGGAUAUGAAUCUCUCUUCCAUGUUCAGGUAUGGGGCCACACAUAAGAGAGGGUGUUAAAGAGCAUGAUAUGCAUAUUAAACCCAAAUCCUAUAAGUUAAAACUUUUAGGAAAAUUGGUAGUUUAACGCUUUUAGGAAAAUUGGUAGUUCAACAUGUGUACACCCCAUUUUGGGGACUGCUAUUGCUCCCACUUCUUUUUGUCAAAUGGUGGAGCUUUUUAGGAGCACAUGUUGUAUUUGGAAAGGCUAUUAGAAAAUGGCAACAUGACUGUUAAUGGAAGUAAUGAUUUUCUAAAAAGGCAACCAUGGGAAGACACAUAACAAAGAUGUUUGGGGAGGAGGGAGAGUGUGCAUCAAGACUACUCAUGAGGGGUAAGAAACAAAAAAAAAAAAGUGUCGAAGAUAACUAAAAAAUUGGAGAAACAUAAAGGAAUAAGGAUUUUAGGGCUAUGGAUGGUGAACAAGAGUGAAUUAUGGGUGUCUAGGACAGCUAGGAAUGGUGAGAGGAGUAGGGAGCUGUAGAAGGUGAUGAGCUAGGUAAGAUGUAUUUUCGAGAAAGAAAAGAACCAAAGAAAGAAGGUGGUGAAUUAAGUGAGACACGUCUCAGAGAAGCAGAGAAAGUUGGCUUGAAGCCAAGCAAACUUUUGCUUGAGAUGAGCAUUGCCUAGUAAGAUUGUUUCGAUUCAUCGAUUAUUACUGAUCAUCAUACUUCUCUUGUCUUAUAUUCAUGUGAUUAUUUUACAUUGAUUGUGGGGUUGCUUUGGUUUGGUUAUUAUGGCUUCAUCCUCUAUUUCUUUAGUUUUAUUCAAGGAUAAAUCUAAUUGUGCUUUGAUUAGUUAUUCCAUAUUUGAAAAUCUUUGUGUAUUUUGGGUUUUUUCUCUUUAGAUAUUUUCUAGAUUAAUCCACUGACCUUUAAACCCACAAAUAAAGAAAAAUGAAAUGAGUUUUUUCAUAUUUGUUGGGUGUUUGGCCCUUGUUUAUCUUUUUUUAAAGCUUUAUUCCUUUAUAUUCUCUAUUUCUCCCCAUUUUGUACAUGGGUGUUUCAAUCAGAGUCUCUAUUUUGGCUUCCACAUUUGAGAUUUCUUUUAUGAGCGAAGACCCAAAAAUGGAGACUGGCUUCUUGUAAUUGAUAAAAUAGUUAGUCACCCAUUAGCUUAGAUGAAGCAUAGAUGUUAACCGGAUUGUGAACAUGGAUACUCUAUUUUGGGCCUAUUAGGCCUUCCAAUCCUCUCUUAGUUUCAUUAUUCUUGAGGAUAGUGUUUGGUUGUGUCUGCUACUUAUUCUGUGGCUUCGGUGGUCUGUUUGUUUAUUCUUGGCUAUUAUCAAUGCUAACAAUGGGAAAGAGACUGGUUUUGGUUAUGCUCUUACGGAUUUGAAGGUGAUCAAAGGGUCCAGUGAAGAGAAGAUUAGUAGGUCAUAUUAGGUUAAUUAAUUAAUUAGGACAUGUUUUGAGUUAUAUUAAGUAAUACAAGCUCUUAGUGGGCUUAAGUAACUUAAGCCUAGUGGGGAAUGCCAUAAAUACCCCUUAGGGGUUAGCAUUUCCAUAGGUUUUUCUAGAGAGUCAUCUUUCACCUCCAAAGAAGGAGAGUCAUAGCCUUUACCAUUUUUUCCAUCAUUAUCGAAGUGUGUCAAGAUUAAGGUUUAAGUCAUUGAGCGGAAGACUCCAGGUUUAUGAGACUUCAUACAACUUCGUUUUUCAUUUUCAUCAAAUGGAAUUAAUUUGAAAACAUUUGAAUCUGAAGUAUGGUUUUUGUUAGCAUAUUUCGAAUCCCUUUAAAGUUUAAAAAUGCAAAUUUUCCACUAUGUAUAGGAUUUAAAAUCGCUUAAGAUAGUUAAACAUGUUCCCCACUUGAUCUGAAUUGGGAAACGGAGAAAUCUGAUAUUUUCCCAUCACAAGGUAGGAUAAGAACUUGUGAUUGAUCUUUAUGGAUUGGACUAAUUAAUUAAUUGGAACCUAAUUAGGCUAAUUAAUUAAUUAAGACCUAAGCAAACUAGUUUAAGUUACACAAGCCUAGGAUGGACUUAAGUGACUUAAGCCCAUGGGAAGCUUAUAUAAACUCCUUUAGGGGUUAGGGUUUCAAACUUUUAUCAUCUAGUCUUCAAUUCCUUAAAGAGAAUAGAACUCGAGCCAACAACUCUCCUAAAGGAUUCUAUUGCUCCGUGUCAAGAUUCGAAAAAAAACUAUUUGAUGGAAGGUUGUUAUGUUUAUGAGAUUCGUUAUGUUUUUUUACACCUUUUCACUAAAUGGAAUUGAUAUAGGAAUGUUCAUAUCUCAAGUGCAACACACUUAUUCUCUUUAGAUUUAUAUUGCUUAUGGUUUUUUUUUUUUUUGUCAUGGUUUUCCGUUAAGAUUAGAUUAAGAGAGCCCUAUGUCAUAGAAUGCUUCAAAUGAGCCUCCCCGGGGGUUUGUAUAGAGCCCAUGAAGCUUCUAGAGACUCCUAUACUUAGCCAUUGGUGGGAAGAGUGUGAAAGGUUCUACAGAUGUCUAGAGAUAUUUACACAUCUCUACACUAUGGUGGAAGGCAUGAGAGGAGUCUAAGGCAUUCUAAAGAAUUAUAAAGAUCUCUUAUAUAUUCUUGUACAUAGGCUUGUACAUAGAAUUGUGUAGGAAGUUAUAGAUUAUUCUUGAGCUGUAAGGAACCCUCCAAGGUUCCAGAGAGUUCCAUUGGUGCCUAUAAAUAGGUGAAUGCCUCAUUUGGCCAAGACACUAAGCAAGUGAAUUCCAAAACACUUGUAAAGCUUCCUUUGAAUAAUAAAAGUUUCAAUUCUUCAAGAGUUGCCUAUUAUGCCUUCUAAAACUUCUAAGUCAUGAGCAUCUUAACCUAACAAGUUAAGCAUUGGGAGUAAUGCUAACUUAGCAAGAUCAAGGAUCUUGACUUGUCUAAGUGUUGCACGAUCUUAGGAAAAGAUUAAGUUUGUGACAGUUGGUUUCAAAGUGUGACUACGAAGUGAGCAUAGUAAAGGAAACAUGUCGAGCUUCAACAUGGAGGAAACUAGUGAGCAAACCCGUGGGAAAGAAACCGAGCCUACUGCAUAGGACAGGGACAUGAAGGAUAAAUCUCGUAAUGCCAUAGCCAACGUGGAGGCAAGGCUAGCCAAGGUGGAGCUAGCCAUGGCAGACACCCGGGAAGGGGUGGACUUAAUCGAGCAAGGCAUGGAAAAUGGCUUAGAGGAUCUAAAUGAGCAUAUCCAAGACCUUCAUGAGAGAGUGCUAGGCUUACAAGUUCGGCCGAUGUCAUAUGAGGAGUUCAUGUCCUUCCAAAACGAGGUCAUGAGCAUGUUUGCUAGCAUGGAGUCGAAGGUGGAGGCCUUGGCUGCACGCAUAGAGGCCCAAGACCAAGAGGUUCAACAAGAGCUAGCUAUCUACAAGACUGUCUUAUCAGCACGAGUCAUGGCCACUCAUGAGGCACUAAGGGUGGAAGUGCCCAAACCACACACGUUCAAUGGCAAGAGGGAUGCCAAGGAGUUGGACAAUUUCUUGUGGCACAUGGAGCUCUACUUUGAGGUUAUAACACUAAUAGAUGAAGCCACUAAGGUAUGUACCACAACCCUCUACCUCACCAAUAAAGCUACUCUAUGGUGGCGUCAGAGGUUUGCCAAUAUAGAAAAAGAAAUGUGCACCAUAGACACAUGGGAUGCCUUUAAGCAAAAGAUCAAAAAACAAUUAUACCUUAAUGAUGUGGCUUACCUAGCAAGGAAAAACACAAAAUGUCUUAAGCACACAGACUCGAUCCGUGAGUAUGUCAAAGAAUUCUCUACACUUAUGCUUGAGAUACCCAACAUGUCUGAGGAAAAGCUACUAUUCAACUUCAUGGACAACUUGCAAAGCUGGGCCGAGCAAGAGUUAAGGAGAAGUGGUGUCCAAGACCUAGCCACGGCCAUGGCGGUAGCGAAGUCCUUGGUGGAAUACAAAAAGGGAGACUCUUUUAAGCCCAAGCCACAGUCUAAGGGUAAUCAUGCUAAAGGUGGGGAAACAAGGGAUCAAGGAGGUACACUCCUAAGGAAUGAUCAAGCAAGACCUCUGGUGGCAAGGAUGGUAAGGGUAAGGAUAAACGGAAAUAGUUCACGCCUAAGAUCAAUUGCUUCCUAUGUGAUGGUCCACAUUGGGCGCGAGACUACCUCAAAAGAAAAGCCCUAAAUGCCAUGAUCGAGGAAAAGUAGAAGGAAGACAAUGCUCAUGUGGGAUCAUUACAACUCUUAAAUGAUAUCAAGGCUAAGUCAGUGCUUAAGACACCUCAAAGUAAAAGUCUAAUGUACAUAGAAGCCCUUGUAAAUAGGAAGGCUACCAAGGCUUUGGUGGACACUAGUGUCACUCAUAACUUUGUCUCGAAGGAUAAGACAAAGAACUUAGAGCUCCAAGCAUCUAAGGAAGGAGGUUGGCUCAAGGCAAUUAAUUAAGUUUCCAAGCCAUCACACGAAGUAGCACGCAGGGUGGCAAUGCACAUUGGCUCAUGGGAAGGAAUGGUCGACUUCACAGUGGCACCCAUGGACUACUUCAAGAUGGUACUGGGAAUGAACUUCCUAUAGAAAGACAAGGUCAUGCCACUACACUUCCUACAUUUAAUGGUUAUCCUAGAGGAUGAAAAGUCAUGCAUAGUCCUUACGGUCACCGAAGGUUCACCCAAGACCCCUAUGAUAUCGGUUAUGCAAGUAAAGAAGGGAUCAAAGAGGAAAGAGGUGACCUACCUCACCACUCUUAAGGAGGAAAAUGAUGAUGAGUUGGGGGAGCCCAUGCCUAAGGAAAUCAAGAGAGUCUUUGAUGAGUUCAAGGACGUGAUGUUGCCUAAGUUGCCUAAAAGACUCCUUCCUAGAAGAGAGAAAGAUCAUAAGAUCGAGUUAGAUGCAGGAACUAAGCCCCUUGCUAUGGGGCCAUAUAGGAUGGCACAACCCAAGCUGAAAGAGCUAAGGAAACAACUUAAGGAGUUGUUGGAUGCAGGGUUUAUCCAACCAUCCAAGACUCCCUAUGGCGCACCGAUUUUAUUUCAAAAGAACCAUGAUGGGUCCCUACAGAUGUGCAUCGAUUACCAAGCACUCAAUAAGGUAACAAUAUAGAAUAAGUACCCCAUUCCACUCAUUGUUGAUCUAUUUGAUCAACUUGGUAAAGCAAGGUAUUUCACUAAGUUGGACUUGAGAUCAGGCUACUACCAAGUGAGGAUUGUGGAAGGAGACAAACUGAAGACUACAUGUGUGACCCGAUAUGGCUCAUAUGAGUUCUUAGUGAUGCUCUUCGAUCUCACCAAUGUACCAACAAUGUUUUGGACACUCAUGAAUAAGAUCUUCCAUCCCUAUUUAGACUAGUUUGUGGUGGUAUACUAAGAUGACAUAGUCAUCUACAAUAGCAUCUUAGAGGAGCACGUGGAGCAUUUAAGGAAGGUCUUCAAGAUCUUAAGGUAAAACGAGUUAUAUGUAAAGAAGAAGAAAUGCUCAUUUGUUAAAGAGGAUGUGAGCUUCCUAGGGCAUCGCAUCAAAGAUGGCAAGCUGAUGAUGGAUGACAACAAGAUGAAGGUCAUCUAGGAAUGGGAUCCACCUACUAAGGUACCUCAACUAAAGUCUUUCCUUGGCUUGGCUAACUAUUACCAGUGGUUCAUCAAGGGUUACUCUACAAAGACAGCUUCACUCACUAAUCUUCUUAAGAAGAACAAGGCAUGGGUGUGAGACAAAAGGUGGCAACAAGCCUUUGAAGAUCUAAAAAGUGUUGUGAUUGAGGAGCCAAUGUUGGCAUUACCCAACCACAUGAAGGUUUUUAAGAUACACACAGAUGCCUCAAACUUUGCUAUUAGGGAAGUUCUGAUAAGAUAGACAUCUAAUCGCCUUCAAGAGUUGCAAGCUAAAUGACAUAGAGAGACGCUACAUGGUACAAGAAAAUGAUAUGACUGUCAUUGUCUAUUACUUGCACACCUGAAGACACUAUCUUCUAGGGUCUCACUUCAUAGUGAAAACCGACAAUGUUGUCAUUAGUUACUUCUAAACACAGAAAAGUCCUAAGUAAGCUAGGUGGCAAGACUUUCUGGUUGAGUUUGACGAUGCGCUGGAGUAUAAGACAAAAAGUACUAAUCAUGUGAAUGACGCCCUAAGCCGUAAUGUAGAGCUAGCAUUCAUGACGAGCCAGCCCCAAUGAGACAUAAUAGAUCUUCUAAGAGAGGGGUUGCAACAUGAUCUAGUGGCUAAGAGCCUUAUUACCUUGGCCCAUGAGGGAAAAACUAAGUGUUUUUAGGUAGAGGACGACCUACUCUACACUAAGGGGAGACUACUCUACGUGCUUAAGUGGGGGAACAUAAGGUAGAACUUGAUUAAGGAGUGCCAUGACACCAAGUGGGUUGGGCACCUUGGGCAACGACGCAUAAAGAGCACUACUCGAGUCAGCUUACUACUGAUCUUAGAUACAAGAUGAAGUUGAGGCAUAUGUGAGGACUUGUCUUGUGUGCUAACAAGACAAGGUAAAACAACAACAACCUAGAGGCUUGUUGGAGCCACUACCUAUAGCAGAGCGUCCAUGGGAGAGCAUCACCAUGGACUUCAUCAUCGGGCUACCUAAGUUGGAGGGCUAUGGCUCGAUCAUAGUGGUAGUGGAUAUGUUCUCUAAGUAUGUGACCUUCAUAGUAGCCUCUACUGACUGUACUGCAAAGGAGACAGCAAGGCUAUUCUUGAAACACAUGGUCAAAUACUGGGGGUCGCCUAAUUACAUCAUCAGUGAUCGCGAUUUGCAUUUCACUAGGAAGUUUUGGACAAAGCUCUUUAAGCUUAUGGGUUUGAAGCUUCACUUCUUCACAAGCUUUUCACCCGUAAACAGAUAGGCAGAUUGAGAGGGUGAACGCCUUAUUAGAGUUAUACUUAUCCUUCAUGAGUGUCAACCAAAAGGAAUGGACUAAGUUGCUAGAUGUAAUCCAAUUUUCAUACAACUUGCAAAGAAGUGAGACAACCAACAAGAGCCCGUUCAAGCUAGCCAUAGGGCAGCAACCAUUGACUCCUCACACACUACCAAUAGGCUAUACGAAGAGAAGUUCAGCGGCUUUGAAGUUCACUAAGGGGUGACACGAGCCAACUGACAUAAUAGCUCAUACUUGGAUAGGGCCGCUAGAAAGAUGAAGAAGUGGGCUGACAAAAAGCGACAUCACACUGAGUACAAGGUCGGAGACAUGGUCUUUGUCAAGCUCCUUCCUAAAAAAUUCAAGUCACUAAGGCCGGUACAUAAAGGCCUUAUGAUGAGGUAUAAAGGACAUUUCCCCAUACUUGGAAAGGUCGGCAAGGUGUCCUAUAGAGUUGAGUUACCACCGAGGUUGAAGAUUCAUAUCGUCUUCCACGUAAGUUACAUAAAAUCAUAUCACGAAGACAAGAAUUAUCCAAGCCAAGGGAUGUCCUAGAUGACACCUACAUCGAUUAUGACCUUCUAUGACAAGGAAGUAGAACACAUCAUUGCAGGCUGAGUCAUCAAGAGAUGAGGCGUGCCUCCUGCUACGGAGUACUUGGUGAAAUGGAAGGGACUACCAGAGAACGAGACUAGCUGGGAGCCAAUAGAUGCACUAUGGCAAUUUCAGGAGCACAUUAAGUGGUUCUAGGUGGAAGGUGCGACAAGGACGUUUACGGUUUAGGUAGGGGAGAGUGUCAUAGAAUGCUUCAAAUGAGCCUCCCCAGGGGUUUAUAUAGAGCCUAAGAAGCUUUUGGAGACUCCUACACUUAGUCAUUGGUGGGAAAAUGGUGGAAGGUUCUAAAGAUGUCUAAAGAUAUCCACACAUCUCUACACUAUGGUGGAAGGUAUGAGAGAAGUCCAAGGCUUUCUAGAAAAUUCUAGAGAUCUCUUGUAUAUUCUUGUACAUAGGCUUGUACAUAGAAUUGUGUAGGAAGUUUUAGAUUAUUCUUGAGUUGUAAGGAACCCUCCAAGAUUCCAAAGAGUUUCAUUGGUGCCUAUAAAUAGGUGAAGGCCUCAUUUGGCCAAGGCACCAAGCAAGUGAGUUCCAAAGCACUUGUAAAGCUUCUUUUAAGUAAUAAAAGCUUCCAUCCUUCAAGAUUUAUCUACUACGCCUUAUAAAGCUUUCAAGUUGUGAGCAUCUUAACCUAGCAAGCUGAGCAUUGGGAGCAAAACUGACUUAGCAAGAUCAAGGGUCUUGACUUGUCUAAGUGUCGCACGAGCUUAGGAAAAGACUAAGUUCAUGACACCUAGGACUAGUAGCAUGCACCCUAAGUAAUCCAAGGCUAGAAAUGAAAUGAUACAAGGAUUCCCAACACUUGACUUAAUUCCUUAGAAAUUGAAACUCAAUAAAAAACAUUAGUGUCAUUAACCUCAUUUUUUUUAUUACCAAUACUUAAUUAGGGGAAACCUUGAGCUAACAACCUCCUCAUUUUUUAUGAUGAUAAAACUGUACCAUCUAAAGAAAGCUUUCCUUAAUGUAUGCAUAUUAUAAGCAAUUUAAACAUUCAUCAUAAAAGAUGGAAAACAUAAACUCAAAUGGAGACAUGGAUAUAUAGAUAUAAGAGACAUCAUAAAGGUUGCAACAUGAUCGUAUAUCCGAAAUAGCAUCCAAAAGCAUGUCAUCCAAAAAAAAAUCAACCAUAAUAACCAUGUUCAAAUUGUCCCAAAAAGGAAAAAAAUAUAUAUAUGAAACAAAAAGUAUUAAAUAGUUUACUAAAUGUUAUGCCCUAGAUACCUAAAGAUAUCUCCCCCUUAGGCAACAUCGAAACAAUGAGGGAACUAUAUGGCUCAAGGUUGAGGUGGUGGAAACAAGGAACAUAGGACAGCUAUUGAAGAAGCUAAAAUUCUUCAUAAAUGAUUGAAUUUUAUUUCACCAUGAGAAACAAUACAAAGAGGGAUUUUUUUUUUUUUUUUUUUUUUUUUAUCAAGGGGAAGACCCCUUUCUCUUUACUACUUAUCCCUUUUAAUAAAAAUUCUUCCACAUUUUUCCACUUUAUUUUGCCAACAUUCUUUCAACCCCUUUUGCACAAAAAUGCCAAAGAUAGUAUUAGGAUAACCUUUUACAACCAUUGCUAACUUUUGACACAAGUUGCUAAAAAUUGUUGAAGAUUUGCUUUUAAUGUCAGGUAGGAUAGCAGAUUGGUUCUAAUUGAAGGUCAUUUCUUGUGGAGGACCUUACUUAUAAGUGAGAUGAUUGUUCCUAUCUUCAUGGUUUUAUGUUGUAUAGUUAUAGAGACUUUUUAGAGGCUAUCAGCUUUAGAGCAAAUUUAUGUUGUUUGUUAGGGAUUAAGUAUUUUAUUCAAAUUGGGUGAAUGGUACUACCUCUUUACUUGAGAUGGCUUUGAGAUUGGGUGGUUGAAUAGUAGUACUUUGGAAUGGUCUAGUUUUUGUUCGCUUUAGCUAUCAUUUUCUUAUGCUGUGUCUAUAGACGAGUGGAGACGUCAUUUGGAAAUUGGUCAAAUUGCCCGUGAAAUUGAUCAAAUUGUCAAGUUGUCAUCCUAAAAUUGACUAAACCUAGUUUGUAAAAAUGAGAAACGACCGUCACUAGCGACUAACAUCUUCUCAAGCUAAGUAUUAAUAGAUCCAAUCUGAGCAUAAAGGGCAUCUUAAUGUUGCAGGUUCAAUGCUCAUGAAGCAUAAUAUUUUGGAUACUUGGUGUGAGACACCUCAGCAUAAGUCUAAUCCAUAAGGAUAGUCUCCUCAGGAGGUUGAGAUGUGGGCAAUUGAAUGGUGGCAUCCAUGCCCUUGGUUUGCAUCUCCUGUUGAACAUCCUCACCCCCUAAUCCUUUAUGGUCACCCUCAGUCUCUAUCUAUAGAAUCUCUGCCUCUUACUCAACCCGGUCUUCAUUCAUAGCAGGACCCUUUCUUUUUCUUUCCAAUGAUCCAUUAGGCAAUUUCUCAAACAGCAUUCGGUCUGGAUUUUACGUUAUAGGUAUCAUAGGAUGAGGCCUGAAUGUUUUUUUCUCUUCUUAUGUCCACAUUGAAUGCUUUCAGGAUUUUUGUGAUCAGUCUUCUUCCGUUGGCCACUACUUUAGAAUUGCUUUUACAACAGUUUUUCAUGUGUUGAAAGAUGAUAAGGAAACCUUAGAAUGGAUCGGAGUCAAUAGAAAAUGCUACAUAAUAGGACACCUUGUCUCUAUGUCCACCCUUAGGUAGAAAAAUAUGUUUGAUCAUGUGGUGGUGCACCCUAGAGAUAAUGCUCAAGGCAUGGGCAUGGAGCUUUGAAGUCACUGUGUCGAUGGGUAAGUUACAUAUCCUCUAGAAAGCCCUACCUAGGUUAAAACUAGACACUAUAGGCCAUCCCUUCGUCUCAAAUAAACAAAGUCCCCCACAAAGGAUCUCCAAAAUAUCACAAAGCAUAUCAAUAUUUAGUUUAAUUCAACUCCUCUAACAAAUGUGCUAAUUGGCCUUCAUAUAUUUUAGGUUCAAGUAAAAUACCUGAACAAGGUUGGGGUAUGUAGGCUCUCUUGAUGAGAUGGUAUUGGUGAGUAUUUUUUUUUCUUCAAUACAAAACUAUUACAACACUUGGUUUUUUUUUUUUCUAAAAAAAAAAGAAAAAUAAAAAUAGUUUUAUAUUAUACUUAGUUUCAAGAAAAAUAAUAAUCAAAGCAAAAUGAAAAAAAAAUUCUCAUAUUGGUUUCUCGUGAAAAAUAUAAAAGCAAAUAAAAUACAAUUAAAAUUAAUUAAAAUCUUAUGUAUUUUUAAAUUAUUAAUUUUUAUAUAAAAAAUGAAAAAUAGUAUAAUGAAUUUAGAAGAAUAUAUAAAAAUAAUGUAUUAACUUUAAAUCUUUUUUUCUUUAUAUAUAUAUUUUCCCUUCAAUUUUCUAAUACCAACACAUAAUAAGGUUAAUGUCUUCUAGCCAACCAAUUGUAAGUCAAUUUUCAUAGAGCUUUUUUUUUUUUUUUUUUUUACAUGCCACCAAGUAGUUAUAUAAGCAUUUUUGCAUGUUAUUGUUAUCCAACAUACAAUAACUAUAACAUCCAAUUAUUAUGAACAUGAACAAUAAAAUUAGAUGCAACUAACUAUUUAGUGUAUAACAAGAAGUUGGUGAAGUAAUUCAUCCUAACAUGAUUCAACAAUUUUUGUUUAUUUUUCAAGAUUAAUUAUAACAUACCCAUUCUAUUAAAGUUGUUGAGAUAUUUGAGCAAAACUAAAAAUCAACAUUAAUUCAUUUUAUACCCACAAGAGAAAUAAGAUUUGUUUUUUUGUUUGAUAAUAAAGUAGUUGUAGUUAUUAAUGAUAAUUUUGAUCCUAAUUUAAUAGGUAUCCAAAAAAAAAGGAAAAAUGCAAGUAAACCAAUUCUUAUCUAACACAAUUAUUACCACCUUAAAAUCCUGAGGGGUAGCUCAGUUGAUCAGUUCGAGUCCCUUUAGGACCAUGAAAAGCUUACCCGAUGGUUCACCUUAAGAAAAGCAAAGCAUUUAUAUAAUUCAACUGGUAGUUGAUAAGUCUUAGAAAGGGUUUUGCCAUCAUUGGCUUCUCAGUAAAGGGCAAAUUUGGGUUGUGGCUGACAAUUAUUGAAUUUGUGAAGAAAUAUGUGAAGAAAGGAAACAAAAAGAGUUGAGGACAGAAUUCUUCAAUUAAAAAAUGGUUAGCCCAUGAACCCAUUCUUCAAACAGUAAGCCAAUGAGCCAAUGAGCCAAAAAGAAAGAAGAACAGCUGGUUUCAUCUUUUUAUCUUAAUGACUUUGACAACCCAUCUUUCUUUUAAAUACUUGUGACUUUGGAAUAUAAUUAAAAUGAAACUUUGGAAUGCCCACAUCUGAUUCACGGCCUUUUUACCUGUUUUCUUGUUUAACAUUUUUUUAAAUAUUAUAACAGAUGGAAAAACAUGAUUCUAACAGGCUGGAAAAUAGUGGAAGUUGGAACACCAACCAUAACCAAACUAUACCUUCCAUCUUUCUCCAACACUCGGAAUUAUUGAUACAAGUUGGUGGUUUUAUGAUUGUUUCUAUUGAGGGGACCCCUCUCCAUUUCCAAUUUCAAUGGAAAGGUUCUUCUUUCCCUACUUUUUUUUUUUGUUUUUCAAAUUCUUGUAGUUUUGUCUGUCUCUCUCAACAAAGCAAACUGCAAUCACUAAUUCAAAGAAAAGGAAUCCUAAAUGAAAAGAAAAGAAAGGAAAGGAAUGGUAAUUUAGGCUAUGAUGAUGCUCCUAUAUAAUGGCUGUAAGUCAAUAACAACACACUGGACCCGCCUCCUAUCUCAAAAGAUCACAAACCCAAAUAUCAUAUACUUCCAAAUUUCAAUUUGGUUCCCUGUUUAUAUCACAAUCUGUCCUAUAUCCUCUUAAUACAUCUAAAAUCUCUCUAUAUCAUAAAAAUAAUGAUGGAAAAAAAAAUUAAAAAGAAAGAAGGAAAAAAUGACAAAAAAAAAAAAACCUUGGUGCUGCUAUGGGUCCAUAGGAAUUGGCAGGACUGCACUUCUGGAUCCCCUUCCAUGGCCAAAAGAAAAGAAUGAUCUUCGGAAUCUGCUGCUGCAACCUUCACUAGGGCUGAAGUCACUGACAGGCCUGUUCUGUUGCAAAAUCUCUUGAAUUGCUAAAUACAGCUGCCUGUCGUUGGAUGAGUCCAUUGAAAAAGACCUCCUGAUGGGUUGGAUUGAGAACUGAUCAUCUUUGCCUCUAGUGUCAAUGCACUCAUCACCCAUGCUUGCAACAUGAUGAAACUUCCUUGCCUUUUUAGGCACAAUUCUCUGCUCUAGCUUCCUAGGUGAUGGACUAAUUGAUGGCGCAGAUAACUCUCUGGAAUUCAGUCUUUCUGGUGGCCUAAGCAGUGAUGAAUCAGCAGAACUAUCAUUUCCCAAUUCAAUUACUACAAAAUCUUCAUCCCCUCCUAUGUAAUUAUUGGCGUAGGGGCUUGGAUCUUGGGGGGAAGAGCUAGGAGCAAUGAUUUGGUGAACAGGAAACCGGGGUGUGGUUGAAAUGCUUGUUCUGCAAAGUGGGCAAUUAGCAUUGCUUUGAAGCCACACGUCUAUGCAAUCUAUAUGAAAUAUGUGACUGCAGUUUGGUAUGAUUCUUAGCUUCUCUUCUUCUUGAAACUCAUUCAAGCAAACCGCACACUCGCAAUGGCUUCUUUCUCCAAACUCUCUGCCACCUCCUUUCCUGAACUGGAAUAUUGGGAUUGAUCUGAUGACUGACUCGUCCAGGCCUCGACUCUCGAUUGCUGGGGAGUACACCAUUAAAGGGUCUUCCGGGUGCCGACUCCUUGAGAAAGAAAAUCGUCUCAGCAGAUCAAUCCGGUGCCAAUUGAGGCAGCAUUUGAUUACAAAGAUGUAGUAGCUCACCAGCAAGAAAGCAGUGGCCAGGAUUCCUAUUACGGCAAUGGCUAUAAUGGGGAAACUGGUGUCCGAGGAAUGAGAGGGAGAAGGAAGCACUGAGCUCGCCUGGCUUUUGAUGGGAGAAAAGGCUUGUGAUCCAUGGAUGGAGGAGUCUGUGCUCACAAGAUCCAUGAGAGAGGCUAUGAAAAACAUUUAGAAAUGAGUCUAUUCGGAUCUUCAAUUCACAGAAACAUGCAAAUGCUAGAAUAAAAUCGACAGACACUCAGAUAUAGACCCUACAGUUGUAAUGCAGCAUACCAUAAAUGUGAUUGAGUGAGUGAGGCUGAAACAGCAAAUGGGUCACUUCAAGAUCUCAACAAGACAGAAAACCCAUGUUGAAUUCACCAGGAGAGUAUUGAAAAGGGAAAAAUUAAGGACAUAUAGCUGUAUUGAAAGUUGAAACAAAUGCAGAAACAUAGAGAAGAGAGAGAGAGGGAGAAAACCCAGGAGGGUUGAAUGAGAGCGCUGCUGGGGAAGACAUCAAAACGCUUCAAAUUCAAUGAGAAUCUGUUGGGGACCUCUUUAAGAGGACUGCACAAAGCCUGAGCGUAGGGUACGUGGUUGGUUGGUGAAUUUCUCGGCUUCCAAAAGAGAAAUUUGGUGAGAAAAUUUUCAAGUCUCUUGAUUAUAGUAACGUAGCGUUUAUUUUAAUUUUAUGUAACCGAAACUAAUGGGCUGGUUCAAAAAAAUAAAAAAUAAAAAAAGGAACUUUCUAGGAUAGGCCAGCAGUCCACCGUUGGUCAUGUGGUUUCUUUUGCAUGUCCACAUCUUCCAACUAGUGGAGGUCCCUGUCACAACAGUAAGAAAACACCCAAUUGAAUAAAAGUAUGAACUUUUGGCUCCCAAUAUUACUUAUGCCCUCAUUCAAUACCUCAAAUAAAGCAGAGAUUUUGUGUCCCAACUUUUAUGAUUUCAUUUCAUCUUACUUCAAAUGCUAAUGACAAAAGUCCAAGUAUAUUCUGUAAUCACCCACACCCCAAUAGUUUUGAAUCACACUUGAAAUAGUUCCCAUGCUUUCUUAAUAAUUUAGAUAAUUAUUUACAGAAAAAAAAAUUCAGAACAGGAUGAUAAUCAUUUUGUGAUAGCAUGGAAGAAACUUUACUAGCCACUUUGGCCCCAUGAAGUUGAGUACUUGAUGCCAAUUAAUGGCAGGGUGGAAAAUAGAGAAAAGGGAUCAUAGUCAAAUCUAGAGUACAAGGCAUUGAAUCUUUGUUAAUAAUUAACAAAUGGGUAAAGCAUGGGUCACAGGGUCUACAGUUUGGAUUGCAAAAACCUCAGGCUUCUAUAAAAAGCUCAUCCAUUAUCAAUCAUCAAUCUGAAAGCCAGAAAGUCCAAGGCACAUGCAACCCACGACAGGGGUAAGAUUUCUGCAUCAUGUCCCUGAGUUGCAUUCACAUCAUAUGUUUCCCUCCGGGCCGUUCCAAUUUGAAAUCUCAUGGAAAUCUUCAAGAGCAAGGCUACAGAGUUUAAGAUAAUACUAGGGGUGGGUCCUGAUGGGAAAAGAGGUAGUGUAGGAUAGUCAAUAAAGGGCAUGUGUCUCUGGUGUGAAGUCAAAUCCAGUGUACCAUCCUCAAUGGAAAAUUUAGAAAUAGAACCGACACUCUACAGACUGCCGUGUUGACAGAUUAGAGAAAGACAAACCCACUUACACUUGCCUCAAAACCCAGUCCUGCCAUUUCAAAGGCAAAAAAAAAGGGUUUCUUUUUAUAGUCAAAGGUUGAGGCCUGGCCUGGCCUAGCAAAGAAACUUCACCUACUCUUUUCUUAUUUUUCAAAUUAAGGCCAUUCAACUUUUCCUGUUUGCAGGCUUGCUGCCAUAUCUUACUCCAAAAAAGGUGAAAACCCAAAAGAAAAAGAGUGUUUGCUUCAAUGGAAAACUCAUGUUUAAUAAAUUCACCGCACGAGUUUUGUUCCAGCUUUUCCUAUGAAAGCUGUGAUGCGUUUGGUAUGAAGUUGAUUUUGUUCCUAAAAAUUUUGAUCUUGGCGUGGAAGGCAACUUUUUCCUUUUCCCCCUUUUUCUUUUUGAAAAGUUCGGCAUUAGUUACCAAAUGUCCUUUUACUUGCAUGUAGGACAGCGGAAGCAUUACACAUCGCAGCAAAAUCCCAUUUACCCGAAUUUUCCACUAACUCUUUUUAUUUUUUACCAUCAUUUUUUAAUAGAAGUGAUGCACUCUUCAAAUUACAUGAAGCUUUUAAGAAGGUAAUAACCCGUUUCAAAGCGAACUUAACCUACAGAGUAUGUUUUAAAAAUAUUUAGGUAUUUGAUAAAAUUUAAAAAAUAUUUUUUAAAAUCUUUAAAAUGAUUUGUAAUAUUGAAAAUUUAUUUAUACUUUUUUUAAUAAAAAAACAUUUUAUAGGUAAUUUUUCUAAAAUACUUUUAGAGAAAAUGUCUUCCCUUCACUAUAAAUAUUAUAUACUAUCAAAUACACUUUAAAAAUCUGUUUAACAAUAAUUUUAUAAAGUGUUUUUAAUUUUAAAAAUAUUUUUAAAAACAAAUUAAAUUUUUGAUAAAAUUUAAAAAAUCUUUUUAAAAAUUUUGAAAAAUAUCUCGUAAUAUUAAAAAAUAUAUAUAUUUAUAAUGUUUUUUAUAUAAAUACUCAAAAUUCAUUUAAUAGUGAUUUUAGGAAAUGUUUUUAAUAUUUCUAAUACUUGAAAAUUUUUUAUCAUUUAAGUAUUAAAAAUAUUAAAAACACUUUAUAAAAUCACUUUCAAAUGGACUCUUAAUGAUUUUACUAAAAACACUUUUCAUAGAAAACAUUUAUAAAAAAUAAUUAUGAAAUACACUCUAAAUUAAGUAAAAGUUGUUUUUAACAUUACCACUAUUUAUUAAUAGUGCAUUUGUUUAAAAUAUUUAUAUGAAAAAUUCAUUAGGGUGGGAUAUAAAUAUAGAAGUGUUUUUCUUUAUAUAUUUUUUAUAAUAAAAAAUGAUUUUUGAAAUUAUAAAAUUUGAAUUUAAGAAUCAUUUGAUAAUAAUUUUUGUUAAAGCACCUUUAAUACGUGGUGCUUCUAUUGAUAGCGCUUUCAUUUCUAUGAAUGGCUAUAAAUUAUAUUUGAAUAAAUUUUUUAUAAUGUAUUAUAUAAUAAAAAAAAAGUCAUUUUUAAAAAAAUUAUACAUUAAAUGAUUAUUCAAAUAGUAUUUCCUAAAUUUUAUUAAACAUUUUUUUCAAAAAAAAAAAAAAAGUUUUCAAAUACUAGAAAACGUUUUUAAUCUCUCACACGAUCACAUCCAAACAAGUCCUAAUGCUACUCCUAGAAACACUCCAAAACAAAAGUCUUCCUCUAUUAAUGUUCAUAAAAUCCACAUAUAUUCUUCCAUCGUUUUUUCAAAAUUCAAAAUCAUUUCUAAAACAUCAAAUCAUGUUCUUUGGAUUGGCUGACUUGUUUUUUGAAAAUAGAAGGCUCAUUAUUGACGUCCGUUGACUUCAUAACCCAGUCUUGAUCUCUUGAUGGAGGGCAUAAAUGUAAAUUGGACGAAACCCUAGGGUGCGCUAGAGUGUAGAGGAUGAAAGGUUGGAAAAAGGAUGAGGUGGGGGUGUAAUAAAGAGGAGGGUUGGGAGAAUGGGACAUGUGUAGGUGAAGCAUUAAAUUCAAGACUAUGCUUACCAACAACAUAUAAAUAAAUAAAUAAAUAAAUAUAGGAACAGCACAUGGGGUGAGUAGGAGACAUCAGAAGAUGUGAACAACCCCUUGUCAGUCCAAUUUGCGUCUUUUAUCUACUCUAUUAUCUAUAUCGAUUUUCGUAUUUAUUUAUUUAUUUAUUUAUUUUUACCAUUUGAUUUUGCAUGGAUGUCGAAGGGUUUAUUGGCUGCCACGUGUAGGGUUAUGGUCAAGAUCACGUGGGGUGCCUACAUGGGAGUCACGUGAGUGCAUGAGGCAGGCUUGAAUUGCAGGAGGAGCAGGAGCAGAGCAGUGGCUGUUGUCUUAAGACUUUGCUCUCUUGGUGGAACUGCAGCUUAAGCAGCAUCCACGUGUUGUCACGUGCAAUGCGAGCCAUCCACACCACCAGUUUCUUUUUAGUGAUUUUCUAAAGUCAGUUAAGGUUGCAGUCAAUACCUUCAAAUGUUGACAGAGUUAGGGAUCUUUGUUAAAUGGAUUUUAUUAAGAUAUUAGUAAGUUAAUUAAUUGAGGGUCAACAUAACAGAUGGGUCGGGUUGGGUUGAAUCUGAAUUUAAAACGAUUUAAUUUAUGUUUAAUCAAAUUUAACAUUUAACUCGAAGCACUCAACUUAAGUUUAAUUGAAUCUUAGUUUUCAAAACAUUAUUUAAAUUUGGGUCAUUUGGAUUAAAGUCAAAUGGGUUAGAUUAAUCGGGUUAUAUGGUUCAAAAUCCACUUACCUUAUUUUUUAUACAUUAAUAUUAAAAUUUAAAUAAAAAAUAUUAGAAGAAAUUUCAAACUUGGGAUUAGUUGAUUGUAGCCAUGCAUUUGGAUGUUGGUAUUCUUGUUUCUUGUCUUGUUUCCAAAUACCCUUUCAAAUCGCUUUGUUAUUCAAUAGCAUCCUCCCGAUCAUUUAAAAAUUUAAAGAGCAUUGGUAUGAUGGAGGAAUUCAGAAAUUUUAGUUGAAUAAGUAAAAUUUUUCUCUCAUAAAACCAAAUAGCCUCUAUAGCUCAGUGGUAGAGCGUCAGUCUUGUAAACUGAAGGUCUGUAGUUCGAUCCUGCAUGGAGGCAACUUUUUAUAUUUCAUGAUCCAUUAUGCUCUAGUGAUUUAGUUUUCAUUAUAAUUUUAGAUUAAAAAAUUACAUCAACAUUUGAUAAGUUGGUUAUGACUUUGAUAUAAGGAUGAAACUAUCAAUAAUAUAUAUAAAUAUUUUGACACAAAAUAUCUAAUAUAUUAAAAAAUUAAAAAAAAACUCUAAAAAACAUUAUAAAAUUAUAUAUAUAAUUUAUCAUAUUUAAUAAUAAUAUCUUCUACCCUAAUAAAAAAUAUAAAUUUUAUAAGCAUACAUUUAUUAUUACAUUGUAUUAUAUAUUAUUUUACAAGAAUAUUAUGAUAACAUGUCUAAUUUUAAAAUAUAUUUAAUAUUAAAAUUAUCAUCAAUUUUAAUUUAAAUGUAUUUAAUGAUAUCAAAUAAUAUAUAUAUAUAUAAUUUUUUAAUAUUUAUAUAUUUUUAUAUUUAAUAAAUAUAUAAAUUAUGUAAAAAAAAAAGACCUAUUAAGAAGAUUAUGUUUUUAUAUUUGGAUCAAAAUUAAGUUUUUCCGAUAAAAUAUAUGAAACUAUUGAUAAAUUAUUGAUUGAAACGUGAAAAAAAAAAUUCAAAAAAUAGAUGAGAUAUUAGUAAAAUAUCCGAAAAUAUUGAUUGAUGAAUAUAUCAUUUCAAAUUUUGCAUCAACAUCCACAUAUGUUGGAUAUAUUGGCCAAAUAUAUUUAAACCUUGUUUCCAUGAGAAGUCUUUCCUUCAACAAUUUCAAAAGGUUAAUGAGGUGGUUUCCAAGAGAUGUGUGUAGGGGUCUCCAACGGGCGGGCCGGGCCAGCGGGCUUUUUGAAAUAAGCCAAAAUGGCUUUCAAAAAAGGGAAGGGAGAGGAUUUAAACCCCUUCCUUCAUGCUUAAAUUUCAAGGUUCUAACCAAUUGAACUACAUUCCUUUAAUGUUUAUUAAUUGAGUUAGUUAUAUAUAUAUAUAAAAAUAAAGUAUAUUAUUUUUUAAAGGGGCGGGCCUACGGGCUGGGCCGGGCCGAAAGCGGGCCACGGGCCACGGGCUUUUUGGAGACCCUUGGAUGUGUGCAAUCACAUUUGGUAUUAUAGGUGACAAAGUUUGAUAAAUGAGUAAUUAUUAGGUUAACUUAUAAAAUCCGAAUUUGAUUUAAAUUGAUUCAUUUAAUAAUCCCAUUUAUUUACCCAAUUAAAACUUUAAAUUAUUUAACUUAUAUUUAAUUUAAUUAAAAUUUGUUUUUAAAUAAAUAGAUCAAUUAAAACAUAAACAUAUUUGAUUGAAACAUUAAUAAUAUAGAUUUAAAUAAGACCUAAUUCAACCUAACGAUCAAAUAGAAAUAUCUAAUUAUUAAAUAAAUUAAACAUGUUACUUGCUUAAUAAUUAUGUGACAUUUGAAUUUAUGCUUUUGAUAUAAUUAUUAUUUAUAUCAGGUUUAUAUAAUGAAAUAUCUAGACUUUGACACCAGUCAACAUUGUCCACCAAUACAGAUUGCAACUCUUAUAUGCUACAUCACAUCAUGUUGAAGGAAGAGGAUGACGUUCAUUGGCAGCAGAGCCUCCAAUCAUAAGGAGCUUGAGCAAAUUCAAUCUCAACACUGAAAUUCACUAGAAAAAAAGUUUAUUAUUGAUACUUCAUUUGUGUAAAAGCAUUAUAUUUCUUGCAUCAAUCGUAAAGCAUGACAUUCCAGUAGGUACGGAAGAGAAAAUUUGUUAUGAAUUGAAAAAUCUGUCAAGCUUAAUUUGGAGGGCCCAAAAUUGACACGUUUAAGAGCUCUAUCAUUAGCCCAAUGAUAAGAGUCCAUUUCUUGAGUUUCAAGGAAGGCCCAAGUUUAACUUAGAGGGCCCAAUCUUGGUACCUUCUAAAAGGUGCAAACUUUGGCCCAAUUAUAAAAGCUUAUCCUUGCUUCCUAAGCAUCAAUGAUAUAUUUGAUCGAAGUAUUCACAUAACUAUCACGAAAUGAAAUGAAAUGAAAAUGUAUAAGUAAAUGAUGAUUUUGAGUUAUUUACUGACAAUAAAGAAUUAGGUGGUGUUUGUUUUUUUUUUUUUGGCUUUUUACUAAAAGCAAUUUGUUUUCAGAAUUUAGGUUAUUUAUUUUUCUAUUUUUUCAUGACUUAUUAUAAACUUUUUACUAAAUAAGAAAAUCCAAAAUAUAUAGUUUUUUCUAAAUAGAAAAAAUAACAUAUUGGUUUUCUUUUUUUUUUACUUUUUAAUAUUUAAUAGAAAUAAAAUAUUAUAAAAACAAACAACCUAAUAUUUAACACUAUUAAGUAUUAAGGUUUUAUUUAGAAUUAAGUAAAAAAACAAACACUACCUUAAAAUGAAAAGUAUGUAUAAUGACCUUAUACAAAAAAAGUCUCAUUAUUUUCUUCCAAAGAACUCAUACUUUUGUUUUUCAACUAUUACUUUGUUUUUAUUUUUUAAAUAAUAUUUCAAGUUUUUUUUAAUAAUACCUUUCUCUUUAUUAGAUAAUUUUAAUGACUUUAAAAGUAUUUUAAUAUAUUAAUUUAUUAUAUAAUUUUAAUGAUUUAAAAAUAUUUAAAUGUUGAAAUAUUUAUUUUCAAGUCUAAUUUUAAUUAUUUAUUUUUUGAAGUAUUUAAAUAUAUAAUAAAUGUGGGAUUAUGUAAAUCUAGUUGUAAUUAUUUAUUUCAUUCUAUUCAUGUUUUUAGUUGAAUUUGCUCAAAAUUUACACCUCUUUAUUUAAAGAUCAUGGAUUAGUUAGGUGUCUUGAGAUUUUUUUUCUCUCAAGACACUACUUGUUACACUAGAAAAUAAUUUGUGGCUAUAUUUUUUAGGCAAAAAGAAUUAUAUGUUAAAACUUCCUUUAUUGACUAGUUUAUCAUAGGGUGUAGAGGAAAGUUUGUGAUGUCUUUUUAUGUCAACUUUGGGAGAAAAAUAUCACUUUAGCAUUUUCCUUAGAAAAUUUUCAUACAUAAUUGAUUUUGGAACUAUGGAGGAGCAUAAGUAGGGAUAGAUAAUUCGAUUUUGGAAAAAUUAUAAUAGCUUUUCAACUUGGUGUUAAUGAUAUAUUGUUUAUUUCUUAUUUUUUUUCCAUUUUAAUAUAUAAUUGGGGAUUUUAAACUUGUAGAACAAGGCUUUUUCAAUUGAAUUGACACGUACAUAUGAAAGUUCUCUUUGGUUGCUAAUCACAUUUUUUUUUCUUUUGCUUUUUGUUUUUAUCAUAAUGAAUAUUGAACUCGAAAUUCAGUUUUUAAAAUCUUAUGAUGUUUUAAAGUUUAUAAAUAUUAUUGAUUUUUAUAAAUGAUGUUAUUCAUAUCUUGGUAAAGACAAUAUUUUCAUAUCGGUCAAGAUGAUUAAUAACAUAUAAGUUCAUAAAGAAAAACCUAUUGAUUAAUGGAUAUUUAAUGAUUUUUAUUAGGAAUGUUUUUUAAUUAGUUUCAAUACUCAUCUUUUAGAGCAUACAUAUAGGGUUUUAGAUGCUACAUUGGUUUUCAGCUUGUGAUUUAAAUUAUUGAAGCAAAAAAUGAGGGUUUUGCUUUAUGGAACUAUCUAAAGGGAGGUGAAUUAGGCGGUCUUCCUUUUUAAAAUCCAAAAAUUAGAUUUUUAAUACUUAUAUUAGUUAUACAUGUGUUCAAUAAUUAAAACAAAGAACAAGUCCAUAAUUUACAUGUGAUGUGCAUGGAAAAACACCUACAAAUUCUCUCAAAUACUUUACAAAUGAAAAAAAAAUCAAGGAUCGAUCAAUCACAGAGCAACUUCACUAAAUAUGAAAACAUGACUAUACAAUUUUACUUGGAUGAGGUGCUACCUUCUCUUAAGGGUUUUUACACUAGCCAACAAUUACACUCACCUUCACUCUCACCAUGCACCUCUAUUGUGCUCCAUAGUAAACACUUUAAUGACUGUAGCAAGAUUGCGAUAAAUUACUGCGAUUAAUUUGAGAGUGUUGAUAAUGAACAAAAAAUAAUGAUAAUUAACUAGAGAGCAUAUGAUUUUGUAAAAACACCAAAAAGAGGCAUAGUUAUAAGUGAAAACUUUAAUGGAUUGGAUUGAAUAUAUAAUUGAAGUAUGAAUGAAAAAUUACCAAAACAAUGUUCAAAACCGUGCUAAUCAAAGCACAAUCACUUGAGUACUCUCAUGGGGCACUUGAAUGCUCCUUUUAAUCACCGUAAUGCUGAAAUUAAUAAUUUGUCUCAAAUUGUUUUUCCAAAACAUAAAGCAAAAUAUUAUAAAUUUAUAUAAUCAAACCCAAUUUCAUCUUAAAGCUAGCCUACUUAGUCUUAAUUCAUGUCCAAAAAUACUCAUACUUGUCAAAGAAUGAAUAUGGUAUAAACAAAUUCUUUAUUUUCAAUUAUAUUCAAUUAUUGAAAGAAUAAAUCGGUUUACAUACAUUUUGAACAAAGGUAUAUACACAUAGACUAAAUCAAGGAAAUGAGGAAAUCAAUCACAAUCAAAUCAAAAUCAAAUGAUAGGUUGAUAUCUAGGAGAAGGUUAAGUUAGAACCAACUCAUGUAUUCAAUAUUCCCCCUUAAGAUGGCAUAUGGAGAUCAUGAAUAUCAAACCUAGAAAGUAAGGGAUAUGAAAUAUCUAUACCAAGGGAUUUUAUGAAAUAUCAACCAAUUGUUGUUGUGAUUAAACAAAUUGAAUAAGAAUAAUUUCAUUUCGAAUCUUUUCAUAGAUCAAGUGACAAUCAAUUUCAACGUGUUUAUUCUGUUCAUGGAAAAUUAGAUUAAUAGCAAUGUAUAGAGUUGUAUUAUUGUCACAAUAUAGAUGCAUUGACCAAGGAUGAUGAACUCCAAAAUCUAUAAGUAAAUAUUGCAACCAAUGCAAGUAGUAAUCAUUAAAUAAUAUUUCACUUUUCUUCAUGAGUGUUAUAUCAUUGAUUGCUUUUUAGAUCUUCAAGAGAUUGAUAGGCCACCAAGUAAAAUACAAUACCCUAUAAUUGAACAUCAAGAUUAUGCACAAUAGGCAUGGAGGAAGGCAAAAGAAUUCCUUGACCUAGACGAUUUUUUAAAUAGUAUAACACUCAUGUACUUGUGAGAUAAUUGAGACUACAUUGGCUUGUCAAGAAUUUGAACAUAAUUAGCAAUAUUAAGCCCUAUCAUUAUGAGUCAAAGUAACUUCCCAAUCAAAUGCCUAUAAUAAGAAGCAUCCAACAAAGGUUCUCUAUCUAAUUUACUCAAUUCCAAAUUUUGUUUCCUAGGAGUUUUUAAAGUUACAUGUUCCAAGAAAACCAAAAUCUUUUAGUACUUCUAGAGCAUGUUUUCAAUAACUUAAAUAAAUCUCAUUCUUAAAAUAUGUCAUUUCAAUGAUGAUGAAGUACUUUAAUUUUCCAAUCUCUUAGUUAGUUUGAAAAUGCUAUAUAGGUUUUCCUUGACCACCUUAAUUCCUUUAAGAUCAUUCAUUGUAAUAAUUAUAUCAUAAAUGUAAACAAGAAUGAUUGUGAAAUAGUUAUUUGAGGCUUGAGCAAAUAAGAAGUAAUAUGUACGUCUUGGCUUGCUUGUAAACCAUAAACAUCAAUGUGAUAGAUAAUUUGGCAAACCAUCAACGUGAAGCUUGCUCAAGGCCAUAAAGGGAUUUUUUAACUUUGCAAAUCAUAUUUUUGGUUCUAGAUUUCCUACAAACUUGGUGGAAGCUGCAUGUAUACCUCUUUAUCUAAGUCUUCAUAAAGAAAAACAUCGUUGAUGUCAAGUUGGUGAAGAUGUCAAAUUCUAAUUAUACAAUAAUUAGGGGUGACAAUGUGUCUUAUCGUGUUGAGGUGAGAAAUAGUGAAAAUUUACUUAAUCCGACUAUGACCCGUUUGAUAAUCGUGUCAAAAUAACCUAACAUGAAUACAAUUAGUUUAUUUCAUGUAACAUGACCCUUUUAACAUGUUUAAUAAAUAUAUUAACUUGGAUUAUGUAUUAAUUGACAUGAAUAACUCAUUAACUUGAUUUCAACCCCUUAAACUCAUUAACACAAUUCCAACCCAAUAAACUCGUUAAUAUGAUUUAACUCAUUAAACUUGUUAAUAGGAUUAUAACCUCUUUAACCUAUUUAAAAUUUUAAAUUUAUAAAUAAUAAAAUACUUCUAGAAAGUUUAAUUUUUAAAAUUUGAACUAUAAUACAUGUAUGCACCAAUUUCAUGAAGUCCUGAAAAAUUAGCAAAAUUAUAGAAAAAUAAUAUAAACAAAAAUUUGUAUUAAAAUUAAUAAGUAUGGGCUACAAUAUUAGUCAUAGUACUGCUUAUUUCUGAAUGACUUUAUUAAAAAGCGAAGAAUACAUGUGUAGUUCUUAUGUGAUUUCUUAAACUUGUAAGGCGAUUUUAUAAAGUUUUUUUUUUCUUUGUGAAACCUCUUUUUCUAUGUGAAAUUGUUUUGCCGAUUUGAAAUCUUCAUUAAAGGAAGUUACUAUUAUUUAUAAUUGAAAUUAGAGAAUGAAAUGUGGAAUCCCCAUGAUUUAGUUGCUUAAUUCAAGGAAUUUGAUUAAUUGAUUUUGGUAACUUGUCUCAUAAAAUUUUCUAACAAGAAUAUUUAUUUUUAAUCUCUUUUAUUUCAAUUGGAAUAUUUGUUUCCUUUGUAAAUUUGUCAAUAGAAUAUUUAUUUAUUUAUUUAAUUCUCUUUUGACUACAAUGAGAAGAUUUGAUUUUGUUUGUAAGACUAAAUUUUAUAACCUUUCAAAUUUGGCCAAGUGACACCUUUUGAAUAUAUGUCACAUGUCAAAUGUGUGUGACUCAUUAGUUGUUGAACCUAAAUUUUCUUGAAUUAGAAAGCUAUACUUUUGAAGACUAAUUUAGUGAUAAUUUAAUUCAUUAAAUUUUUUUGGUGUCUACAGUAUAUUUAUAAUAUGAAAAGUAAAUUAAAAUUUUAAUUUUUUUACUUGUUUAUUAUUUUAUUUAUUAUUUAAUGAUAAAUAUUUUUAUUCUUUAUUGAAAUAUAUAAAAUUUUAAUUAAUAUUUUAAUUUUUUUAAUUUCUAUAUAUAAAAUAUAUAGAUUUAUAUGGUCUAAUUGAGUCAUUAAAAUAAAUAGGGUAAAUAACUCACACAUAAGUGAUGGAUCAUUCUAACAUGAUUAAAUUAACAAGUUAGAUGAAUUGAGUAGUCAAAUACAAACAUGAUUUGUUUAUUAAAUAAGUUAUAUGAAUUGAUACGAUUAUGACAUCAACUCAAUUAAACUUAACUCAAAUAAGCUUUGUCUUUUAUUUUAAGUUGUCUAGUUGUUCACACAAAUUUUCUCAAAAUAAAGAAAUUAUAUAUAAAAUUGUAAAUUUGAUUAUUUGAGGGGACCAUUUUCAAUACUCUUUUUUAAGUAAUCUGGUGUUUAAUUUUGAAUCAAAGGGGCUUUCAUUAACAAAUAAUAGACUGUAGUUUUCAUAUAAGAAGAAAUCUCAAGCCUUUUUUUCUUGAAGGAAUCUUUAAAUUUUCUUUGAUACUUUAAAAAAUCAAUCUUCUUUGAUUUUUUAAGAAAUCUUUGAAUUUUCUUAAAGUCUUCAAAAAAAAAAAAAAAAAAAAAACUGAGUUUAAGGAAUUUUUUUAAUAACUCUCCAAAUUUCUUUGAUAUUCCAAAGUGUCCUUUAGAAGGGGACAAAUCCUCUAUUUACAGGAUUGAGAGUUUUAUUUUAAUAUUAUCUCUUAAUUUUUAAGAAAUAACUCUCUUAUUUAUGAUAAUUACUAUUUAUUUUAUUUAUCAUAAUUAGUUGCCUAUGAUAAUUAUCAUAAUUAAUUUUUCUAGAGAUAAAUAAUUAUAUAUAUUUAAUUAAUCAUGAUAACUAUAAUAUUUAUUUAAUUUUUUAUUAAAUUAUUUUACAUAACAUAUCAAUAUAUAUUAUUAGUCAAUUAUUAACACCGAAAAUUAAUGAGUUGGCAUAAAAUUUAUCUCUCUAUAAUAGUAUCAAAGCGAGCCUUAAUAAUAACAUUGCUUAUAGUCAAUUUCACAUGCCAACUUUUUACUGGGCAUUGGCGAUUUCAAUUUUGAUAGUCCGGUUAGAAAAAGUAGGUAAAGAUUAUUUGAUGUGGUAGGUCAUUUCUUUCAUAAAGACGAUGGCGGUGAAUUCAUGAGACAGGUGAUAAAGGAGAGAUUCUUUCUUUUGGCUUUGGAAUUUUAAUGAGGUCCUCGAUCCUCAUCCAAAAUACACCUCUCCAAUUAUAAAAAUCUUAUUAAAAAAAAAAAGAUUUGACAUGUGCCUUUCGAACUGCUGGUUUUCUGUUCCAAAAAUGAGAAUGGUUUCAAGUGGAUGAAGGAAGGUGAAGAACCCUUGGUUUUGUUAAGCGAAAAGCCACAUGAUUAAAUAAACAUAAGGCGGCAAAGGCUGAAAAUUUAAAAUUAUACUAAGGAACCCACCCCACAGGGCGACUACACUUUUGGUGAAGCCACGAGAAUGAAAGAUAUCGAAGGUGACACCAAGACAUUAAGCAGCACCAAGGUUUCGAUAUAUUAUAAGAUGGGAUCUUAUGAAAGACGAUCUCUAAUCUCUCUCCAAUCUCUUCUUUAACCUUUUCUUACUUAAAUCCAUUUCCAUGGUAGGGCACAUGUCCAGCUGACCCUACCCCCUCACCUACCUAUACUGCUAUACCCUUUUGUAUAAUUUGAUAUGGAUUGGAAGCCACCCCAACAUCUUUCUAAUUGCUCGUAAAUGUUGAGGUGCCUUUCCAUUUUGAGGCUGCCCUAAUGUGUGGCUGAAGUACGUAGGAAAAAAAAAUUGUGAUACAUGCACUGACGAAUCAAAUCCCAAUGUCAAAUUAUUAGACUCACCUGGUUCUUAAAUUAUUGUGAAUGCCGCUGGCCAUGGAUAAAUGGAAUUAGUGCGUGGCUUAAUGAAAAUUUAUUUUGAAAGGGAUAUUAAUUUGAGAGAAUUUUGGCUGAUACUUGGAGUUGAACGUAAGCAUAUAUGACCUCAUUUCGGGUGUGAUAUUGUGCUUAUAACGAACCUUUCGUUCUUUCCAAUUCCAGUGGGUAUUAAAUAAUUAAAGAAUUCAUGGUUCGAAGGCGAAAGGUAGAAGACCAAAAAGGGAUUACAAAGCCAUCGGCUUGACCAUCCAGAUGCAAUGGAUACAAACUUUGGACUCUAUCGAAAGUUCUUUGGGCACGUGCCCAAGUGUCCUACCCAUAUGAUAAGUUACACGUGGCUAAUUGCGGACCGGUUGCUCGUGCUAAACAGGGUACUUUUUCUACGCAUAUAAGAUGUUUCACUAGUGGGGCUUCACCAUGCAAACUCAUGGAUGAAGACCCUGAGGCCAAGAUGAAGGAACAGAAAGAAGGCGGAGGAGAGGUUCGGUAUCGAGGCGUUCGGAGGCGGCCAUGGGGGAAGUUUGCUGCGGAGAUACGUGACUCGACUAGGCAUGGAGCGCGCGUCUGGCUCGGGACUUUCAAUUCUGCGGAGGAGGCUGCAAGAGCAUAUGACCGAGCUGCUUAUGCCAUGAGGGGUUCCUUGGCGAUUCUCAACUUCCCUAAUGAGUAUCAUACACCCGGCACGGCUAGCUCUUCAGCUUCAUCCUCAAUGCCCGAAGGUGAUCAGCAGGGAAAACAAGUCAUUGAAUUGGAGUACUUGGAUGAUAAGCUGCUAGAGGAUCUUCUCGACUCUGAAGACAAAAAGAACAAGAAAACCUGAAGUUUCUGCUGCCUCGAAUCCCCUGAAAUCUAGUGCUUCAUCGAAAAAAAAUCCCCUCGCUCCUGAUUAACAACAUUUUUAUUUUAGUCAAUGAAUGUGUUCUCGGAUCAUUAUAAGUAUUUCUGCCGAAGUCCAUUGAUUUUUGGAGACUGAAAAAUGUCAGAAAAAUUGGUGCGAACAGGUUUACUCCUUUCUAAAUUAUGCAAUUGAAGUAUUUGGAUUAGUGCGCAGUGUAAACAUCAAGGAAAGCAUGAUCCACUAUUUUAAGGAGCCUAAGUGCUUUCCCCUUUACUCUUUUAGGAUGUCUUUUCAGUGAAGAAAGUUGGGAGACCACCACUUACCCUUUUGAUUGGUAUAUAACUGCCAACUAAUAACUGGACUAACAUUUGGCCCGUCUGGCCCUACUUCUUUGACUUUGUUGUUAAUUUAUAACUUUAUGUGAAGUGGGGGCUGUUUGGGAAUGUGUGAAGCAAGGAUUUGAGCCGACUUCGCCUAAUCUGAUUCUCCAUAAGUGACUUCAUUUUAUCAUAUUGGUGUUUUUUUUCUUCUUCUUUUUAAAUGGCUGGGGAGGAGGGGAUUUGGGAGGGAUGCAAUGCCAUGGUUGCAUGCUGGAUUAUCCUUCCAAAUGAAACAUCCAUUUGGUUUCUAGUAACUAAUUGCAAACAAUUAAAGAGAAUAAAAUUUUAAGAUGAUUAAACAAUAAGUACCUAUGUCCAUGAAAAGGAGAGAAGUUCACUCAUGGGUGUUCAUGAAAGACAUCACAAAGAACCAUCAAUAUGAGAAGAAUCCUGAUACAAUUAACUUUCAUGCAUAAGAAAAGACGCUCAAAAAAGAAUAAUGCUUACAAGGAAAGAAUCUCACUACGAUCAACUGAAAAAAUAUUCCAAUUUAAUUGGAAAUCCUUACAUGGGAAGAAUAUCAAUAAAAUCAACUAAAAAAAUAUUUUAAUUUUAUAUCAAAAUAUUUGUGAUUUAACCCGUAUCAUUUCAUCAUGACUUCUUAUAAAUUUUGUUCCUUUUUAUCAACACCACCCCUUGAGUUGGAGCAUAAAUAUUUAUUAAGCUAACUUGAACAAGAUCUUGAGAAAUUUUGUCGCAGGAUUUGUUUGCACUUUUUUUUUUCAAAUAAAGUCAUAAUUAACUUUAAUAUGUUUAAUCAUUUCAUGAAAUACUAGAUUUUAAGCAAUGUUGAUAGCAUACUUAUGCCUGAAAGCUUUAUCCCAAAUCACAUGAGUACAUGAAGUGAUUGCAUCAUUAAUGGUAGUAUUAUUACUUUAUAUUCAACUUCUCCACUUGAUAGGAUGCAUGAAAGCAUUGUGCUUUCUUCUGUUUCAAGUAAUAAAGAUUAUCACCAAGAAAGGUGCAAUUAAUACCUAGUAACAGAGUACCUAGUGGUAGCAUGCACCUAUCCACUGAACUUGUACUCGACUCUAUGAGUGUACGUUACAUAGUCCUUUUUUCGAAGUCUAAAUGUCCCUUGAUAAAACCUUCUAAUAUUUGAGGUUUUGGUAACAUUCAUGUAUCAAUGAACAAAUUAAUUUACUAGCUAAACUUUAAAAUUAGGCAAUGUUUUUCAAUGGGUGAUCAAGAUCUUGGAAUUUUCAAUGUUGUUUGAAUAGCUUCCACACACAAGCAUAUUUUCUCCUAUUUAGGAAUAAUCCCUUUUUUGAAGGUGUGAUCUUUAUGCUCAAAAAAUAAAGAUACUCAAAAAUUUAAUAUUGACCUUCUCGUGAAGGAAAAGCUUUAUAACUAAUUUUUUUUGUGCAUUAUAUAUAUCCUCAAUAUAGACUUUAAAAAAAAAAGAAGUAACUCCCUCUACAAAGAGUGAAGAGUCAAUUAAACUUUUUUUUUUUUAAAAAAAAGGAACCAAUUACUCGUAAAAGUAAUGAUUAUUUUUACAUACCAAACUUGAGGAGAUUACUUAAGAUCACAAAAGUUUUUAUUAAAUUGCAAGCUAGAUGCAUUUGAAACGAUCGUUGAUGUCUUAGCAACACCUUAUGUAACUCAUCAAUCUUUAUGUAAAAAUGCAUUUUUAACACCCAUAUAAAAUAAUGAUCAAUCCUAAUUUAAUAGAAACAAAUGGUAAUACAUGAAUAUCAUUCAUAUUAAUGAGAAAAGUAAAUAUUGAUUUAUAAUCAACUUCUUAAGUUUGUGUCAAUGCCUUAAUCAUUAGUUUAACUUUGUCAUUCAAUGAUACCAUCAUUACGACAUUUAAUUAACUUAGAUUUGCGUAAAUCCCUUAAUCACUAGUCUAGCUUUAUGUCAUUCAAUGGUACCAUCAUUAUGGUAUUUAAUUGAUCUUAUACCCCCAAUUUGUAUACCCCAUGUUUUUCUUAAUUUACCAUACAUCACUUAACAAUGUUCCAUGCAUGGAUUUUGUUAAGUGCCUUAAGUUCCUUUUGCAUAGCCUUUCUCCAAAUUGGAUGAGGAUUGGCUUCAUUAAUGUCAUUAGACUCAUGAUAUAUGGAACUCAAACAAUUGUUAAGUGAUUUUGUAUAUAUAUAAAAAAAAAAUUGUAAUUAAUGUGGUAGGCAUAAAAAUCUCACAAAUGAGGAUUGAUUAAUUGUUAUAAUUGAGCAACAUGCUUGAGGCUUAGUCACAAUACUAGAACUUGAAGUCAGACAUUCUCUUCAAAUAAGGACGUAUAUACAUUAUAUUGGAUCUCCAUUAAACAAGUAAAGAACUAUUUAGUAGACAAUGAAACCUCAUUGAUCAAUGGUGGUAGAGAGACACAUGAUGACCAGACUAUUCCCCUGGAAAUGAGAAUAAAAAAUAUCAUUAGCCGCAAAAAUCUCAAAAAAAUUUAGAUAAUGGGAUAUAAAGAGUUUAUGAAUUUUACAAUCAUAACUCUUAUACUGGUUUAAGUGGUAGAGUAAUCAAGAACACAAAACGAGUUUGAUGAGUGGUUGAGAUAUGAACAAAGCAAAGAUUUCCAAAGACACCAAAAUCAGAAAUCUCAAUUUUUGGGCUAAGGAUUUCAAGAAGAAAUUUAAAAUUAACUACAUGACUAGAAAAUUUGUUCAUCAAGGAAAUAGAAGUAACGAUAUCAUAACAUCAUAAUUAAUCAAUAUUUUUAAUAACAUGCAUUUGGAACAUGAUAUACCGGCUUUCUAAUAAUCAAUGAUUUUUGGUUCAACCACACCAUUUUGUUUUGGGAUGCCAAUACAACAAGUUUAACGAANNNNNNNNNNNNNNNNNNNNNNNNNNNNNNNNNNNNNNNNNNNNNNNNNNNNNNNNNNNNNNNNNNNNNNNNNNNNNNNNNNNNNNNNNNNNNNNNNNNNAUGUAAGUGCCAAAUUAGGUAGUGUCGACAAUGAAAUGGAAAUUUUGGAAUAUAGAAACAACCUCAUUUUUAUGUUCUAAUAAGUAAACCUAUGUAGCAUAAGAAUAGUCAUUAAAAAAAAAGGUAACAAAAUGUUGAUUUCCAUCCUAUGGAUCAAUUAGGACACAACCCCAAGGUAAACUAAUUUGAAAGUUGCAACAAAAAUGGAAAGAGAUGAAAAAAUAAUAGAGGAAUUUAAGGUUGUUUCAAAAUUUCAAGACAUGCUAAGAAACACAUGAGAUUAUAGAUGAUUAGGUAACAACCUUGGUUAAGUAUAUUCAACAUAUAUAUCCCACGAGGAUAAAUAUCUUCACUAAACUUUUCCUAUUAUUCAAUCCCCUAAUACCAUACAAGUGAAAAAUUAAUGUCACGGUCAAAAAUUUUAAUAAGCUUCCAAAGAGAUAAUAAUUUUGGGGAAAAAAACAACCUAAGAAACCUAUGAAUUGAGAUAAUUUAGGAAAAAACUAAAUGUUCGUUAGCUCUAGAAGGGAAUUGAAGCUCAUCAUCAAUAAAGAUUGUUGCUAUCUCGAAUAAUAUCAAGUAAACCAUUAAGAUCGCUAUUAAUGGUAUGAUUAGCAGCACCAAUUAUCGACAAAAAAAUUAUUAAAAAUAUAAGAAAUGAGAGCUUUAAGAUUAUCUAAUUGAUUUGUAAACCUAGGUAAGUGAAUCAGUAUUACGUUUUGUUAAGGAAGCUUAGAUCCAAUUGGUAUCAUUCACCAAGUUAUUGGAUUAAAUUACACUAUCAAACUUUGGCUUUAAAUGAGAAUGAAGAAUCUAACCACAAUCCUUAUUGGGAUUAGAUAUGUUAUUGCAAUAAUGUUUACAAUCGGAUGAGUGCUAAUUUCUAUUGAAAUCAUGAAGCAAUCUCUGAUCAUUGGUCUUCUUUGUAGAAACAUGAGCAUUGAAUUUAAAAUUAAUAAUUGUUACUUGGGAUUCAACCUUCAUAAUCAUUGCCUGGGUUUCCUAAUCACUUUCAAGAAUUACUUAUAUAGUGAAGGCACUCGAAACUAAUCAAAUUUGUCCUCUUAUAAAGUUGUCAUAUUCAAGCUUCAGAAUAGCCAAUAAUUGAAAAACUUAUCAUACUCCGCAAUUUGUUGAAGAAUAUUUGGGUCUAUUGAAGGGGACAAUAUAGGGAAUAUUUGUCCCAUAUGCUCAAAAUGUUCAAUUAACAAAGUGUUCUGUAUGUUUAGGGAUUUGUUAGCUUUAAUUACACAAAACAUUAGCAGUUUUAGAGAAAAUUAAUUUUUUUUUGCAAUCUUAGGUUCCAUGAAAUUAAAAAGCCAAUAACAAGUCAAUAUGGCUUGAGACCCAGUCAUCAUAUUCAAAGUCAUCCAACUUAGAAGCAUUCAUUUUGCCACUAACAUGUGCUAAUUUCCAUUUUCUAUCUUUCAAGAGAAAAAGACUGCUCUUAACCAUGGCAAAUAAUUGAACCCAUUAAGAAGAUUGAGGAAAGUAUCAUAUGAGGGUUGUCAUUUUCCUCCAUGACAAAGAAAAAGCAACAGAGAAAAACUCAUAAUAUUAGAAAGAGAAUGAAAGAAAUUGAGUCAUAGAUACACACAGAAGAAUCCAAAAAUAAAGCAAUAAUACAACCACAAAUAUGAGAAGAAGCUCAAUUACAAAGAAAGGAACUCAAUACAAUCAACUAAAAAGCGUUCCGAAGUUCAUACGAAAAUAUUCAUAAUGUGAAGAUCAUUUCAUGAUUCCUACAAUUUCUUCCUUCUACCAGUCCACUCCAUACAAGGUUUGAUCAACAACUUCUUCAUUGAUUUUCUGGUCUCUCUCCGGUGUAUCAUAGAGCAUUUUUGACAUGUUUCUGCAAGAUACACUUGUUAACUUUAAGCGACAUAAGUGCAAAAAAAUAAGAUCAUGUUGUAUUGCCUGUGCUUCCACUCUGCCUUGUUUAGUACUAUUAUGGAGCAGUACUUCCAUAUAGAACCAGUGAUCUCCAGUUCAUUAUGUUGCCUUCUUUAAACUAACUUUAAUUAUCUAUACAUAUAAAACAAAGUGGUCCCAUCAAGGGGCUAAAUCAAGAAUCAAGUGGGGCGAACAGGAAACAGUGGCAUCAAUUUUUAAGUCCAUAAGCUUUAAUAAAAGGAAUAAAACCAAGGAUAUGAAUAUGUUAUUUUUUCAUUUGUUCAUGCACUGGAAGAUCUUUCCUCUUCAAGCAUUGAACCAGCAUCCUUCUGUGCAAGUUGCUGUCGGAACCUUCUAUAAUUGUCAGAAGUCUGUUUCUGAAAUAUACAGAUAAAACUUUUAGCAAGUCUUGACAUUGCUCAUCACUAGGACAUUGUACUAGGAUACCAAUUCAUCUAAUUAGGGUUAAGUUGGCAUCUCGUACACUAUUUUUUAUUUUUCCUUCAUCUUUUGUUCCCAUUUGCAGUGGAAGUGGCACUUAGAAUAUCUGAUCAUGAAGAAUUAGCUUUCGGUGAGAUGAUACUAGGUCAAUUGCCAUUAUCUUUUUGAGUUACUGUGCGAGCAAUCUUGAAAAUAUUUUGGGAUAAAUAGAAUUUGUGCUUAUCAUAAACAUGCUAAACAUCCAAAUCAAGUGCUUUUACUAUUGAUAUCAAAUCAGUAAUUGAUUUUAACCUUUAUGCUUAUCUUUCAGAUUCUCAAUUAUGUAUCUUGAAUAAUGAUAUUAAGCAGAAAUCAUGAAUUGAAUUGCUUUAAUUAACUGUGCCUUAUCAAGCUUGUCAGCAGUGCUAUUGCUACCGCGAAUCAAAUUCGCUGUGCUUCCCGCCUUCUCCAAAUAAGCCACAAGCCCAAUUAUAUCCGCCCUCCUCCCAUCUCCAAGGGAUCAAAAAAUAAAAUGACUUCAAUCAAUUUUCAAGUUUUCCAUCUUGAUCAGUAGACCACCCGGCAUGAAUGUUACCCUCAGUUUAGGAAUAGGAAUUCCUUUUACUAAUCAUUUGGCACUAAAAACUAUGACCCCUAGCAAUUCAUUCCCUCCAUUAGAUAUCUGGGGGCAUCUUGGCUCAGCCAAAAAUGAUAAGUCAUUGCAUUUCACAUUGCAUUCAUUUGUAUUAAUGAGCUAAUUUUUUUUCACAGAAUGUGAUGUGAAUCGAAUUACUUCCAACCAUGUGUCUCUAUAAGGGUUUAACAAAUGUAAUUUGCAUUGUCUGUACACUUUUUUUUCGGUUUCUUUUCUUUUUUAUGCAUGAUUCAUUAGUCCACGGAUCUUCUAUGCAAAGUGUGCAGGCCAAACACCUCCUUCAAUGCAUUAUUCUAGAAGUUAAGACUCAGUUUACUCCUUAAUUGAUCUGUUCCAUUUACUUCAAAUCAUUUGAUUACAUUAAAUGAAUCUUGAAAUUCAAAAAUGCAUCAAAGUUAAAAGACCUUCCAAUGCAUUAAGAAAUCAUCUGAUACAAAUAUAUGUGAACCUGCAACAACAAUAAUGUCAAAAUGGAAAACUUAGGUAGAAAAUAUUAGAACGGAAACUUACGACGAACUCAAUUUUUGGCGCCUUUCUUCUUCUCAUCUUCUGAUCCAAGAAGCUCUUCCAACACCGUGUCAUCCAAACACUCGAACUCAAUGACUUGCUUUUCUUGCCCAGAAGAGGAACCUCCCAUCUCUAAACUCCUACAAGGCCCAGAAGAUGACGAGGAAGACGAUGAGGAUGGUGAUGGUGGGGGGCGAUGGGAGCCCAUGAUUUCAGAAUAGUACUCAUUAGGAAAGUUAAGAAUGGCAAGAUGACCCCUUAAGUUAAAGGCCGCUCGAUCAUAGGCGCGAGCUGCAUCCUCCGCCCUGUCAAAUGUGCCUAGCCAUAGACGAGCACCUUGCCUAGACGGAUCCCUAAUCUCGGCUGCAAACUUCCCCCAUGGCCUCCUCCUCACCCCUCGGUAUCGAACUUCUUCCUUUUCCUUCCCUUCCUGCUCCUGCUUCUCAUUCCCUUUCGAAUGAUCUUCCAUGCUAAACGUGUCGAUUUGCUAGGCGCAAUUUUUUUGGUUUCAAAUGUGCUGGUUUACGAGAGGCAUGGAUGCUUAUGUAUAUAUAUGGUUGCCACAGUCAGGUCUGACGUCACCGCUCAAUGUAUGUUCCACAGCGUGGGUUGACGAGCUUUCUGAGGGGGUUUCCUCGAAUUCAAAGCAAGUAUAAAAAUUCGAUUCUCCGACCUUUCCAAUGAGGAUCGAACAGGCCUUUUAUUAGAACCGUAUGAUAACUCCACACUGUUUUCAAAUAGUCAAUGUGAUCUAGAUUCUUCGUUAAUUUUUUCCACCUGACUGAUUGUUUACAAUUUUAUUUUUCACCGUCCCAAAUUUAAACCAUUUACGCGAUUCCCUGGAUUGCAUUUUUCUUUAAUGUUGACUUUACGAGGCAAUAGGACCCCCCAGCAACCCCACUAGGGCGACUUCAUGGGAACCAGAUUACUUUUGGAUCCAGAUAUGGUCCAGAAGAAAUAAGACAAAUCAAUUAAUGUCCACUAAAGUUUUGAUGGAACCCUUAGUCCGUGUUUCCUGUGGAUGUAUGUAUUGUAUGCACCUCAAUUUUCACCAAUCCCUGCUACGAGUCCCUUUAAUUUUGACGUUAUAAAUGUUUUUCCUGACAUUAGCAGAGUGUUUUUCUGCCGUCUUUGAGGACCUUCCACGGCCCAUAAACUAAUAAGGAUCGUCCAGUGAAUUUAGUCUUCCCCAGUUAAUUAUCCUGCGAGGGAAACUUGGGCAGUAAGUUGCCUACAUGAGUGGCUCCCGCCUACAUGAGUCAAGGGACCAUACGUCAGGACGACAACCAGUGUGGUCACACCAAAGUGGGUUGCCUGGACUCCAGGGUGGUCGCUUCAAAGUUGUCAAAUGAAGGCUAGCUUGGCAAGUUUUGGAAAACAAUUAUUGAAAAACAUUUUUCAUGAAUAACAGUUUCUAUGAACAGAUUUUAAGAAAGUUUAUUUUGUGAUUUUUAGGAAUAUUUUUAAUUUAAAUUUUUAUAUUUUUAAUUUUUUAUUAAUUUAUUGAUUAUUUAAUAUUAGCUUAAUUAAUGGAUUUUUCUUGGUCCCAAAUUAUUAAUUUAUCAAGAUUUAAUCGCAUCCAUAAUUAGUCUAAUUUCUUUUGGAGUGAGUGUGACAAAGUGCAAAUUUCUAGAGUUUUAUUAAUGUUAUUCAAUGUCAUAAUUUAACUAAUUAUAUUAAUUAUUUAUUAAUCAAAAUAAAUCAUUCACUUGAAAUAUGAUAAUUUAAAUUAAAAGUUUCAAUUAUUUAUUAAUUAGCAAAGUAUGAACUUUUCUUCUUGUUUUAUUAUUGUUAUUCCAUGUAUAUAAUUUAAUUAACUGUUUCCAAUAUUAAUCAAUAAAAAUAGAAUAUAAGCAUGAGAAGAAUUAGUAAAAUUCAUUGAUUUGGAAUUAGAUAGCUAGAGGAAGAACUUCAUCAUCUUCCCAUUACUUAAAUUUGUAUAAAUUCUAAAUAUUUAAACCCCCCCCCCCCCCCCCCCCCCCAAAAAAAAAAAAAAUGGUAAAGAAAGACUCCCCAAGCUUUCUUGGUUGGUGUUACCCUAAAAUUUGUACAAUAAGAUGAACCAUUUGGCUUAAAGCUUGGUGCGAAACCCCUUAUCAAUUGAAAAUAUCAAUGAAGUUGUUGAAUGGUUUUAGAGGACUAUUCUUAUGCAGAGUGGCAUAAGAAGCGAGGAGAUGAAGAGCGGAGAGACGUUAACAUCGGAUGCUGCUACGAAGGUGGGAAUACGGUUAAUUAAUUAGAUUUUGUGAUGGCUUUGAGUUUGAAGGAGUUAGUUUAAUGGGUAUUAUUAGUGAACUGAUAAUUGGAUUUGAUGUAAAGAAGGUUGGUCCAUUGGAUUAGCAAUUGGUUUGGCCUUUUGGGGGCCCCAUUUCCAAAUGCAUUGCCUUUUACAAGCAUUCAACAUCGCUGGACGUAACCAGGCUUGGUUCACCUAAAAGUAUCGCAUGGAUUGAAUUGACUAAGUUUUCAUUGUAGACUAGCCUUGAUUUUCCCUUGACCUGCCCACCAAAUCCUGAUGCCCACGCGAGGGAAUACCUCAAUUUUCUAAUAAUUUAUGCAGUUUCUCUUCAAAGCUCGUGUGAUCACUUGGGUCGGUAAAAUAAUGCAUUCCUCUACUUUUUCUCCCUUCCUAGAUGCAUGUUAUACCAUUAAUUCAAAUGUGAACAUGGGCUUGGCUUUGAAACUUGGUUCAAGGCCCAACAUGUUGACCCACAAUUGAGGUGUAAUUGAAUUUGUACACUUUUCGACUUUGAUACCAUUUGUCAUUACCAUUGACAUUGGGUCAUUGUUGAUUUUGAGUCCACAACUUUUAAGGUUGUUAUUACAAUUUUAAAUUGCGCCCACCCAAUUUAUAUGCAUUAUCCCUUAUAAAUACCGAUAACCUCUCUUUCUUCGAUAAUAUAAAAUGUCACAUAUAUUAUAUAUCUCAAUGUUUUCUUUUACUUUUUUUUUUUUUAUCGAUCGACAUUCUCUCUCAGAUGAUAUGAGAUGUCACAUAUAUUAUAUGUUUCAAUGUUUCUUUUACUUUUUCUCUUUUUCCUCAUGAUUGACAUUGUCUUUCUCAAAUGAUAUGAGUUGUCACAUAUAUUUUAUGUCUCAAUGUUUUCUUUAACUUUUUUUCUCUCUUCUUUAAUGAUCGACGUUCCUUUUCUCAGAUGAUAUGAAAUGUCAUAUAUAUUAUAUGGCUUAAUGUUUUCUUUUACUUAUUCUUUCUUUAUUAAUAAUCGACAUUUUAAGCAAUAUGUGAAUAUAAAGCAUUAAAAUUAUCUCCAUCGUUUUUGGAUGUGGUAUAAAUACACAAUUCUUAUUUUUGUUUUAAAUAUUUCUAUUGCUAUCUAUUGAAAUUUUAUGCAUGAAGCUACCAAGUUAAUUAUACAUAUAUCUUAAGAUUUUUUUUUUUUUUUUUUAUAGGAUAUAUUGUCCAUGAAUAUUUUCUGCAAUGGUAUCUUGUUUGAUUACUAUAAGAAAUAAUAUAUAUAUAUAUAUAUAUAUAUAUAUAUAUAUAUAUAUAUAUAUAUAUAUAUAUUAUAUUUCAAUGUUUCAUAUUUGCUUAAAAUAAAAAUUAUAUUUUAUCACAAUAUUUGGUAUUAAAAAAAAUGAAAUCUCUCUCAUUUAUUAUUACAAAAAAAUUAUAAUUUAUAAUUUUCUAAAUAAGUUUUAUUUAUUUGCUAACUAUAUUCAUGAUUAAAAGAUUUAAAAUUUAUAAAUAAAAAAUAUUAUGUCAUGUCAUUAAAUAAAUAAAAAUAUAUGUAUAUAUUAAAAUUAUGUUUUAUUGUAGCUUUUAAUAUUUUUUUUUUUAUUCUUUUCUUUUUUGAACUACAAUUUUAAUUUUUUUUAAUCAAAAUUUUUUAAUUUACAAAACGAGUAACAUAAAACUUGCCUUUGAACUUUAUUGGAAUGUUAUAUACUACCAUUUGGCUUUCAAGACAUUAGAAAAGGCAUAAGUGUCCCUUUUAUUUUUCCGAAAGGCAUAUUAGACUAUAGUAGGAAGUGUUGUAUAGAGGCAACUAAAAGUUGCCUUUAACUUUAUGAAGUCAUAUACUCCUCUUUGGCUUUGAUGACAUCAACUAGCAAAUUGGAUUUUGUUUCCUUUGCAACAUUUUUCCAUCCAUUAGCCAGUUUUUUUAUACUGUUUGGUGCUUGCCAACAUGGCACACACUAUGGUUCUUAAAAAGUAUUUUUUUUUUUAAGAUACUACGAAAUAAAAUACACGAUUGAAAGAUGAGUCACAAUAAUUUUCAAAACUAAAUUUUUUAAUAUUGUUAAGAAAAUUUGACCACCAAAUGAUUGAUUUUAAAUUACAAAUACUUUUGUUAGCUAAGAAAUUUGUUGUUCUAUUUGUUUCCCUAUAAAUAUGACAACAAUCAUAAAUAUUUUCAUUUUAAGAUAAUUUUCAAAUAUCUUCCAUUAAUAAUAUAAUAGAAUUAGGAAUUUUUUUUUUAGUUAUAACAAUCUAUAAUUAUUUAAGAGUCUUCCUCAAUCUCUAGGUUUAAGAACUUAUUGUUCUUAACAACUAACAUGUCAUCUCUUAAAAUAAUACAUUCUGCAAUAAUUAUUGAAAUAUGAUAUAAUAUAUAUAUCUACUUACAACCAUUUUUGUAGUACCAUUAGAAUUUUUAAUUACCCAUUCUAAAGUAUUUUUAUUCUCUAUUCUUAAACCAUCAAAAUUUAAUUUAAAUCUUUCAUUAAUUGGAUAAAUCCAAUGAAUCUAACAAGUUAAAGGAUUAUGAAUCCGACAAAACAGUUGAUAAUAAAUUAAUAAUGCCAUUAAUAUGAUUUUAAUGUGAAACACAAUUAUCACAUUUAAUACAGUUAGUCCUUGUAUGAUUAAUGUUUUGGAAGCUAAAAUCAAUCUUUUGACUAUAAUAAGAGUUUCUACUAUUUCUAUUUUUGGAUGAUUUUAUAUUUUUCUUAUUGUUUUAGUUUAAUACAAAAAAUAAAAAUAAAAUUACAUUAGUAGAAUUUUUUUAACUUACUCAAAAACCUAUUUUAGUUGAAUGAUUUUUUUAAAAAAAAUAUAAAUAUUUUGUUAAAAGGGAUAAAAUAACCUUACCUUGUGAAAAAGACCUCUUCACCCAAGAUUACUUGUUCAUAAUCCUUUUAAGACGAAAAUGCCCCCUUCCUAAAAAAUAUUUCAUCUUAAACUUAUUUUUCUUUUUAUUGCCCUUUGUUCCAUCCUUCCGGCUUGGGAGAGAAAUUCAUUCUUCUUUUGCGAAGAAAAAUUCCUAUUGCGAUUUUUCAUUUCAAGUGGAAAAAAAAAUUCUUAUUUCAUUUUAAAGAAAUUGUACAUUUUCAAUCUUUCUCUUUGUUCCUAGUUGAGGGUUUUUUUUGUAAUUUUAUCUUAACACUACAAAUUUAAAGGUGAGAUUAAAUCUUAAUGGUUAUUAGUUAAAUCACAUAUCUAACUUUGUUUUUGUCAGGACCUAUAAUAUGAUUGGAACCACCAUCCAAACUUCAUUAGGUGGGAUACUCCCCACCCUCCCCCUCCCCCCGCGAAAUCCUUGGAUUUUAGUUUUGACUUGGAUUUCAAUUGCCCGUAUCAAUUUUUCUUUAUUUAUUAAUUUAUUAAUUUUCAACUUUAACAAAAGCCUUGAAUCAUAUUUAAAUUCAAAUAACUUAAUCCUAAUUAAGUUCUUUUUAAAUAAAAAUUAAUCAUUGAAAAGUUCAUGUGACUAUUAUAAUUGAGAAUUUAUCCCAAGUUGGGUUUUUUGCAAAUAAAAUUUUAUUAUAGGACAUCAUGAUGCAACAUAACAUAAGGUUGUUACUUAAGUUUGUUUUGACCUUGUAAUAUGUUAAAAUGAAAAUGAAGCCAUUGUAACAGGAGAGAAUGAUGAAGCUGUGGAGAGAGCUUAACAAAGCUUGGGUUGGAGAGACUUCACAGGAAGAGAGAGAGAGAAAUAAAGGGUAAAAUUAUCAAAAGAGAAAAGAAAAAAAAAAAAAAAAAAGAAGGUUAUGUCUUCAAAUAAUCAAUAAGAGAUGUCAUUUUUCUAAUUUUCAAAGUUCUUUUGGUCCUUCUCUACAAAUAUCCCUAUAAAAAUAUUAUAAUAUCAAGUUAAUUUGUCAAUACCAAAAUUUAUAUUUUAUAUUAGGGCGACUAAAUAACAUAUAGAAAGAAUUUUAAAUGAGUAAAUCAAAUCAAUUUUGAAACCAAAACUUAAUAAUUACCAAACUUGUAAUCUUAGUCAUUAAAAGUGUACGAUGAAAUCUAAAUUAUUAAGCAAUGAAACAAAAAAUUAAGAUUAAAAUACAAAACGUUAAAAUCAAGAUACAAACUAUUAAAAUGUAAGUGGGAUAUGAGAUGAUAUUAUAAAAAAUAGUGUGAUCCAACAAAAAGUCUAGUACAUCAUUAUCUUCACUUCCAACCAUGUUUAAAAGGUCACAAGUUCUAGCGGUUUCCAAGGACAAUGUUAAAAAUAAUAAAAAUAAAUCCAAUUAAAUAUUAAUUAAUUUAUUUGAAUUUGAGUCCGACAAAAUAGUUGGUAAUAAGUUAAUAAUGCCAUUAAUAUGAUUUUAAUGUGAAACACAAUUAUCACAUUUAAUACCCGUUAGUCCUUGUAUGAUUAACUUUUUAGAAAUUAAUAUCAAUCUUUUGAUUAUAAUAAGAGUUUCUACUAUUUAUAUUUUUGGAUGAUUUUAUAUUUUUCUUAUUGUUUUAGUUUAAUACAAAAAAAUAAAAAUAAAAUUACAUUAGUAGAAUUUUUUUUAACUUAUUCAAAAAACCUAUUGUAAGGUGAAUGGUUUUUUUAUUUUUUUUUUAAAUAUAAAUAUUUUCUUAAAAGGGAUAAAAUAACCUUACCUUGUGAAAAAAGGCCUCUUCACCCAAAUUUACUUGUGCAUAAUCCUUUUCAGACGAAAAUGCCCCCUUCCUAAAAAAUAUUUCAUCUUAAACUUAUUUUUCAUUUUUAUAACCCUUUGUUCCAUCCUUAUGAUUUGGGAGAGGAAGUCAUUCUUCUCUUGUGAAGAAAAAAUUCCUACUGCCAUUUUUCAUUUCAAGUGAAGAAAAAUAUUUAUAUUUCAUUUUAAACAAAUUGUACAUUUUCAAUCUCUCUUUGUUCCUAGUUGAGGUUUUUUUUUUUUUUUUUUUUUUUUGUAAUUUUAUCUUAAUUGUACAAAUUCGAAGAUGAGAUUAAAUCUAUAAUGGUUAUUGGUUAAAUCACUUAUCUAACUUUGUUCUUGACAGAUCGUAUAAUAUGAUUGGAACCACCAUCCUAACUUUAUUAGGUGGGAUCCCUUUUUUUUUUUCCCCAAACCCUUGGAUUUUAGUUUUGACUUAUAUUUCAAUUGUCUGUAUCACUUUUUCUUUAUUUAUUAAUUUUCAACAAGUUCUUUAACAAAAGCCUUGAAUCAUAUUUAAAUUCAAAUAACUUAAUCCCCAUUAAGUUCUUUUUAAAUGAAACUUAAUCAUGUGAAAGUUCAUGUGACUAUUAUAAUUGAGAAUUUAUUCUUAGUUGGGUUUUUUGUAAAUAAAAUUUAGUUAUAGGACUGUGAUGAUCCGUUCUCAACCGUAUAAAUAUUGUUCGUUUUGAAUUCAAAAUAACUUUUACGGCUUUAAAACAUGUUUACAAGAUUAAGAGGAGUCCAUAUUUAUAUAGCUUCACGAACUUUCCCCCCUAUUCGAUGUGGGAUGUCACAAGGACAUCAUGAUGCAACGUAUAACAUAAGAUUGUUUCUUAAGUUUGUCUAACCUUGUAAUGUGUUAAAAUGAAGAUGAAGCCAUUAUAACAGAAGAGAAUGAUGAAGUUGUAGAGAGAGCUUAACAAAGCUUGGGUUGGAGAGACUUCAUAGGAAGAGAGAGAGAGAGAGAGAGAGAAAUAAAGGGUAAAAUUAUCAAAAAAGAAAAAAGAAAAAAAAGAGGGUGAUGUCUCCAAAUAAUCAAUAAGAGAUGUCAUUUUUCUAAUUUCAAAGUUCUUCUGGCCCUUCUCUACAAAUAUCCCUAUAAAAACAUUAUAAUAUCAAGUUAAUUUGUUGAUACCAAAAUUUAUAUAUUAUAUUAGGAUGACUAAAUAACAUAUAGAAAGAAUUUUAAAUGAGUAAAUCAAAUCAAUUUUGAAAUCAAAACUUAAUACCUACCAAACUUGUAAUCUUAGUCAUUUAAAGUGUUCCAUGAAAUCUAAAUUAUUAAGCAGUGAAACAAAAAAUAUAAGAUUAAAAUACAAAACGUUGAAAUCAAGAUUCAAACUAUUAAAACGUAAGUGGAGACGUAAGAUGAUGUCAUAAAAAAUAGUGGGAUCCAACAAAAAGUCUAUUAAUCAUUAUCUUCACUUCCAAUCAUGUUUAAAAGGUCACAAGUUCUAGCGGCUUUCAAGGACGAUGUUAAAAAUAAUAAAAAUAAAUCCAAUUAAAUAUUAAUUAAUUUAUUUGAACAAUAGAUAGGACCAAAAUAAUAUUCUAAAAGGAAUCAUAGGGAAGUCCUUGGACAACCUACGACAUUGAACAAAGGUACAGUGAGACAAUGCACUUAGCCCUUCCUUGUCAUUGCGAUGAAUAUAAAAAGACACCCUGAUUGAGGGUGCCCCACUAAGCCAAGAGUGAUUCUUUUGUAUUGUAUAACGUGAAUAUUUUUGAACUUUGAAUGACCCUUCCUAUAGUCAUCAUUGUCAAAACUAGAAAAUCAGAAAGAUGCGAUGUACGAAGGCACCAUUGAAUAAGAGGCUUAAUUCUCUUUGGCAAUUAGGAUAAAGUUUCAAAAUAGAAAAAUUAAACAAAUGUACAGUGUACGGACACUUGGGCAUUGCCUAUUUGUUUUGUUCUUCUAGAGUUGUAUAUGGUAAAGGUCAUAUUGGGUUGGUUCUAUUUGGUUAUUGAAGUCGGCUAGAAUAUUAGAUUUGGUUUCAAUCUAAUCCCAUAUGAUAUUAGAAUACCAGCCCAUACAGAAUUUUUGACCAAAUAUAAUAUUUCUUUUAAAUAUAAAUAUAGUAAUUAAUUUUAGUCUAAGAUUAAUUAUGUAGUUUCCUAAAGAGACCACUUCCUAAACGGUAGCUAUGUGGAAGUUGGGCCAGGUCCUGCCGAGAAGGUUUCCACGAGCUGAGCCCAAAACUGAGUAGCUGUGAUGGGAUCAUUCUAGCAUUCAGCCUGAAACUUGUAACAUAACGGAUCGAGAGGCCUGAACUCCAAGACCAUGGUUCGUCAGCCCAUUAACUUCAACAGCACGCAUUUUAGAGGACUGGGCUUGCAAGGGGUGAGGUUUCCGGGCCGCGACCCCAAAUAUGAACAGCCUCAGAAGUGAUAUUGCUUACUGGCACGUGAAGAGCGCAAGCGUAACUAGAAGAUUUGUAAUGCCGCUUUAAUUGUUUGAUUAUAGAAUCCCACGCAUUACGCAUGGAAAGUGUAAAAGAUAAAAGAUGUAGAAUUUUUUCUUAGAGAAAAGUUCGUUUGGAUAUAGUUAUUGUUUUUUUUUUAAAUAAUAAUUGUUUUUUUUAUAAAUUAUAGAUAAUCUUAGAAAUUUAUCUUUAAAAAAAUAGUUUUUAAAAAUAUUUAAGGAGAAUAAAAGUGAUAAAAAAAAACUUUACAAUUUCAAAUUUUUAAAAAAUGAAAAUUAUUUUUAAGAAUAUAAGUUAAUCUCCUGCAUUUAAAUCUUAGGUGGUUUUUGUUUUUUUUACUUUUCGCUGAAAACAAUUUGUUUUCAAAAUUUAGGUCAUUUGUUUUUUCUAUUUUUUCAUGAUUUAUUAUAAAUUUUUUACUAAAUAAAAAAAAUCAAAAUAUGUAACUUUUUCUAAAUAAAAAAAAUAACGUAUUGAUUUUUCUUUACUUUUUAAUACUUAAUAGAUAUAAAAUACUACAAAAACAAAAAAUCUAAUAUUUAACACUAUUAAGCAUUAAAGUUCUAUUUAGAAUUAAGUAAAAAAACAAACACCACCUUAUAUUUUAUAUAAAAGUUACUUAUAUUUUGGUUUUUGGAAAUAAAAAAUAUAAAGCAUAUCCAAACAUGAGCUUAGCUAUUUUAAAUCAUAUCAAAAUAAUAAUCCCAAUAAGGUAAAUGGACUUUUAUACGGAGAAUAAUCUUUAAGGUUUUCAUUUUUAUUGGAUUUUUUUUUUGUGGUGUUUUUUCAAUCCAUCUUCUCAAUUAAUUCCUUAAAAUUAUUUUACUGUUUUUUUUUUUUUCAGUUUCUAAAUAUUUGAUUUUUCCAAAAUGCUUAAAUGGAAGACACUAAUUUUUCAAGAUAUUUGGUAUUACAAUUUUCCCUGUUCUCCCUAUUAUCUAUCAGAUUCAUGGCCCUUUUGUUUUUUCAUUGGUUUUCAAUUUAAUUUUCCAAAUAUUACAUUGUUGUGUUUUGAAUUUGUGAAACCAAUUUUAUAUAUAUAUAUAGUAUGUAAGUCUACUUUGGGUAACAUGUACAGAGAGGUUUUCAUGUGUUUGAAACCUUUUACCUCAAAAAUUAAUUAUUUUUAAUUUUAUAAUAAAUCUUUUUUUAUUUUUUAUUUUAUUUAGGAAAGCCUAUAUUUAAACUACAUGUUUGCAACGCAACACCAUACAUACUCCUAGUGGAACUUACCUUAGUGCUUGAGGGGGAUGCAGAUCUUCUUCUAAACCUAACUAAUAAGCAUAAAAUUGUUCACUAAUUAGCAUAUCUAGUAAAUCAUACAAAUUGGCAAUAUUUCAUGUUUUUCAUGUUUUGUCAAUAAAAGGCGUCUUGACCAUUUUGUGAGUUUUGUAAUAAAUAAAAAAAAAAAAAAAAAAAGGGCAAAAGGUGACUAAAAUGAGGCACUUUGGAAAGGUUAAUAACCUAAAAGGAAGAUGAAUUAAUACCCCCUUAUUCCUCUUCAAAAACCAUUGAGAAAAUGCAAGAAAUGCUCUUAGUUGUAUGCUAGGCUAACAGCCUAGCAACCAUAAUACCCUUCUUUGCAAUUGUAAGCAUUUUUUUUUUUUUUUUGAAGGCCAAACAACGUUGCAAACUUCCCAAAUCCCUUCUUUAUUUUUUAUUUUUUUAUUUUUGUUUUUAGAAGGAGAAUGAAUUUGAUGACAAACUCCUUGUCAAUCUUAUCCAAACCACGAUCGAACAGAACUCCUUGUCAAUCUUAUCCAAACCGUGUUCCACCUCAAAAACAUGUGUAGGACUUAAGGCAGCAACUGGCAAGCAUGACUGAUAGGGCCAAGUGCCCUUGUCUCUACAAUCCAUUAAGUUAACCAAGGGCAGUGAACCAUCAUUCUUUUCAAAAGCUUCAUUCCGUGUUGAAAAUGUGAGACUGAAGCAUGGUGCCCCCAAAAAUAACGAUCUAUUUACUAGCAGCAUGCCUGGACCCAUUAAAAAUACUCUACUUUAGGAAUAGAAAAAAUUACAUCUUUAUCCAAUAAUUUUAUAACAAUUCAGACGUUUCAGUCUAUAAAUAAUUGUACAUAGUUGCCAACGUUUAGCUAGUUUCAAAUGAAUAGCCUAGGUUCAUGCACCAGUUUGGCUGGUGGAGGAAAGGGAUUCGAGACAUUGAACCCUCUUUUUAGUGUGCCAAAUAUUCCACAAAAAUCACUACCUUCUCUUUGUGUUUGUUCACUUUUAGUUUAUAUUUAAUAAAUCUAUGUUUUCGAGUAGAGGUUGGGUUCAGGUGCGACCCACGUCACCUCUCGGACGGUCUUGAAAAAGGAGACCGGACCACGUAAUUUCAAAUGUAGUGACCAUCUCACUUUUACCUCCAUCCUUGAAGAUGGUUUCCCAAAUCAAUAUUAAUCUUUUGUUUACGACAAUAUCGAUCACUUUAUGUCUAUAUCGUUGUUAAUUUACCUUUUUUUUUUAGCCACAUUAUUUGAAAAUUGAUGCAAACUUUACCAACAUCUUGGUACCAUUUUAAAAUAUUAGAGUUAUUUGAUUAAAAAAAUAAAAUAAUCUCGAUAACUUGUUUAUAAAAUAAAUAUCUUUUAACAUUUAGACUAUUCUCACGCAUGCUUUAAAAUUGUAAAGAUAUUCAUAAAGUGGAACUUUAGACUUAAUCAAUAUCGAUCACUUUAUGUCUCUAUUGUUGUUAUAUUUUUUUUUUACAACAUUAUUUGAAAAUUGAUGCAAACUUUACCAACAUCCUAAUACCAUUUUAAAAUAUUAGAGUUAUUUGAUUAAAAAAAUAAAAUAAUCCCGACAACUUGUUUAUAAAAUAAAUAUCUUUUAAUAUUUAGACUAUUUUCACCAUGCUUUAAAAUCAUAAAGAUAUUUAUAUUCAUAAAGUGGAACUUUAGACUUAAACAUGAUAAUAGUUUUUUUACAAUAUUAUAAUUAUUUUAUCGUUUUAAUUAAGCCCUUUAUCAUACAUAUAAAUGUAAAUUAAUGCUAAAUUUUUAAAGCAACGUAUAACCUUUUACAUCUUUUUUUAAGAUGGUGCGAAAAUCCUAUGAAAAAUAAUAAAAGUCGAUGCAUAAGAAGAUUGUUUUGAUAAUUCAAUAGAAAAAUUCUUUUAAAAUGAUAUUAAAAAAUACCCAUAGAGCCUUUAUUAAAAAAAUCAAUUAUUUUCAUAAUAAAAAUUAUAAUUUUUUAUUAUGUAUUAUUAUUUUUAAGUAUCUUUAUUACAAAUACUUUUUUUGAGUUUAUGAGAGGAAUCAACAGGUUGGUACAAGCUUAGGCGUCCUCGUACAUGUUCCCGCUGUGCAAGGUUUUUGUCUUGUUUCGAGCUAGUCGGAAUUUACGUGUUUGAUAACGUUUUGUCCUAUUUUUGUAACGCUUUAAAGGGCGGCCCACCGUUGGAACAGUUCAAGCCAUCCAAAUCAGCCCGGAGGGUUAUGGCGACGUGGCAUGACGCCUACCACCUUAGUUCACAUGAACCCUAUGAUCGUACUACCCUCACAUGACAUCUGUGAUUCUUCACCUCCAAACCCUCUUUAACUUGGUAAUGUAUUCAAAGCUUCAUCAAAUCAUAGCGAUUAGCGACCCUCUUCCACCCUAAUUUUAUAAUAAAAAAUAAAUCUUAGUGGACAUUAAAGUAGUAUUUUGUGGGGGGAAAGAAAAACUCUAUGGGCGUAUCCACUAAAUACGAGCCAAGUAUAAGAGUUAUCACCAUGGAAUCAAAUUAUGAAGCAUUGACAUUUUAAUUGUAUUCAGAUUUGAGGAGGGCACCGCGGCACCAGCUGGCCCAGUGUAGUCUGCUAGCCUACCCGCCAUAAUGACCAAAUUAAUAAAGUAAAAAGGAUUACAGGGAUAUUCCCAACUUUAUUCUGGGUCUGAGCUGGAACUUGGGAGUUAUCACGAUCAACGGGAAAGAUGGUGGGUAGGGGACGAGGAUUGAGGGCUCCAUAUUCACAUCAGUGAAAAACGAAAUGUAUUGAGACAAGUCUUCUAAGGAUUUUCUAGCGUAUUAUAUGGUUUAAAUGAUUAUAAAUCUGUAGUUACUGGUAAAGAGUAGAGAGUGAAGACGAAAGACGUUGAGUGAAAAGGAAGGAGGAGAGGGGAUGGGGCCAUCUUACCGUGUCGGGGAGGAUCCAUAAAAGGACUACGUUCCCUGAAUCUGUAGGCAUCAUGCCUCGCCUAACGGGUUAGUCAAAAUACAGUGAUGUGUGUGAGUUGGGGGCCUCACUCCUCAUUUCUUUCCUUCUUUUCACCCCCACCCCCACUUUUUUUUUUUUUUUUUCGAAUUUUUCUUUGUCCUUUUCUCUCACUUGCGCACGCGGGAGAAGGACCACAAACUAGACAAUUCCUCUGCUCACGUGACCCCGAGUUUUUAAAUAUUUGCCUAUUUGGAAAAUAGUCAUGAAUCAUGAUCGUUAACAAACAAUCUUCACUUUAUUUAUUUAAGAUCUAUUUUUUGGAGCUCUAGUUUAGUUUAUUAUUAUUAUUAUUAUUAUUAUUAUUAUUAUUAUUAUUAUUUAGUAACUCCUCUUAUAUUAAUGAAAAAGAGAGGAGGAAUCCAAACUUGUUUAUUCUUCCUCUUUUAAGGUGUUUGUUUUUUUUAUUUUAUUUUUAUGCUUCAUAUGUCUUCAAUUUCUUAGCAUUUGUCUUAUAUUUCUUCUUAUCCGAUUCAUUAUUGCAUCCUUGGUCAAUCUUUCACGAGGAGUGCCUACUUUUUUCCUUUUUAUUAUUUAAUUCACUUUAUCUUUAUAUUUUCCUUUUACACUUUAUUUCCAAUUCAAAACGUGUCAAAAAAAAAAAUUGGUAACAAAAAAAAAAAAAAAAAUCAAUUGUAAUGAUUCUUAUAUAAUUUUAUUUAAUUUUUAUUAAACAAUAAAGAAAUUAAAAAUAUAUAAAUUUUUAAAUAAUUAUUAUAGUCUUUCAUUUUUGUGUAUAAUUUCUUUUGCAAGAAAUAGUGUAGGCUUUCCACGGUCUAAAGGAAAUGGAAUAUCAAAUGAGAAGGUAAUAAUAAUAAAGUGAGUUAUAGAUACUAAUCAAACUAAUCCACUAAUGAAUUAUUUAUUUUUAUUUCACAUGGACAAAUCCUAAAAGUUGGAGUUCUAAUUUACUUUUAUGUUAAGCUUUUUUAAGUAAAAAUCUUUUAUUAUUAUAAUUUAUAGACAAAAAGAAACCCAUUAAUGUGAUGGAUAAAAAAUUUCAAUUUAAAAAAAAAAAAAUUAAAGUUGCUAAAUUUUUGUAUUUAUUAUUUCAAACUCAUUUAAAUAAUUUAAAAAUAUGUCUUCAAUUAAUUUUAAUGAAACAAAGCAUGAUUUUUUUUUAAUUUUUUUUUCUUUACCAAAUAAAGCAUUAUUAUAAUACGUUGAUUAAAUUUUCAUCAUGUCUCUCAAGAUUUGGAUUAAAUAUACUUAGUUGUCAUAAAUUUGAAAUUUUAUUUAAUGUAUUUUUUAUUUUAAAUUAAAAAGAUGAAUGCAAAUAAAAAAAAUAUGUAUAUUUUAUAAAAUUUUAAAUUAAACGAAGGAUACGUGUAUUUAACCAAGGUGAAUGAAAUUAAUCCAAAUACUUUUUGGUAACUUGCAAAAUAUCUUGACGAAAUCAUUAUGGCAGGCAUCGUACAAGCUCAACCCUUGUCGCCUUGCUAGAAAUAGAGAAACAAAAAGACCCCCAAAUUGGGUUGCAUCCUAAAUAUGAAGAAGUGGUAACAAAGGAAGAAAAAAUGCUGUGUUAUUGAAUAGUUAAUACAUUGAACAUGAUAUGUUACAUAGAGAGCCAGAUUAAUCCUAGUGGAAUUCCACUGUCACGAUGGUAACCUAGGGUUAUGUUUGGUUAUUGAAAAUACCAAGAAAAGAAAAAAAAAUAUAAAGGAAAAUAAUUUUUUCAUUUUUGAUUGUCUUAUAAAAGAUAUAAAAAAAAAACAAAUAUAAUUAAAACUAAUUAAAAAUUUAGGUAUUUUUAAAUUAUUUAAUUUUUAUAUUAAUGAGCGAAAAUAAAUAAAAUAAGUUUAAAAUAACAAAAAAAAUAAUUUACCGAUUUUUAAUCUAUAUUUUAUUUUACUUUUUCUUUGUAUUUUUUUUUUCUUAUAUUUUCCCUCAAAUUUUCUGAAUCAAACAUAGCAAAAAAGGAGCUACCCCUUUCGAAAGAAACUCCCAAGAAUUUCAAAGAAACCUGCUGAGAUAAUGAAUGAGGGAUCACUGUCGGUAAACAGUAUCCAUUCUUUUGGGAGGACUUUCAAACUGAGAAGUUGUUUUCAUGACUUGGAAACAAAAUUUUGAGCUCUAAGGGGGUCUGUAUUUGGGCCCUAAAAUUCAAUCCAUCAAUCUGAAAAAUGCUUAGGAUAAUGAUUUGAUUUAGCCACAAUCACUAAACAAAUUCCAGAGGAAAAUUUCGCUACUCAUAGGUGGCUGAUUCUCAUAAAAAGACAUCGUGGUAGGGUGUCUCAAGUGCAGGCUCACCAUCAACUUGCUGCCCUUUUUAGAUUAUUGUAAAAUGAUUUCACAUGAAGCCCAAUGCAAAACUUUGAAAGAAAAGGUUGGUGGAGACGUGAAGAAUAUGUAACCCAUAGGCCAUAACUAGUACCGAAGAUUAUUGAACAAACAUUCAAGGUUUUUGUAUAGACGAAACUGAAAAGAAUGUGUACCAGACUCAGGCGUUCAGAUCAGAUGAUGCCGUAAUGUGGAUUGUGGAGGAGCAUUGUGCAGACAGAUAAUGAGAUUCUGAAAGCGAGGCCACUGAUGGGCCCUUGGAAGGGGGGCGUGCCUUCAAAAUUAUAUAUAUAUAUAUAUAUAUGUCAUUGAAAAUUGGAAGCAACUUUUCUUCUUAAGUUAUUUUAAUCGAAGAAGAAACAAAAAGUUAAAAACAUACAUUAUUCUUCCUUCUUACGAGGUUUCCGGGUCUAAAUUACUAUGGUCUCUGCAACUGGCGUCGUUUUCUCUCCCCUCUCUCUAUUUUCCCUUUAUUUUUUCACUUUUAGAAAGAAGCAUCCCAUCAAGAAUCUACUACAACCCUACGCUUCCAUUUUGAUUUAGAAAGUUAAAAAUAAGUUUAAGUUAAAAAAAAAUAUUUUCUUAUAUAAUUAUUUAAACUUAUUUCUUUUCCUUUUUAUAUAAAGAAACAAAUAUUUUGCAAAUAAAUAAAUUUCUAAUUAUUUUCAUUAACAUAAUAAUAAUAUUUUUCAUAUGACUUUAAUCACAAUUUUUUUUACCACUUGUCCAAGGCGGUGAGAGGUGAUAAAAUGUAUUAAAAAAACGAUUAAAUUGCAUUAGGUAUAGAAGUUUUGUGCUUCAAUUAUCACUUAUAAAAAUAAAAUAAAAAUAGUCAAAUUUGAGUGUGCAAGUUGGUAUUCGUAUGUAGAAGGAAUUGGGGGAUUUGGGGGUCCUAACAAAUUUGAUAUGAUUGAUGGAAGGAAAUGAUUAUUAUAGGAUAAAGUCCGAAUGAAACGCUGACGAGGGGGGAAAAACAACAGUGGCAAUGCACUAUCCACAGAUCCAUGAUUGAUUUAUGUUAGCAAUAAUGAAUUAUUUUGACUUUGAUAACCUUGGUUAAGAGAAUUUGGUCUUGUUAUUAUCAUUUUUUCAAAAAAAAAAAGUGUAGGUAACUAGGUAGUUGAUUUAUUAGAAUUUAGAAAUGAGGAUCCCCUCCUCCUGCAAGAGCCGUGACAGACAUGCCUGCUUUCUUGCCAGAUUAUACCAAUGUGCCCAAAUAAUCCCCCAUCUAUCAUCUCUGCACCCUGGAACACGUCACUCCCUCCUUUGAGCAAUAAAAUAUCUCUUUUAUUUUCUUUUGAACCACUCUUCUAUUUCUUUGUACCAGACUGGACCCAUUUAAAUUCUUCGCUACGCUGUUCCCAAGGACUACGAGAAUCAAAAUAGCAAAAUUCUUGAAUCAUUUUAAUGGGUUCAGAAACCACAUGUUUCUCUAGAUCAUAAGAGGAAAAUCUUUUUGGAUGGUGUUUGUGUUGUGUUGUGUUCAAUAUUAAAUACUCAAUUAAAUAAGCUAAAUCAAAUAUCACAUGAAAAAUAAUCAAAUUAAAAAUAGGGAGAAUUAUGUUUUGAGGGUAGAUGGACCCCAAAUUAACAAAAGGUUCAUGUAACUCUUCAAAUUGAGCCCAGACCCAAUGAAAAUAUGGAAAUUGAGUUGAAGUAUAUCAUCAUUCAGUAUUUCCAAAAAUGUCCUUUGUUGAUUUUGAGAAAAAAAUUAAUAUUUUUGAAAAAUAUUUUUAUGUAAUUUAAUAUUUUUUUAAAUACUUUUAUUUAAUUUAAUAUUUUUAAAAAAUAAAUUUAUUUAAUUUAAUAUUUUAAAAAAUAUUUAAUUUAAUAUAUUUUUUAAAUACUUUAAUUUAAUUUAAUAUUUUUGAAAAAAAUUUUAAUUUAAUAUUUUUGAAAAAAAAAUUAUUUAAUUUAAUAUUUUUUAAAACUAUUUUUAUUUAAUUUAGUAUUUUUGAAAAAAAAUUAUUUAACUUAAUUUUAUAAAAUAUUUUAUAUGUGUUCUUAAAGGGUAUAUUUGUCCGUUACUAUUUCAUAUCCUUCAACUCAAUUUAAAGAGUUAUAUGGACCUUUUGUUAAUUUGGGGACCCAUCUACCCUCAAAAGAUAAUUCUCCCUUAAAAAUAUAAAUUUAAAUAUGACAUAAUUAUUAAAUAUGUUAGAUCUUGUAUGAGUUUAUAAGAUUUAUGUUUCAAAAUAACAUGUUUAUAAUUCAUCUAUUGAUUUAUAAUCAAAUUUUAAAUAAAUUAAAGUUAUUCAAGUUAAUAAAUAUGAUUUAUGUUAUAAAGACUAACUAAAAAAUAAUUUAUUAAUUAAACGGAUCCUGGUCAAUAAAAAUUUGAUUUAAAUACGAUCAUACUUAAUCAAAACUUAGGUCAAAUUGUAUUGAUAAAUUACAUCAAAACCUUGUUGUGUUCAAUAUUUUAUAUUAAACUAUUUUUUAAUAAAAUUAUUUUUAUAAAUAUAAUAUUACAUCAUUUGGAGAAACAAAAUAGUAUUAUAUUGAUUUUACAUAUAAAGCAACCAGUUAACCCCUCAUUAUUUUGAUCCAUUUCACAUCCAUAUCAUUCUCAUAAUUUUUUUAUAAUAUAUUAACAUGAUGGACGGUAAUUGAGGGUAGAAAAAAAAGAUGAGAAGAAUAAAAUAAUGUGAAUCCUCUCUAAAUGUUACAUCUUCUGACAAAUGAAGUCUAUAGAAAUGUGUAAAAAAAAAAAAAACACUUAAUUGUGAGGUUCACUUGAUUUAGCAAAAAAUUAAUAUUUUAUUUGUUGUGUGAUUUAAAAAUAAUAUUUUAUUUUUAAAAAUAAAAAAUUAUUUUUAAAGUUUUUUAACACUAUUUUACUAUUGUUCUUUGAAAUAAUUUUUAAAAUUAAAAUGAAAUAACUAAUAAUUUUUAGAUAAUAAAUUAAAGUUGUUUUUAUUAGAUUUUAAAAAUAAAAGAAAAAUAUAAAACCAUUUGAUCAAAUUUUUUUAAACUUAUUUUUAAAAGGUUUUUUUUUUUUUUUUUUUUUUUCUAUCCUAAGUUAAAAGAUAAAAAAUAAUUUUUAAAGAUAGGUUACGAGCAAAUGCCACAAACUUUUUUCUUCUCUUUCCCUUGUUCGGAUAGAAGUGAAAAAUAUCCUCCCAUGGAUCGACAUUACGUGAGCCAUCACCAUUCCCCAACUGCAAUUCAACCGCCAAAGCUGAGGUGUCAUUAUUAGUUUGAACAAAAGUCAGCAUUGUCCACGUGGUGACAAGCGGAACUGACCCAACUUGCAAGGCAAAAAAAUAAAUAAAAUAAAAUGAAAAAAUCAGAUCACCAUUAUGACGUCAGUCCAAUUGCUGACCUGGCCGCCGUCCCCCAUUUGACCCACGUGUUCAUUUAACCCAUUCGCCGUAUGCCGUGGCUCCCCACCCAUAUGGCCAUAUCUGCCAUUUAUUUUAUCCGUUGCCUCCAUUCGGUUUUUGGAUUUUACCCAUUCGCCCUCGUCUAUUCCCAUUUCCGUAUUUGCCCACCAAGGAAAUUCAAUUCCCAUGCUUUUGUUUUACAUUCAAAUCCUCCCCCCUCUAUAUAAAGGAGGGAGUAGGGCUUGAAAGUUUCUCAAGCCAACAUGGACUGUUGAGAGUGAAAGACAGAGGAGCCACAAACAAAUAUCACUCACUCAAACCAAAGCCAAAACCAAUACCGAAUUCAAUUCAAAUGACUUCUUUCUCUCUCAUCAAUUCCCUGAAUUCCGAUUCCGAUUUCAAUUUGUUAUCGGAUUCUUUUUCCUGGGAAAACUCCCUACCUUUCAAUGAAAACGACUCCCAGGAGAUGCUCCUCCUGGGCAUGCUGGCCAGCUCCACUCAGGAAACCUCAGAAACAGUUUCUUUGAAUCGAGUGAAGGAGGAAGAAGUGACUUCCCAGGAAAAUCCCGAGAAGGAGAAGUCAUACAGAGGCGUUAGGAGGCGGCCAUGGGGGAAAUUCGCAGCAGAAAUAAGGGACUCGACCAGGCAUGGCAUAAGGGUGUGGCUGGGAACAUUUGACAGUGCAGAGGCAGCUGCUCUGGCCUAUGAUCAAGCUGCUUUUGCGAUGCGGGGCCCUGCGGCAGUCCUCAAUUUCCCGGUGGAAAGAGUGAAGGAAUCGAUGCAGGAGAUCAAGUGCAUCUUGGAGGAGGGGGGCUCACCAGUGGUGGCCCUCAAGAAGAGGCACUCUAUGCGGAGAAAAAGUCCUUGCAAGAAACAUAAAAGUGAAGAGGUGAGGUUAGAAAAUGUGGUAGUGCUGGAGGAUUUGGGUACUGAAUACUUGGAACAGCUCCUCACUUUCUCUGAGACCUCUAGUCCUUGAUCAUCAUCAUCCAUCACCUGGAUAGCUUCUUCUCUUUGCUCUGUUUCUUACUUUUCUCUCUCUCUCUCUCUCUCUCUCUCUUUUUUUUUUAUGUAAUUUUUCUUAAUGUAUUUUUGGAGAUGGCGGGGGUGUAGUGGUGGCAAUUAUCCAUCUAGAAUUUUUCAAAAGAUAUGUUCUUUUGUUUCUUUGUAUAAAGUUGAAAAGUGGGGAUCAAUUGUGAUGGUGCUCUAUGUUCAUCCACCCAAUUUAUAUAAUCAAGGUGAUUAAUGUUUUUUGAUAUCAACAAUUUGUGAAUGACAUAGAGAGAGAGAGAGAGAGAGACCUUAUUUUCUACACUCAUUACGGUGGUUUCCAUUUGGGGAAGGAAAAGGAAAUGGCUAAGAAUGUUACCAAAAGAAGUGGGGUGGCUUUCAUAUGCGUGGUGGCAUACUUGCAUACAAACUUUUCAAUUGUGUUCUGCAUGCCACUCGGGUCAAUUUCAUUUCUUUUACUCCUAGUAGCCUAAUUGGAUUUCCUUUUUCUCAUGAGACAUCAAAUAAAUUUCAUUUUUUUAUAUUUAAAUAGUUAGGUAAGUUUGAUAGUGAGUUAUAUUUUAUACAUUAAUUCAUCUUUUAGAAUGUUGUCUACAAUAUAAACAGUGUAAUUAAUUUCAUCAUUACAGAACAGUCAUCUUAUAAAAUAACAUAAAAAUUAUUGGAUCACUUGUAUGGCACCACUGAUUUGGACUUGGUAUGGCUCUGUUUGGCUUCAUAGAAAAAAUUUGGACCCAAUUUGAAUGUCUUGCAUAAAAAGAGAUACGUCCCACUUUGAAUGAUAUUGAAGAAAAAAAUUUCUGAUGAAGAAUAUAUUGUUGGCAGGGUCAUGCAGGCCAAUAGGGAAACGAUAAAUUCAGAAGAAUGAGUCCAAACCAGUGGGCUUGAAAAUUAAGAAGAGAAUUGCUGUAUAAAACAAUCAUUUCUUAAUCGAGUUCACUUUCUGAAUAAUCGUCACUUUGAGAAUGCAUACUUAGGAAGAUGAUGAUCCUUAAUGGGAAUAAUCAAAGGCAUCAAAAAAUUGUUCUGGAACAAUUCUUGAUUGUCUCCAGUAAAAUUCAAAGUCAAAAGUCAAAAGUCCAGUCGGUCAACACCAAACCAGGCCAGUCCAAAAGACAUUAAUUUGCAAUCUAGAAUCUAUGAUGAGGUGGCGAAAUCAAACCUUGGCUUUUCACCAGGGAAUGGUACUCUGAAUUUGGUCAGUUCACUGUUUCGAGUGAAUAGGGUGUAGUAAUUAGUAAAUCAUAUUUUAGAUUUGUGUCACAAGUUACAAGGGAUAUGGGCUGACGUUCAAUUUUGGCGACAAUUUGUGGGCCCGUAUAUUUGUUGAGAUGUGGAAAUUGGGUGUGUGCUUUUUUCUGCUACCACAUAAAUAUAUUUCUUUGAAUUGAAGAGUGUUUCAGACCAUUUUUUUUCAAGUCACAAAUGGACAACUGAUUGAGAUUGUAUUGGUGAGAGUAGGAGUUUAUUUUGGGCUGGUUGAGCGAAGUUGAAAGUCGAGUUGGACCUAACCCUUGAAUUCAGCAGACUACAGUCCGAUCCUGUAUUUUGGAUUUAGGGAACCUUCUUUCCCAGAAGCUUCGUCUGGGUUUUAAAGUCUAAAUGUGGCUACUCUUAAACAUUGGAGAAAGGAUGAGCGUUCACAAGCAAAUGGGUAAUUGUGGAUGGUUCAAGGACCUGGCCAGCUGGUCUUCAAGUUUGGAUGCCGGUUUGGGCCUGAGAGAGUCUUUGCAAAGUGACUUCACUUCAGCCUAUGAGAUCAAGAUAUCAUGGUGAUGUCCGAUCACUUAGGUUUCAUUUUCACCUCGGAUUACCGUUACCAUGUUCAUGAAUAAAAAUAAAUAAAUAAAUGAAGCCUUAUAGAGAAAUUAAUGAAGUGAGCUAUACAAGCAACUGGGCCAGGAGCCUACAAGGCAGAAAUUCCCUGCCCUAGACUAGGCCGAAUAAAUUAGAUGAAUGAAUUGGGGAAACCUGGGCCAGCCACACAUCCUCCUGAAGGCUGAUGUCGAACUCGCUUACGAGGAAUGGACAUGGGAGAUUGGGCUGGGACCAAAUAACCAAUUGACAGCCCUAUCCUUGUGGCAAGACGUCAGUAAAAUGGUUCAUUCUGAUUUUACGCUGCCAUUCAAUUUAAUUUUAAUUUUUGUUUAAAGCGAUGUACAAAUUGAAUGGUGUCUAGUCACUUAAAGAGUGGUUCAUAAUACACUUAAUUUAAACAAAAAAGAAAUUAUUAGAUAGGGGAUUCUCCAAUAAAAACCACCCCAUCUUGUCAGCAAGUCCGGAAACUUCCUUCACUUAGGGCGUAUUUGUUUUUUUAACUUUAAUAUUAAAGAAAGUUGGUUAAACCUUAUGACACUUUUAUAUUAUUUUAUGAAUUUUUUUUAAUUUUUAUUUUAAUGGAAUUUUAACUUUAAUACAAGUUGGAGUAAUUCUUAUCUUAAAAACAAAUCAAAAUUACUUUAAUUUUAUAUAGAAAUAAACUUACAGUAAAUUUACCAUGAAAAUUUCUAAGUCAAAUACACCAUAAGUGCUAGUAUUUUAUAAUAUUUAGAAACAUGUUAAAUUAUUAUUAUUAUUUUUUAAAAUUAUUAGUUUUCAUAUUAGUUUUAGGGAAACUUGUGCUUUAGGUCUUUUAUUUGCAAAUAAUAUGGUUUUCAAAUCCUAAGAAUAGAAAAUAUGAGAAUCAACUGUUAAUGUGGAAAAUAAUAUCAAUUUUGUGCAAUCUCUAUUGACUCAUUUUUUUGUGCCUAGAUUGCCUUCACCCACUUCCAUGUCAACAACCACAUUAAUAGAUUGUUUUUUUUUUAUAAAACAAAUAAUUAUUAUGUUUAAAAUUUUGGGGAAACUCUCUAUCUCUCUUACUUCUUCACUACAUCCGAGACCCAUCUUCCUUAAACGUUUGCCUCUCAUUUUGCCCUAACCCCAAAUCUCAUAAAUUUCUCAUUUUCUUGCCUCAUUUGAAAUAUGAAGAUGACCGAUUCUCAAACAUCUCUGUCUCUCUCUUCACGUUUUGACCAGUCUAAUUGGAAACCCAUUUUCCAAAAACCUUCUUUCUUUCAUUUUGCCCUAACCCCACUAUCUCCCUCUUCAAGACCUAAUCACCCAAACUCGAUAUCUAUCUUCCCAAAACCUUCAAGCAAACUGAACUAGACCCAUAUCUUCUUUUUUCAUCAUCAAAGGUGAAAUUUUUUUAAGGCUUUUGGAAACCGAAUUGGAGCUUUCCCUUCUUCUGGGAUUAAUCAUUCGCAAGUGAGUUUUCCAUUUAAGGCUUUGUUUGGCUGUUGAAAUCUUGGGAUCAAAGGUCUUUUAUUUUCAGGUUUCUUGUAUUUUGCUUUAUUUUCUUGUAUAUAACAAUAAUCAUUGUAACAUAUGCUAGUAGUUACCCUUGGUGCAACUUUACAUUUCCAAAUACCCUAAAGUCCAAAGCUUUUAAUUCCCUUUUCAAAGCUUUCAACUUUGAAAGCAGACUAAACCAUAAGAACUAUGAAACUUAUAUCUCUAUCACCACUAAUUAAGCAUGUCUAUGAAUCCUUCCACUUUAAGUCACUUAUUCUCAAACCAAGAAGGGCUCCUCUCAUUCUCACCCCACCUCAUCUAAAUGAGGGAAAUGAUCAAUUGCAGCCAUGCUUUGCACCAAAUUAGAGAAGUGAUCCUCCCAAUCAUCCAUUACCAAAAAUUGAUCAUGCUGAUGAGAUCAUAAGAGUCUAUUCGGAACUCCCAGUUUACUUGCCUCUUAUCUCAGGAUCCUCCAUUACCCCCUGUCUUUCCAACAUCAAAUCAACUUGCAAACAAUUCCUUUGUAGAUAAAAUGUUUUUAAUAUUGCAAAAGGGGACUUAUCAUAAUGGUUGAAUCGAUUUAUUUGAUAUAAUCACUCAAAUUCAAGCUUAAAAUUGAUCAUAAUAAAAUGUUUUUAAUAUUGUUAAAAGGAGAUUAUAAUGGUUUUAUUUGAUAUCAUUACUAAAAUUCAAGCUUUCAAACAUGCUCUACAAAGAAGUUCUAAAAGACUACAAGAAAGAGUUUCCACUAAAGAAAAACAAUGAAACCAUUUCUACUAAAGACAAACAAUGAAACCACAGAUGCUUUGUGAAAUAUGUACCCGCACAAUCCAACAAACUUUAGAAAUUCACAAACACUACCUAGAAUUUUUGCUGACCAGCAAAAAAUUUAUGCAAUUUAAUUCUUAUUGUUAUUAUUAUUUUCAAUGUGAACAAAUAUGAUUGAAUUAUGAAGUAUUUGGCCAGAAGAGGAUCUUGCCUAAUUAUAGUCAUUAAACAACCAUUUAUACCAUAGCCUCUAGACUUUAAAAAGUUUAUAAAACUCAAGGGCUUCCACCCAAUUUCUAGAUAUCUCCAUAACAUUCUUCUGACUAUUAGAAAGCAAUUACCACUUUAAUUUUUCAUUUCAUGAGUGUUCAAUUCAGAAAAAGACCAGGAUCGAACUUGCGAUCAUGCAGUCGAAAAUCCACCUGUGCAUGAAACUAUUGCCUCACGAUUGCAAACUCAAGUUGGAGUCCAGUAACAACUCUAGGUUUGCUGAUGUGCUCCAUUUGAAAUAAAGGAACUAAAGAAUACUUUAUAAAGAUUAAUUACCUUCAUAUUUUAGGUUGGGGUUAAGGCAAAAUGUGAUAGAUUGAGAGGAAGAAAAUAUAUCUUGUUCAGGAAGCCAAUAUUUUGGAGUUCACCUUUCCAUUCGAGUCCACUCUGCUAUAGCAAAAUCAGAGUCACAACUAUGCCUCUUUAAGCUAUCCUUUAAUUGGAUGAAUUGCAGAUUUGGUUGCUGAGAAAGUGGAUAAGAAAGAAAAAUGCAUACUGUAGCUUGAGAUUAAGAGUUUGUUUUCUAAAAUGAGAGAAAGGGAAAGAGAAAAAAUGCAUAUUGUAGCUUGAGAUUAAGGGUUUGUUUUCUAAAAUGAGAGAAAGGGGAAGAGAAAUGUUCGACAACUUUGAGAUGACAAAUUUUUAGAUUUGGAAAAUUUGAGAUGAGUCUCAGGUUUUUUUUUUUUUUUUUUUGUCUUUGUCUUUGUUUUUUUUUUUUUUUUUUGUUUUUUUCCCAAAAACAACCUGUUAAUGUGGUUGUUGACAUAGAAGUGGGUGAGGGCAAAAUGGGCAUAGAAAAAAGAGUCAACACAAAGUGCACAAAACCCAUAUUAUUUUCCACAUUAAUGACUGAUUCUCAUAUUUCUUGUUCUUGGGAUUUGAAAACCAUAUUAUUUGCAAAUGGACCUCCCAAAGCACAGGUUUCCCUUAGUUUUAUGUCUCCAUCUACAUUUUACAUAUAAAUAGAUUAUUUUAUAAAAUUUGUUUUGUAGAUAUAUUAGUUAAUAAUUAUAUAAUUAAUGAUAUAGAAAACAUAUAAAAAUCAUAUUUAAAAAAGAUAAUUACAUAUUCCUCAACAAUCCAUCCCAAGAAUUCGAGGUUGAGUUGAAAACAUGUAGAGUCUUUGAUGUUAUUAUAAUCAUAUCCAACACAUAUGAUUAUUGUUUAUGAGAUAUUAUUAGAAAGUUUGUCUUAAAAUAAUUGAUUUAUUACCCACCUUUAGCAAAUGCCCAUUUUUGCGUCUUUCAAAAUUUUCAUUUUUUUUUUGUUUAAAAGAAGUAUUGUAAAGAAUGAUGAAAUAAGAAAUUUGUUGAGAAAGUGUGAGUAAAUAAUUUUACAUAAAAAGAGAUUUAAUACUUGAUAAAUAAAAUAAUAAAAUCAUGAUUUCUAGUUGUAUAGGGCCGGGUGGAUGGAGUGGCUAAGAUGUAAUUCUUGAAAUAGAGGAGACAACAUCAAUGUAUAAAAGUUUAACAGAGAAGGAAAGUGUGUUUGAAUGACUUUAUUUUCUUCAUUUAAAGUUUUGACGAUGAGUGUUUAUACAAGAUAAAUUUUCAAAUGAUAGGACUCCUAUUUACAUGGAGUUUGUGAUAUACUAUGAUUAUACAAAUUUAAAAUUCAAACAGAUUCAUGAGUUGAUAGGAGUCUGCUCAAUACGCCCCUUCAAAAUGGUGGGAGAUAGCACACCAAUCUUGACUCGAAGGGCCUAAACUCGUGCAGAAGAUGAGGGCUUUGUUAGAGCAUCGACAAGUUGAUCCGUGGUUGACAUAUGGGACACCUUGAGCUCACCUGAUUAAACCUUGUUUCAAACAAAAUGAAAAUCAAUCGCCGAUGUGUUUCAUGGAGAGUGAAACAUGGGAUUUGCACAAAGAUAUGUUGCACCCACGUUAUCACAAGAGAUAGGAGGUGGUGAUAAAUUUGAAACACUAAGUUUUGAGAGAAGAGAAUUAACCCAAAGAACCUUUGAGGCUGUAGAGGCCACGACGUGAUAUUUCGCUUCAGUGGAAGAGCGUGCUAUGAACUUUUGUUUCCUCGAUGACCAAUACACAAGAUUGUGACCAAGAAAAACAAUGGGAGCAUUGGUGGAGGAUCUGACAUAAGGAUUCCUUGCCCAUUCAACAUUCGAAUAUGCAUGUAGAUUGAUGGGCGAUUUCUUAUGCAAGAACAGACCAUGCACCAUUGUGCCGACUAAGUAUCUAAGCAAUCUUUUAACACAAGACCAAUGUGUUGAUGUUGGAUGGUGCAUAAAUUGAGAUAAUUUAUUCAUCAAGAAGGUGAUGUCAGGGCUAGUAAGAGAGAAGUAUUGAAGGCUUCCAACAAUUGACAUAUAUUUAGUGGGACCAGGAAAAGAGGUGUCAUCACACAGAUUUGGAACAUUGUUGAGGAACAUCAAUGAUUGAACUGGUUUGGUAGCCACCAUUUGUGUUUUCUUAAGAAGCUCUCGAAUGUACUUGAGAUAAAAAUAAUCCUUUGGAAGUAUGUAUCAUUUCAACACCAAGAAUAAAAGAUGAAGUCCUGAGAUCCUUAAUGGAGAAUUUGACUGCUAAUUGAGAGAUCACGCGAGCACGAAAAACAUUAUUGUUACUUGUUAAAAUAAGAUCAUCAAUAUAAAUAAGUAGGUAAACAAUGAGACCACUCUUUUUAAAAAUGAAGAGGGAUGUCUCGGUUUAGGAGUUGACGAAGGCUAUUGAGAGGAGAAAUUGGCAAAGUUCAUGAUACCAUGAUCGUGGAGCUUGUUUAAAGCCAUAAAAAGCCUUACAAAGUUGGCAAAUGUGAUGAUGUGUGUAUUCGUGAACCCAGGAGGUUGAAUCAUGUAAACAUCUUCAUGAAGUGUCCUAUGCUAGAAUGCAUUAUUAAUGUCCAAUUCAUGAGUUGAUAGGAGUCUGCUCAAUACAAUGUGGGAGUGUGAUUUCAAAAUUAGGGUAAUUUCGAAAUGGAUUUUGUAUUCACAAGUUGAAUUUCAAAAUUAUUUUGAAAUGGUCUUUUAACUUUAAGCAGUUGUGUUCAAAAGGUCAUAACUUCUUCGUUUCAAUUUUGAUUUACACAUUGUUUAAAACAUUGGACUCUUUACUUCCCGAGCUUCAAAACGAUAUAUAGUAUGCUCAAAAAUGACAUCAGGAUUGGUUCAAAUUUCAUCUUGAUAUUAGAGUACAUGUUGUGAUUAGAUUUUGAGUUCCAAAUUUCCAUGUAAACUUGAUUGCAUUUGCUUCAAACCUCCUUCAUUAUGGUUGCUUGCCCUCUAUCUCACUUUGCAACAUUUGUUACUAGUAUUUUAUGUCCAUGACUUACUCAUUUCAACCUUUCUUGGAUUCUUCAUGGUUCACAAAUUAUGGAUUCUUCAUGGUUCACAAAUUGAGUCUUUCAAUUAUGCAUGUUUAACUCCUAUUUCCUUGGUUGAUAAUGACUUUUACACUUAUCAUUUUCUUUUAUUCUUUAAACCUGAAUUUAGACUUACAAAAAAAAGUUAGAUCCAUAACUAGGGUCUUAGCAUCAAUUUGAGUUAAGUUGGAUGAUUUGAAAAUUUUAUAUUACAUAAAUCAUAUCAUACAUGUGCCAUUGGAGUGCACAUUUUGGCUCUAAUCAUGUUCCAACCCAUUGUUUUACUCUUGCAUGAAGUAUGUGGCCAUUGAUUUUAAUUUUAUUUGCGAUUAGGUUCAAAAUGGUGCUUUUGUGUUGCUCAUGUGUCAUCAGAAGAUCAACUAAUGGAUUCUCUAACAAAACUACUACAUCAUAGUCAUUUUUUUUUUUCUUAAGACCAAGAUUGAGAUCUCCAAUCGGAGCCAACUCCAUCUUGGGGGCAUGUUAGUGAAAGAUAAAAUUUAUCUUUAAUUUAAAUAUUAAUAUUUAUCAGUUAUUAGUUUUAAUUAGAGUAAAAGAUAGAGUUUAAAUUGGAGUAGGAGAUAAACUUGUGUUUGAACUAGAAUAGAAGAUAAAGUAUAAAGAUUUAUGUUUGAAUUAGAAUAAAAUAUAAAGUUUGAAUUAGAGUAGAAGAUAAACUUGUUCUUUAUUUGUAUAUAAAUAUUCAUCAAUUCUUGAGAAGAAGAUUAUUUCAUAGUUUUUCUAUCUUCUUUUUUCUUCAUACAUAUCUGCAAGAAAUUGAAGAUUUCAAGUAAAAUAUUUUCUGUUUUAAAUAGUGAAAAAAGCUAGAAAUUCACUUUGUUAUCUCUUGGGGUAAAUUGACAAGGUUUAACGUUAAGAAGGUGAAUUAUUUUUUCAGAAAAACUGAAGUAGCUAGGAUAUCUGGCCAGUUGUGAUCGAUAAAAAAGUUGUAAAAUCUCUCAUAUACUAAACAGGUUUUGGAUGUUGGUAUGGUAAAUCCAUCUGCAGUCAUUCGUCAUCUCAUCUAGUGAGAUGUUUGGGAGGUGGUGACCGCCGGAUUGGGUUUCAUUUGGUUAAAUCUGUCAGUGGGUUGGCUACUACCCGAGCCUCUUGCUUUGGGGGAGGUGGGUUCUAGAUAUAAUGUUCAAACCAUUUUAGUUAUCAUAUGCAUGACAUGUAAGCAUAAUCUCUUUAUCACUUCUUCAAUGGGAGUUCAUGGUUAGGAAUUGACUUCUUUUCUUCUGGGAUGCUUGGCAUGUAAUGGACAAAGUUACUUUUAUAUCGAUCGAAUUUCUAGUAUUAUAGUGAAGACUUACCCUUUUGACAUUUUAUAUCGAAUUAUAGAAGAUGAAAGGGACAUACAUGCAAUCGACUGACGCUUUAGUGAAUAUGCUGAAAAUAUGCUGAUGCUGUGGAGAUCGUAUGAGGACAGAGGAAAAAGAUAGAAAUGGAUAUAUAAUUAGACCUAGGUUUUUAUUAAAUGAGAUGGGGAACAUAGAGUGAGGGAAAAUCAAAAUUUUUGGCUGCAGUUCACAUUGGUGAUAUUUUGGAUUGACAAAGACUAACGACUUUUCUAUUUUUCUUUUCGGCCUGACUGGAUAGUUGGACAUGGACAAUACAGAAUCCACAGAAGGAUUGUUGGGACCGCUGAAAAUUAGCUAGAAGAAGCUGAGGAAGUAGUCUACGUAGUCAAAUACCAAACACAAAGAAAGAAAGAAAUGGAUAUCAUGGAUGCCUAGAGUUAUACUCCUAAUACCGUCACAGGUAUUUUUCUUUCCUCCUUUUUUUUUCUACGAUAAUUAGAGCAUUUCUCCUCCUCCUCCUCCUCCUCCCCCCACCCCACCACCAAAAAAUAAAAAAAUAAAUUAUUGCAAGUAACACUUCAAAUAUUAAUUUAUACAUUCUAAAGUAUAUAUUCAUGAAAUAACUUGAGUAUCAUACAUUAGUUCUCAAAAAAAAAAAAAAAAAAAAAAAAAAAUUACUGGAAGAGAAAAGUUUAAGAAAACAUAAAAAUAUUCAACUACUAUUUUAAAGAGAAAAUUUAAUUUUUACACUAUAAAUUUGAAGAGAACUUUUACAUGCAUCUUAUAUAAACUACCAUUUUUUGCUAAAAGGCUUAAAUUUGUCAAAAAUACCCCUUAGGUGCUUAACGUUCUGGUCAUAAUAUAAUUGGCAUCUUUUCUCAAACAUAAGGCCUGUGUGUGGGAACAAGAUUUAAUGUUAAUGAGCUUCGCCACCGACAUUUAGUUCCAGAAAUCAUUAUUUUAAUAGAGUGGGCUCAAUUUACAACUUUAAUUAAACUCUAACCAACUGCAUUGUGAAAUGAAUAUGUUUCUUUCGUGGUGAAUCCAAUGAGUUGGGAGUCAAACUUUGCUUCAUUGUGUAUAGAUGAAAUGUUAAGACUCCAUGUAACCUCAAACAUUUCCGCAAUNNNNNNNNNNNNNNNNNNNNNNNNNNNNNNNNNNNNNNNNNNNNNNNNNNNNNNNNNNNNNNNNNNNNNNNNNNNNNNNNNNNNNNNNNNNNNNNNNNNNUUCUUUCGUGGUGAAUCCAAUGAGUUGGAGUCAAACUUGCUUCAUUGUGUAUAGAUGAAAUGUUAAGACUCCAUGUAACUCAAACAUUUCCGCAAUGAGCGGGAGUUCUAAAUUUAAUAAUUGAAAUUGUCAGUGGAACCAGUGGACAAGAGUUGGUUUGUGGUUGACAAACUUAUCCGUUUGAUCUUUACUUGAACAGUUCCAGUGUGUGGAUGGGUACUGAUGAAGUGUGCGCAUUUAUUUUGAGAAGCCUGCUUGUUCGCAUAGAUUUUAACGACAUGAACAUUGUGGUAAGGUUAGAGAGUAAUGCGAAUGUAGGAGCUUAUAUUAGAAAUGACACAAACACGUAAAUAGAAGUAAUCUAUAUAUGAUAUUACUCAUGGACUACAAGCAAAGAAGUACAAUACAUGGAGUAAGUGAUGAAAUGAGCAUUCCUCACUACUACUGCUUGACUGAUGGAACAUGAUGCACGAGAUAGCAUAAGUAGUAGUAGGAAGCAGCUCUUAUUUGUGGCGUCGGUAUACAUCAUACUAGGUAGAUGGUUCAAUUGGCAUGGAUGGGUGGUGGAGCCUUGAAGUGCUUGUGAUGGGGAGCCCACGGCUUCUUCUCAGGAGUUGGUGGCUUCUUGUAUGGAGUUGAUGGAGGUGUUUCUACUGGAGGGUGGCCAGGGUAGUGACCCUGGGGUGGUGAAGGUUCUUUUGUCGGUGGUGGCCUCACUAUUAUUGGCGGUAGAGUUGGUGGCUUGGGCGUUGGCGGUGGUCUCACUACUCUUGGGGGUAGAGUUGGUGUCUUGUGUUUUGGUGGUGGAGGUGGCUUAACAGGAGUUGGUGGCUUGUAUUCUGGGGGUGGUUUCUCCACCGGAGGUGGCUUAUAAACUGGAGUUGGUGGCUUGUAUUCUGGGGGUGGCUUCUCCACUGGUGGUGGCCUGUAAACAGGGGUUGGUGGCUUAUAUUCUGGGGGAGGCUUCUCCACUGGAGGCGACUUAUAAACAGGGGUUGGUGGCUUGUAUUCCGGGGGUGGCUUCUCUACGGGAGGUGGCCUGUAAACAGGGGUUGGUGGCUUCUCCACCGGAGGUGGCUUAUAAACGGGGGUUGGUGGCUUGUAUUCUGGGGGUGGUUUCCCCAGUGGUGGAGACUUGUAAACAGGAAGAGGUGGUUUGUGCUCAUAUGGGGGUGGCUUGUGGUCAUUAGCAAGUGAGGGAGUGGUGAGGACCACCAAUCCAAGGAACAACACGAGUGAGCAAGCAGAAGACAUGUUUGGGCUCUGGUGAUGCACAAGUAGAAGAAAUGGGAACCAUUUAUAAUGCUUCGAGACCUUGGUUAGCACCAAAAUAUGUCAAAAUCUUGAUUACUUCAUUUCAUACAUAGAUUUAAAAUUAUUUCAAUCAACCAUGAUCCUUAAUUUUCUGGGUGGUCCAUAAAUGUAAUGGGGUCAAUUUGGGACCUAACAAGCUGAGAAGUUUGACAAUGCUGCAAGGCUUCAUCCGAAAGUCCGGGGAAGAAUAUUAGGAGUUACACUCCGUUUCCUUUUUUGGGUGCAUUUUUCUCCUUUAACAUUCUAUUCCCUUUUACAUUAGCAUUUGAUCUUAGCUCAUUUCAAGUACAAGUUUCUUGAACCCUAUACCAUUGUCAAAGUUGAGUAACCAUCUCUACUUUGCUCAAGAAACAUAAAAGACAAUGACAAUAAAGAAAAAGGAGAGAGACCAUACGUGACUUGGUUUAUAGGUGGCUUUGUGUUGACAUUUGAGUAUGGAAGCCGACAUGCAUCUUAGCUUCGAUUUUAAUUAAAUUUGUACAUUAGUGUCUGUGUCAUUCAUUUUGGUAUAAAAGGUCUCUUGAUUUCGUAAGUUUGGUAAGAACCGUUGAAAAUAGCAGUAGCAGCACAUGGUCCACUUUCUUUCACAAAAUAAUUUUAAAAGUUUAGAAGCAUAGGAGGUAACAUUAGUGGCCUUGUGGCUCAGCCACGAGUACUAUGUGGUGCUCGAGAAAUUGAGUUUAAUUUCCUUCCGAUAGUUCAUGAUAAGGUCCGUCACUGUCCUGAGACAGAUUGCGUUUUUUCUUUUUUCCUUUUUUAGUGUUUUAUUGACUAGCUAGGUGUGACUUUUCCUACUUUAAGGCACGAGGCAGAAAAGAAACUGGGAUUUAGUGCUUAAGAAGGCAAAUUUAAUUCGAUUUGGAUCUAAAAUUUGCCAGCAACAUGAGAUUUUCCAGCCUAUCGUUGCUCCACAUAUAGACAAGGCACUUGUAGAAGUGGCUUGUUUGUAGCCAUUCCCGAUAUUUGGACUCACUUGAUUCACCGGACACUUUGAUAAAAUUUAAUAUUUAUUAUUUAAUAAUUUAAAUUGAUUUAAAAUUAAAUUAUACCGAAGUUGUGAUUUAAAAAUUAUUAUUUAAUUCUUACUUUUAAAUAUGAAGAUUAUUUGAUAAAAAUAAUUUAAAAUUUAUUAUAAAUUAUCAAAUUAACAUAUUUAUCCUUAUAAAUUAUAAUUAAAACAGAAAAGGUCAAAUGAUUUGAGUAUCCAUAGAUGUGGUAAAAUAAUAAAAAAGAUUAUAAAAACAAUUAUGAUAAAUAAAGAUAAAAAGUAAAAUGAAUAUGUGAAUUUAAAGAAUAAAUUAAUUAUUUUUAUUUAUUACUUAAAAUUAUUUUUGACUUUAAAUUAUAUUAUUAAAUUAUUUUACCAAACAUACUUAAUUUAGUUAAUAAUUUAAAUUUAAUUUAAGUUAUUAAAUUGAUUCACCAAAUACCCACUUAAUCAAAGACUGAAGUAUACAUUAUUUGGCCAAAUGCAGCUAUUGAAAUUUAACUUUUUCCAAACUUAUUCAUUUUGUGGAAAUAUUUUUAGAAAUGAUUUUAAAAAUGCACUAUUCUGUGUGUUGAUUUUAUAUUUUGGCAUUAAUCCAACAUAGAAAACGGUUCUUAUUUUCGCUGUUAAAUAGGUACCAGAUCCUUAAUUAGUGCCGUGAAUCCGGCAGCUUCCAAUGAGUAAUUUGGACUUGGGUAUUGACAAUGUGUGGCCAUGCUUCUACUAUUUUAUUAUUCUUGAAACAUAUAUGAUAUAUUGGACUUUAUACAGGGAAAAAAAAAAAAAAAAGUCUUCACCAAAAAUGAUUCCUCCUAAAAAAUAGACUCCACAAACUAGGUUUAACAGGAAAAUGAUUCUAAUCUAGUAGUUUCCAGCCACAUGAGCAUUUACGUAACAAUAGUAUAGUUGAUAACGACUUUUAUUUUAUUUAUUUUUAAAUAGUUAAAGGGAUAAUUUUUGAGCUUAAAUUUUAUUUUUUUAUUUAGAAACAUUUUACUUUAUUUUUUAAUCAUAAUUCUAUUAUAUUAAUGUUUUAUUUUCUAUUUUUUAAUAUAUAAGGAGAUACUAAAUUUAUGUGAUUAUUUUUUAAAAAUUUAGUAUAUGAAAUUAAAUAAUUGGAUAUAUAUACAUAUAUCAUAUAAUGUUUUUUAAGUGUGAUUUUUGAACUUUUUAGUCAUUUUAUAAGUUUAAGCUUUUGAUUUUUUUUUUUAAACUUUGGUAUUUUUUAUUUUAUAUAAAACUAUUUUGAUUUAAUUUUAUUAAAAAAUAUUGGUAUUAUAAAUUAUUGUAUUAAUUAUUUUUUUAUAUUAUAAUGUAACUGGUAUAUACUAAAAAAUGUAUGCAAGUUCAAUUUAAGUUUCAAAUUAAAAAAUUUCAUUUAAAUAUUUAAUAACUUGUUCAUAAUAAAAAAUUAAACAACAUAAUACAAAUGAAAAGAAACAUAAAAGAAAAAGGAAAAAAUGGUCCUCUCUGUGUGUCACAUUACUAGGUCAUCCUCUUUUUCUAUGACCCUUACAAUAGAAUGGCAUAUUUGUCAAAUCUACUUAUGAAAGUUGGAAUGUUUCUACAUGUGUAGGGUCCAUUGGAACUAAUGGAGGAAAGGCUUAACGUCUAUGUAAAUCACAACGUUGCCUAGGUGGGCAUAGAUCUAGUUGUGUAACAUGAGAUGGUGUGAGAGUACAAUAUAUGCAUUGUAGUCUCUAUGGGAAGAGAGAUAGGUAAUGGUAGGGUGGUAGACGGUAGGGUGAUCUCUAAUAUAAUGACAUUUGAUGUGGUGGCUUCUAAGAGAGGAGAUAUAAGAGAUGGUAGAAUGACAUUUGGUGUAAUGGUCUCUAGUGCAAUGACAUGUGAUAUGGUGACCUAUAAAGAAGAGAUAUAGGUGAUGGUGAAGUGGUAUGUGGUGUAGUGACCUUUGAGAUAGAAAAUAGAGGUAAUGGUAGGUUGGCAGGUGGAGUGGUCUUUGGUGUAGUGACAUCAAUUAUAAAUGUCUCCAAGGGAGGAAAUAAAGGUGAUGGUAGGUAGUAAAUGUUGAGGUGGUCUUUGAUAUGUUAUGCUCUAAGAGAGAAGGUAUAGGUAAUGAUAAUAGGGAAUUUGACAUAGUGGUGUUGGAAAUAAAAAGUGAAAGUGACCGUAGAGGUGAAAGGGCAAGUGUAAAAGCCUCAAGUACGAAUGGAGUAAUUAAUGUGGAUGGUGCUAACAUAGUCUUAGGUGGAUACACAAAUAGUCAUAGUCAUCAACUAGCUUGCCCACCAUCUGUCUUUCUGCUAGUGAUAGGUUACAUCUUAAUAGUAAUGGCCAACAUAAGUGGUGUGGAUCCGAUUUUUUUACGUGUGUCCCCACUCAAUCGACAAGACUUAUUUUUUAUUAGUGAAAAAUUAAUUUUGGAAAAGUUGGAGUCACCACUUAUUUUAUUUUAUUUUAAAAAGGAAAGUAAAACAAGAAAGAGAACUCUAAAGAAGUGACUUCAUAGUUUUGGAAAAGUUAGUCUUAAAAAAUCCAAGUCUUGGUCCGGAGAUCAGGUUACUUAUUGGGAAGAUACCUCUAAGAGGUAAUACCCCUCUAAACCCUAAAGAAGUCUCUAAUGACUAAGUUGAGGAGAAUGUGGUAAUUAAUUAAUUGAUUGAGGGUACCUAGGUAGACUAAGGUGAUUUCAGAAUUAACAUACCAAGCUAGAAAGUCCAAUCAUGAUCAUAAAAGAGAGUCAAAGUAUGUACCUGAACUGCUUCUCAAACGCUAUCAUAAAACAUCAAAGUUAGUAUAGAAAUAUAACACAUAAUAUUUGUUUUAUCCAAGCAAAUAAAGCAUACAUCUAAGCACCCAAGAAUCACAUCAAGUAUGGAUAUAGUCAUCAAUAGCAUACGUGUCCAUAGAACUAUCGAAAGUAAAUGUGGAGGAGCGUAUCUGGACAACAUAGAUAACUUAUAAUGUGCUUCCACAAGACAUGGGGGUUAGAUAAAAGUUAUAAUAAUAAUUAGUAAAUGAAAGAAUUCUAGCAUGUUUGGUAUCUAAAUAACAUAGCAAAAAUGAACAAGAGUACACGAAAACAUCAAUUAUCACACGAGUCAUAUUGGCUAGUAUUUAAUCAAUAAACCAACAAUAAAUGACUAUAAACAUAUAAAAUGACAUAUUCAAAGAGACCCAAACAUAAAGAGCCUAGAACACAAGCUUACACUAAAUUUAGAAAACUAAAACAUGGAAUUUUAAAAGCAUAAAUUAGCAAACAAAUUGAUGGAAACUAAAUUUAGAUAACUUAAGAAUAUUUUUCUUAUCCUUCAAUUUAAAUCAGUAAGCCAACAAUAAAAAAUUAUAGAAACAUGGAAUAUCAAGAUCAAUGGGAUACCUAAACUAUAAUUUUUAAAAGAAAAUAAACUAAGCAUAAUAUCUACAAAGCAACUAAACUAACAUUUUUUUAAAAAUAAAUUAAACAUGACAUUAAUGGAGUAACCAAACUAAAUUAAAGUAAACUAAAAACAUUUAUGAAUUUUCAAACAUGGAAUCAGCUUUCUUAGUAAAUUAAAAUUAUUAAAAUAAAAUCUAAGCUUAAAAAUGAAUUAAAUACUAACUAAAGCAAAUCUAAAACCAAAUAUUUAACACAUAGGAUCAAUUAUAUUAACAAACUAAAAUUUUAUAAGAACACUUAAACCUAAAGUUGAAUUAAAAACUAACCAAUUUUUAAAACUAGAUCUUUAACCCAUAGGAUCAAUUAUAUUAACAAAUAAAUAAUAAAUAAUAAAUAAAUAAAACUCAAACCUAAAGAUGAACUAGAAAUGUACCAAAGUAAAUUCAAAACAAGAUCUUUAACACAUUAGAUCAAUUAUAUUGACUAACUAAAAAAAAAAAAAAAAAACACUCAAACCUGAAACGAUGUAUUAGAAACUAACCAAAGCAAAUUUAAAAUAGAGUCUUUAACACAUAGGAUCAAUUAUAAUCACUAACUUAAAUUACAAUUUUUGAAACAUGAACUAAUUAGUGUUGGAUUAAUUAAACUAAUUAACUAAAAAAAACUAUAAACUAGAAUACGGUGAAUCAAGAAUUCAAAUCAACAAACAUAAAAUAUGGGUACAAUGAAAUGAAAAUCUAUUAAACUAAUAAGACGGAAAUAUGACAAACUCAUGAACCCACAUUUUGAUCAACUAGGAAAUAGAAAUUAAUAGACCUGUAGCAUGGAUACAAUGAAAUGAGAUCAGUUAAAUUUAUUUGCCGAAAUUCUAAAAAACACAUACACUCAAAUAAGAUCUAAAUCUAAGACCAAGCAAAACUCAAACUUUCUCAAUCUAAUGCAAUGAAUCAAAACUAAAAUUAAAUAGAAAUCAAACCAUUUUUUUUUUAUCUAAUAUAAUAAAUCAAAGCUAAAACUAAACAAAAUCGAAUUUUCUUAAUUUAAUAUGAUGAGUCAAAGCUAAAAUUGAACAAAGUUCAAACCUUUAUAUAAUGGAUCAAAGUUAAAUCUAAAUGAAAUCCAUACUUCCACAAUUUGAUAUAACAAAUCAAAAAUAAAACUAGAUAAAAAAAAAGUCAAAGCCUUUCAACUUGACAUAGUGAAUCCAAACUGAAACGAAACAAAAUUUUAACUUUUCCAAUGAAACCCAAUAUAGAAAAAAUUAGCUUACCUUCUUUAGAAUAUAUGUAUGGGCCAUAAAGAAGUCACCUUGGUGCAUGUGUUCCUCACUUUGACGCCAAUGGACGACUUUCUAUGGUAGCAAAUGGAGAUCCUUUUUGGUGGUAACUUGCGUGUGGAAACCUAUGGUACAACCAAUGUCAUCUUUUAUUGUGCGUGUGGACCAAUUUCUUCUCGAGAACUCAUGUGUGUUGUGCUCAAAAUAUGUUGCCUGUGAGAAUCUAUUGGUAUACCCCACAUAUGGUUUCCUUGAGAGAAUCUGUGGUUGUGUGUGGGCGUUUUCUUCAUGACAGCAUGUGGAUGUUCCCAUCUAUGGUAGAUUGGUUGUGAUGCUUUAGUGCAUGGUCUCCAUAGGAAUAGUGUGUUAUGGAAAUUUGGUUUUUUUAUUGGUGCAUGUUGUCUAGACUUUCCCAUAUGCGUGGACUGUGUGUUCAUGCUUUUCUUUUCGGAUGGUCGCCUGUGUUAAUGUGUGGCGGUGUCUACAAUGAAAGAUACAACCCUUUCUCUCCUUCUGCGUGAUAGAAAAGUCAAUCCCCCAUGGUGCGACUAUGUUCCCUCGUCCUUUUUGAAAAAUUUUGGUGUUUUCCCCCCAAAAAAUCCCCUCCAAAAAUCUAAUUAUAAAUGUCUGCUUUGGCCUAAUGUGUGUGCUACUUUUUUUUUCCUUCUUUUUAUGGUUGUGCGUGCUUUUCUUGAUACGUGGCUUAUUUCUUAAGGAUAUGAUUCGCUCCCAAUUGGUGUCUCAGCUGAUUCAUGUCCUUUCAAUGGUCCCUGACAGUGGUGCCAUUUGAUUCGUGUCCAGCUGGUGUCCCUUGAUUGUGGUCCUCAGAAGGGAGUAAUCAAUAAAAUUUAUAACCUAUUACACCAUGUAUUAGGAUAGCCUUAGCUAGCAUAGCAUAGUGGCUCUAGGGUCGUUUAUUGGGAUGAGUUUUCACUUCACAAUUGAUAUUAAUUCAAGAGCUGAAUUGGUGCCUUUUCAUUUCAAGGUUAGCUUUAAAAGAAAACAUAAUCUUUGGUGGAAAAAGGUUUGGUUUUAAACUAACCAAAAAUAGUAACUGAUUUUACUUACAAAGAAAAGUGUUCUUUGGAGUUUAGAUCACUAGGCUCAGGUUCCUCAUACAAAAAGGAGAGUUCCGAUCAUUUGUUUCUUUUCCUCGCAUUAGAGAAUUAACAUAUAGUUAAUUCUCUAACCGGUGCGGUACAUAUGCUUCCCAUUAAUGGGUUCAAACACUAAAUACCUCUCACUGAUGCACCUUGCAAUGGCUCGUGCCUCUCACCUAGCAUUUAUCAUUCAAGGUGAUCUUUAACCUUGGAUUACCCAUCAAAAGCUCGCAAGAGAUAACUAAAGGAUGUCUCCUUAGAGUCCAAAAGCUUACCAAGUGUUGGUUAUUCUAGAAAAUCCUACCUUCAAACCACCUCCCAAAGGCUCGCAAGAGAUAAACAAGUGCAUCUCAAUGGAUGAAGAUCACUUGCCUUACCAAGUUUUGGCCCAGAUGAUUUAAUGACAUUUUAAGUUAACUAAAAAGAUAAAAACCAUUAACGGGUCACACUUUCUCUUCAUUAAAAACUAAAACAACAAAACUUCCAAUUUAUGCAUGAGGAAACUUACCUGGCUUUCUUCACUUCAAGAGAUGAAGAGCCUAGCCACUCAUCAUUUGAGGAAAAAUCCUCAGAGUUUGAUUUGCUAGAAAUAAAAAUAAUGAGAAAACAAAAAUAUAUAUAUGAAAAACAGAGCAAGUUCUCUGUAAUAUAUUUUUCUUCCUUAUACAAAAGGUUGUCUCUAAGAACAAGUUCCCGAGAUCUAUCUGAUUGUAAAUAAAAUUACAACUAUAUAUAAGAGGUUAUUCACCCCUUUGUUCUUUCUUAAAGACUAAGGAAUCCUAUGAUAGGUGGGUUACAAGGAGAGUUUGGGGAUUUAGACAUCAAAUAUCUAAAGCAAAAUAUCUCAAGAUGUUAGUCGGAAAUAUCAGGAAGCUUCAGGAGAACACCGCGACACUGUAUACUGAGAGAAAAACUCUCCGGGUAAGCUCUAUCAAAGGAUCCAGACAUGUCUGACUGGGAAAGUUGAAACGUCCUUCUCUCCCAUCCGGAUGUGAGAUAUCCGGAGAAAGUGAAAUGUCGGUCGGACAGAAUUCUUUCCCCGGGUGGAAUGAGUUGUGUUGCGCGUCGCAAGGGGGACCGUCUGCGUGUACAAGUUGUAGGGACCCCUCUCCCGGAUGACACCGAGCGCGUAAGGCUAUCCGGAUCAACUCCAUUCGGAUUCCCCAAGAGGACAUGUGGCGUGCUCCCCUAUCAGGACUCCCUUAGGGAGAAGCACACGACACUCGUGAACAUCAUACCCGGACGAUAGCAUGUCCUAUCCGGAUGUGUUGUCCGGAUCAUUGACUAAAGUGAGCAAGCCUUGCUACGUCAUUCGGACAGCUUGCCACAUACCAUGUUCCGUCGCCAUCUGAUGGUGUGUCCGAACGCCUUGUCCGGACAUCUUUUGCUCCUUGCAUUCCGGAUUUGCUUAUGACAAAGGACUUCAAAGCUUCGGUUCUUCAUGUUUCUGAGCUUUCCAUUGCUUUGCCAUGGAUUCCAAAGAACUCUCCUUAAUCACGGAUUGCUUUGGUGAUCAAAAAGUUAUCAAAACACAAAAACUUAACAUAGUUUGAUUAGAAUUGAUUGCAAGGGUUCUUAAUAUGUUAAUUGGGUUAAAAGGUGAUAACUACUACUCAAAAGUGUUUAUAAGAAUUAAUUACAAGCUAUGAAAUAACACUUUUUGAGUAGUAAUCAGGAUACAUCCUAGUUUUUCAUGGAAUUGAUAGUGGGUUGUUGUGCAUGAAUGCCACCAUUUCAACUAUGCUGUUGUUAUUUUUAAAAAAAAUAUGGAUUAUGCGCGAGUGGCAAUUCUCCACUAUGGAAAGUGGAUUGCUCCUUCAACCCAUGCAUGGCUACGUAUUCCUAUGUCUUUCUACUUGUGUUUGAUCCUCCAAAAAAAAUUUCGGUUUAGUGCUAGUAGAUUUUAAGUGGUGGAUCCCCAUUUUUUGAAAAUGAAGUGGCAGCCUCCCAUUUCAAGACAAAAUGGUAGCCUGCCUUUAAUCUUUGGAGAAAAAUCUGUGCAUGACCUUUUUUUUUCCCAAAAAAUCCGUGCAUGGUGUCCUUUAAUAUUUGGAGAAAAAUCUAUGUUGGAUCUUUUCUUUUCUAGAAACAUUUGUGUGGUCUUUUUUGUUAGCCCAAGGGUUCUUCUAAUCAAGUUUUGAUGAUAACAAACCAUGGUUAAGUGACUAAUUGGUUUAAUGAUUAAGAAUCUCAAACAUAAAAUCGAAAAUUCAUCAAAGGACCAAAUGGAUACAAGAUCGAGACGCUUGGAAGACUUGUAAUCAUAGGAAACUAAUGUAAGAUGAAUGCAUGAGUGCACUUAGGAUUUUCACACGUUUCAUGCAACUUAGAAAACCCAGUUUAUUCUUUAAAACUUCAUCCCAGUUUAUUCUUUUUAUGGUUGUGUGUGCUUUCCUUGAUACGUGGCUUAUUUAUUAAGGAUACAUCCCAGUUUUUCAUGGAAUUGACAGUGGGUUGUUGUGUGUGAAUGCCACCAUUUCAACUGUGCUGUUGUUAUUUAAAAAAAAAAAAAAUGGAUUGUGCGCGAGUGGCAAUUCUCCACUAUGGAAAGUGGAUUGCUCCUUCAACCCAUGCAUGGCUACGUAUUCCUAUGUCUUUCUGCUUGUGUGUGAUCCUCCAAAAAAAAUUUUGGUUUAGUGCUAGUAGAUUUUAAGUGGUGGAUCCCCUUUUUUUGAAAACUAAGUGGCAGCCUCCCAUUUCAAAACGAAGUGGUAGCCUGCCUUUAGUCUUUGGAGAAAAAUCUGUGCAUGACUUUUUUUUUCCCAAAAAAUCCAUGCAUGGUGUCCUUUAAUAUUUGGAGAAAAAUCUAUGUGGGAUCUUUUAUUUUCUAGAAAAAUUUGUGUGGUCUUUUUUGUUAGCCCAAGGGUUCUCCUAAUCAGGUUUUGAUGAUAACAAAUCAUGGUUAAGUGACUAAUUGGUUUAAUGAUUAAGAAUCUCAAACAUAAACUCGAAAAUUCAUCAAAUGACCAAAUGGAUACAAGAUCGAGACGCUUGGAAGACUUGUGAUCAUAGGAAACUAAUGUAAGAUGAAUGCAUGAGUGCACUUAGGAUUUUCACACGUUUCAUGCAAUUUAGAAAACCCAGUUUAUUCUUUAAAACUUCAAUUUCAUUAAAACCCGAGUUUUUAACUAAUGUACCUUAGGCAAAAUGUUUUAUAAUUGGCUUAAUAAUUCACCUAAAUACAUUUUCUAAGUGUUAGAAAAGAAAGGAAUUAAAAAAAGGUUUUCGGGGCAAAAAAGGCUCAACCGGUCGAGGCUAUGGUCAACCGGCUCAACCGGUUGAGGAACCAAUCGAUCGGUUGUGCUUGUCCGAUCGAAGACCAAUCGAGGGAUGCCAAAAAAUUUCUCUCUCUCCUAGUGGCCUUCUCUUCCCGGUCGAGGUUCGGUCUAGGCAACGGUAACAUGUCAAGCAUUAAAUGCUCCGACGACUAGUGAAUCGGUCGACCCCUAGCCCGAUCGGACGAGGUUGCCUUUUGCUGUUUUUGACUCCCGAGCUUAGAAACCUAUAAAUUGAGAGCUCCACUUCAUUUAUUGAUAAAAGAGAACACUUGCAUUCAAUAGUCUACCUACCUUUUCUUGAUCAAAAAGCUCUCAUUUCCUUCAUAGUGCAUUAAAUCAUCACUUGCAUAUCCUUUAGUGCACUAUUGUGUGUCAUCCUAGCUUUGUUUUGUAUUUGAGCUAUCCUUAAGCUAGGUUGAGGGAUUAUUUCUUAUAAAAAUCUGAGUGUUAAAGCCUUCAAGAGAUUUGAAUCUUGAAGAGAUUGUGUAAGAGCCCAUUGGAGCCGGAGUCCAAGUGUAAGAAGAUUGGAAGCUUGGUUGAAGCUUCAAGUUAGUGGAACCCUCACUCGGUUAGGAGGUUGAGGAGAGUGGACGUAGGUAAGGAAGUGUCGAACCAUUAUAAACCCGAGUUUGAAUUCUCUAACUCUAUCUCUUUAUUUUGCUUAUAUUGUGUUUGAAUUUGUUGUGAUUGAAAAGAUUUUAAAAACCUAAUUCACCCUCCCCCCUUUUGGGUUUUUUUUUCUUAAUUAAGCAUAACCUUUGUUUUCUAAUUUUCUUUUUAGGAAAAUCCAUGCGUGGUAUGUCCAAACUCUCCAAGUGGCAGUCUGCCUUCUUCUAAAAAAUUUGUUUCUAUUUCUUUAUUCGACUACCUUCCAUGUCUUCCUAAUGAGUGCUUGUGCUCAAUGGUCAAUCCCUGGUGGUUGCCUCCUUUUCCCAUAUAUACGUGUUGCAAAAUCAACAUCCCACUAUAUGUGGGUUGCCUCUAUGGCAAGUUCACAUUUCCCACAUGAAACCUAUGAGUUUCCACCAAAAAUUGCCAUGAAAAAGUCUUUAUAUGCAUCUCAUGCAAUAAAAAGUCAAGCCAAUACUCAUCUUAUCUCGAAAAAUAAGUAACCAAAAUCAAGAUCAUGCCUAAGUGAACUAUGCCAAAAGAAGUGUCCAAGUGACCUAUUAUGAAAAAAGUGCCUAAGUGACCUAAGGUGAAUGUGUGUAAGCUGGAAGGUGUCUAGGAUGUUUAGGACAAUGCCUAAGCCUAAAAUAGGGUUGCCAAGGGUCACAAUGGGGUUAGAUAAAUCUCUCAAUCAGAGUCUCCAAGGUGGCUCAUAAAAGAUAAGCUACACGAGUAAUGAUGGGCCACCAGGGAAUUAUUGUAAAGCACCAAACGAACACAUAAUAGGACAUGUGUUAGAAUGAAAAAAUGGAGGGUUUACAAGUGGUCUCAUGGAUGAGCUUGAUAAUUUAAAUGACUCACAUAAUGAACGUAUGUGAUGUUUCUCUCCAAUAACAAGCAAAACAUCACUAGCAAUAUGAUGAAUGUCUCCUAAAUCACUUGAAGUAGUCCUAGCAAAUCAAUUAGAAAAAUCACACAUAUUGCUCUAAUGUAAUAUUAUAUACAUCUGUCAAUGAAUGGGAGAACUAAUGACACAACCAUCAUGUUGAUAUCUCGAACCCUCUAAUCUCAUAUGUAGGUGGGAUCACACUUAGAAACUCAUAACACAGUAAUGACCAAUCUAAGUCAAAAUGUGUUGGUGAUCGGAGGCCCAUGAAUAUGAAGUUCUAGGAUGAUAAUGACAUCUUAUAAAGUAAUGAUCAUCUCCUUAAUAGAUAGGUGAAAUGUGUGUGUCUUAGGACACCAUCUCUCAACAAGACUUGUGAUCAAUCCCCAGUCUAGUGUAACAUGCCUAUUAUGACAUCCAUCGUAAAAUCUAGACUAGAUAAUAUAAGGACAAAUGUGAGGGUUCAUCUCCCUUUCCCACAUAAAUUUAAAAAAUUAUUAUUGACAAGUUAAGACCAAACUAAGUUGCAAAAUAUAAAUAAGUCCAUUAGAUAACAAAUUUAUGUUUUCUCAUUUUCUCAUUUUUAAAGAGAUAUUAUGUGCUUCCAUGUACAUACAUGCUAAAGUCAAUUAUACGAGACUUAUAUCCAUCUUGUAGAACCAAAUCGAACCUAUCUAAUAGAUCCAGAUUAGAAGUAUGUCCUCUAUACUCCAUAUUUAUAACACAUUUAUAAAGAUAAAUGCUAAAAAAAUGUUAAAGAUAUAAAUUUAAUGAACCAUACUUUAUGAUUUUAAUUCUCAAUUAUUGUUCAUAUUUAUAAGAGAAAAGUUAAAAAAAUUGAUAGAGUUUUCCCUCUAUCAUGGACAUUAUCCCAAAUAAAAAUAAAUUGAUUAUGCAAAUUACAUUAAUAUUUGUAACCAAAUGAUCAAUAACUAUCUUGUAUCAAUUUAGUAAAUAAAUUUAAGUAUAUCUUUUCAUUUAUGACUAACAAAUAACUCAUACUUGUCCAAUAAAAGCCACACCUAAUUUCUAAAAUUUUGUCUUCACCUCAAGUGAGUGUUACAUUGAGAAAGAAAAAAUAUGAAAGAAAAAAUGAACACCUUUUUCUUUUAAUAAAAAAAGGCCAUAACGAAACAUUAAAUCUCACUGUUACACCUAUCUUCAAUGGAAACAUGAGGAUGUGAAUGGUGGCGGUGAUAUUCUUUGCUUGAAGCUCAUAAACAAAUAUUCCUUACUAAGCCUAUGCCAUUUAGUAUUUCAAUAGUGGACCCCCCCCCCCCCCCCCCCCCCCUCCUUGCAUUUCAGAUUUAGCAAACUUAGAACCAAAUAACAAAGUGCAUUUGAACCCAUAAAGAAGUAAUGAGACUCUCCUAUAUUGGCAAUAGAAGAAAUUUUUGGAGGUAUAGGAGAUUCACGGAUGAAGAAGUUGGGCCCCAAUUGAGAUAAGACCCAAGAAAAGAUGGGGUAGAGAGGGAUGGUUGGAAAUUGUAAAGUAAGAUUUUCAAAAUGUAGUUGAUGACUAAGAUUUUGACAAUUUAAAAAAGGUUUAAAAAUGUAGUUAGCAAUCGGGGUUUUGUAACAUUUAAAAAAUAAAAUAAAAUCUCAGGCCACAUGGUAGCCCAUGUGAUUCAGAAGCUUGAGAAUUAUUUUAUAAGAAGACUUAAUUUGUGAUUUUUUUAUAACUAUAUUAUUUUUUUUCUUAACACACGAAAAAAAUUAUGAAAUAAGACAAUUUUCCUAAGAAAGCAUGUAAGUGACUCUUGGUUAUUUUAUUUAACUUCUUCUAGUUUGGAGAGGAUUAAUACCUUUGCUUUUACUCACUUGCUUGGAUAUGUACACGUUGUUCAUGUCACUUUUCAUUUAAUUUUCUGAUUAAGGGAAUUGGAACCGUACGUAACUGUCUUUAUUCCCUCUGAAACUUGGACUUGGAGUUGGACUUUCAAUCUCAUCAGUCGUGUUUCCAUAAAAAAGAAGAUGGAUUAACCAAUUUUCCUAUGCCUACUAAUCAUACACAAAACUCCACUUCCAAAUAAAAAGGAAUGGGAUAUCACUUGUUAAUAGUGGCUAAAGACUAUUAAUAACCAUGCAAAGAAAUGUCACAUUUUUUGUUCUACGCAAAUUUUAUUCAUCAACUACUAGAACCAUUUCAUACAAUAGUAGCUUUUCGAUCCUUUGAUAAAUGGACACUUGAUGUGAUAACACCAACUACACCUAUAUAUUCAAGCAAUCAUGCGUAUAUAAUAGUGGAUAUGGAUUACUUCUCUAAAUGGGCAAAAGUUUUGUCAUUCAAGGAAAGUGAACGAGGAAACACAAGUUUACUUUCAUCGGAACUAAUAUUAUAUAUUGAUAUGACUUCCCAUUAUUACUUACGAUGGAAUAUGCUUCCAUAAAAUGGCCUAGAUGAACAAACUAUCCAAGAAGUUUGGGAUCAAAUAAUAUAUAUAUAGUUCAUGUGUGAUUCUUUGGUUGACAACCUUGUUAAGGGGUGAGUGAAGCACUUUGGGCAUACCACAUACUACAUGCUAGACUUCCACCCAAGCUACCCUAUAUUCCUUAUGAACAAAGUAGAAGUUGUCAUCUCUCUUGAAUACCAAAUCCUUUCACCUAAUAAUGCUAUCUAAAAAGGUCUUAAAAAGGAUAAAAAUGCGCAUAUUUGAAUUUUUGAAUUAGGAGUGCUACUUAAAAAGAAGCUAGAUAUACAAUAAUAGAAUGUUAUCAAGCAUAUCUCUUCAAAGUUUUUGACCAAAAAAUAUAUGAUUUCUCAUUUUAGGUAGGAGACUUAGUACUCACUAUUCAAAAACCAAUUAUCAUUACUCAUAAAAACUAAUAGAAAGUUUGGGCCAAAGUAGGAUGGACCUUAUAUUAUGCAACAAUUAUGCCUAUAAAAUUGUUGCAAAAGAGGUUUUAGAAUCAAAUCAAUGAAUGAAAAAUUAUUAAAGCAUUACUAUGCUUGAAGGCUAGUCAUUUUCCCUUAAAGUGCAAUAUUAAGUUGCAUAGUACUAUGUGGAUCCGCAUUUUUCACAUGCGUUCCCACUCAUUGUCGAGACUCACUUUUUAGAAGUGAAAAAUUAGUUUUAUUAAAGUCGAAGUUGCCACUGGGGAUUUGAACCCUAACAAAAGGUUCAAUUUAAGGAUAAAAAUAUCGAUAAUCACAUAUAUAUAUAUUGGUACUUUGAUUUUAUGAAUAUAUUGAAGAAAUAUGGACAAAUAUUUUGACACAAAAUAUGUACAAAAUAAAAAUUAUAUAAAAAGUAAAAAUAAAUAUUUUAAAAUUAUUUUUUUAAAUAUAUAUAUAUAUAAUUUGACAUAUUUGAUAAUAAUAUAUAAGGGUCUCCAAAAAGCCCGUGGCCCGCUUUAGGCCCGGUCCGACCCGACAGGCUAAAGCCCGGCCCAAGCCCGCCGGGCCCAAGCUCGGCCCGAGCCCGUUUAUGGGUGGGCCGGGCCGCGAGCCCGUAGGCCUGCUCCUUUAAAAAAAAACUACAAAAAUAAAAAGUAUUAAAAAAAAUAUUCAUUUCAAAAUUUUAUUCAUUGAAUGUAUAAUUACAUUUGAAAAUGUGGGAAAAGUUUACAUCACUACAAAAUAAAUACAUCCCAACUAGGUUGGCACCUAUUUAUUUGUCAAUCAUCUGUAUUUUUCAACCACAAAAAAUAAAAAUAAAAAUAUAAUAUACAUUUAGUCAUUAUUUUCUGGCGGUGAUGGCGAACUAUCAUGCAUCCAUGAAGAUCUUGAUAAUUUUAAAGAUUCCAUAUCGGUAAGCAUCUUUGUUUCUCGAAUGGAAUCAUACAUCCUUUUAUCUGCUAUUUCCCAAUCUUUCACACAUAUCCCUGCUUUAAUAACAUCUGACGCUAAGUUGCAUCGUUUUUUACUAACUACUCUUCCACCUGCACUAAAAGCAGCUUCUGAUGCAACUGUACUCACAGGAACUGUUAGUACAUCACGAGCAAUUAUAGAAAGCACAGGAUAUUUGUGUUGAUGUGAUUUCCACCAUAUUAAAAUAUUAAAAUCUUCUUGAUCUUCAAAUGAAAUUAUAUCAGUAUUAAGAUAUUUAUCUAAAUCAGAUGUAUUAUUUGGAGAAUUAUUUGUUGUCUUUUUUCGACUUUUCAACAUUUCUAGAGCUCCUUUAUAAAAAGAUGAGGAGUUUGUAGAUGUAGGUGGUAAUUUAAUAGUAUUAAUAUCAUUACCAUAUUUUUCUUUAUAAUAGUUAUAUAAAUUAUAUAAUAAUGAAUUUAUUUCAUUUUUAAUUUCUUCAAUUUUUAUUUGGUCAUUAAAAUAAAUAAUUGUUAACCAUUCAUCCAAAGCUUCAAAUUUCAAUCUAGGGUCCACAAUUAAAGCAAUAUAAAAAAUUAAAGGUAUUUCUCCCCAAUAUUUUCUAAAUUUUUAUAUCAUUACAAAUAUUGUAUCAUUAAAUAUUUCAAAACUUAAAUAUUUUUGAAGUACAAUAAAAAUAUUAGUUAUUUGCGUAAUAACUCGAUUUGAAGUUGGAUAAUAUACACCACAAAAAAUGUUUGUUGAAGUAUCAAAAAUUUCAAAAAGAUCUCUUAAAACAUCCGCAAUAUGCCAAUCAUAAUCAUUUAAUGCAUAAAUAUCUGCUUCAUAAUCAUUGUUAAUUAAUUGUAUUUCAUAUAAUUCGACUACUUUUCUAUAUUUUGUAAUAUUUUCUAAAAGUUUAUAUGUGGAAUUCCAUCUAAUAGCCAUAUCCAAAUUUAUAUUUUUUCUUUUCAUAUUUAACAUUUUGCAACAAUCAAAAAAUAAUUCAUGUUUUGCUUGAAAACUAUUAAUACUAUAUGCAAUGCCUCUAAUUUUUUUCCAAUGUACUAUCAACAUUUUUUAAUCCAUCCUUUACAAUUAAAUUUAAAAUAUGUGCACAACAACGCACAUGAAAUAUUUUAGCAUGAUCUUCUUUUACUUGCCAAUAUCGUUUUAGUCUAUGUAUUGCUGCAUCAUUAUUAGCAGCAUUAUCUAAUGUUAUUGUCAAUAUUUUAUCACGAAUGCCUAAAUCUAUAAUUUCAUCAUUUAUUAAAGAUGCUAUAUUUUUACCACUAUGUGGAGUAUUUAUUAAUUUAAAUAAAAUUAUUCUUUUAUUUAAUUUCCAUUCAUUAUCAAUGUAGUGAACAAUUAUAUAUAAAAAACCAGUAUGAGUUAAAGAUGUCCAAAUGUCAGAUGUUAAACGAAUAUUUCCUUCAAAAUUUGCAAAAUUUUUUUUUAAAAUUUCUUUUUGUGUAUAAAUUUUUUUCAUAAUAUCUCUUUUAACUGUAUUUCCAGAUCAACCUUUAAAUUGAGGAUUAAUACCUCGUUGAAUUGUUCUUGCAAAAUCAUGAGUUUCCAUCAUGUUGAAAGGUUGUUCUGCUCUUAUUAUAUAAUCAAUCAUUUCUUCACAACAGUUAGAUUCAUCAUAAGAAAAUGUUUUUAAAUUUCCACUUUCAUUUUUACUUAAUUGCAUAUAAUUUCUAAUAUCUACAUUAUUUUUAGUUUUACAAUUUUCAUGAUGUCUUUUUAAAUGACUUGUAUCUGCAUUUGAGCCACCAGUAAGAAAUUUAUUACAAAUUUUACAUUUUGCUUUUAUUUUUUUUUUAUUAUUUUCUAAAAUUAUUUCUAUUCUAUCAAAAAAAUUCCAUAUAUUUAAAGUAAAUUUUUUGUUUGAUGAUAUUUCAUCACAUGGACUAGACGAAGAAGCACUUGUCAUAUUAUAAUUAUUGAUAAAAUAUUAUGCCAAAAAUAAUAAAGUAAUAAAUAUAAAAAAAAAUGUAACAAAAAAAAUAAAGUAGUAGGGGUGAAGUAUGUUACUCAAUUAGAGAACCUAUGCAGAAAUUCCUAGCAAAUUUGAACUCUUGGAGCCACCAAUGCUUGUUUUGCACCAUCAACAAUAUUGUAUAAUUUGAGGGAAAAAUAAAAGAAUUUAAAAUAUUGUAGAAUGUGAGAGAAAUAGAGAGAAUUUGAUGAAAAAAUGAAAAGGAAGAAAAUGUAUUUAUAGGAAGGUUAAAAAUAAUAAUAAUAAUAAUAAUAAUAAUAAUAAUAAUAAUAAUAAUAAUAAUAAUAAUAAUAAUUGGCCAUGUGACCGUUGGAGGCUUAGCUCCAACGGUCACAUGGGCUGGAGCUAGGCUCCAACAGUCACAUGACCGUUGGAGCCUUUAAUUUUUUUUUUUAAAAUAAUAUACUUUAUUUUUAUAUAUAUAUAACUAACUCAAUUAAUAAACAUAAAAAGAAUAUAGUUCAGUUGGUUAGAACCUUGAAGUUUAAACAUGAGGGGAGGGGUUUGAAUCCCUCCCUCUCCCUUAGGGGCUUUUUUAAAAGCCAUUUUGGCUUAUUUCAAAAAGCCUGUCGGCCCGACCCGCCCUGCAGCCCGCGGGCCUAGCAUUUUAGCAUGGCCUGGUCUGUUGACUAGUCAAAUGGCUCAUAGGCUCGGCCCGAACUGGGCCGCGGGCCUCUUAUUUACGGACCGGCCCGACCCGGCCCGCCCGUUGGAGACCCUUGAUAAUAUCUUCUAUAUUAAGUUACAUUAUAGUUUAUUUUACAAUAUUAUUAUGAUAAUAUGUCUAAUUUUAAAAUAUAUUUAAUAUUAAAAUUAUGAUCUAUUUUAAUUUAAAUGUAUUCAAUGAUAUCAAAUAAAUAAUAAUAUAUGUAUAAUUCUUUUAUUAUUUAUAUUUAUUAUUUUUAAUAAAUAUAUAGAUUAUAUAAAAAAGACCGGAUAUAUCUUUUCAAAUUUUGUAUCGCUCUCCAAGGAUAUUAGAUGUAUGGGAAUUUGUAUUGCUAUCUACGGAUACGUUGAUAUAUGGGUGAUUUAUCAGGAUAAUUAGAAAUUCUAAUUAUGUAAGCAGGUACGGAGUUCUGUGUCGGUGCGAUCUUGUCGACAACAGCUCCAAAUUGUGCAUCUUGCUCAUAGAGAGUAGCGGAAUGCACCAAUCGUAGGCUCAGAGUACCACUGAGUCGUCUGGCAGAGACCCAACUGAAGGUGCCUGUGUUGUUCCUGAUCUGAUCAGGCUUCAAACUACAAGGUGGAAUACUGGUUCCCCUAUAUCAGAAGCUGGAGAUACCCACCCCAUAUGCUCGUCUGGAUGUGCUCCUACCCUUUGAAGCCUUCUUCCGAGUCAAGUCCGAAUUGAUAAGGCUAGUGAGUUCCCAACCAACUGUACUCAGCAUGCUGCCAGGUGGAGACCCUCCAUAUUUGAUGGCUUCCUAAUAUUAAAAUGCUGACCACUGGUCUUCAUGUUCCACAGGCUUAAUUGUGUCCUUUGCUGAAAGAAUGGAUAGUGAUCCAUUUUAACACAUGAUUCACGCCGUCUUUGCCAUUCUUCAUGGUCUAGCCCUUUUAUAUAUAUGCUUCCUGAACUGUUGCUAUUAAUAAAAUGUGGUAUCUAUCCCGUACACCUUCCUGAUGGCCAGCGAAUGCAGAAGCUACAGAAACGGUUCCAUCUUUUGCUUCCGCCACUUUGGCAUCCUCCAUGAUGAGAUCGAAGGUGAAUAAUCAUAUUCUGGGGAUUUAUGUCCUGGAUAUUCUCAGUAAUGCCCAAUUUCCUGGUGCCGGCCUCAUUUCCAUGGGAACUGAUGGAUAACUUAAGGCUUCUACCAUCUGCGUGGUUCGCUUCUAACACAGGAAACUUCACGGCUAAAAGCAAGAUACCAAGAACAUCAAGGCUGUGACAAAAAUUAGUAUUUUUAACUUGUAGGAAUUUGAAAGGCAACCAACCAUCUAGCUCUGUUCUUAAAGCUCCCAUAGGAGGAUCAGAGGCUGGAUUGCUCAAGAUGAACUCAUCCAUUGUUGCACUUAAAAAGAAUUGGCAUGAAUUGUGGCCGCUCUAAUAGGUUCCCUAAACCAUCAUCCAAGUGGGCUUGCGGAAGGUAGCGAGUUUAAAACACCUAGGGCGAUGAACAGUGGACUGUGAUGCUCACAAAAGAGAAAAGGAAGAAUUCAAUAAUUCCUAAGAAUCCAUUUGCCUGUCAUCCAAAUUUUUAUAUUCUCUUCAGUCUGACGCGUUAUGCCAUAUAUUAAAAAUAGCGGCUUCUUCCAAGCCGAGACAGACUGUGCAAAGUUCGCAAGGCCAAUCAUCACCAUAAUCUGAAGUUGGCCUCCUCAAUCGCAGCUUGUAUCCGAAUGCUCACUUCACGGGAUGGAUUGUAAUGAAAACUAAUCUCAGUCCCAGCUAUGGCAGCAUCCUCACUUGACAGCAUUUUCUGCAUAUUCUAGAACAAAGCAAUAAACCCUCAAAGGCUCCUUCGGAUCAGAGUUAGAAGACUGUCCCUCAGGAACGUGAACACUAUGGUGGUUCUGAUAAGCAGUGAUAUUGCAUUAGAGCCUUUUGGAACAAGAGGAUCUUUUCAGGUGGAAACUGUAAACUGCUUCAUGUUGGGCUGCAACCUUUUCUUCAAGCAAUACUUUCUUUCUGUAUCACGACUUAUGUUGCUUCCGGAGCCAUCCCGUGUGGACUGCCCUUCAGUGAAAGAAUAUGUGUGUUGACAUGUUGGAUUGUAAUCUUUGUUCCACUCUAAUGGCUUUUGGUCCUCCUCUUUCUCUUUAUGACAGAGAACCAUUUAGUGAUCCAUCUCUAUAUUGUAGCAUUGCUGGUGCUUUGCAAUACUACACUCUCACCAAGCAUAACAUCUAUUUUUCCGUGACCAAAGUAUGUCGGUUUAUGCAUGCGCAAACUCUUAUUCAUUGGCAAGUUGUCAAGCGUAUCUCAUGAUUUCCCAAAGCCACAAGUUCUUAUGGUCUUUCUGUUCAAGCUUACAAUGAUCUAUCUUUUCUUGGUUAUACUGAUGUCGAUUGGGCUAGUUGCCCUGAUAACAAGCACAAUACUAGUGGGUACAACACUUUUCCUGGUCCUAAUCUCAUUUCAUGGGCAUUUUCAAAGCAGAAGGUUGUGUCUCACUCCAAUAACGAAUCUGAAUAUAGGGGACUCACUAAUUAAUGUUGUUGCCAAGGUCACUUGGAUUGAAUCUGUCUUACGUGAGUUGCGUGUUUCUCUACCCCAACCACCAAUUUUGUUGUGUGACAACAUUAGUGCUACACACUUGGACAAACCAUGUUGAAAUACACUAUCAUUUUAUCCAUGAAAGGCUUAUGCAUCACACACUCAAAAUUCAAUACACCUCUUCUAUAGACCAACUAGUCAAUGCUAUGACCAAAGCUCUUCCUUCAUCUCACUUGUACAAUCUUCAGUGCAAGCUGAUUGUUCUUCCCAAACCACUCAACUUGAGGGGAGAUGUUAAGCCAAUUUAAUAAAUUGAUUUCUUUUGGUUAAUUUGUUAGAAUCAUUUUUAUUAGAGGUUUGUUUGUACAAUUACAUCCAUUUAUCAGGAGAGUACACGUGUACAACUCCUCUUUUAAUCUCACCAUUGUAUAUAUAUGAUACACGACCUUACUCAGAAUUGCAUAACAUUUCCUCUGCUCAUUCCUUUUCUUCUUUGAAUUUUCCCUUACCUCACUGAUUUUGAUUUAUACCUGGUGUUUUCACCUUUGGUCUCUACCUUUCUAGCCAGUUUUCUAAUUAAUCCGUAUAUGGUAUACCUGUCAACUAAUGAGGAGAAAGAGAAAAGGGGAUUGCUGUUCCACCAGCUACAUAUAAUAAUUAAUUACAAUCAUGGUAAUGGAUCCUGAAAUCCAUCCUUUGUGGAUUUUGUACGGAAUAUUGUUGUUAUGUAUGUGGGCUCACUUAGAUGUAUAUUGCUAGCCUGUCUGGGAAAUGUGAUUGCAGGUCCAGAUUAUGAUGUUGAUAUUAGUGGGAUAAGCAAGAGAUGCAGUUAACACGUAUGUGAUGGACUUGAGUAACUUUUCCAUUUCAGUCCAUUUUUUAAGAUUAUGCUUAGUCUUAUUACAAGGAAAGACCAUAAGAAUCAUGAGUCAUUGGCAAGGUAAUAUCAUUCCCUCUUUACAGGCUUCUUCACCUUUUGGUUUUUUUAAUAUCCAUCAAGAUCUUUUAAUUGGAGGACAAUUACAAGUAUAUAUAUAUGUAUUAAAAGGGGAAAAUAUUAAAACAGGAAAUUUUAGGGAAAAUAUAAUAAUUAUUUCUUCCUUCUUUCCCAUAUAGAACUACACAAAAUAAAACUUUAAUAAUUUUUUCUUAUCUUUUUUAUUAUUAUUUUUUCUUAGAAACAUCCGUGGUCUCACAAGCUUGUAAUCCUAGAUUGUUAGGCUCCUUUAACAGUGCCCCAACAUCGUGGUCCAAUGACAAGCUUCCACGCCUUAAAAUCAGAAAAUGCCAUUAAACUUUAUCAGACAUUACAGUUCAAGACAAAGCUUUCAUUUGCUUAAUGUGAUAAUGAAAUUGUUAAUUUCAUUUCGUGGGCAUCUAAAUUUGGACGAGCAAGACCUCUGAAUUCCCUGUUUUUAUCACCAGCAGAGGAGAUAAAAUCUUAAUGGUGAGAAUCUCCACGUGAAAUUUAUGUGUACUGUCAACAUAUUUUUGUUUAUAUAGUCCAGUAGCUGCAGGAAGUCUAGAUUAUAUAGGUAGCAGUAGCACUAUUUAUAGCACUCGAUAUUCGCUGUAUGAAUACAUUAAACCUUGUUUUCAAUACGCAUCACAAGCAAGUACUAGAUACUACAAGGAGUGACAGUCGCAUCAACAUUUCUUGAUAAUAGCAGUGACUGAUUUAUACACAGAACAGUACUGUACACGUACCAGUCACCAGAGAUAGGAUCUUAUUCCUACAUACGACUCUUAUUGAUCGAAGUCACUCAGUUGGGGUAGCCUGGAGUUGGAGGUUUGUGUGGUGGCUUCUUCUUUGGAGGAGGCUUUAUCUUUGGAGGCAUCAUCUUUGGAGGCAUCUUGUGUGAGUCUUCUUCAGCAUUCUCUACAGGAGGAUGGCCAGGCUUAUGACCCUUAGGUGGUUUGCCAACUGGGAUUGGUGGCUUGUGUCCUGAGAGUGGCUCCUCUUCUUCGGGAGGUUUGCCAACUGACGUUGGUGGCCCGUGUCCUGGGGGUGGCUUGUGUUUUGGGGGUGGUUUCACUCCACCGGGAGGUUUACCAAUUGGUGUUGGUGGUUUGUGCUCAAUCGGUGGCCUCUCAACUGGGGGGCGCUUGGGGUAAUCAGCGAGUGAAGAAGUGGUGAGAACCACCACUCCAAGCAACAACACUAGCAAGUAUGUGGAAGACAUCUUUGAGUUUGGCUCAGAUGGUGUAGAACUAGAAUCCUGGGUGGCCUUUUAUAUUAGUUGGGCCCUAUGCCCGAACGACAAGUGUCAUGGUGACACAUAAAGUGAUGGGGUCGAUUUGGGCCUACCGGAUUUGAAAACUUGGACAAUUCGAGAAGCGUCUCCUGACUCCGGGUUGUAAAGUGAAAGAUUAGGUAUCGACCAUUGAAGUAUGAUCACAACUUUUGGCCUUUGGCUCUCUCUACUGCCGUAUAGCUUUUUUCCUUUGGAUAUUUUUCUUAGCUAGACACAAUUAUUGAGCAGUCUAAUCUCGAAAUGGGAUUAGUAUAGCUUUAAGCAAAUUUAUUAUAGUUAGUGGAGGACUUUUAAGAGUGCAGACGACAUUUAACACAUGCAUGCAGUAGUAUAGGGGACAUAACACUAUUCUUUUUCCAAAGAUUCACAUGAUUUUUAUAUUAUAGUAUUGGCACAUUGUAUGUAGCUGGUUUUGUGGUUAAAAUUCCAUAUGUAGACACUGGCGUUUCUCCAUUUCUCACAAUUGAUGUUUACCUCCACGAUUACUAGAUUAGAUAUACCAAACAAUAACACAUUGUAUAAUCUAUCCGCCCUUCAAAAUCUACUGUAUGAUGAAAUGUUUCAUGUGUGUGUGAAGUGUUAGAAAUGCACUAUAGGCAACAUCAUCUUCUUUUGUCUAGGCUUGGGCCUCAAAUUAUACUCCCAUGCCAUGAUAAAUUUUCAUGUGCAUUCUCUAAAGAAGAGUGUCUUGAAUGUGCCAAAUCAUUUUGAUUGAUUUUAUGAUGUUAAUUGCUCCGCAUAUGGAUGGGUAUGUGCUUUAUUUGCUUAUUCAAUCCACAAUUACCUUGAACUGAAGUCCUAUUGGAGCUCUAUUAUUUUAGCAACGUCCUGUCAAAUAGGCUGCUAACUUGGGGUGGUAUGGACCCAAUGAUCCAUCUUAAUCUUGGGUUGAUUUUGUCUGACUCUAUCUAUCUCAGAGAGAACCAGGAUCACCAGUGCUGGUCUGCUUAAAGAAGACUCAGUACUGGAUUAAUAUUGGUUUGGGUCAAUAGCUUAUAAUGCAUUGAAUGCAGAAUAAACAAGAUCAAUGAAACCCAAAACACACUGCCCACACAACUUCACUCUGGUGUCUGUUAUUCAUCAAUUCUAUUCCCACAUGAACUGGUUCAAGUUUAAGAAAAUGACAACGGAUCCACUGUAUUAACUUGGUUUUGCUUGGUUUUGAGCUAGUUGCCAAACCAGCCAUGAGUUUUACCUCUAAUGUCAAUGAACAAACCCCAAAUGAACAACUGCAACAGCUUAAAGAGAAGGAAUGGAGAUGAAAAUCCCUGUUUCUUCUCAUUCUGGGGACAAAUUAGAACAUAACUACAAAGGUUCUAUUAAUUGACUUACUCUACCAUGAAUUAUGGUUCUUUGGUUUUCCAAAUUUAAAUUGUACAUGAGAUUAUUUUUUUCCUUUAUAUAUAAACAUAUUAAGGUUUUCUUAUUUCGUGGGCAAAUGCGCUAAGGAUGAAAGUCAUUUCAUUUGGCUGCAACAGCAUCUUAUAAUCAACAUGCAUAAGCAGCAGUUUUAAUUGAUCGAUUGAACACCGACUCACAAGAAUAGAUAGAAUGGUACAAGACAGCUCUUAUUAAUUUAUACUCGUUACUCAUUUUAUGUAGCCCCAUUAAGAUGGCUGGCUGGACCACCGAGGUCUGGGGGUGGUGUUGCUUGUGUGAUGCAGCGGGCCGGGCAGACACUUCUCUAGUUGCUUCUAUUUGGAGUUAGAGGAUCAGUCUCUGCCAACCUUGAGGACUCUCUACCUCAGAGGGUCCAGGUGGUGGACUCUGGUGUCGGUAGCUUUGAACUCUCAGUAGACUAGUGUGUCUUAAUCAGUCACUGCCAGAGGCUGGCGUAGGCAGUGACGAUAAGGUGAGACAAAUUACCGAAUAGUCAAUAUCGACUGCACUUGACCAUUAUAGAUUUGUUCUGACAAAAGUGAGAAAAGGGAGAAAAUCGGAUGUUGACCUUUAUAGAAAAAGAUAAGAUUUACUGCAACACAGAGCACUGAUUUGUUACUUGGAAACCAAGUUAUGCUAUUAGCUAGCCUCCAUUAGCAGCAGGGUACCUUGCUGCCUGAUCCUAAUCUGAGUUCCCAAGGUUUCAAUCUUCGUUUGUUAACGCUUCAGGAUUUGGAUAUUUCAGCUUCGUUUCUCCAUUUAGCCAACGCUGCCUGGUUUGGAUUUCAAUCCUCAUCUGGAACAUUCUUUUUUCGGUCUGAUUCAGGAAGUGUUUGGUGAUAGUUGAUUAAAAUUAAACAGUACUAUCAUACAAAUAAAGCUGAUCUAAUUUUGGUGGGCAAUAUACCAACUCAUUUAUUCUUGAAAACACCAUGGGGAAUUGGAGGUCCAUCCGAAGUACUAUUUGAUGGGACUCACAAAAAGAACAGGUGCACAUUUAUGAGAUCCGUGGAAGAGAUAACUAUGACAGCUAUGCAUGUACAACAGAUUUAUGUCGAGUUCACCUCGUAGAUAUUUUGUUUUCAGUGUCGGUGGACCCCAAAAUGGAAAUCGGAAAUUAAGGUUAUAUUUAUUUUUUUAUUUAAUUUUAAAUAGAAUUUUAAUUUUUAAUAAUAUUAAGUAUUAAAUUAUUUUUUUAAGGGUAUUUUAUUUUUAUUAAGUAUUAAAAAGUAAAAAAAAUUAAUAUGUUGCUUUUUUAUUUUAAAAAAAUUAUAUAUUUUAAUUUUUUCUAUUUACUAAAAAGUUUAUAAUAAAUUAUAAAAAAAUAAAAAAAUAAAAAACUUAAAUUCUGAAAAUAAAUUAUUUUUAAUAAAAAAAUCCAAAAAAGCAAACACCACCUAAAUUUGAGAUGACUCAAAAUUUUAUAUUUUUUUUCACCUAAAUUAUAUUCAUAAAUUUAAAAUUAAAAAAUUAGGAAGUUGAAUUUUAUUUUGGAUAAUUGGAAACUACAAGAAAUCAAUAAAAAUAUUUGGAAAAAAAAGAAAAAGAAAAACUAUCUAUAUAUUCACCCCCUUCUAAGAAACAUAACUUUAGUUUUUAACUAUUUUUUAAAAUAAUUUUUGAAAAAUGUUAUAUAAUAUUUUAUAAAACAAAAAAUCUGUUUGACAAUUUGAUAUGUCUUUAACUUAUUUUUAAUAUUUAUAUAUAUAUAUUUUAAAAAUAAUUUUAUAUUUAGAACUUUAUCUUUAAUUAUUAUAUAUAUUUAUAUAAUUAUUUUUUUUAAAACAACUCUUAAAAAAUAAGUGAAAGUAAUUGAAAACAACUCAAAGAUAUUUGAUGAAAACACUCUAAUUUGUAUUUUUGAGAAUAAAAAAAUAAAUAAAUAAAUUUCUAGUUAUCAAAUGUAUUUUUUAAUUCUUUUAUUCUAAAAAAUAGAAAAUCGUUUUUGAAAAUAAUUAUUAAACAACAUUCUUAAAAAUUCACUCGUUACAAUCUAGAUUUAAUGCAAGAAUGAUUGAAGGAGUCCUCCAAUAGAACCCAAAGUUAUAAACAUGAACAAGAAGCCCUAGAAACACCAAAGAUCUCAUAUGGUAUAUAUAUGAGCUUGAUUGAGAACUGUUUUAAAUUCAGUUUUUUUUUUUUUUUUUUUUUUUUGUUUUCAAAGUCAAAACAAGUUUACUUUUAAUUUUUACUUCUUUUUUUUAAUUUUAUAAAUAACAGUUUUUUAAUAAUUUAUUUUGAAAACAUGAUUAUUUUUAAAACUUAUAAUGAAAAUAGGAAUUUUUUUUUUAAUAUCAUGGUUAUUUUCCCUUCUUUUAAGGAGGGCUAUUUUAAAAAUAAAUUUACAAAUAUGAAAAAUGAUUCAAACUAAAGCAGUACAAAUAAAAAACAUUUUUAAGAAAUAUUUAAAAAUAGAGAAAAUUAUUUGAGAACAUUUGAAGUCCUUAAAUAGACUUUUGUUUUAGAAAAGGCAAGAUAAUUAUUUUUGAAAAUUGUUUUCAUAAUGAUAUGCAAAAACCUACGUAAAAACCAUAAUUAUAAUCGGCCACAUAUCAAAUCUACUAAAUAUGAAAAGUAAGUACAUAAUUAUAUUUGACUUAGAUGCAAGGAGGAAAAUGUCGCGAUAUUAUCGCCGAAAUAUCGUGUGUCGAAGGGUAUCGACACGAUUUUUCUUGCAGAAAUAUCGGCCAGUCGAUUUUUCGGGAUAAAUCUCGAGAAAUCGGCAAUUUAUCGCGAUAUAUCGGCGAUUUUUCCUCGAUAUAUCUUCUGGUCAACGCGGGUCAACGGAGUCAACACGCUACAGUGAAAGUCAAAUGUGCUACAAUGUCCCCGCUACAAUCACCUCCCCAAACAAAUUGCCAAAUUGCUUCCGAGGGGAUUUGAACCAGCCUUCUUGCCAUUUGGGCUAACUCGCCCUUAUGAUAUAUAUUGCAUUAAACAUAUAUAUACUUAAAGUCCUUAUAUAAAGAAAAUGUUAAAAAAAUAUUUUAAAGAGCAAAUUAAUUAUAAUUAUUUUAUAAUUAAAAGCAAAAUUUUCUUUUAAUUAAUUACCAAAAAUAUAAAAAUUAUAUAAUUUUCUUCAUAAUGUUUUUAAUAUCAUUAAUAAUUAAUUAAAUAUUAAAAAAUUAUAUAUAUAUAUAUAUAUAUAUAUAUAUAUAUUAUAAUUUAUUUUAUAUUGUUUAAUACAAUUGAAUUAAAUGGAUCAUAUUUUAAUAUUAAUAUAUAUUUUAAAAUUAGACAUAUUGUAAUCAAAUAUCAUAAUAUUAUAUGUAAUUUAAUAAUAAAUGUACACUUAUAAAAUUCAUAUUUUUAUCGAUGCAUACAAUAUUAUUAUCAAAUAUGAUAAAUCAUGUUAUACAUAUAUCAAAAUUUUCAAUAAAAUAACUUUAAAAUGUCUAUUAUACUUCUAAUUAUAUUAUUAUGAGGUUUUCUUUACAUUUUCAUGAGUUUUAAACAAUUUUAAGCACCAAUAUUUUUUUCCAAAAUAUCCACCGAUAUAUCUCCGAUAUAUCCAAUAUAUCUCCGAUAUCUCCGAUAUAUCCGUAAAAUCGAAGUACCGAUAUAUCCGUGAUUACCGAUAUUUUCAUCAUUGCUUAGAUGCAACCUUCUUCCAAAUGACAUACUUUAGUCAAUACUUAUAUUUUUUCGUUUCACUUCUUUGAUACAACACCUCAUGGAUUUAUUGUUUAAUUUAUUUGUAAUUAUAAAACUAUUUUUCAUUUUUAAUAAGACUUGAAUUAAUUUAAUAAAUAUUAUAUAAUUUGAAUUUAUAAUUCUUUUUAUAAAAUCAAAGUAUAUUAAAAAAAAAACAAUUUAUCCGAAGAAAGUUUUUUAUUUUUUAUUUUUUAAAACCGAUUUUAAAAAUAACUAGCUAGACACCCUUAUUUUGAUAAAAUACGAAAUAAAAGUGUAAAAACAACAUGGCCAAAUAGGGGCUUAAAUUUUAUUUUUAAAACAUUUUUUUACACUAAAGUGCAUUUUAAAAACACCAUCAAAACCAACUACAAGUUAUGCUUCUUCCCGUAAUAGAAAUAUUUUAGGCCAAAAUAGAACCUCCCCAAAUAAAGACCCUAUACUAAACUCCUUUUCAUUUUAUUAAUACAAAAGUGGGGAAAAAAGGUCUAUGCUCACCUAAAAAACAUGAAUAUUGUGAAUUCACCAUUUCUAUAAGGAAGUUGAAAACUUCAAAAUUUUAUCAACAAAUUCUCUAAAAUCCUCAAAAUAUAUAGGGCCUGUUUCACAAAGUUUUUUAAAAUUUGUUUUUAUAAAUUGCUUUUAAAAUAUAGAAUAAAUAACAGUUUUUUAGAUUUUUUGAAAAAUAAGAGUGUUUGGUAAGAUGUUUUUUUUUUUUUUUUUUUUUUUAAGAAUUAAAUAAAAAAUAAAAAAAUUGUUUAGAUAAAAGAAUUUGUAUUGUUUUUAAAAACAAUGUCUUACUUUUAUGUUAUAAAAAUUUUAUUAAUUUAAUUUAUAAUAAUAUGAAAUGAAAUUCAAGUUAAGUCUUAUUAAAAAAUACAAAUUAAAUCUAUAAUUAUGCAUGAGUUAAAGAUAAAUAUAUAUUUUUUAAAACUAUAAAAUAAAUUUUCUAUUAUAGUGAAACAAAAAUUACUAUAAAAUAAAAAUAAUUUUAAUAUUCAUUUUUAAUACAAGUCAAAUAAGUACUUUAAUUAAUUUUUUUUAUCAUGAUUUCUUAUGUUUUUUUUUUUUUCUAGAAAUUAUUUUAAGUAAUAUAACUAAUUUUUUUUUUAAUGUUUUAUAAAAAUAAGGAUAUUUGGCAAGUUGUUUUUAUAAAAGGAUUUUAAAAAUAAAUGGAUUUUUUUUUUUUUUAAAAAAAGAACAAAAUGAUUUGUUUGAAUAAAUUGUUUUGAUUUUGUAAAAACAUUUUAAAUUCAAUUUAUAUAAUAUUAAUUAAUUAAAUUAAAUUGAAGUUUUAUUGAAAAUAAAAAUAAUUUUGUAAUUAAAAUUAGAUUAAAAAAUAUAUAGGUUUUAAUAAAUCGUAAAUAGUAAUAUUAUAAUAAAAUUAUAAAUUAUAUUUUUAACAUAAAAUAUACUAUUUAUUACAUAUUAAAAAAAAUAUUUUAUUAUAUUAAUAAUUUUAUGGUAUUAAUGAGUUUAUUAUUUAAGUUUUAAAUUAUUUUUAAAAAUUAAUAAAUUUGUUAACAAAUGCAAUGUACUAAAUGUGGUUUAAUUUGGAGUUAAUUUGUUUAGGGAAAAAAAUAAAAAAUAAAAAUCUUAUGUAAAAGAGAAAUAAUAGAGUGUGUGUGUUUUUUUUUAUUAUUUUUAAAAAUCAGUAAAAAGAACUUUUACUUAUUGCCUAAAAAUUAUUCUCUAUUUUAUUUUAUUUUUUAAAUCUAGAAAUAGAUAACAAUAAUAAAAAAAAUUAAAAAAGAAAAAUGUUUUUUAAAACUCAGACUUAUAAUUGCUUUUGUUUCUCAUUCGCACCCCUGGAUUCCUGGAUUCUAAACACAAAAUUAAGUUGAAUCGUCCAUCUAUCUUGUAAGCCAAGAAUUCACAUAGAAGAAAUAAUCGGAAUUUGAUUUGAUAUCAGAUUUAGAGUGGCUCACUACUCAUGCAUUGUCCCACAAUAGUAAUGCUUUGGGCCGAGAUAAACCCAUUUGUGGGCCCAAAUAAAACCCCUGGUUUGAAAACAUCGAUUUUACAGUGGCCCAAAAGAUUAUCUAUGAGGGGAAGAUAACUUGGAAGUCAAGCAAACACAUUUAUCGCUAACUUUUCUCUAAUUAUAAAAUUAUAACUUGGUCUUCUACACGUCUCACUUAAGAGGCGGAGCCACUUGGCACUACCUUUCCAUAUUGUAAAAGGAGAAGAAGCAGAAGGAGAAGAUUCUUAUGCCAUUCCACACACCAUGGCUAGUACUGCUAUGCUGCUUGGCCCGCCGGCUCUCCGCCAUCCUAAUUCUCCCGCCGGCACUGUCUUUGAAGAUGGGGUCAUUCUAACGGAUUCCCUGAUCGUCCGCACCAGUAAUCUGGAGCUUUCUGAAAAACCGCCACUGGAAUCCCUGGCGUAGUGCUCUGUCAGUGGGGAUAUUGCUAUGGAUUGUUUGGAUUCCCAAGCCCACAAUCUUCAUCUUCCCGGGAAACCGCCGAUGGGCUUAACGGAAAACAAGUCUCCGACCUUUUUGUCUUCCGGGAACCCGUGCUUGGACUUCUUCUUCCAUGUGGUUCCCGAUACGUCGUCUGAUGAUCUGAUCCGACGGUUUGAGUUGGCUUGGGAAUUCAAUCCGCUGACGACGUUAAAACUGAUAUGCAACUUGAGAGAGGUGAGAGGCACCGGAAAAUCUGACAAAGAGGGUUUCUACACGGCGGUUCUCUGGCUCCACGACCACCAUCCCAAAACCCUAGCCUGCAAUGCUAGGGUGUUGGCCAGCUUCGGUUAUUUCAAGGAUUUUCUCGAGAUUCUCUACCGGCUUCUGGAGGGCCCUAAAAUUCGAAGAAUCGAAAAGAAAGACUGGCUGGAUCGAAAAGGAAGGAAGAAAAAUUCCCGGAAAAGGAACUCAAUAUUCAAGCGAGAAAAUAGGCCUGGAGUUGAAUUUCCUGUAGAAGAGAAGGAUGUGGAGUAUAUGGUGGAAGAAUUUGUGGAUAAAGAAAAGGCUAGGGUACUGAGAAAGGAGAGAGAACUUGCUCUUGCCAAAAGAGCCCUGCACAAGUAUUCUACUGAUUCUAAUUAUCAGUUCUUACAUGAUCAGAUUUCAGAUUUAUUUGCUGAACUUCUGAAAUCUGAUAUUCAGUAUUUAAACUCCGGUGAGCUUUACAAGAUUAGUCUCGCAUCCAAAUGGUGUCCCACAAUUGAUUCUUCUUAUGAUAAAUCCACCUUGAUAUGUGAAAAUAUUGCUCGAAAGGUUUAUUCUCGCGAGGAAUAUAUAUCCAGAAUACCAAGGAAUUGAGGAGGCUCACUAUGUUAAUAGAGUCAGGGAUAGGUUGAGAAAACAAGUACUUGUUCCAUUACGUAAGGCCCUGGAGUUGCCAGAGGUUUUCAUGUGUUCGAACCAGUGGGGAUCACUUCCCUACAACCGUGUGGCUUCAGUGGCCAUGAAAUCAUACAAGAGCCUCUUCUCAAAACAUGAUACAGAGCGGUUUGGUGUGUAUCUUGAGAAAGUGCAAACUGGGAAGGCUAAGAUUGCAGCUGGUGCAUUACUUCCCCAUGAGAUUAUAGCUUCAUUGAAUGAGGAGGAUGGCGAGAAAGUUGCAGAGCUUCAGUGGGCGAGAAUGGUGGAAGAUUUAUCAAAGAAUGGGAGGCUCACAAAUUGCAGUGCGGUAUGUGACGUAUCAGGAAGUAUGAGUGGAACUCCAAUGAAGGUGUGUGUGGCUCUGGGGCUGUUAGUUUCAGAGCUCAGUGAAGAUCCAUGGAAAGGUAAUGUAAUUACUUUCAGUGCAAGUCCUGAGCUUCACAAGAUCCAAGGAGACAGCCUUGUAUCCAAGACUGAAUUUGUGAGGAUGAUGGAAUGGGGUGCGAACACUGAUUUUCAGAAAGUUUUUGACAGAAUCUUACAAGUAGCAGUGGAGGGAAAUCUGAGUGAAGAUCAAAUGAUAAAGAGGGUUUUCGUUUUCACUGAUAUGGAGUUUGAUGAAGCUUGUGGGAGGUAUAACUAUUGUGAAUAUGACUAUGAUAUGGAGGAAAUUGAUGAGAGUCAGAAGGCAUCUCAGAAGUGGGAGACAGAUUAUGAAGUGAUACAGCGGAAAUUCCAGGACAAAGGAUAUGGAAAAGUUCCGGAGAUAGUGUUUUGGAACCUUAGAAACUCAUCAGAGACUCCAGUGAUGGCCACAGAGAACGGGGUGGCCUUAGUAAGCGGGUUUUCGAAGAAUCUGUUAGACCUUGUUUUUGGAAGGAGGUGGAAUUCUGACCCCUCAGGAUGUGAUGGAAUUAGCCAUCUCUGGUGAAGAUUACAAGAAACUUGUUCUAUUUGAUUAAGAUAUCAAGAGAUUUAUCAAUAAUAAUAUGUUUUUUUUUUUCUAUGUGAAAUACAUGUAAUAUUAACUAUGGAGUUAUCAAAGUUCUGGAAAUUUAAUUAUUUCUUCUUUUCAAGUUUUGUUUGUCUUUGUUAGGAAUUCCCCUUGGGCGGACCCAGCUGGGGACUUGGAUUGAGGAAGUAAGGAGGCGAAAUUGUGUUCUUCUAUGGACAGAGAAAAAAGAUAAAAAUAAAAAAUAAAAAAGGAGGUUAUUUGCAUUUGGAUGUCAUGUGGUUUCAGGGUACAACUACAAGUUCGAAAUUGUACAUAAUGUGAAAAUUCCUGUGUGGAGAACAGCAUAAAUAUGUAUCUCAGUGUGUUUUGUUUGAGCUAAUUGGCAAAUUCGCUUUAAACAUGGUCACAUGGAUGCAUAUUUAUUUGUGAAAUGAUAGUAGUCGAUUACUUGGUCAGUAAGGUUUGUAUCUCUAACUCCAACAUCUUAUUGUAGUCUUUUAAAAUGUCAAAAGUUUAAUGCUAGCUUGAGAAAUUUUGGAAUGGAGACAUUCUAAACAAAGUUAAUAAUCCAUGAGACUUGGUAAAACCGAUCAGAUGAUGCUUACGUACAUGAAUGCCUUCUUUAAGCCGUAUCCUAUUUUCAUUGAAUGAGACGUGCCAUCUAGUUUUGUUCUUGUCUUGAUUGGAUCAUGAUCCCGGGAAUUGAUUACUGUUCUGAAUUUGCGAAUGUUCAAGGUAUUAGAGAAAGUUAAUAUUAUCGUUAAUUUACAUAUUAGUAUUUAUCUAGUUAUUAUAUAUUAGUUUGAAUUAUAAUAUAAUAUAGAAUUUGAAUCAAGUUUACUAUUAGUUUGAAUUACAAUAGGAAAUAAAGUUUGAAUUAUAGUAUAACUCAAAUAUAUUUGUAUAUAAAUAUCCAUCUUUAUCAAUGAGAAUAGUAAACCAUAUUUUUCUCUAUCUUCUUCUUUCUCUAUAUAUAUGGUAUCAAAGCCUCCAAAUCCUAAACCUAGUCUCAACUUAGAGCAAAUUUAGGGUGCAGGGUUUAGGCCCCGCCUCCCCCAACCCUUACCACAAAUGGUAGUGACCUUGUUAUGCCUAUGUAUUGUCAAUGCCUCAUUUUCUAUGGUCUUCAAUACAAUAUCUAGUUUCAAUGUCUCUUUCCUUACUAUCUCCAAUGCAAUAUAUUGAUUUCAAUAUCUCUUUACAACCAAGAGCUCCAAAUUUUCCUGGUUCAAAUCUACCAUAAUUUUUAUUCUCCUUUGCUUUUUACCAAUAUUAGUUCCCCUAAUUUAAUAUAUAUCUCUUUAUUACCUUCAACUCUACCUCUCUCUUUCUUUAAAAGCUUCCUCAAAGAUUUGAUUGCUUUCUUGCAUGUUUUGGGAAAACAAACAUGCUCAUAUUCUAUUACCUCUACUUGAGAUCUGCCUUAUACUCUACCUUCUUCUUUACCUCCUAUAUCAUCUACUACAUUAGCUUCAAAAACAUUAUUUAGUUUGAUGCUAAAUAAGGCUCCUAAUCCUACCCUUCCUUCAACUAACUUUCUUUUACAAGUCCCUCAAAGUUUUUUUUUUUUUUUUUUUGGAAAUUUGGCUUAGAAAGAUUUCAUUACUCUUACCUAAUCUUUCAACCAUCAAGUCGAAUCCACUUAUCUCUUGAAUCCAAGGAGACUACCCUCCACAAAAACAAGGAGAUUGACCCCCACAAUAACAAAGAGAUUGUCCUCCAUAGAAACAAAGAGAGCUUCCUUCAUGGAAGCCGAAUACAUCGCAAUCUAUUUUCUUUCUCUCAAGAUCAAAUCUCCAAUCGGAGCUCCAUCUUGUGGGGAUAUAUUAGAAAAAGUUAAUAUUAUCCUUAAUUUACAUAUUAGUAUUUAUCUAUAUUAUAUAUUGAAUUAGAAUAGAAUAUAGAAUUUGAAUUAAGUUUACUAUUAGUUUAAAUUACAAUAGGAAAUAGAGUUUGAAUUAUAGUAGAACUCAAAUAUAUUUAUAUAUAAAUAUCCAUCAUUAUCAAUGAGAAUAGUAUUCCAUAUUUUUCUCUUUCCCUGAGGCUUCAGAAUGUGAUCUUGAACAUUUGAUCUUUUGGAUUCUUCUUGUUUCGGUGGUUUAAUAUAAUGGAAUGUUUAAUUAUAGCCUACUUUAUCACCAUGGAUGUGCUCCUGCAGAUUUCUUGAGGGUGAUGGUUAUUUUGUCAUGUUUCUUGAAUGGUUUGCAUCAGCUGCCUGAGCUGUUGUUGCUGGUCACUUUUGCAACCAGGGAAAGAAUCAUGGCUUUGGAGAAGCCAGCUUCUGUUUUUGUUGCCCAGCUGUUAGUUCACUAAGAUUGGGGGUCCUAACAUGUAUGUAUAAUCAUAAGCAAGGAAAUUUUAUGUCUUACGCUAGAUAGGUACCAUGAUAUGAUGUUUGAUUGAUUUAUUAACUCUACCUGUUUCAAAAGGCAUCAACAUUAAUUUUACCCUUUUAACACAUUGGAUUGUUUGACCUUACGAGAUUUUCUAUUUCUGUACUAUUUGAACUGCAAUCGUUAUGGUCCUUAGGUCUCUAAACCUUCGUUUAAAAUAAAAGUAAGGAGCACACAUAGUAAAAGUUAAUUUUGGGUAACUUUUAAAACAAAGAGAAAAGUAAAAGUUGUUUUUGAGAAAAACAUAUAGAAAUUGAAAGAUUUUUUAUUUUGAGAAAAAAAAGUCAUAGAAAAGAAAUAAUAUCCCCAUAUAAGUAGAUAUGAUCUAUCCGAAGUGUAGCUACUCUCCUGGAUUUAUUCUAACAUUUUAAAAUUUUUCUCAAUGGGCAAAGGAAUAUCAAAUCAAGCUUGAGUAGGAUUAAUUUCUUAAUUUUUAAAAUAACUUAUAAUUAAAAUUUUUUGGUGUUUUCUUUUUUGGACAAUUUUUUAUGAAGACUCUGAAUCAUGCAAGAGAUAUGGUUAUUUUAAAAAAAAAAAUAAUUUAAAACUCAAAUACAUAAUCAAUGUCACAAAUUUAUAAACAAAAGGUUUUUAAAAAAUACUAUUAUUUCCCCUCUACACAUAAUUUUACUUUUCCGAUUUAUUUAUUUUUGUUGGAAAACAGUCUUCAAAUCAAGUAAAAUUAAUAUGUUAAAUUUGUUAAACAAAUAAAUUUUAAAAUACAAUUUGGAACUCAAAAAUCAAUUCAAGUAAUGCUAAAAUUCAAAAAAUCAAAUUUGGAAUAAAAUGACUUUGUAAAUUUUUUUACUAAACAAAUGAAUUUUAAAUCAAGUGAGAUUUAAUACAUUGGAUUUUUAUGAGAAUAGUAAUUUUAAAAAUUAAUUUGGAACUCAAAAAUAGACACAAUAAAUACCAAAAAUCAAUGAACCAAAAUUGGUUUGGAAUAACUCCAUAAUUUUUUAUUUAUUUAUAUAUUUAUUUUUUUGUGCACACGAAUUUCUUACUAAGCAUAUUGCUUCCAAAUUGAGAAAAAUUUACUAUUUAGAUUUUUUUAAUGAGUUUAAUGGUAUUUAAAAAUAAUUCAAAAAUUCGAAAAUUGACUAAUUUAAUAUUAUAAAUUCAUAAACCAAGACUAAUUCAAAAUGCAUUGGGGGCUAAGGGGGUUGAAAUUAAUGCUCCAUUUGGUUGUGGCCACCAAUUGGCAAUGGCCACCAAUCAACCAAUCAAGGUGGCUAAGGGGGUUGAAAAUAGGGACAAUGGGGUGGGUUUGGGACAGGACACUCAUAUCCCAUUCCCAUCCCAAUUACACAGUUAUUUCCCAUCCUUAUUCCAAACUUGUGUUGGGGCAAGUUGAUUUGUUCCCAUCUUUGUUAACGAAAUGACUAAUAACCUCAUCCUCUCCUUGUCUUAGAUGUACAUUUUCUCAAAUUUGGUCAGGUAUGAUUGAUUCAAGCCCUAACCUUAAUUGGUAAUGAGUGGAUACCACACCUAAUUGCAUUCUUCUUUCGUUGCAAAAUAAUGAGAUUAUAAUAAUCUAGCAAAUAAGAAAAAAUAGUAUGGAAGUUCAAAUUAACACCAUAACUAUCAAUAAUUUUAAGCUUAUAGAUGACUUAAAUGAUUGAAAACUAAUGCAAAAUACUAAAAAAAAAAAAAAUCAUCUAAAGAAUUCACAAGAGAAUAGAACGAACAAAACCAAAUAGGAACAUGGGUCAACAUUAGUUACAGAUUUUGAUCCCUUUCAAGGCCAAUCUUUGAACCAAGACUUCAUCAAAUCUACUACUUCAAAGGCUUUUGUGUUCUUCUUGAGUUGUACUCUGGAACAAAGACUUCGAGGUGAUGCUUUAGAUGAUUGCAUUACACAUAUUUAGGGUAGGGAGAUUGGAGAAGCUUGAAGAUGCCAACGAUGGGUACAAUUGAGUGGUCAAUAAGAACAAUGUGGCCUAUGACUAGUUUGAUGUCAUGGUAUAGGAGUUUUGGGCAUUGAGGUGAAAGCAAGAGCAACAUGGAAUUGAUUUCAAAGUCUUUCAAUUAGUGUAAAGGAGGAAGAAGAAGUGGUAUUGAUCCUAGAAAUAGUGUUUUAGGUGUUGCAUUAGAGGAAAAGAAAAAGAAAAAGAAGGAACCAUUGGAAUUAGUACGAGUGUGAAGAGAGAAGUGUAUACAUAAGGGGAAGUAAAAGCAAAGUUCUAAAAAUUUAUUUUUUUAUUGGUGGUGUAUGGUUGCAUGAUUAUCCCUAUAAAUAAUAGGAGUUUUUUGGUGUUCUACUAGUAGUUGAAGGAUAAUUUCAUAAGAUAAUAUUUAGAGCGGGGUGGGGUGAGUUGUGACAAAAUCCAUACCCGUCCCAAACAUUGGUUCAGGUUUUUAAAAUAUUUUCAAACUUAUCAUAUACCCAAUUUUAUAUUUCAUACUUGUCCUAAUAGAGACAGGUUAGUCAGGGUUACUUGAGUAGCCUACAAAACUAUCAUCCCUAGUUGAAAUGCUCUUUUUGGCAGUGGCAGCUAGAAGCUCGAUCGAUUGACCUACAAGACUAGUUGUCAUCAUUUUAAAAAGAGUUUUGGCUUUGGUUGUGAGUGCAAUUGAAUCUAAACUAACAUUUCCUUAAUGCAUCUACUUCAAUCCUAAACUUCUUACUUAAGCCUCAAUUGUUGUUAAGAUUUUGGAAAACCCAUUUCCUUAAAUUGUAAAUUUAAGAAAAAAAAAAUUAAAAGUGAGACAUUUCUUGAUUGAAUGUUGUUAAAGGUCCCUUGGAAUUAAGACUUGGUUGAAGCCUUGGAAGAUUAGCAGAACUCUCAACUUAUGUUUGAACCUUGAGGAGAGUGGACGUAGGCCAAAAUUUUGUCAAACCAUUAUACAAAUUGAGUUUGAAUUCUCAUUUCUUGAUUUCUUAUUUAUUUGCUUUUUCUUAUUAUUACUUGAAUUGUCAUUUGCAUUCAUUAAUGUUAAAAUUGGUUAUAAUUAGCCAACACUAAUUCUCUUUCCCCUUCCCUUAAUUUCUUGGGUGUAAACCUAGGUUGGAUUAACUAGAUUUUAUCAAAUCUAUUAAGAUGGUAAAAGAAUAAUUAUUCUUAACAUACAUAAGAUCAUCUUCAAUCAAAUGACUCAUUGGCUGAUAUGUUGAAUUUGCUUAUUACUUGCAACUCAAAAUUGUGUUCUAGUUGAUAUGUCAAGUCCUGAGUGUAUGGACAUUAAAUUUGUAGUACGUGAUGAGUAUUUAGAUGGUCCAAUUCCAAGAAAGUGAUUGAAAACUAGUUCAAGAAAGGUGCAAAAGGGAAUUGUUUUGGUAUUUUCGUUUUUAUUCUUGAAGGUGGCAGAGCUAAAAUUUGAGAAAUCAAGCAAAACAUACUGAAAUUACAUUGAAAGAAAGAAAAUGGGAGUUAAUGUCUUGCAGUACAUGAUAAGGACUUCAUGCAUGUAGUGUGACCCAUGUCUUGGACUGAUGCCACACUCACGGUUACACUUAUACCCUUAGUUCUCUCUUUACUACCUUAGCUAACCUAGAUCAGGUUAUGAGAUAGGCACCUCACCACACCAUUACUUGCCCAUUAAUUAGUGACAUUUUCAAGCAAUGAGGUAACAUGGUGACACCAAGAGGGUAUAUUCCUCACCCCCAACAAGCCUAGACCUGGUCUAAAAAAAAUGGAGAAAAAUGACGUGUUGUUAUGCAGAAAUAUAGCAACCAUGCCUUCCUCAUUACUUAGAUUCAGAAUGUGAAGGUGAAAUUGAGAAACAGAAACUCUUGAAACCAAAAUGAAAAUUGAUACUUUUACGAAGAAUUACAACAACAUUAGAGGAAGACUACAUUCUUCCUCUUUAUUCCUACAUUUCUACACUACUUCUACUCCACUCCAUAUUUCUACAUACAUCUUUAAUCAGUCUUCCCUCCUUUAUAUAGAGCCAUCUUCACACAAAUUCCGCAAGGUAGAAAAGAGGAAUGAAACUUGGAGCAAGGUUCGACUACUGGCUGUAGCUUGUCAAGGCUGAAAGUGAACUUUUUUUCUUGGCUUUUCUGGGCAUAGGUAGUAACUUGUAGGUUCCUUUUUGGAAUGAAAAUGGUACGGCUAGAACAUGUGGCACUCUCUUGUUGGAUGAUGUGUCAAGCAUGUGGCAGCCAUCUAGUGGAGAUUAUGUCAAUUUUGGGAUGGAGAGUUGGCAUCCAAUUGCAAAGAAAUAUGACAUCUACCAACAUGCAAUGUCAACCUAUGUAGAUCAUAUGAAGAUAGAGAGGAAAAAUAUAGAAAUGGAUAUAUAACUAGAACUAGCUUUUUAUUAAAUGAGACGGAGAGCCAACAAUGAAGGAAAAUCAAAAUUUUUGGCUCAUAUCAAAGAAUUCACAUUGUGUUACCCUAGGUUUUCUUAAAACUUACUUUUAUGAUAAUAAAAAAUCAUUAUUGUUUAAUCCUUUGUUUUAAACGCAUGUUUAGCAGGUUGUAAAAUGUAAAUAUCUUUCGAAAUUCAAAUAUGAAGAUAUGACAUCAUUUCAAGCAAUAUAGUCUCUAGGAAUUAAUGUAAAGCUAAAUUAAGGUGCAAUUAAGUUAGUUCAAUGCAUUAUUUUAAGAAACUUGACCUAUCAAAACCUUGUCUUACUUCAAAGCCUCUUUUUCUUUUCUUCCAACUAACAUUUUAAUAAGUGAUCGCAAAAGUACAAAAUUAGAUGAAAUCCAUUUCAAUGGUUAAAAUGAUCAAAUUCAAACUUUUUCUAAGUAUCUUUUAAAAGCAUCAAUAUUGAAAGACAAUUUUAUAUUUAGUCAAAGCUUGGACAGAGCCAAAAAGCACACAAAAAUUUAUAUUUUCUAGCUCUCUACCUUGGAUGGUCUCUUGAUCCUACUUGGAGAUGUGCAUAAAUAAAAGGAUUUGAAAAUGACAAUUGACUAAGUAUGUAGUCAAUCAAUUACUCAUUGAUUGACUAGUUGAUCAAUUAACUUUGCAACAUCAUAUGCAAUCCUAAUAGCUAGUCAUCUAAUCAACUAGGUAGUAAAUCAAUAGGCCAAAAAUAUGUUUAUAAUGACUAUUUUGUACAAAAACCACUUAUAUAGUUAAAUAUAAUGCAUUUCAUUUAUAAAUCUUCUAAUUCUUGAAUAACAAUCCUAUCAUCCUUUGAAAGUUUUUAUUACACCUUUUCUACAUUUGUUCUAAAACUUAUACAUCACCCUUAAUUGUACCAUGAGAACCUAGCAUUUUUUUUUUUUUUUUUGUAUUUCAUCAAAGUUAGCUCUUGUACUCAUUGUUGUAUUAUUUUUAUUGUAACUUAGAGAGCGAGUGUUUUCAAGUGAGUGAAAUUGACUUGUAAAUAUUGUAAAGAUUCAUUGAUAUGUAUCUCAAACUAGGUGUACAAGUUGAAACAUUUGCUAGUAGAUUUUCUCAAGAUUUAGAAUGAGCUUAAGGCUAUCGAAUUAGGUGGGGUUGCGCCAAACCAUAUCACAUCGUUGUUUGCACCUUUUUUUUCACUCUCUUUUACUUAGUUGCUCUAUAUAUAUUGUCUAGCAAUAUCCUAAAGGCUUGAUGGGCUAGGGAGCAUCCCUCUGAAUGAAAAAUUUUCAUUCAAUUCUUAGUUGUAUUACGCAUAUAUAAAAUGCCUCAUUGUUUUAAUGGUAUUCAGUCGUGGCACCACAGAUAUGGACAUCUAAAUUUUAAAAGUUUGAAACUUUUAGCUAAAGAAAAUAUGGUGCUUUGCCUUUUUGGAAAGCAUGUUGAUGAAAUCCAUGAGAAUUGUAUACUUGGAGAGCAACAUCGAGAUAACUUUUUUUUUUUCUUUUUUUAUAAUGCAUUGUUUGUCCAAAUUCCGUACAAAUUAGGCCACCACAUGUUCAUAAUUCUCCCUUCUUGAAUUUGAAAACUCGGACAAUUUGACAAUGCGACACCUAAGUCCGGUUUUUAAAUGCUAAAGUGAAAGGGCAGGUAUGGACCAUUGAAAUGUGAUAACAACUUUUGGCCUUUUCCUUUUCUCUGUAGCCAUGUUGUCUCUUUUUAAUUUCUUUUGCAUGAUUUUCUUACCUAAACAGAAUCAUAGACUUGUUUAAUCUCUAAGUGGGAUUUCAUCCACCUUAAGCUACUGUAUUAUAUCUCGGUGGAGGACAACCGACAUAGAGCACAUGCAAGUGGGUAUAUGGGACAUGAAAUAUCUUCUUAUAAAGCUUGUUUUGCAGUUAAAUUAAUUGGAUAAGUAGACACUGGCGUUUCUAAAUUUCCCACCUAAGAUAAUGACCUUAUCCUUGACUGCUAGAUACACAAACAAUUAUACCUUCAAAAUCUACUGUGAAGUGCUUCAUGUAUGUGUGAAGUAUUAGAAAUUUCUUUCUUGGCAACUUGUUUUUUUCUUUGCGGUCUACUGAUAGGUUUGACUAAAAUUAUAUUCCCUGUCCUGCUAAUUAAUUUUCACGUGCAUGCUCAAAAGAAGAGUAUGACCUUAGUGCACCAAAAUCACUUUCAAUAAUUUGUGAUAAGUUUUUUUGCAUGACAUUAACCUUAUUCAUUUAGAUAAUGUUUAGUUCUCAUAAAUAUUAAGAAAAUGAAAAUAAAUAUUAAGAAAAAUAUUCUUAUAUUUGAUUGUAUUAUGAAAAAUAUCAUAAAAAAUCAAAUAUAAUUAAAAUUAAUUAAUAAUUUAUAUAUUUUAAAAUUAUUUAAUUUUUAUAUUAAAGAUAUAAUAUAAAUGAAAUGAGUUUUAAGUAUUAUAUAAAAAUGAUUUAUUUAUUUAUUUAUAUAUAUAUAUAUAUAUAUAUUUAGUUUUUCUCUUUAUUUUAUUUUCCUUAUGUUUUCCUCACAUUUUCCGGAAUCAAAGAUAGGGAAAUCCACAAUUACCUUCAACUGAGUAGAUUCUAUUGUUUUAGCAAUGUUAGGCUGCUAACUUGUGGUGGUACGAACCAAAUGAUCCAUGUUAAUCUUGGCUUGAUUUAAUUUGGCUCUAUCUCAGAGAACUCAAGGAUCACGUCAACUCUGGUUUCUACUAUUCAGGUCCAUUCCCAGAUGAACUGGUUCAAAUUUGAGAAAAUGGUAACAGACCUUUAGUGAUAUUGGUUUGGAGCCAGUUGCCAAACCUGCCCUGAGCUUUACCACUAAUGUCAAGGGACAAAGCCAUUUGAACAAAAACAAUAGCUUCAAGAGACUGAAUCGUGGAUGAAAUCUGAUCCACAUUUCUUCUCAUUUUGGGAAAAAAUGAGGACUUAACCACAAAGAUUCUACUGCCUCAUAGUGCUUUUCCUGAUCUAAGGUUGGCUCGUUUCCCAAAUUGUGAGGUGCACGUGCCACUCUCACGCUCAGGAGUGUAUCCACGUGGUGGACAUAAGAUGGUGGCUUAAUAUCUGGUGUCGGUGGCUUUACUUUACUAGGAGAGUAGUGUGUCUUCAUCUCAUUCACUGCCAGAGGGUGGCGUAAGCAGUGACGCUAAGGUGGGGCACAGUCAAUAUCAUUUGCAUUUGACCAUUAUAAUUUUCUCCCGGCUUUAAAGUAACCUUAUCGUGAUAAUGGAUUACUAGCACUAGUUCAGAUGACAGUCAUGUUAAAUUCGGACCAUGUUUGUGUCACAUUAUCAGCAACCAUGUGCUUGUGGUUCAUGCUAUCUGCAACUAAACUUGAUAUAUAACCAGGUGAACUUCAAUCUAAAUUCUGGAAGUACUCAUGUGAUAGAUGGUGCCUGUCUGCAGUGAGUGUAUCUAUAAGAGGGAAGGCUUGGCAAAUGUUCAGUUUUCUGGGAAUUCAACAGGGAUCUAAAAUAGAUUGUUUUCUUUGCUGAUUUCAAUGGUUGAAAUUUGAGAAGAUUGUGUCCACAUAACACAACUAUUACUGGUCCUUCUGUUGCAAUUUAUCCUCUAAGGCUCUAACAUGUCUUCCAAUUCCCACUUCCCACUUCCCUGUUACUCCAGGAAAGCUGUUUCUGUCAUUGUGAAGAAGAAAAGAGACUGUACAUAUCGAUGCUUUUAAGUGGACUGGAGAAUUCAUAUCAGGUGGUCUGCAGCCAUACAUGCCACUUUGUGAAGGUUGGAACAGUCAAUCACUAGGCUAUAUUAGUGGGGCCCAGCCACUUCAAUCAAGGACAAGUCUUCAUACUUAAAGUCAAAUUCUGCCUUUAGUCUCAUUAUAAAUUGCUGUUUAAAUAUCAAGCAAACAUUUGUUUAAUGCGAUUAAGACAGCACUAACUCAAUACUUGUUCUAUUUUUGGAUGCAAAUGCUUGAUAGUUUCAUCAUUGGAGGGGAUAAAGGUGCAUUCAUGAUUAUGAAUACUUGUAGUUAUAUUUUCAUUCUCUUUUUUCUCAAUGGGACUUGUUGGCACAAUUUUGCUGUUCAGAAACCUACCUCUCCAUGGAAAAUCAGUUGUGAUUGAUAUUACUGGAUAUAUUCAAGAAAGCUAAAUGUAGAUAGCACAAAAUAUUAUCGACAUAAAUAGCAUUAACAGCGUACGUAUGUCUCAAUGCUCAUCAGCUAUAAGCAAGGGGCAAACACUUACUAUGAGCAACUUACGUCAAAAUUCCGGAAUAGGACAUAGAAGUGACAGGUCAGUAAAUAUAGAACACUGCAUAUGAGUCACAAGAAAGGAAAUUACGGGUACAUAGCAGCUCUUAUUUUACAUCCUACUCAUACUGAUCAAAGUCACUCAGUUGGGAUGGGUGGGAGUGGGAGGUUUGUGGGGUGGCUUGUGCGGAGGAGUUGGCAGCUUCUUUCCAGGACCUGGUUGCUUCUCUGCUGGAGUUGAAGGAGGCUUAAUCUUCCGAGGUGGCUUGUAUGAGUCUUCAGCAUUCUCAGCAGGAGGGUGACCAGGGUUGUGACCACAAUGUGGUGGCUUCUCUCCCUUAGGUGGUUUGCCAACUGGGGUUGGUGGCUUGUGUUCCGGAAGUGGCUUCUCUUUGUGUUCAGGAGGUGGCUUCUCCACUGGAGGCUUGUGUUCAGGAGGUGGCUUCUCCACCGGAGGCUUGUGUUCAGGAGGUGGCUUCUCCACCGGAGGCUUGUGUUCAGGAGGUGGCUUCUCCACCGGAGGCUUAUGCUCUGGUGGUGGCUUCUCCACCGGAGGCUUAUGCUCUGGUGGUGGCUUCUCCACCGGAGGCUUAUGCAAUGGUGGUGGCUUCUCCACCGGAGGCUUGUGUUCAGGAGGUGGCUUCUCUACCGGAGGCUUAUGCUCUGGUGGUGGCUUCUCCACCGGAGGCUUAUGCUCUGGUGGUGGCUUCUCCACCGGAGGCUUGUGUUCAGGAGGUGGCUUCUCCACCGGAGGCUUGUGUUCAGGAGGUGGCUUCUCCACCGGAGGCUUGUGCUCUGGUGGUGGCUUCUCCACCGGAGGCUUAUGCUCUGGUGGUGGCUUCUCCACCGGAGGCUUGUGUUCAGGAGGUGGCUUCUCCACCGGAGGCUUAUGCUCUGGUGGUGGCUUCUCCACCGGAGGCUUGUGUUCAGGAGGUGGCUUCUCCACCGGAGGCUUAUGCUCUGGUGGUGGCUUCUCCACAGGAGGCUUGUGUUCAGGAGGUGGCUUCUCCACCGGAGGCUUAUGCUCUGGUGGUGGCUUCUCGAAUGGGGGAUGCGUAGGGUAAUCAGCUAGUGAGGGGGCGGUGAGAACCACCAGGCCAAGCAACACUACUAGCAAGUAUGUAGGAGACAUCUUUGGGUUUGGGCUCAGAUGGUGCAAAACUAGGAGAAUUGGCUAGCCUUUUAUAGCGGAUCGUACCCAAUAAUGAAAUGACACGUGUCAUUAUGACCCAUGUGUCAUGUGGUCGAUUUGGGUCCUACAGUGUUGAAAACUUCGACAUCCACUUUUUUGGCCUUUUGCUUUCUCUACAGUCGCCUUGCUUUUUCCCUCUUUUCUUUUGUUUUCCUCCUGCCCCAUUCUAUCAACUAAUCACAAUUAUGUAGUUGUUUAAUUCUUAAAUGAGAUAUUAUCCGUCAAUCAUAUUAUCUUUUAUCAAGAGAGAACGGAGUGAAAAGUGGCAAUCCAAAGAAAGAAGAUCCAUAAUGCAGCUGUAAUUUUAUCGUUUACUUUUAUCUCUAGGACCACUGCAUUUUUGUUGAGAGGUGCAAUAAUACACGUCUUUAUCUGCCAUUCAAUGUUUACAGUAAAGAGAGGGCACAAAACUCUUCACUGCUCUGCAUGUGCCCCAAAAAUGCAAUUGGACAAAUUAUGAUUUGCAUGCUAAAAAGAGGCAAAUGAGGUUAAUUAGCACCAAAAUUAUUUUGUUUUCUGGACACCCCGGGGCCCUUUGGUUGGUUUGGGGGUCAGAAAAUGAACAUCAUAGGGGGUUUUUCCCUAAUGUGCAUUUGCAUUUGUAUCUGAUGGCUUUAACUCGCCUUGUUACUACAAAGAAAUUGUCACAGAUAGGAACUUAUUCCAGGCUGAGUAUCUCCGCAUGGACCCUAUAAAAGAAGACAAGUCAUAAUGAACAUCUAACCUUUGUUCAAUUUGAUUCAAUGCCCCUAUUGUGUCCAUCUCACAAAUCUGAAUUAUUAUAUCCAUUGAAUACAUAAAUUAAUGAAGAAAAUAUGAAACCCAAGAUACAUCUCUGCACAACCUCAACCCUGGUUGCUAUGUUUCACUUCUAUUCACAUGAGGAUAUUGAUUACGGAAUAAGGAAACCUAGCAAGGGUUUACUCGGCUCUGGUUUGAUGCUAAUUGCCAAACUUGCAACAAGCCCUGAGUUUGACACCUAAUCGAUGGGCGAAUUAAAAGUCUCCUCCAAACAUAUAUUCCACAGCUUGAAGCUCACAGAAGAUGCUAUACAGGCAGGGAAAAACCUUCAGAGUUAGCUACCAAAGAUAAUUAUCAAGGAGAUAUCACCAAGAGAAUUCCAUGGAGUCUGAAUCAAAGACAAAUUGCUCGCUCGUGGGGGUUCUUACUUAAUUUCUUUUGGGUAUAACUCACUGAGGGCACUGGCUUUGUUAUUUGCAUUUCGCAUUUAGAGUUCUGUUCUGGAAGGUUUGUUCUGGAAACAUAUAAAAGGAGCAUCAUUUUGUUCUAGGGUAACCCAUAGUUGUGAGUGGGUCCAUUUGCAUGCUACUUAGUUGAAAAGUUGGACAAUUUGCUCCGACGCCUACCUCCUGGAUUCCAUGCUCGGAUAAAGCAAGAAUAAUAAAAUAUUUAUAAUUUACAAAUGGGGGAAAGAAAAAAAUGUCAACAACAAACUAGGAAAAAAGAGUAGUAAAAUUUAUGCCACAUGCUAUUGAUAGAAGGGGCAUGUAUUAGAUCCAUCACCAUUUGGUAAGAUUUUAGUAUUAUAUUUUUCAAGGUUCAUUAUUUGAGGGUGUGUUCUUCAUCUCUGUUGCAUUGCUUCUUACUAGGCCCACUGAGGUGGGUUCUUCACCUUUUGUAUAUUCUCUGCACUAGAUCAAUGAGAAAGGGGGAAUUUUGGUGAAUUUGCAGCCGUUGGAUGAUUGAUUCUAGGCUCAGUCCACCAAUGAUGCUCUCUUCACUCUUUCUCAUCUAGUGUCAUUCACAACUAUGUUUUGAUUCAUAUUUGUACUAUCAAAGAUAUCUCAUUAUUCUAGCUCAUUAGGUAGAGUUCCUAAUCUUCCUCCUUUUUGGUCUAUGGACAGUAUUGGCUUCAUAUUAAGAUCAUGUUUCAAUAAUUGCACAUUAAUGAAUGGAUCAUGACCCACAUAAACAGAGUCAGGGUUGAGUCAGUGAACCCUAAAAUUUCACAAUUCUAAAUUUGGGUUCUUUAACAAUGCAGGGUCAAGGACGCGUGGUGAUGAAGGAAAGCUGGUAAGCUCAGUGUUACUUCAAUUCCUGCCAUGUAGGAUGGUGAGGAGAUAUUCACUAUGCAAUUAAUAAUAGACAAUAUUCACUAUGCAAUAAUAAAGCAUAAAUUAAGUUGAAUGAAAAGCAUUUUCUUUGCAAGGAGUUGAUUUUGGUUUCAUAGUUUGUUCAACUGCUAUUUUGGAUAGGAAAGUGUGAGGAGAAGAAAAUAAAAAAUAAAAAUAAAACAAAAAAUAAAAAAUAGAUUUUAUAAAUUCAUUUAAUUUAUUUUUUUUUUAUAAAAAUUAACUAAUUUAAAAUAUAUGUAAAUUUCUAAUUAAUUUAAUUACAUUUUUUUUUUCAGUUUUUCAUAAUAAACCAAAUAUUAGAAAAUUAUUUUUAUUAAGACACCCAAGAUGAGGUAAUAUGCAAUGAAAACAUGAAUUAUAUUAAAAUUCAAAACAAAUUAAGAGAAAUCGGAAAAUAUACAUAGAUAUCUAAACAAAGAAAUUUAAAGAGAAGGAACCACAAACUUUAUUUACAUAAUUUGAAAAUAAAAAACAUAAAACAUACUUAUAGUAAGGAGAAAUUGAAUAUCUUACAAUGGAAGAAGGGAGAAAAGCUUUGAAGAAAGCUUUUGCUUGGAAGCUUACAUGGUGAGAGGUAGAGAAAGGAGAGAGAGAGAAGAAAAUGAAAAAUGAGAAGUGGAGAAAAUUGGAAGUUUUGUGUGCUUACAACUGAGGAUAGAGCCUCCUUAAAUAGCAAAAAAUGGAAUAUUAAAUAGUACCAAUCAGGAGACAAAAUAUUGUUUGCUUUUGAAACCCGUGCAUGAAUAGUAAUCCCGUGAGUGAAUAGUGAAUAAUAAAAGUGAAUAGUAAAAGUCACUUUCUACUAUAGCACUUUAGACUUUUUCAUCGAGAAUCUUACUUUCGGCUGAGUGAUGAUAGCUGAUAGGUUGCUUUGGAUUGUGGAGUCAUAUGUUUGAUGUUUUCGGUGCUGAAACCGCUUAGUUGGAGAAUAAUCUCGUCAGUAGAGCAUCAUGAGAAGCUUGAAUGGAGAGAGCUUAAUGAUGCCAUAUGAUUGGAAGGAAUCCUAUUUUAAUUUCCUUAUUGGAGGGAGAAUACCCUCACAAUCAUCUUCAUUAUCUUGAAGGUAGUUUGAUAUAGAGUCAUCUGACUCAGCAUAAGAGUCCUCUUGGGAGAAGCUUGAACUGCUUUUGUCAAGGAUUUUCUGAAAUUCUUGAGGGGUUUUUGCUAUUGCUAACAUGGUUUGGAGUUGCUGUUUCUUAAGAAGAAACUGUGCAAUAUCAUAAGAUGAUGAAGCUUGUGUAGGAUGCUUUAGGAAAUAUUGCUUUAUUGCUUGUAGUGAGGUAUCAUUUUUCAAGGCAUCCCACCACUUAGACUUGAAAGUCCUUCCAAGGGUUGGAAAGGCUGCUGAUUCAUCUGCUAUAAUGAUAUAAUCCCACUGGACUAUCCAGGCAAGGCCAAAUUCACUAAAAAAGAAUAAUAAUUGGGGAAAACUGAAAGUUCUCUAGGGAUAACAAAAGAACUUUGGAAUAGCUCAAAGCCAUCCAAAAUGGGUUUUGGGAGAAUUUUAAUAGUUGGACCAAAAUAUGUCCACCAAUUGUGGAACCAAAAUGGAAAAGAGGGGAGUUGAUGCUUAGAUGGGAAAUAGAACAUCCCUGAAUGAUGGAAGUCCUUGUUCUGGAUCAGAAAAGCAUUGAACCAUACUCUUUGGUAGUCUCAAUAAUUGAAAAUUUUAGGUUUUGAAGGCUUAGAAAAUUCUCUUGAAAAAUUAGGAUUCCCACCCCACUGCUUAACUGUAAGGAUUUUAUAAAUAUGGUAAGUGGAGAAUGCCAAAUCCAAAUUGCUGAAUUUAUCAGCAUUGUGCUUGAUUUUAACAGAGCCGGUUUCCAUAAGGAUUGCUUCAUAAAAUUCUCUUGUUUUUAAAAGAUCACCAAAGGGAUAAUGAAAAUUUUCAUGAAAAGCUUUUGCUGCAAUAUCUCUAGGGUUUUUAGAGAAAAACUCUUUUUCAAUAACCAAAAGAGGUUGAUUUAAAUCUUUUUGCCAAUAUCUUGCUUUUGCUGAAAGAGGUGUGGGGUUGGCUACCACCACAAUUUGCUUAUUUGAAAAAGAAGAGCUUGAUGCUAAUUCAUUUUGAGAGGGAUUAGCUUUAGUAACCUGCUUAAAGGUCUGAGACACAGUAAUAGUUGGAUACUGAGUAGCCUUGACUGGUUUAGAAGGAUUCGAAGGAUCAUAGUACAAGGACAAAAUCUUAUUAGGCAUAUGGUCAGAAGAAUGAAGCCUUGCUUCUUCUUCUAGCUCAACUUGUUGGCUCCAAAGUAUUUUAUGGGGAGAAGGUUCUUUGCUGGUUUUAGAAGACUAGGAUUCUGGAAGUUUAGGAGCUUGGGUAUUCUUUUUAGGGGCCAUGGUUUCGUGAAUCCUGUAAAAUUCACAAGUUAAGAAAUCAGGGCUCGAAGAAUGUUCUCCUUUAAUAUACUCAAUUUGUAAAUUAAAAUUGCUUAAAAUAGCUUGAUAUAUAGCAAAAAUAUGCUUAGAAGUUAUAUUCUUAACAUCCUUUUGUAAAACUAAUUUUGCAAAUUUACAAUCAACUCUUAAUAAAAACUUUUGAUUCAAAAGAUCAUCUUGAAAUUUUGAAAUGCAUAAAACAACGCUUAAAGUCUCUUUUUUAAUGAUGUUAUGAAUGAGUUGGGUAGUAUUCCAGGUUCUUGAAGUAUACCUAACUAACAUCUCAAGGUUACCAACACUUUGCUUAAGAAUCCCACCAUAACCUAUGUCUGAGGUAUCGAUCCCAACAAACUCAAAGGUUUCUGGAUUGAUAGAGCCUAAACAUGGUAGGGUCUUGACUUUGGACUUAACAUCAAUAAUGAAAACAAUGGUGAAAACAGAAAACUGGUUAAAGUUUUCAUCCAUUAUAUUCUGGAAUUCUGAGGUGCAUUCUUAAGAUCAAAGGGCAUUAUGAACCAUUCAUAAUGUCCAAGAGAUACCACAAAGGUGGUCUUAUUUGGAAUAGGACACCUAAUCCAACUUAAUGUAUCAUUAAGAGGCAUGUAGUUGACGACUAGUCUAGGUGUUCCUUUUUCUGAUUCAACUUGUUCCUGAACAUAGAAGGUUGAACAACUCCAAAGGGACUUAGACUUCCUUAUCAACUUUUUAUCAAGAAGAUCCCAAAUCUCCUUAUCACAAUAGCUUAACAAACCCUUGUUCAUCUGGAUAGGUCUUGAUUUAGUGGGAAUAUUCUUGUCACUAAAGUCUAGUUCAUAAGGUAAUUCUACCUCAUGUUGUUUCCUAUGCCAAAAUGCAUUAGGAAUGUUAGAGCAAACUUCUUCAACAAUCAGAUUAAUUUCUUGCUCAUGACUUUCCUUAGCUUGAAUCACCUGAUCCCUUAAGGUGUUUAUAUUUUUCUUAUUAGGUGGUUGGCAAAUUCAAAAAUAAUUUCCUUAUCUAAGAGCUUUGUUCUUAUACUUUGGUCAUCUACCCACAUGGGAUAGAUGGAGCUUAAAAAGGGGAUUCCAAGGAGAGCUUUCUCCUUAAGAUCCUUAACUAGAAUGAAGGUUUGCUUGAUGCAAAUGCCUUGGUUAUUUAUGUGAGCAUCUGACAGCUUAUACUCAAUGUCAAGCCUUUUACCAUUAGCUCCAAAGAGAGAUUCUUUGGUUUUCUUACAAAACUUAAUAGGACCUAGACCUUCUUGUAGGCAAUUCAAAGCUGUUCCUGAAUCAAUCAAAGCAACAAUAUCAAUGACAAAUUUACUCUUAAUUACUAUAGUAAGGGAGACUUUCCACCUCUGGAAAAUAACCCUACUAACAGUAUUUAAGUAUCCAUCCGUCUUUUCAUCAUUAGCAUGUGAAGAUUCUAGAACCUCUUCAAGGUUUUCCUAGUUAUCAACAAGAUUUUCUAUAACAAUCCUAUUUAUUUGUUCUUGGAGAUCUGAAAAACCUAAGCUUGUGUAUUGUCUUAAAUCUUUAAUUUCCUUCUUAUACUGUCUUACUUCUUCUUGAAGAUCCUUAAUGGUUACGUCUUUGGUAGACUACUGGUUAAAUCUUCCUAAGAUUUCAUUUAAGUUAUAAGAAUUUACUGUCUUCUUAAUCUCUUGCUUAUCGACAAAUUUCUUAAAAACUUCAUAAAGAUCUUGUUUAGUUUUUUCAUCUUCAACUUUCCUUAAAACAUCUAGGACAAGUUCUUGAUCUUGGCUUAUGACAUUUAUAGUCUUAGGUUGGCAAUCACAAUUAUCCUUAAUGUAUUCUUCUUGGUCACUAGAAGUUUGGCUUGAGAUUUCCUCACCACUACUAUCUAGUUGGUUAAUACCAUUUUCAUUAUCUGAAUCAAUCCUUGAUUCAGACUCUGUGGAAUUUAACAUUACUUUACAAAGCAUAUCUUUUAAGUCUUCUGUGACAUUUAAGUUAUUAAUUUUCUGCUUAACCCUACAAUCUUUCUUAUAGUGGCCUAUCUUACCACACUUAAAACAAACUGGCUUAGAUUGUGAAGGAGCUUCUAGCUUUUUAUGGGCUUCUUUGUUCAUCAUUCUUUGGAUGUGCCUUUGUUUCUUAGUUUCAUUCAUCCUAUAGUUGCCAUGAGUUCCUCUCUUGUUGUGAUAGGACUUUUCCUUACUAGGCUUUGUACUUACUUGUUUCUUACGUUGCUUAGAGGGGGGCUUAGUUUCUUUUUGGUUGAAUCCAAACUAGCUACAAAAUGAACCAAACUCAUUCUUGUAGAUCCUUUGUUCAUUUUUCAUCUGUUGCUUAAGCUUAAAGUCAUUGCACAGUUUAAUUGCUUCUGAUGUGACAAUGCUUAUAAUUUCUCCAUAAGAAAGCUUAUCAUAAGGGAUUUGUCCAUUAAACUGUUCCCUUAUCUUAAUCCUAAUCCUCUCAGAGAAAAGUCUAGGUAGUCCUAAGAUGAAUUUUUCUUUCCAAAAAGACUGGUUAUAGUUUGAUCUUAGUAUGACUUUGGUUAGGAAAACUUCUCUAUACCAUCUAAAGUCAUGAAGCUUGGGACACUUAAGGUUGGUUAAGAGAUCUACAAUCUUAUCCUUAAUCUUUGCAGGAUCUCCAAUGAAGUGCUUUGAAAUUGAAUAGAUUAGAGUAGCCACUACAUCCUCUAUAUCUUGUCCAUCUUCAUCCUUAACCACUUCAUUUUCCUCAUUAAUCCUAUAGGCUUUUAGGAUACCAUUUCUAUCCUCAAAGGUGAGAUAAUUAUCCCACCAACCCUAAAGUUGACCUGUAAACCCAACAACAAUUGUUUGAGCUACAGCAUGGCCUGACAAUCUAUUGUUUAACUUAUAGGUUGUACUAACCAUGGUCAUUUCUUGAAGCUUAGUGAGUAUGUUGUACUCAAUCAUACCAUCUAUGUUCCAUUCAUAGAUAGUGUCACUAGUGUAGGAAGCUUGAGUAUGCUGGUUUCUUUCCUCAUACUACAUAUCAGGAAAAGUUGGUCUAGGGUAGUAAUUCCUAGUUCUUGGUUGUUGAUAAUCCUCAUAACUGUUUGGUUAGGAGGUUCCUUAAAAAUCUUAAUUAGUUCAUCAGCCUCUGCUUCAGAACUAAUUUCUCCUUUAACCAUAUUGAUUCUCUUGUGAGAUGGUUGAGGUGUCUCAGAGACAACAAGGCUAUCCUUAACCUUUUGGCUUAUCCUAUCAAUGAGGGCUUGAUCAAUAUGGAGAUUCUCUAGGAAUUUCUUAGAGAAUUCAAAAGGCUUAAAUAAAGACUUAUUAUCUUUCUUAACAAACGUAGUCUUAAUGUAGUCUUGUGUUUCAAUGAUAUCCUCAAACUUGUUGAGUUGAUCGCCUGUAGUCUUAAGAAACAUGUUAGUGUAGUUGUUUUGUUCCAUGAUUCUUCUAACGUCAACAACACUAUCAAUUCCUUUAUUCUUUGGCCUAGUCUUAAAAGGUGAAGCUUUGACUAUGGUUCAAUUAAUGUUCUUUUAUAUCUUAGCUUCUAGAGGGUGGAUGGAUUCUAUGAUAGUAUCGUCACUAGUUUUCCAUAUCUUAGUUUUUUUGGAUGUGUCAUUGACACGCUUACUAGGGUAAUCUAGAUAUUCCUCUUGUUUGAAGAGUUCAAACCAGAUCCAAUACUUAAUGUUCUUCUUUUCUUGUCUUAAGUAUGUGUAGAAUUCUUCUUGGUAGAGGGUUCUAAUGUCUUUAAGGACCUUGCUAAAGAACCAAACUCUCCUUUUCUUAUUGACUUCAGAAUAGAAGUCUUUCCUUAAGAGGUCCUUGUUGAUUCAAAGUCUUCGUUAAUUAGGCUUACAGUGUUAAUCAACUGAGAAUAAGUAGGAGACAUAUCAGGAGAUUCGUCCUGAUGUGAUUCUUGAGUAAACUCAUUUUCCUCCAUGUAAAAGGGUUUGGCCACGUUGGUGUGACUUCUAACACCUGUUAGCUUAAUAUUCUUAGGAUUUGCUGAACUAGAUCCUUCCUCUAUCCUAGUGGUUCUUAUUGGGAUAGAUGAACUUGAAGCUCUAGAGGGCUCAUAAUAUGAAAUUCUAAGGCUGCUAGAAUGAUGAAAAGAGUUGGAGAAAAUUAGAUCUCGUUCUCCAUCAGGAUAUUGAACAAUCUGUUCAAUUCUUUCAGAUCUUUGCUCUAUGGCUGGGACAACAUUAGCAAAAUGCCAAUUUUCUGGAAACUCAACCUCAUUCCACUUGAUUUUCAUGGGGACUAUGAAAUUAGACUUGUUUAUCAUAUCUAAGUGGAAGAUAGUGGUUUCACCCUUGGGACUGGUGCACAAUGCUCCAAAUCCAACGCUUAUGGUCAUGCUCUUAUAGGCAAAUCUGGUGAUGAUGGAAACAUGAUUGUUUCCUUGCUUGAACUUAAAGUCAUGGGUCUUAACAUGAAGGACAACUGAAUCUAAGAUGUUGACAUCUCUUAGUCUAACUGUGAAGUUAGGGAAACACUGGAAAUAAACAGGACCAUCAUUUAAUCCUGCUUGGGUAGCUCCAAUAAUAGAAUCUCGGUAAUCAAGAUGUCUAUUAUCUCUUAAACACAUGACAAUAAAGGUGUUUAGACCUAGUCUUGUCAAGGGCUUAGCUGCAACUUGAAUCAUGCCAAAGUGUAUGAAGUUGUAGUCUCGCUUAUGCUUAUCAAUGGACUUACUAUCCAAGAGUCUUAUGACUUGAUCGUCGUGUUCUAAACUUACUGACAUUUCAGGGGUUUUAAUGGUGUAAUCUGUAAAGAACUUAAAGGUUCCUUUCUUAUAAAUUUCUUGAUUAGGUACCUUGGGUAACUUCCAAUCAUCUAAAUCAUCUUGGAUCUUAGGAUAAUUGAUCUCUUCAUUGUUUACUCUUGAGAAUUUGUGGAUUUCCUAGACAUGGUUCUGAAAAUCAAACUCAUUUUAAGGUUUUAAUCUAGAGCCUAAUAGCAGAUUAACAGACCUAGUGAGUAAUCACCCCAACCCUUUUCCAACCUUAACAAACGCCUAUCUCCAGCUAACAAUGGGCUCAACUCGGCAAGGAUCGCACUCAGGCACACUACUAUCUUUCCUAGGAUAGAUCAAAACACCCAAAACAAACCCGACUUCCUUUUCCUAGGAUAUAUAUAGUAUUUUGGGUUUGAGUAGGAGUUCAUGUUUUGUAUGUAAUUGUAGUCUACGUUGGACUAGGUUGUUUGCUCCUAAUUGAAAUAGGAAUGGUUGGUGUCACAUCUCAUUCAUUUUCUCAUCUAUUUCCAUGUUUAGAUAACUCAAGUAAUCAUAGGAAUGAAAUUAAGAAUGAUUUGAGGGAAAUGAAAUCUCACUUGUAAGUGGGAUCUCAAUUCAUCAUUAAUAGAAGGUAUUUUGAUUACAUAGUGCAAGUUAUUUUUAAAAACACUUUUCAAAAAUUGAAAAACCAAAAACUCUCUUGGAUAAGUUGUUUUUAAAAAGAAUUUUUGUAUUUUUAUUUUGUAAAAAAAAAAAAUAGUAAUUCAAUUUAUAUAAUAUAAAUAGACUUUAAUUUUAUUAAAAAUAAAAAUAAUUUUUUAAUUACAAAUAAAUUAAAAAAUAAAUAUUUGUAAUAAAAUAUGAAUAGUAAUAUUAUAAUAAAAUCAUAAAUAAAUUAAAAAUAUUUUUAAAAACAAAUAAGUUUAAUUUUUUUGAGGUACAAAUGAGCCAAAUUUUUCAUUAGGUACACAACCAACAAUUUUUAUUGGAAACAUUCCUCAAAAAAGAAUUCGUUUCCCAUAUAGCAAAGAUAUUUAUUAUUUAGUAUCUAACCAUCCGUAGUAAUCAUAUCAAUUCUACUAAGUUAUUUAAUAAUUCAUUUAUAUAUAGUACUCAAUUAUGAAUUUUUUUAUUUGAUGUAUAAUUAAUUAAUCAAUGUUUUGAAUUUUGAAUUAUUCUUAAAAUUUAAAACAUUAAUUAUGUCUAUUACUUUUUAUAGUCAUUAUAUAUAUAUAUAUAUAUAUAUAUAGAGAGAGAGAGAGAGAGAGAGAGAGAGAGCUUAAAUUUAUCUUUAAAAAUUAUUAAAUUUAUUAAUAAAUUCAAUACAAAGACUCAUUUGAUUUGAAAUUCAUUUCUUUAGUGAAAAUUUUGAAACUAAAUAGUACUUUGUUUUACUUUGUUUUUAAAUCAUACUCACAAAUAAGUUUUUAUCAUUUAGCCAAAAAAUCUCAAAGAUGUUUCUAAUUUUAUUUAUUUAUUUAUUUGUAAAUGAAAAUAAAAAAUUAGUUUAAACUAAAUAUGCGGAUAUUAUUGUUAAUUUAUUUCAUUUUUUAUUUCCAUUGUUAUUUAACAUUGAAACGGAAACAAAUAAUCAUUCCAAUCUUACAUUCUUAUAUGCAUCUAAACACAAGAAUUGAAAUCACCAAAUUCAUAUUCAAGGCAAAAUAGAAAUGGAAAAAAAAUAUUCAUUUUCAUUCCUCAUUCUCAUGUGCUAAACAUGACAUUAGUUCUACUACCUAUUUCACCAUUCUUCUUGAUAAAUUUGGUAUAUGCAAUAUUGAUCUAAGUGUGAGGUGAAUAAGAAUGAUGAUGGGAUGGGCUUGGAAAUAAGGGCAAAGUUUCUAGGUGCUAUCUAGAGGGGCAACGCGACUUUUUCAAAUUUCGAAUAUUUGUUCUCAACAUAAAGCAAAACUUUACUCACACAAUAGAUAAGACUCUGUUUGUUUUCUUCAUCCACGACUAUAUAAUGUAUAGCUCUUACUCAAGGGAUGAGCUACUUACUAUUAAGGAUUGGGUAAGAUAUUGCCUAAUGGCCAAGAAGGCAUGUCAAAAAAUAAAUCUAAUCACCAUAAAAAAUAAUAGGGGAAAAUUAAUAUAUUAUGAAUGAUGACUUUACUAUUUCUCUAUAUACAUAAUUAUAUAUUUUGAAUUUUCUCACUAGGUAAUGAGAUUCUAAAUCAACUGAAACAUAAUUAAUAAUUUAUAUUUUUAAUGAAUCUUUUAAUUUUUAAAAAUAAUUUAAAAUUUUAAAAAACAAUUCAAUUAAUUACAUAUUAAAUCAAAACAUUUCAAAAUAUUGUGUUUGUAGAUGAGUACUAAAUGCUUGCAUAUAAUAAUAAUAAUAAAAAAAUUGACUCAUUUAGAUGUUAAAAAAGUUAAAUGUUUUUCAUUAUUCAUUUUAAGUAAAAUAUUAUUGACAUUAUUAUUAUAAAAUUAUUAUUAUUCAUUUUUAACAAAAAACAAAAUAAGUUAUUCUUUUACCAAGAUGUCAAUAUCUAUAUUUUUCUAACAUAUAUUAAAAUAGUAUACUUUUCUUUUAUUAAAAAUAAUAAUUAUUAUUAUAUUAUUAUUCAAGUUUUAUUAAAAAAAUUUAUCUUUUAAUUCAUUUGUAAUUACAAAAUAAUUUUAUUUUAUUAAGAAUUUAAUUUAAUUACGCUUUUUUUUUUUAUAAAAAAAACAGUUAUGCUUUUACCAAGAUGUUAAUAUUCAUAUUUUUCUAGCUAACAUAAAUAGAAUAGUACACUUUUUCAUAUAAAAAAAUAAUUUAUGAUUUUAUUAUAAUGUUACUAUUCACAUUUUACUAAAAAUAUUUAUUUAUUUUAUUUAUUUUUAAUUAUAAAAUAAUUUUAUUUUCAAGAAUUUAAUUUUAAAAAAAUAGAAAUCAUUUAUUCUUUUACCAAGAUGUUAAUAAACAUAUUUUUCUAACAUAUACUAAAAUAAAAAAGUUUACUUGUUCAUUAAAAAAUAUAAUUUAUGUUUUUAUUAUAAUACUACUAUCUAUGUUCUACUAAAAAUAUUUAUUUAUAAUUAAAAAAUAAUUUCAUUUUUAAUAAGACUUGAACUAAAUUAAAUUUAUAAUUUUUUUUUAAAAUAAAAUAGAAAAUUAUUUUUUAAAAACAACUUAUUGAAAGAAAUUUUUUAUUCUUUACUUUUAAGAACUGUUUUUAAAAGCAACCUAUAAACCCCUUUGGGUCUGUUUGGCUAUGUUUCAUGCAACUUGUUUUUAAAAAUUGUUUUUUAUUCUUUAAUUUAAUUUUUUUUAAGUUAAAGAAUAAAAAACAACUUUCUAGUGUUUUAUAAAAAUGAGAGCUUUUGACAAGUUGUUUUUAAAAACCAUUUUUAAAAAUAAAAAAUAAAAAACUUAUUUAGAUAAAUUGUUAUAUAUAUAUAUAUAUAUAUAUUUGUAAAAACAUUUUAAAUUCAAUUUAUAUAAUAUAAAUUUAAUUUAAUUUAAGUCUUAUUAAAAAAAAAUUGUUUGGAUAAGUUUUUUUUUUUAAAUAGUUUAUUAUUUUUGUUUUGUAAAAACAUUGCAAAUUCAAUUUAUAUAAUAUAAAUUAAUUUAAUUCAAGUCUUAUUAAAACCAAAAUAAUUUUAUAAUUACAAAUAAAUUUAAAAAUAAUUUUUUUAGUAAAACAUGAAUAAUAAAAUUAUAAAUUAUAUUAUUGUGGACCCUGCAUUUAUGCUCAUGCGCUUCCACUUGUUGGCGAACUCAUUUUUUAUUUGAAAAUGAUUUAUUUUUUUAGAAAAUGACUUAGAGUCGCCACUUAUUUUUGUUUUAUUUUUAAAGGGCAAGCAAAAUAAGAAAGAAAACCCUAAGUGUGACUCCUUAUUCGAAAAAGGUAGUCUGUGUAAAACCGGAUCAGGGUUCAGGGAUCAGGUUACUUAUUGGGAAGGUAUGACAAUGACCGUAGCACUCCUCUAAGUCCUUAAAAACGGGCCUCUACUAAAAAAAAUAAAGUAAUCAUGGCAAUCAGUAAGGAAAUCACUGGAUACCCAGAACAAUUAUGCACAUGUGAGAAUUAAAACAUGCAUAAGAAUGGACAAAGUGAGAGUGGGUGCGUACCUUGACAACGAACCACAAUGCGUUAUCAAGAAAUGGGGUUAGUGCACGAUCAAUGAACAUAAAACACGUCACACAUGUCACUAAGCAGAGUGAGAAAUCAUCAGAUAUUACAAUUCAAUCAAAUUUAUUUUUAGAAGAAACAUCUGUUGAUGUAGAGCCCCUACCAAAGCCUAAUUUAUUUUUGCAUGAAUCAAUUUCAUAAAUUCAAUCGCUUGGAAUUACAGAAUUAAAUUCAUGCUUAUUUUAAAACAUCUUUUUAAAAUCAUGGAAGAUGUGAAAAUGGUUUUCCAAAGAGAAAAUGACAACUGAUUUUAUUGAAAAUGGGAUUUUGGGGACCUAAACGUUAAAGAGGGAUUAGGAAUUGAAAAUUAAAUCAUUUGAAAAUUGAAUUUUUCAAAAAUCAGUUUUGAAAGCAUGCAUGCAAGUAUGGACUGUGAAAGUGGGCCUAGGGAGGGUGGCCAUGCAAAAUGAGGUCAUACACGUGGGCCUUGGGUACAAUUGGGACUACUUUGCUGGUGCCAGUGGUGCUUGCAGCUGUCAUCCAUGAUUUCUUCAUUGGGAUCAAUUUCCAUUCUUACUGCCAAACAUUCCAUAACAAUUGACCAAACUAGUAACCCUGACCUUGCAUGAAAAUGAACGUUACCUAGAAACUCACUGCCAGUGAGAUUCAUUGCUCUUUCAAAAGGUCUCAUUUUCUUUCUCAUCCAAUUGCUUUAAGGAGCAUUCUAGCGUCACGAUUGGUGACUGCGCAUCAUCUAGAGCCUUCUUUCUUCUCAGAAUCAGGUUUGCGUGCAGAGGCCUGUGCUUGUUCAAGGUUGACCUAAAUUCAUCUAGGUUUAGAACCGACCAGUUGAGCUUGGGGAGCAACGACAAGAAUAUCAGUCACUUGCGAAGAGAAAACUCGAGAUCUUUCAAGUAAUGCCUGACAUAGAUUCCUCCAACCUGUGGCCAAUAUCUCAUUCCUUGUUGGCCAGACGCCUAUUAGGGCGUAUCUCAAUCAAUAAUAUGAUUUUUCGUUUGUUCACAAUAAAGACCGGAAGCCAUGGUUGUGAUUUAUGCAGUACAGAAGAAGUUGCCAUGGCUGGUAUCCUUACAAAUUCUGGUGUUUCUGCUAUCUGUUCAAGUGCAAAACACAACAGCUUUAUCAAGUUUGUCCCUAACAACUGAUAUUGAGCCCUCUGGAGGAAACCUUGAUAAAUUCAUAAUCACUUUUGACUCAUGCAUGGGCUGCCCAUCAAAUUUUCCUAGCAACGAGACGACUGCUGUCAUCUACUGCAAAGAGAAUUUCUUCUCGCAAAGACAAGAGGAGUUUAAGAAUACACACUAUUCUGCCAUUUCAUUUCCUCUUUCUCCACAACCAACAUAAACCAUAGUGUCUACAUUAGAGUACUUAGAAAGAGCUUAACUGAUGACCGUUUUUCCACAACCAAAUGCCCCAGGUAUGGCACAAAUUUCACCGAAAACAGAAGGGAAAAGGGCAUCAAGAACACGCUGUCCUGUAAGUAGUGGGGUAUCAGGACUACUCUAGGGAAGUUAUUUCUGUCAUUUUGAAAAAGAAAAAUUAAAGAAUGUACACAUGCUUUCAAGUGGACUGGAGCAUUCUACAUAUCAGGUGGUCUGUAGCCACAUGUGCCACUUUGUGGAAGUUGGAACAGUCGAUCACUAGGCUAUUUAGUGUGGCCAAGCCACGUUAAUCAAGGACAAGUCUUCAUACUUAAAAGUCAAAUGGUGCCUUUAGUCUCAUUACACAUGGCUAUUUAAAGAUGAACUAAUCUUUAGUGUAAUGUGAUUAAGACAGUACUAACUGAUCAAUAUUUUUUCUAAUUUUGGAUGCAAAUGCUUGCUGGCUUCAUCAUUGGAUGGGAUAAAGGUGCAUUCAUGACUCUGAAUACUUGCAGUAAUACUUGCAGUAAUACUUCAUUCUCUUUUUUCUCGAUGAGACUUCUUGGCACAAUUUUGCUUCUCAGCAACCUACCUCUCCAUGGAAAAUGAGUUGCGAUUGAUGGUACUGGAUAUUUUCUAGGAAGCUAAAUAUAGAUAUAUAGCACUCAAUGUCAACGAUAUAUAUAGCAUUAACAGUAUAUGUCUCAAUGCUCAUCAGCUACAAGCAAGGGACAAACACUUACAAUGAAUAACUCACGUCAACAUUCCUAAACAGGACAUAGAAGUGACAGAUCUAUAUAUAGAACACUGCAUAUGAGUCACAAGAAAAGAUAAUACGGGUGCAUAGCAGCUCUUAUAUUACAUAUUACUCAUACCGUUCAAAUUCACUCAGUUGGGAUGGGUGGGAGAAGGAGGCCUCUGGGGUGGCUUGUGCGUGUGAGAAGUGGAAGAAAGUUGAAUGGAAUGAAACUGAAAAACAGGGUAGAAUAGAGGUUUCUUGAAUCUUCUGAAAUCUUUAUUUUUCUGAGAUUUAUUCUCUGUUUUUGUGAGUCGUGACUCUACAUAUAUACAUGUAUUUAAAGUUAGUUAUGCCUUAUAACUAAUUAUCUAACAGUACCAAAACUAAUCAUCUAGUUGCAUGUUUCUAAUUAAUGCUAUUUAGUUACAACUAUAUAUGGCUUAACAUCCUCUCUCAAACUCAAAAGUCUAGCUAGAACAGUGAGUUUGCUUCAUAGAUUGAGAAAUUGUUGAAUAGGUAAGGCUUUGGUAAGAGCAUUAGCAAUCUGGUCAUAAGAAGGAAUGUGUUGAACCACCAAAGUCUUAUUGAGCACCUUUUCCUGAACAAAAUGGCAAUCUAGUUCCACAUGCUUAACUCGAGAAUGAAAAUAGGAUUGGCAGCAAGAAAGGUGGCUGAAAGAUUGUCAUAGAACAAAACAAAAUAGGAGAAUAAGAAGAUGAGAUAGAAAACUCCUGAAGAAGAUGUUGAAUCCAUUGAAGUUCAAAAGCAACAUUUGCUAAGGCCCUAUACUCAGCUUCAUUGCUGGAACGAGACACAACUUUCUGCUUACUGGAGUUCCAGGAGACUAGAUUAGAGCUAAAAAAGAUGCAAUGACCACUUGUACUUCGACGAUCAUCAGGGCAACCAACCCAAUCAACAUCAGCAUAAGCAGUAAGUUGAAAAUCAGGAGAAGAAUAAAAGGAAAGACCAAAGGAAGUAGUGCCCUUAAGAUAAUGCAACAAUCGUUUAACAACUUGCCAAUGAAGAUCAGUUGGUUAUUGCAUGAAUUGGCAAAGUUUAUUGAUAGAGAAAGAGAUGUCAGGCCUUGUAAUGGUACAAUAUUGCAGGGCUUCAACAAUGUUGCGAUAUUGAGAAGGGUCAGCCAAGAGGGAACCUUUAGAGGCAGAUAAAGUGUGAGAGGUAGUCAUUGGUGUAUCAAUAGGUUUAAAAUAUGGAAGACCAGCACGAGUUAACAAGUCCUGAAUAUAUUUGGUUUGGGAAAGAUGAAGAGAAGAUCCUUGCCAACAUACUUCUACACCCAAGAAGUAAUUCAGAAUACCAAGGUCCUUGAGAGCAAACUGAAAGUGUAAAGACGAAACCAUUUGGUGGACUAGCACGGUAUUAAGACCACUAACAAUAAUGUCAUCAACAUAGAUGAGAAUAAUGAUCAUGUCAGUCCCUUUCCGAAGAGGAGCUUGCUUCAGACCCUACAAGGCUUUGCGAAGUUUACAGAAAAAACCGGGUUUAGAAUGAUCAACAAAGCCUGGAGGUUGAACCAUGUAAACCUCUUCUUCUAACUCACCAUUGAGAAAGGCAUUAUUAACAUCUAAUUGUUCCACUAACCAACCAUGAGAAAUAGCAAGAGAAAGAACAAUUCAUAUAGUAGUUGGUUUAACAACAAGGCAAAAGGUUUCAAAAUAAUCAAUACCAUAUGUUUGAUUAAAACCCUUUGCAACUAAGUAGGCUUUAAAACGAUCAAUUGAGCCAUUAGCUUUGAGUUUCAGCUUGUAUAUCCAUUUACAACUAAUAAUGCGUGUAUUAACAGGUUUAGGAACCAAUGUCCAUGUGGAAUUGGUGAGAAGAGCAUCAUACUCAGUCUUCAUAGCAGCUUGCCAAUUAGGAUGCAAUAUUGCUUCUUUGAAAGAGGAGGGUUCGACAACAGUAGUUUGGAUAGCAAGGCUAAAUAUUUUUUUGGGUUUAAAAAUACCAUUUUGGCUACGAGUAACAAUAGUUCGGUUUGGAAGUGAAAGAGGAUCAGUGGAGGAGGCUGGAACAAGGGAUUGUGGUAAAGUAGGAAAGGAAGGUGGAUGAGAUGGAACAAAAUCAGUAGGGACAAUAAUGGGAGAAGAAAAAUUAGGUGGAGAAUGAUGAGGAUUCCUUGAAGAUGGUGUAGGAAUAGAGAGAAUACCAGAAUCAAGAAGUGUUAAAGAAGAGUUGGAUGAUGAUACUGGUUGACAGGAUAAAGACUUUGUUAAAAAUGGAAAUCGAGUUUCAUCAAAUACAACAUGACGAGAAGCAUAUAUCCGAGAGGAAGCCAUAUCCAAACAGAGGAAUCCCUUGUGUUUAGCACUAUAACCCAAAAAACAGCAAACAACAAAUAUAUUUGCUAGCUUGUGAGAAGCAUAAGGGCGAAGAUAAGGAAAACACAAGCAUCCAAAACUUCAAAGAGAUGUAUAAUAAGGUAAACGAUUAUAAAGAACUCCAUAAGGAGAAUUUUGUGAAAGAACAGCAGAGGGAAGGCAAUUUAUGAGAAAAAUGGCAGUUUGAAAUGCAAAUGACCAAUAUUUGAGAGGGUAUACCAGCUUGUAUUAACAAAGAAAGACCAACUUCCACAACAUGACGAUUCUUUCUUUCAACUCUUCAAUUUUGCUAAGGAGUAUAAUGACAAGAGACUUGAUGAAGAAGACCAUUUGUAGCCAAAUAAUUCUGAAAAGCUGAAACUGAAACUCAUCAAAUUGAUUUUUAGUAUCAAAUUUUCUUCAGACUGAACACAUUGAUUUUUAGUAUCAAAUUUUCUUUCAACCAUGGCUUGAAAAUGUUGGAACAUAAGUAAAGCUUCAUCUUUAGUUUCCAAAAGGUACAACCAUGAGAAUAUGCUAAAAUCAUCAAUUAGCAAGAGGAAAUAUUGAGCAUUACCAUUGACAGAAACUAUAGGAGUUGCACCCCAAAGAUCAACAUGGAUGAGACCGAAUGGUUUUAUUGCUCUAGAAGUGGAUAUUUCAAAUGGAAAACGAUGGCUUUUAGCCAACUGACAAGACUCACAUACAGAGUUAUUAUUGUCAUGUUUCAAAGGUAUUUUAUAAAGAGAUAAGAUUUUGGAAACUACAUUAAUAGAGGGAUGACCAAGUCUAUUAUGCCAAAGCCUCAAAGAACCAACGGCUAAAGUACUACUAGUAGAGUAAAAUACUAGUGGAUGACCAACAACUCUUGGUGUAGCAAGAAGUUUAUAGAGACCCUUCUCAAUUUUUCCUUGAAGAAGAGCAAGUCUCGUUUCCUGAUCCUUUACCACAAAAUGAGAAGAACGAAAUUCAAUAAAGGUGCCAUUGUUUGAGUAAAAUCGUUGCACGCUAACUAAGUUGGUGGUAAUAGAAGGAACAUGUAAGACAUCAUUGAAAAACAAAGAACCACUUGAAGAGGCAAGAGAAAAUUUACCAAUAUUUGCAAUGGAUAAACCCUUACCAUCUCCAACAAUUACUUUGUCACCACUGGUAAAUGGAUUAUGGAUUGUUAAAUUGUUAAGAUCAGAUGUGAGAUGAUGGGUAGCCUUUGUAUCAAGAAACCAAUAAGUGUCUCCCAUUGUUGCAGAAGUUGUAGUCAUAGCCUCAGGAUUGUUAGAGGUGGAAUGUUUAGAAUCUUUUGGCUGAUAAUCAGAGUUAAACCGAUACCAGCAUUGUAAAGCGGUGUGUCCGAACUUACAACCGAGAGAAAUAAUCUUUACUUAUUCUCUAAAAACUGUUCUUUAUUCCACACAUUAUUUCUAAAAACUGUUUCUAGAUAACAAUGACAAAAUAGUAUUAGGAAUUUUUAAAAAUAAAAAUUGUUUUUAAAUUACAUGAUCUAUAUCAUUCACAUUUGACCAUUAUAGCUUUGUUCAGGAAAACACUUGAAAGUAACCUUAUCGUGAUAAGAGAUAUAAGUUGGCUGUAGUUUCAAACUGAAAACAGAGGAUGGCAAUAGAAAGCAAAGCAUUAGUUAUCUGCAAUCAGUGGUGAUCAUGCCCCAUGUCAAUUUCGGACCCAUAUCUUAAAACCGUAUAAUUUGCAUUUCAACAUUUCUGAUUUCUCAGAUGUUUCAUACUCCACAGAAGAACAUUGUUUGUGAAAGCAUGCAUUUAUGCUGGAUUUUGGAUGAUGUGGGAACUGGGGCAAGGAUCAUAUGGAAGAGUGGUCGAUUUUUUCUGUACUUUAACAUUUGAAAUAGGAGCAGCACGGGCAUUUGUGGGGCUUAAUUGAUUUUGAAGCCUGAAAUUGCGUUUCUGUCAUUUUGUAAAAAAUAUGGCAGAUUCCAUGCUCUCAUAUGUUUGGUCUGUGGCCAUGUAUAGAUGCCACUUAGUGACCAGUUUGUAACUGUCAAUCAUAGUGUUUUGACUCUGGCUCAACAACAUCAGCCAUUGACGGAUUUUCAUACAUGCAAAUCAAAUAGUCUUCUUCCUCCCUUAGGAAUUUCGGUUUAAAUGUUAUUAAGCAUACAUUUGGCUGACAAUUAUUAACCACUUCAUGAUAUGGUUUCUUACCCUUAAUCAAUGGUUUCUAAGUGAAUAUAUGCAGAAGGAAAUCUGAACUGUAGACAGCAGUAUUGAUAAUUAUCAAUAUUCUUUAUAUAAGAGAAUAAACAACGUCAUAGUGAUCGUCGCCUACAAGAAAGGUACAUUUCCCAACAAGAUGUAGUUGUGACUGGUACAUGGACGUAAUUAACUCGUAGAAAAGGAUAAGACCAGUGCACGGCAGCUCUUAUUUUACAUGCUAAUUAUGCUAACCAAAGUCACUCAGUUGGGAUGGGAGGGAGAUGGAGGUUUGUGCGGUGGCUUGUGGGGCGGAGUUGGUGGCUUCUUUUCAGGAGCUUGUGGCUUUUUCGGAGCUGAAGGAGGCUCAAUCUUAUGAGGCGGCUUGUACGAGUCUUCUUUACUCUCGACAGGAGGGUGGCCAGGGUUGUGACCAUAAUGUGGUGGCUUCUCUCCCUUAGGUGGCUUGCCAACUGGGGUUGGUGGCUUGUGUUCAGGAAGUGGUUUCUCUCCCUUGGGAGGUUUACCAAUUGGGGUUGGUGGCUUGUGUUCUGGGAGUGGUUUCUCUCCCUUGGGAGGUUUAGUGGGUGACUUGUGUUCUGGAGGUGGCUUCUCCACCGGAGGCUUGUGCUCCGGUGGUGGCUUCUUGGUUGGAGGGGGCUUGGGGUAAUCAGCAAGAGAUGGGGGGGUGAGAACCACCACUCCAAGGAACAACACUAGCAAGUAUGUGGGAGACAUUUCUGAGUUUGAGCUGAUCAGAUGAUGCAAAACUAGAAGAAUUACGUGACCUUUUAUAGCAAGUAGCUCCCAAUACCCACAUGACACGUGUUACUGUGACCAUAAAUAUUAUAGGGUCCAUUUGUGCCCUACCGGGUUGAAAACUUGGACGCUUGGCCGAGGACACACCGAACUAUGGAGGACUAUUGACGUGUGAUCACAGCUUUUGGAUUUUUCUUCCUGUGCAGCUGUCUAGCGGUUGGCAUUAUUUUUUUAAUCUUAAAUAAAGGCAUAGUUAUAGAGUACAUUUAUAUAUCUUCAGAUAGCCAUUAAUAUAUUUGAUGAAGAAAGACAAGUGCAUACAACAUGUAUACGGCUUGCUUCAAUCGAGUACAUUUAUGAUCAGUUUUCCAGUGCAAGUAAACCAGUUUUUUGUUCCACAACUAUUUUGGAAUCUUGUUUAUCAGUUUCUAUCAUUAUAAUGUCACAUAGGCUGCAAACUUGGGCACCCAAAGAUCUAGUUGGGCAAAUUUGUUUCAGAAUUUCAAUGGUGGAUUCAGUAAUUGUUAAAAGGUGUUUCUUCAUUAAGGAAAGAGUCCUGUAAAAAUAUUGUUAAAAGGUGUCAUAGAAACUAUAAUAAUUAAAUAACUUCUUUUCCCCGUGGGUGGUGUUUCUUCUGGGGAUACCCAAAAUGAGUUCAGAUUAAAAUUGGUUCGAGUCAAAGCUGUCUCUUUUGUCCAGAAAUCAACUAUUUUGCGCAUUGCAUGAAUCGAUAAAGAAAAAAUGAAAGCCAAAUCACACCUCCCCUGCAAAACCUAAACCCCGGUUGCUAACUUUCUAUGUUUCAGUCCUAUUCAUACAGGAAUAUUGGUUCAAGUUUGAGAAAAAUGGCAACUUACCUAGGGAUUACUUGGUUGUGGUUUGCGACGACUAUUUACGCAACCAACCAUGAGUUUGACUUUAACGUCAUGGGUUGAAGCCUCCUACAAUCGUGUAUGAUAGUUCAAAGCUCGUAGUAGAAAUUAUACAGGAAGGAAGAAACCUCCAAAGCUAGCUCCAAAAGAGAAUUAUCACAUCGAUAGCUCCAGAGAUUCCCAAGGGGACUGAAUCAAAGACAAGUUCCUCACUUUUUCUUCUUUUGAGGCCAAAUAUGAACCAAGGAUCACACGACCUCAUUCAACUUCAUAAGUUUGAUUUCAUGCAGUUGAACACUGGGUGAAGGCCAUGACAAGAAUUGAUUAAAAAAUUCUACCACUGUUUUAAGUAAUGGAAGAUUAUUAUCUCUGAUUGGCACCACAACAGCACAUGCUGCUAGAUCUUUCUAGACACUCCAUGCAAUGAAAGUACAAUGGAUCUUGUAACGAUAGAAACUAAGCCAUGCUACAGUACUAGAUGACGAGGUAAAACUAUUAGACAUGGGUGGCAGCCUAUAUGGGAGGGACACAAGUCUAAUUGAUUUGCAUUUCAGCGUUCUAGAUGGGUAUGUUUUGGAAGAUUUGUUCUGGAAAUACCGCACCAAGUAGGAUUCUUUUUUCUCUUGAGUGGGUCCACUUGCAUGCCAAUUAUCGAGUUGAAAAGUAGAGCACCUACCUCGUGCUCGUGGAACCGAAGGUCAGUGAAGUGGGGCUCCUUUUGGCCUCUUGUGUUUCUGUUCCAACCAAGGCGGCGGAGGGAAAAACAGCAAUAUGUCUCCGCUAAAUAUCAACGCAUGAUAGCGAAUGAGGGAGAAAAAAAGUAAUUGGCAUCUCAAUCUCACAAACUUGGUACAGUAGUGACAUUAAUAGUCUUCCACAUGGUUUUUAUUUUAUUUUAUUUUAUAUUUUAUAUUUUCCAUUUUUUUAUUUUUUUGUAUGUCAAGGCUAAUGAAUAAAAUGCGUUAGCUUGUUUUGUGAUUGGAACUGCAAAUGUCCAAAUUGGAGUUUCUCCAUUUCUCAGUUCGGAUGGUUAACUUUAUAAACAAGAUAUAGGAAACAUGUGAACGUCUUGAGGAACAAUUCGAAUUAUUGAUUAGAACUCCUAGGUUGAGUUCCAAGAUUUAAAUCAGACCCCUCUAGCAGCUUCAGGGGUACCUAGCAAUUAGAACAUAUUAAUGAAGAUUUAGGAUUUAGACUCCGGAAUACAAAUUAAUAUGUAUCUUAUGCUCUGACUAGCUUCCCUGCAUAUGCACAAAAUGGAGAUGACCCAAAAAAUAGCAGAAUCGCCUUAGUUUAUGUGGUUAAGGUGAUUCUCCGGUUAAUAUCCACAUUGGCUCAUUAUGCAAAUCAACUGAGCUAUUUUUUUUUUAAUGUCAAAUAGGAACUCCUAAUUAACCUAACCAUUGGCCUGUGUAAAUUGAUUUCACAUGCACAAUGUUGUAGUAGAAGUCCACAUUUUGAAUUUUAUUUUUGGAAAGGUAAGGAAAAUGAAGCAUUGUGUAAUUAUAAAAAUAACUUCAUUGGAAUUCACAAGGUUCACCCAAAAUGGAGCUACAUCCGUAUUCUAUCUUACAGUAGACUAUAUAGAUUGUACAAUAGUAAAUUGCAAAUACAAUUAAUAAGUCUUGUGUUUCCUUACUAAUAAUCCUUUGACAUAAACAUUGCAGCACUAAGGUCCUCUUGGGCAGACACCUUGCACCCAUGAGAGCACUAAGAGGAAGCAAGGCGGAGUCAUGGGUGCAAUGUCAUGACUUGUUGCACUAAGAGAGGCUUGGUGAUGGCAUAGUGCUGCAGUAGCAAGAAUGUUGCCUUGGCAGGGACACGAUCUAGGGACAGAUGCCAAGAAAGGCUUAGCACUCACAUGAGUUGCACAAAGAUGAAUGAAAUAGAACAUCAAAGAGACAUCUUGGCAAGCUCAAGAAAGACAUGUGGGUUGGUAAAUGAAUGGAUGCAAGAGGCAACAACAUGAGGAGUUUCAAAUGGAUAGGGAAUGAGUCAAAGACAUUUGAAAGCUACAAGUUGGAUUCUAAUUACGAUUGCAAUUUGAGUUUGAGUAGGAGUUUAUAUUAUGAUUGUAAUUGUAGUAUGAGUUGGACUAGGAUUGCUUAUCCCUAGUCAAAAUAGGAGUUGUUCAUGCCACACCCUAUGAAAAGAGUUUGAGUAGGGACUAGGAUUGCUUGCUCCUAGUCAAAUAUGGAGUAGGUGGUGCCACACCUAUAAAAAAAAAAGGGACAACAUGAGAGAGAGAGAGAAUGAAUUCACCAAAGAUAUUGUGGGAGUUUUGCUUUGUUACAUCUUGUAUUAUUAUUUAGAAUAGUAAUAAAAUACAAGUUGGGGCUAGAGCCCCAUAAUCUCGUGUGCCUUUGUGGGUUAUUCUUUAUUUGCCAUCUCGUGUGGAUUGGAUUAGAUUGAUGAGGCGAAAUAUUAUGUGGGAAAUUUAUGUUGGGACACUUACCAUAACCAGGUAAAAUCUACCAAGUCUUUUGUAAUAUCUUCUACAAAUAUUUUAGACCAGUUCUUCACAAAACAUCAUAAUAUGUUUUGUGUUUCUCUUGGAUUUUGAGUUGAAUUGUCUUAGAUCAAUUGAAUGCAUCUCAAUAUUAUUAUCUUGUUUGAAGGCUUGAUGAUUUUCCAUUUAACUUUACUUUCUUUAGGUUAUGCUUGAUUCCUUAAAAGUACUAAGGAAAACAAAAAAUAAAAAAAAAUAAAAAAUGCAGAGGGUUAGGACAUGUGUUAUCUAAUUGUCCUAUCCAAAGAUAUUAAGAAAGUCAUGUAGGAAAGUAAUUGAAAACUAGGUCAAGAAAGGAGCAAAAGGGAAUUGUUUUGGUAUUUUCUUUUUUAUUCUUGAAGGUGGCAGAGCUAAAAUUUGAGAAAUCAAGCAAAACAUACUGAAAUUACAUUGAAAGAAAGAAAAUGGUAGUUAAUGUCUUGCAGUACAUGAUAAGGACUUCAUGCAUGUAGUGUGACGACCCAUGUCUUGGACUGAUGCCACACUCACGGUUACACUUAUACCCUUGGUUCUCUCUUUACUACCUUGGCUAACCUAGAUCAGGCUAUGAGAUAGGCUCCUCACCACACCAUCACUUGCCCAGUAAUUAGUGACAUUUUCAAGCAAUGAGGUAACAUGGUGACACCAAGAGGGUUUAUCCCUCGCCCCAACAAGUCUAGACUCGGUCUCAAAAAAAUGGAGAAAAAUGAGGUGUCGUUAUGCAGAAAUACAACAACCAUGCCUUCCUUAUUACUUAGAUUCAGAAUGUGAAGGUGAAAUUGAGAAACAGAAACUCUUGAAACCAGAAUGAAAAUUGAUACUUUUACGAAGAAUUACAACAUUAGAGGAAGACUACAUUCUUCCUCUAUAUUCCUACGUUUCUACACUACUUCUACUCCACUCCAUAUUUCUACAUACAUCUUUAAUCAGUUUUCCCUCCUUUAUAUAGAGCCAUCUUCACACAAAUUCCGCAAGGUAGAAAAGAGGAAUGAAACUUGGAGCAAGGUUCGACUACUGGUUGUCGCUUGUCAAGGCUGGAAUUGAACUUUUUUUCUUGGCUUUUCUGGGCAUAGGUAGUAACUUGUGGUUCCUUUUUGGAAUGAAAAUGGUACAGCUAGAACAUGUGGCACUCUCUUGUUGGAUUAUGUGUCAAACAUGUGGCAGCCAUCUAGUGGAGAUUAUUUCAAUUUUGGGAUGGAGAGUUGGCAUCCAAUUGCAAAGAAAUAUGACAUCUACCAACAUGCAAUGUAAACCUAUAUAGAUCAUAUGGAGAUAGAGAGGAAACAUAUAGAAAUGGAUAUAUACCUAGAACUAGCUUUUUAUUAAAUGAGACGGAGAGCCAACAAUGAAGGAAAAUCAAAAUUUUUGGCUCAUAUCAAAGAAUUCACAUUGUGUUACCCUAGGUUUUCUUAAAGCUUGCACAAAGCCAAAAAGCACACAAAAAAUUAUAUUUUCUAGCUCUCUACCUUGGAUGGUCUCUUGAUCCUACUUGGAGAUGUGCAUAAAUAAAAGGAUUUGAAAAUGACAAUUGACUAAGUAUGUAGUCAAUCAAUUACUCAUUAAUUGACUAGUUGAUCAAUUAACUUUGCAACAUCAUAUGCAAUCCUAAUAGCUAGUCAUCUAAUCAACUAGGUAGUAAAUCAAUAGGCCAAAAAUAUGUUUAUAAUGACUAUUUUGUACAAAAACCACCUAUAUGGUUAAAUAUAAUGCAUUUCAUUUAUAAAUCUUCUAAUUCUUGAAUAACGAUCCUAUCAUCCUUUGAAAGUUUUUAUUACACCUUUUAUACUUUUGUUCUAAAACUUACACAUGUACAUCACCCUUAAUUGUACCAUGAGAACCUAGCUUUUUUUUUUUUUUUUUUUGUAAUUCAUCAAAGUUAGCUUUUGUAUUCAUUACUGUACUAUUUUUAUUGUAACUUAGAAAGCGAGUGUUUUCAAGUGAGUGAAAUUGACUUAUAAAUAUUGUAAAGAUUCAUUGAUGUGUAUCUUAAACUAAGUGUACAAGUUGAAACAUUUGCUAGUAGAUUUUCUCAAGAUUUAGAAUAGAGCUUGAGGCUAUUGAAAUAGGUGGGGUUGCACCAAACCACAUCACAUUGUUGUUUGCACCUUUUUUUCACUCUCUUUUACUUAGUUGCUCUAUAUUUGUUGUCUAGUAAUAUCCUAUAGGCUUGAUGGGUUAGGGAGCAUCCCUUUGUGAAAAAUUUUCAUUCAAUCCUUAGUUGUAUCACGCAUAUAUAAAAUGCCUCAUUGUUUUAAUGGUAUUCAGUCGUGGCAUCACAGAUAUGGGCAUCUAAAUUUUAAAAGUUUGAAACUUUUAUCUAAAGAAAAUAUGGUGCUUUGCCUUUUUGUAAAGCAUGUUGAUGAAAUCCAUGAGAAUUGUGUACUUGGGAAGCAACAUCGAGAUGACUUUUUUUUUUUUCAUUUUUUAUAAUGCGACACCUAAGUCCGGUUUCUAAAUGCUGAAGUGAAAGGGUAGGUAUGGACCAUUGAAAUCUGAUCACAACUUUUGGCCUUUUCCUUUCUCUGCAGCCAUGUUGUCUCUUUUUUCUUUUGCAUGAUUUUCUUACCUAAACAGAAUCAUAGACUUGUUUAAUCUCUAAAUGGUAUUUCAUCCAGCUUUAAGCUACUGUAUUAUAUCUUGGUGGAGGACUUUUAAGAGUGAAACCGACAUAGAGCACAUGCAAGUGGGUAUAUGGGACAUGAAAUUUCUUCUUAUAAAGACUGCAUGGUUUUUAUAUUAGAGUUGUUGAGGCGCAAUGUAUUUAGCUUGUUUUGCAGUUAAAUUAAUUGGAUAAGUAGACAUUGUCGUUUCUAAAUUUCCCACCUAAGAUAGUGACCUUAUCCUUGACUGCUUGAUGAGAUACACAAACAAUUAUACCUUCAAAAUCUACUGUGAAGUGCUUCAUGUAUGUGUGAAGUAUUAGAAAUUUCUUUCUUGGCAACUUGUUUUUUCUUUGCCCUCUACUGAUAGGUUUGACUCAAAUUAAAUUCCCUGUCAUGCUAAUUAAUUUUCACGUGCAUGCUCAAAAGGAUCACGUCAACUCUGGUUUCUACUAUUCAGGUCCAUUCCCAGAUAAACUGGUUCAAAUUUGAGAAAAUGGCAACAGCCCUUUAGUGAUGUUGGUUUGGAGCCAGUAGCCAAACCCGCCCUGAGCUUUACCACUAAUGUCAAGGGACAAAGCCAUUUGAACAAAAACAAUAGCUUCAAGAGACUGAAUCGUGGAUGAAAUCUGAUCCACAUUUCUUCUCAUUUUGGGAACAAAUGAGAACUUAACUACAAAGAUUCUACUGCCUCAUAGUGCUUUUCCUGAUCUAAGGUUGGUUCGUUUCCCAAAUUGUGAGGUACGUGCCAUUCUCACGCUCAGGAGUGUAUCCACGUGGUGGACAUAAGAUGGUGGCUUAAUAUCUGGUGUCGGUGGCUUUACUUUACUAGGAGAGUAGUGUGUCUUCAUCUCAUUCACUGCCGGAGGGUGGCGUAAGCAGUGACGCUAAGGUGGGGCACAGUCAAUAUCAUUUGCAUUUGACCAUUAUAGUUUUCUCCCGGCUUGAAAGUAACCUUAUCGUGAUAAAGGAUUACUAGCACUAGUUCAGAUGACAGUCAUGUUAAAUUCGGACCAUGUUUGUGUCACAUUAUCAGCAACCAUGUGUUUAUGGUUCAUGCUAUCUGCAACUAAACUUGAUAUAUAACCACGUGAACUUCAAUCUAAAUUCUGGAAGUACUCUUGUGAUAGAUGGUGCCUGUCUGCAGAGUCCAUCAAUUGAAAAAUGGAGUGAGUGUAUCUAUAAGAGGGAAGGCUUGGCAAAUGUUCAGUUUUCUGGGAACUCAACAAGGAUCUAAAAUAGAUUGUUUUCUUUGCUGAUUUCAAUGGUUGAAAUUUGAGAAGAUUGUGUCCACAUAACACAACUAUUACUGGUCCUUCUGUUGCAAUUUAUCCUCUAAGGCUCUAACAUGUCUUCCAAUUCCCACUUCCCUGUUACUCCAGGAAAGCUAUUUCUGUCAUUGUGAAGAAGAAAAGAGAAUGUACAUAUCGAUGGUUUUAAGUGACUGGGGCAUUCAUAUCAGGUGGUCUGCAGCCAUAUAUGCCACUUUGUGAAGGUUGGAACAGUCAAUCACCAGGCUAUAUUAGUGUGGCCCAGCCACUUCAAUCAAGGACAAGUCUUCAUACUUAAAGUCAAAUUCUGCCUUUAGUCUCAUUAUAAAUUGCUGUUUAAAUAUUAAGCAAACAUUUGUUUAAUGCGAUUAAGACAGUACUAACUCAAUACUUGUUCUAUUUUUGGAUGCAAAUGCUUGAUGGUUUCAUCAUUGGAUGGGAUAAAGGUGCAUUCAUGAUUAUGAAUACUUGUAGUUAUAUUUUCAUUCUCUUUUUUCUCAAUGAGACUUGUUGGCACAAUUUUGCUGUUCAGAAACCUACCUCUCCAUCGAAAAUCAGUUGUGAUUGAUAGUACUGGAUAUAUUCAAGAAAGCUAAAUAUAGAUAGCACCAAAUAUUAUCGAUAUAAAUAGCAUUAACAGCGUACGUAUGUCUCAAUGCUCAUCAGCUAUAAGCAACGGGCAAACACUUACUAUGAGCAACUUGCGUCAAAAUUCCAGAAUAGGACAUAGAAGUGACAGAUCUAUAUAUAUAUAGAACACUGCAUAUGAGUCACAAGAAAGGAAAUUACGGGUGCAUAGCAGCUCUUAUUUUACAUCCUACUCAUACUGAUCAAAGUCACUCAGUUGGGAUGGGUGGGAGUAGGAGGUUUGUGGGGUGGCUUGUGCGGAGGAGUUGGCAGCUUCUUUCCAGGACCUGGUUGCUUCUCUGCUGGAGUUGAAGGAGGCUUAAUCUUCCGAGGUGGCUUGUAUGAGUCUUCAGCAUUCUCAGCAGGAGGGUGACCAGGGUUGUGACCAUAAUGUGGUGGCUUCUCUCCCUUAGGUGGUUUGCCAACUGGGGUUGGUGGCUUGUAUGAGUCUUCAGCAUUCUCAGCAGGAGGGUGACCAGGGUUGCGACCAUAAUGUGGUGGCUUCUCUCCCUUAGGUGGUUUGCCAACUGGGGUUGGUGGCUUGUGUUCUGGGAGUGGCUUCUCCCCCUUGGGAGGUUUUUCCAAUGGGGUUGGUUUGUGUUCAGGAGGUGGCUUCUCCACUGGAGGCUUGUGUUCAGGAGGUGGCUUCUCCACCGGAGGCUUGUGUUCAGGAGGUGGCUUCUCCACCGGAGGCUUGUGUUCAGGAGGUGGCUUCUCGAAUGGGGGAUGCUCAGGGUAAUCAGCAAGUGAGGGGUUGGUGAGAACCACCAUGCCAAGCAACAGGACUAGCAAGUAUGUAGGAGACAUCUUUGGGUUUGGACUUAAGACAGUGGAAAACUGCGAGAAUUCUCUAGCCUUUUAUAGCGGGUCGACCCAGUACUCACAUGACACGUGUCAUUAUGACACAUGUGCCAUGGGGUCGAUUUGGGUCCUACAGUGUUGAAAAGUUGGGCAUUUGAGGUGUGAGCACAACUUUUGGCCUUUGCUUUCUCUACAGCCGCCAUGCUUUUCCCUUUUUUCCUUUUCCUUUUGUUUUCCUCCUGCCUCGUGUUCUCAACUAAACACAAUUAGGUUGUUUAAUUGUUAAAUGAGAUUUUUGUCUGUCAAUCAUAUUAUAUCCUAUCAAGAGAGAACAGAGUGUAAUGUAGUACACAUAACACGAGGCAGUAGUAAUUUUAUCAUUUAUUUUUAUAGCUUGGACCACCGCAUUUUUUCUUCUAAAAUAUUCUGUCUUGUUAAGAGACGCAAUAAUACACAAUUUUAUCUGCCAUUCAACAUUUACUGUAAAGUUCUUUUAUCUCUUUGUAGUUCUAGAAAAGUACAAAAUGGAACAUCAUGUAUAUGGUGCCUUCUGUCCUAAAAAAGAAACUGGACAAAUUAUGAACUGCAUGCUAAAAAGAGGCAAAGGAGCUUAAUUCGCAGCAUAAUUAUUUUGGUUUCUAGAGAGCCCGGGGCCUUUUGGUUGGUUUGGGGUCAGAAAAUGAACAUCAUAGGGAUUGUGCCCUUAACUGGCCUUGUUACUACAAAGAAAUUGCCAUAGAAAUUUAUUCCAGGCUGAGUAUCUCCGGAUAGACCCCAGAAAAGAAGAGUCAUAAUGAGAAUCAACCUUUGUUGAGUUUGAUUCCAUGCCUCCAUUGUGUUCAUUUCAUGAAUCUGAUUUGCAUUUAACAUUACAGUUUUGUUCUGGAAACAAUCAAAGGAGCAUCGUUUGCUUCUUGGGUGACCCAUAGUGGUGGGUGGGUCGAUUUGCUUAGUUGAAAAUUGGACAAUUGGCUCCAUCGCCUACCUCUUGGAUUCCAUGCUCGGAUAAAACGACAACAAAUAAAUAUUUAUAACUUACAACUGGGGAAAGGAAAAAAUAGUACUAAAUUCAUGGUACAUGAUAGUGAGAGAAGGGGGUGUUACACUCAGCUAAAGUUCUUUUCUAAAUAUUGCAUGGUGUUUAAUUUUAUGUGUCGGCGCGCGUGUGAAUGGAACCUGCAAAAGUCCAAAUUGGCGUUUCUCCAUUUUCCACAUAGGAUGGUGACGUUAAUAGACAAAGAUACAAUAUCUGUAGACAUUGCUUAAAAAUCGAUGUGAAGUAUUAGAAAUUACAGGCCACUGUACUGGGGGAGCGGCUGCCCCGCCAAAGGAAGAAUGUAGCAAUUUCUUCUGUUAGCCAGGCCUUAGGAUUUAUGCAUGGGAUGCCUAAUAACAAACAGAGAAAAUAUGCUUUUGGGGAAGGUAUCCAACAACAGACACCAUCAUUCAGAUGGUGGGAAGGUAUCCAACAGAUGCCAUCAUUCAGAUGGUAACAUAUAUAUACAUUUAUUAGUGAGUUUUUUUAAUACCUAUAAAAAAAAUAUACACUUUGAUAUUGUGGCUGAAUCCAUUACAUACUCAACUAACCUUGCUCAUUAGGGAUUUGACGUAACAAGGGCAACGUUGCAGUAAAAGCUCGAAACUUUAUGCAGGUGACAUUACAUUUGGUAAAGAAGAGGAAAAUAAGGAAAGCCAUCCAUAAAAGCAAAAUUCCUCAUGGGAUGAAAUUCACAAACUUCAUUUACGUUAGAGUCGCAUCCAGGCAAUUAAUUCCACAUUAGACCGCCUUUUGACAUGUGUACGGAUCUUUUUUCAAAAAUUAUUUAUAAAUAAUUGAUACUUACAAAAAUAAUUUAAGAUUUAUAAAGGAUAAAAAAAUAUUUUCAAAUCUAUGACAAUUUAUAAAAUAUUAAUAAAAAAUUAUCUCUUAAACUUAGUAUAGUUUUAUCGUAUUAAACUUUUAUUUUGAACAAAUAAUUUUAAUCUAAGUUUUAAAUUCUAAAAUUAUUUCCUUAAAAUAAAAUUUUAAAAUUCAACACUUCAAUUGAAAUUGUCUUUUAAAAAAAAUAUCUUCUUAUUUUAAUCCUUAUAAACUAUAGUUGAUUGAAAAUACUAUUGAAGUUCUCUCUUCAAAAAAAGUCUUAUUUUAAUCUUCAUAAAUUGCCCUUGAUUUGAAAAUAAACUUUGGGUUAUCAUAUUUUAAAUAAUAUAUAUAUAUAUAUAUAUAUAUAUAUAUAUAUAUAACAAAUACUCUAUUUUUUUUUUAAAUGAACUAAUUUUAAUUAUAUUUUAUUUUAUUUUUUUAUAUAUUUUUAAUGAUAAACCAAACAUAGAAAAUCAUUUUUCUAAAUAUUUUAAAAUUUCUAAGCAACCAAACAUAAUCUUCAAAAUAAAAGGAGAAUAAGGAGGGACAAGUGAGAAAUGGCGAUUAAAAAAAAGUGUACAAAAGCUCAAUUAAUUUUCUUCUAGUCUUUUAUAUAAAAAAGUAUUGGUAUGUAAAUUAAUAUUUGGAUUUUAAUAGUAUUUUAUUUGUCUUUCUCUAUCUCAUGUAAAAGAGAAUUUAAGAUAUUUCCUAAAGCAAAGCAUUAGUUAUCUGCAAUCAGUGGUGAUCAUGGUCCAUGUCAAUUUCGGACCCAUAUCUUAAAACCGUAUAAUUUGCGUUUCAACAUUACUGAUUUCUCAGAUGUUUCAUACUCCACAGAAGAGUAUUGUUAGUGAAAGCAUUUUGUAACUGUUACUCAUAGUGUUUUGACUCUGGCUCAACAACAUCAGCCAUUGACGGAUUUUCAUACAUGCAAAUCAAAUAGUCUUCUUCCUCCCUUAGGAAUUUCGGUUUAAAUGUUAUUAAGCAUACAUUUGGCUGACAAUUAUUAACCACUUCAUGAUAUGGUUUCUUACCCUUAAUCAAUGGUUUCUAAGUGAAUAUAUGCAGAAGGAAAUCUGAACUGUAGACAGCAGUAUUGAUAACUCUCAAUAUUCUUUAUAUAAGAGAAUAAACAACGUCAUAGUGAUCGUCGCCUACAAGAAAGGUACAUUUCCCAACAAGAUGUAGUGGUGACUGCUACAUGGACGCAAUUAACUCGUAGAAAAGGAUAAGACCAGUGCACGGCAGCUCUUAUUUUACAUGCUAAUUAUGCUAACCAAAGUCACUCAGUUGGGAUGGGAGGGAGAUGGAGGUUUGUGCGGUGGCUUGUGGGGCGGAGUUGGUGGCUUCUUUUCAGGAGCUUGUGGCUUUUUCGGAGCUGAAGGAGGCUCAAUCUUAUGAGGCGGCUUGUACGAGUCUUCUUUACUCUCGACAGGAGGGUGACCAGGGUUGUGACCAUAAUGUGGUGGCUUCUCUCCCUUAGGUGGCUUGCCAACUGGGGUUGGUGGCUUGUGUUCAGGAAGUUGUUUCUCUCCCUUGGGAGGUUUACCAAUUGGGGUUGGUGGCUUGUGUUCUAGGAGUGGUUUCUCUCCCUUGGGAGGUUUAGUGGGUGACUUGUGUUCUGGAGGUGGCUUCUCCACCGGAGACUUGUGUUCUGGAAUUGAUUAAAAAAAUUCUACCACUCUUUUAAGUAAUGGAAGAUUAUUAUCUCUGAUUGGCACCACAACAGCACAUGCUGCUAGAUCUUUCUAGACACUCCAUGCAAUGAAAGCACAAUGGAUCUUGUAACGAUAGAAACUAAGCCAUGCUACAGUACUAGAUGACGAGGUAAAACUAGUAGACAUGGGUGGUAGUUGAUUACUACUCAAAAAGUACUCUUUUAUAGUUUGAAACUAACUGUUUUAAACACUUUUGAGUAGUAGUUAAUAAAUUUUAACUCAAUUGGCACAUUAAGGAACCUAGCAAGGGUUACUAAUAAACUUUUGGCAAGUUUUGGUGUUUUUGGUAGUUAUUCGAUCAUUGAAACAAGCCAAGAAUGAGGGAGAAUUUUGUGAAGUCCAUGGCAAUGCAAGUUAAAGCUCAAAUACACGAAGAAUCCAAGCUUUGGAGCACUACAUAGCCCUUUGCCAAGCCAAUUAGAGAUGCAAGGAACAAAACCAAAGGAAGAAAUCCAACAACCAACAUUUUCGCAUGGUUGUGUGAAAUUUCGCACACCAUGCGAAACCACAAGAGGUAGCCAAAGAAUUUCACAUGGUAUGCGAAAUCUUCUCAUGCACCGACUCCGUUAGAUUUUUAUCUUCAGAUAUUUUGUGUAAUUUCCUAGUUUCUCCUUGUAACCAACCUAGAUAUUUUCUUUUAUAUCUUUUUUUAUAUUUUUUAGGUAACAUCAUAUAUAAGGGGAGAGACAUAAGGAGGAUAUGGAUGUUUUUCAUAGAACACUUGUAAAUUUUCAGUAGUAAGAAAUAUACAAAGCUUUUUGCUAUGCCUUACCUUCUCAUUUUGUUUUCACCUGUCUUUCUAGCCAAACAACCUCUAAGGAUGAUUUCUCAGGGGAUGAGUGGCUAGGUUUUACGUUUCUUGGAGUGAGGGAAGCUAGGUGAAGGACCUGAAUGCAAAGAUGAGAGUUUUCCUUGCUUUAAAUGAAAGUAGUUGUUAAACAUUAAUGGUUUUUAUUUUAAGGUUUAGCUUUAAAUCCCUUAAAAACACCUUGAAUGACCAAUACUUGGUAAGCUUUUCGGAUUCUAUGGAUGCUUAUUGCUAGAUCCAUGGAUGUCUAUUAGUUAUCAUUUACGAGCCUUUGGAAGGUGAUUCAAGGUGAGGGUCUUUAGUGUUUGAAGCCAUUAAUGGGAAGCAAUUACCAUUUUUUCAUGAAUCCUUUGGAUCAAAUCUUAAUUGCUAAAUAUAAAACCGAUUUGGGAAAUAACCAUCCUUUAUGUUAUUAUCCCCAACGCAAGGAGAAGAUCCGGAAUCUUCCCUUUUGUCUAAGGAACCCGAUCCUAGUGACCUAAAGCUCCAAGAGACCUUUUCUUUGUAGUUAACUUCAUUUAUUGUUUUUGCUUAACUUAAAAUCAAUCUUUGCAACCACAAUUCCAUUUUCUUUAAAAGCUAAUUUUUAUAAGGAAAAACACCAUUUUAUUUCCUUCACUAAGUCAACUGUACGAUGAAAACCCAUCCCUGUGGACGAUCCUAGAGCCAUUAUACUAUGUUAGCUAUGCUACCCUAGUGUGAGGUGAUUUAGGUUUUAUAAAUUUUGUUGAUAACACCCAUCUGAGCCAGAAUCAAAUGGCACAACUGAACCAGGGACGAAUCAAAUGGCGCCGCUAUCGAGGAUGGUGCCAAAGUACAUUGACAUGACUUUUGGUGAACACUUGUGAUCUUCAUCACAAGUUUGGUGAUUUUUCUAUUACUAAUUUUUUUCUUUGUUUUUAUUUUAGCUUAUCUUUUAUUUAGUUUUUAGCUAACCUUAACUUUUUCUUAGAAUUGUAUUUCUUCUAUUUUCUUUGUUUUUGUUUCAGUGAUCUUUAGUUGUGCAUGCCCUAUUGGAUAAGAAAUAUUGAGGGAAUACUUGUGAAGAUUGAAAAUCCUCGAGAAACUGAGUUGGAAGUGUGAUUGAACAUCAUGGAUGUUCCACCUGAAGACCAGAAUAGCCAACAUGGUUAAGAGGAUAAUUUCAAAGCAUACCGAUCCAUGAGGGACUGCAUGCAUCCACCUCGUAUGAGUGCACCGUCAUGCAUAGUGCCUCCCACUGAGCAACUAGUAAUCUGACCUCACAUUGUGCCACUCCUACCUACUUUCCAUGGGAUGGAGAGUGAGAAUCUCUACUCGCAUAUUAAGAAAUUCGAGGAGGUUUGUAAUACAUUCCAAGAAGGAGGAGCUUCAAUUGACUUGAUGAGGCUCAAGCUAUUUCCUUUCACUUUGAAGGAUAAGGCUAAGAUUUGGCUUAAUUCUUUAAGGCCAAGGAGUAUCCGAACUUGGACUAAUUUGCAAGCCGAUUUUCUUAAGAAGUUCUUCCUUACCCAUAGGACCAAUGGUUUGAAAAGGCAAAUUUCGAACUUCUCAGCUAAAGAGAAUGAGAAAUUCUAUGAGUGAUGGGAGAGGUACAUGGAAGCUAUUAAUGCUUGUCCUCACCAUGGCUUUGACACAUGGCUCUUAGUGAGUUAUUUUUACGAUGGUAUGUCUUCUUCAAUGAAGCAACUCCUAGAAACUAUGUGUGGAGGAUACUUCAUGAGUAAGAAUCCGAAGGAAGCCAUGGACUUUUUGAGUUAUGUGGCUGAAGUUUUAAGAGGAUGGGAUGAACCAAAUGCUAGAGAGGUGGAAAGAAUGAAGUCUCAACCUAAUGCUAAGGGUGGGAUGUAUGUUUUGAAUGAAGACAUUGACAUGAAAGCAAAGGUUGUAGCUAUGGCAAGGAGAUUGGAAGAGCUAGAAAUGAAGAAGGCACAAAAAGUGGAAGCCAUUUCUGAGACAUCAGUGCAAGCUAUGCCUUGUUCCAUUUGUCAACCUAAUGCUAAGGGUGGGAUGUAUGUUUUGAAUGAAGACAUUGACAUGAAAGCAAAGGUUGUAGCUAUGGCAAGGAGAUUGGAAGAGCUAGAAAUGAAGAAGGCACAAAAAGUGGAAGCCAUUUCUGAGACAUCAGUGCAAGCUAUGCCUUGUUCCAUUUGUCAAUCUUAUGAGUACCUAGUGGAGGAGUGUCCUACAAUUCCAGUAGUGAGAGAGAUGUCUGGUGAUCAAGCAAAUGUUAUUGAUCAAUUCAAGCCUAAUAAAAAUGCUUCAUAUGGCAACACCUACAAUUCAAAUUGGAUGAACCAUCCAAAUUUCUCUUGGAAACCAAAGCUACCUCAAUACACACAACCUGCUCAAGCACCUUAGCAAUCCUCGAAUCUUGAACAAGCUAUUGUGAACCUUAGUAAGGUUGUGGGAGAUUAAAAGUCCAUCAAUGCUCAACUGAAUCAGAGAAUUGACAGUGUAGAGAGUACAUUGAACAAAAGGAUGGAUGAGAUGCAAAAUGAUCUGUCUCAAAAGAUAGACAAUGUCCAAUAUGCAAUCUCAAGGCUUACCAACCUCAACACAGUGCAAGAGAAAGGAAAGUUUAUUUCUCAACCUCAUCAAAAUCCCAAGGGUAUCCAUGAAGUGGAGGCUCAAGAGAGAGAAUCUUCAAAGGUGAGGGAAGUCAAAGCAGUUAUCACCUUGAGGAGUGGUAAAGAGGUUGAUCAACCCACAUCCAAGCCAAAGCAUAAUGAAGAGAGUUUUGUAGAAAAAGAAAAGAGAGGAAAAUAAAGGAAAGAGAAUAGAGAAAAGUACAAAGAAAGAUGACCAUGAGUCUAGUGUGGAUGAAGAGCCCAAGAGGAUAGUGAUCAAGGAAAAUAUGAUGAAGAAACACAUGCCUCCACCUUUCCCCUAAGCUUUGCAUGACAAAAAAGGAACCAAUAAUACAUCGGAAAUUUUUGAAGUAUUGAGGCAAGUGAAGGUCAAUAUCCCUUUGCUAGAGAUGAUCAAACAAGUGCCGACAUAUGCAAAAUUCUUGAAGGACUUGUGCACUGUAAAGAGAGGGUUGAAUGUGAACAAGAAAGCUUUCUUGACCGAGCAAGUGAGUUCCAUCAUACAGUGCAAGUCUCCAGUGAAGUACAAAUAUCCGGGCUACCCUACCAUCUCAGUGAGUAUUGGAGGUACUUGUGUGGAAAAAGCUUUGUUGGACUUGGGAGCAAGUGUGAAUUUGCUACCCUACUCUGUCUAUAAGUAGUUGGGACUUGGAGAGUUGAAGUCAACAUCCAUCACCCUAUCUCUGGCAGAUAGAUCAGUGAAGAUUCCAAGAGAGAUGAUAGAAGAUGUCUUGGUUCAAGUUGACAAAUUCUACUAUCCAGUGGAUUUUGUUGUUCUUGAUACGGAUCCGAUUGUCAAAGGAACUAAUUAUGUUCCUAUCAUACGAAGACCCUUCCUAGCUACAUCAAAUGCAAUCAUCAAUUGUAGGAAUGGAGUCAUGAAACUCACGUUUGUCAACAUGACAUUAGAGCUCAACAUCUUCCAUUUGUACAAGAAGCAUAUCCAUUCAGAAGAAAAAGAAGGUCUAGAGGAAGUGUGCAUGAUUGACACUUUAGUGGAGGAGCAUUGUGAUCGACAAUGCAAGAAGAUUUAGUUGAGAGUUUUGGGGAUCUUGAUGAAGGGUUACUUGAACCCUCAGAUUUGCUUGCUACCCUACUCCAUUGGAGGAAGAGAGAAGAAAUUCUACCCUUAUUCAAUGAGGAGGAGACACAAAGAGCUGCUAAAGAUAAGCCCCCAAAGCUUAUUCUUAAGCCACUACCCACAGAGUUGAAGUAUGCAUACUUGGAAGAAGACAAGAAGUGCACUGUUGUUAUAUCUUUAGCUCUUACCAUUCAUCAGGAGGAUUGUCUACUUGAAGUCCUUAGAAGAAGUAAGAAGGUAAUAGGGUGGCAAAUUUCUGAUUUGAAAGGGAUCAGCCCUUUUGUCUGCACCCAUCAUAUUUACAUGGAGGAUGAAGCUAAGCCAAUUCAUCAACCUCAGAGAAGGUUGAACCCUCACAUGCAAGAAGUGGUGAGAGUUGAAGUUCUUAAGCUACUUUAGGCUGGUAUUAUUUACCCCAUAUCAGAUAGCCCAUGGGUGAGUCCUACUCAAGUUGUGCCAAAGAAGUCGGGGAUCACGGUGGUGCAAAAUGAUAAGGGAAAAGAUGUCUCUACAUGUCUCACUAUAGGUUGGAGGGUGCGUAUCAAUUACAGGAGGUUGAAUGUAGUGACAAGGAAUGACCAUUUCUCGUUGCCCUUUAUUGAUCAAGUGCUUGAGAGGGUCUCUGGGCAUCCUUUUUAUUGUUUCUUGGAUGGCUACUCGAGGUAAUUUAAGAUAGAAAUUGAUGUUGAAGACCAGGAGAAGACCAUUUUCACAUGCCCAUUUAGAACCUAUGCAUAUAGGAGAAUGUCUUUCGGCUUAUGCAAUGCACCCACAACUUUCCAAAGAUGCAUGUUAAGCAUUUUCAAUGAUAUGGUGGAGCAUAUUAUGGAAGUCUUUAUGGAUGAUAUCACCAUAUAUGGAAGUGCAUUUGAUGAAUGCUUGGUCAACUUAGAAGUUGUUCUGAACCGAUGCAUUGAGAAAGACUUAGUGCUUAAUUGGGAGAAGUGCCAUUUCAUGGUACACCAAGGGAUUGUCCUUGGGCACAUCAUCUCCAAGCAAAGCAUUGAAGUUGACAAAGCAAAGGUUGAACUCAUUGUUAAGUUGCCAUUCCCAACAAAUGUCAAAGGAGUAAGGCAAUUCCUUGGCCAUGCCGGGUUCUAUAGGAGGUUUAUCAAGGAUUUCUCUAAGCUUGCAAGGCCUCUUUGUGAAAUAUUGGUGAAGGAUGUUAAAUUCAUAUGGGAUGAUAGAUGCCAAAGGAGUUUUGAAGAAUUGAAGCUAUUUUUGACAACCUCACCAAUAGUGAGGGCUCCCAACUAGCAACUGCCCUUUGAGGUAAAGUGUGAUGUCAAUGACUUUGCUAUAGGAGCUGUUCUUGGGCAAAGAGAAGAUGGAAAACCUUAUGUGAUCUACUAUGCGAGCAAGACAUUGAAUGAGGUGCAAAGAAACUACAUAACCACCGAGAAAGAAUUGUUAGCUGUAGUUUUUGCCUUGGAUAAGUUUCGUGCUUACUUGGUGGGAUCCUUCAUCGUGGUUUUUAUUGAUCACUUUGCUUUGAAGUAUCUAUUGACUAAGCAAGAUGCUAAAGCAAAACUGAUUAGAUGGAUUUUCUUGCUUCAAGAGUUCAAUCUCCAGAUCAAAGACAAGAAAAAAAUGGAGAAUGUGGUAGUAGACCACAUUUCAAGGCUAGCUAUCGCACAUAAUUCCCAUGCUUUGCCCAUUAAUGACGAUUUUCUAGAGGGGUCUCUCAUGUUGGUGGAAGUUGUCCCUUGGUACGCUCACAUUGCUAACUACCUGGUCACAAGAGAAGUUCCAAGUGAGUGGAAAGCACAAGAUAAGAAGCACUUCUUUGCAAAAAUUCAUGCCUACUAUUGGGAAAAGCCAUUUCUAUUCAAGUAUUGUGCGGAUCAGAUAAUAAGGAAGUGAGUUCCUGAAGAAGAGCAACAGGGGAUCCUCAGUCAUUGCCAUAAAAAUGCAUGUGGAUGCCACUUUGCUUAUCAGAAGACAACCAUGAGGGUGCUGCAAUCGGGUUUCUGUUGGCCAUCACUUUUCAAAGAUGCCCACACCAUGUGCAAGAGUUGUGAUCGAUGCCAGAGGCUUGGGAAGUUAUCAUGUAGGAACAUGAUGCCUUUGAACCCCAUUUUAAUAGUUGAUCUUUUUUAUGUUUGGGGCAUUGACUUCAUGGGACUUUUCCCUAUAUCUUUUGGCUACUCUUACAUCUUGGUGGGAAUAGAUUAUGUUUCUAAGUGGGUUGAGGCAGUCCCAUGCAAACACAAUGACCAUAGAGUGGUUCUCAAGUUUCUUAAGGAGAACAUCUUCUCAAGAUUUGGGGUGCCCAAAGCCAUAAUUAGUGAUGGGGGUACUCAUUUUUGCAACAAGCCUUUUGAAACUCUCCUAGCCAAGUAUGGGGUGAAGCAUAAGGUAGCUACACCUUACCACCCUCAAACUAAUGGGCAAGUUGAGUUAGCAAACAAGGAGAUUAAAAACAUAUUGAUGAAGGUGGUGAACACAAACAGAAAAGAUUGGUCAGUCAAGCUCUUCGAUUCACUAUGGUCAUGUAGAACAGCUUACAAGACCAUUAUCGGGAUGUCUCUUUAUCACCUAGUCUAUGGAAAAAAUGCCAUCUCCUUGUGAAAUUGGAAUACAAAGCUUGGUGGUCAAUCAAGAAGCUCAACAUGGAUUUGAGCAGAGCUGGGUUGAAGAGGUUCUUAGACCACAAUGAGAUGGAGGAAUUGAGAAAUGAUGCCUACAUCAAUUCAAAAAUUGUAAAAGAAAAAUUGAAGAGGUGGCAUGAUCAGUUGAUUUCCCGCAAGAAUUUUCAAAAUGGAUAAAGAGUCUUGCUCUAUGACUCUAAACUCCACAUCUUUCCGAGCAAGCUGAAAUCAAGGUGGAUAGGUCCUUUUACCAUUCACCAAGUGCAUUCAAAUAGAGUAGUGGAACUACUCAACUCCAACAACAUCGGGAGCUUCAAAGUGAAUGACCAUUGUCUCAAGCCCUUUGUAGAGUCUUUUUUCUCGCGACAAGGAGGAAUUCAUCCUCCUUGAUCCACAUCAAGCUUGACAAGACCAGUUUUUUUUUAUGGACUUAGUCUUUCUAAAGACUAUCGAGUCCAUAACUUUUUAUUUUAUUUUUUAUUUGAGAGUUUUUCGGUAUUAUUACUUGUUUUGUUUUUUAUUUUUCGUUUUACUUUUAUUUGGUUUGAUUUAACUUAGAUUUUUUAUGAUCAAUUGCAGGGGGGAUUUCAAAUAGAGGAAAAACCAAGAUAAUUCGCACACCCUGCGAAAAUUUCGCAAGGCAUGCGAAAUUUAUGGCUCAUUUCGCAUGGGAUGCGAAAUUUCGCACACCCUACGAACCAAUUUCGCACACUUUGUGAAAAUAAACCAACCCUACGAAAUCAUUUCAAAUACUCUACGAAAUUUUCGCAGAGCAUGUAAAAAAUUUCGCAGACCAAACACCAUUUCGCAUACUAUGCGAAAAUGUAAGGGGUCUACAAAACCAUUUCGCACCUCCAAAGCCAUUUCGCACAUUGUGCAAAAAUGAAAAGUCGCCCUAUCAUCCAUUUUUAAACCCCUUGAGCCCUGAAAUCCCCAUUUCGCAAGCACCCCUGUCCUUGCGAAUCCCUCAUUUUCCUCUGCCACCUUGCGACCUUGUCCCUCUCCAUUUGAUAUCGUGCCCUGCGCACAUCUCAUUUCAAAGACUCGCACUCUGCGCCCUCUCAAAGCACGAACCCAAGGCUCACAUUCCAUUUCCGACAUGGCACAGACCCGAGGAGCCCUUCCCGCCCCUUCAUCGAGACGCACACCAAGGUAGAGAGCCUCUUUUGCUCAGAUGCCAAGUGAUUCUCCAUUUCAGGCCACGGAGGCCCUGCGGAUUCCACAUUCCAAGGGUAGAACAGCCACUGGUCCUUCCUCUUCUAUUCCUCAGCGUAGAUAUGAGACGAGGAGACCACCUACUACACAAAGGGCGACUACUUCGCGCCAUGAGAAUUCGGUACGACACCCUCCUGCCAAGAGGGCCAGGACUUCAGGCCCAGGCGAGUCAUCCAAAGCUUCACAGCCUGAGCCUCCUGCAGAUUCCGAGGUUCCUACUGACAUAUCAUCGGAGUCUAUUAUCAAACGCCCGAUGCUCACAGCACCGCCCAUUGAGGGCAACUCUGAUUGUAGAGCGAGACCUUUCCACUUGGAGCUAUAUUUUAAUUAAGAGGCCAUGCCACAGCAGCCUGAGCUCCAAGACUCUUAUGGCUUACUACAGAGGUACCAUCUUGAGGACCUUAUGACUCCUCGUGAGUUCUUUUAUCCCAGAGUAGCACUAGACUUUUACCAGUCCAUGACUACUCGUGGCGUCCCGAGUCCUACCGCGAUGCACUUCACCAUUAAUGGACGUCAUGGUAUCCUCGAGGCCAGACAUAUUGGAGAGGCUCUACAGAUUCCUUUCGAGCUAGAGGACCCAUCUGUUUUCUGCCAAUGGUCCCCAAUAUCUCAGAGGGACAUGGUCCAUAUUUUAUCCAGGGGGACAUCUACAUAUUCGAUCCUUCUACGGAAGGAGCUUCGACCUGGGAUACUCCUCGUAGAUGUGGUGCUACUUUCCAACCUCUUUCCCUUUUAGCAUUCGAUACAUAGGCGAGGAGCUAUUUUGGACGCUUUAUUCUGUAUAUCAGAGGGCUUCUACUUUGGCCCGCACCACUUGAUCAUGGUUUCCCUCAUCCAUUUUGAGGAGAAGGUCCAUAGAAAGAAGCUUCAGAGGGCGAACACCAUUCCAUUACUAUUCCCGAGGUUGCUCUACUAGAUCUUGGAGUACAUGGGCUUUCCUACUGAGCCUCGGCUUGUGUGCCGCCGCCUUUGUCAAGAGCGAUCCACUCUCGACAAAUGGAAUCAGUUGGCGGGCUAUUCUACACCUCCAGGAGCCCCUCCCAUGGUAGCACCUCUAGUGUCCCCACAGGCAGAGUAGGGCAAGCUCCCGGUAGAGACUGCACCCCUAGUGCCCACACCUGAGGCUACUUCUGCUGUUCCGCCUACGACUCCUACUGUUCCACCAGUUGGUCCUUUUACAUCUGAGUCUUCCAUCAACAUCUCGACUUCGGAGUUUCGCGCCCUUGUGCAUACCUUUCAGACACUCACCACCACACAUACUGCUCUCUUCUAGAAAAUGGCUGAGAUGCGUGCCCAUCAGGACCAGCAGACUACUAUACUCCGCCAAAUUCAACAGCACCUGGGACUUCUGCCUCUGCCUCAGCUUGACCUUCCCACAUCAUCAGAGCCUCUAGCUCCAGUUGAGGAUACUAUUCCACCUGAGGACACUACCACAGUAGAGGUUCAGAUUCCACCACCUCAGGAGGCCACCACAGCUACAUUAGAGGAUGCAUCAUCUCCACCUGAGGCUCCCACUACUUGAUCAUAGGACAUCUCUUUAUCUUAUUGUAUUUACAUAUUAUAUUACUGGAGAUUUGUCUUUGUUUUGAUACUUUAUAUUCUGGCAUUGAAUGUAUUGCCUAAUGAUAUCUCAAUUGUACUUUCUCAUAUUAAUAUAUAGACAUCAAUUUUUUUUAGUAUACUUAGGAUUUUUCUAUUUACUCUACUCAUUACUCUUUUGUUUUUUUUUUUUUACUCAUGUGGUUUCUCCUAUACGACUCAGACUCCAUUUCACUCAGGAGGUACCACUUCUUCCCUUUAUUUUCAAUUGCUCUUGAAACAUUGAGGGCAAUGUUGAUCUUGGUUGGAGGGAGAGUUGAGGAAGGAAGUGAUUACUACUCAAAAAGUGCUAUUUCAUAGCUUGUAAUUAACUCUUUUAAAACACUUUUGAGUAGUAGUUAUCACCUUUUAACCCAAUUAACAUAUUAAGGACCCUUGCAAUCAAUUCUAAUCAAAUUGUGUUAAGUUUUGGUAUUUUGAUAGCUUUUUUAUCACCAAAGCAAUCCGAGAUUGAGGAUAUUUAUUUGGAAUCCAUGGCAAAAGAUGUUUGGACAGGACGUCCGGACACACCAUCGGAGGGCGGCGGAACGUGGGCUGUGGCAGGCUGUCGGAAUGACGUAGCAAGGCUUGUGCACUUUAGCCAAUGAUCGGGAUAACAUAUCCGAAAUUCUGCUCCGCCGACAUUCCACCCGGAUGUCUCACAUCCGGAAUUCUGCUCCGCCGACAUUACACCCAGAUGUCUCACAUCCAAAAUUCUUCUCCGUCGACAUUCCAUCCGAAUAUUUCACAUCCGACGCUUGACGCCGGAUGGGAGAGGAGGGCGUUUCAACUUCCCCGGUCAGACAUAUCCGAAUCCUUUGAUAACGCUUACCCGGAGAGUUUCGCAGCCAUUUUGCACAGUGCCGCGGUGUUCUCUUGAAGCUUCCCGAUAUGUGCGACCGACAUUUUGAGAUAUUUUGCUUUAGAUAUUUGAUGUCUAAAUCCCCAAACUCUCCUUGUAACCCACCAAUUAUAGGAUUCCUUAGUUAUUAAGUUUGGAAAAAUGGUGAAUAACCCCUUAUAUAUAGUUUGCAAUUUUCAUAAAAAAGAUAUGUAGAAUCUCGGGAGCUUGUUCCCAGAGAGACGCAUCCUUUGUACAGUUUUGGAAGGAAGUAAAAUACAGAGCACUUGCUCUGCUUUUCAUAUAUAUUUUUGUUUUCUCGUUCUUUUUAUUUCUAGCCAAUCAAAGUCUGAGGAUUUUUCCUCAGAGGAUGAGAGGCUAGGCUCUUCGUCUCUUGGAGUGAAGAAAACUAGGUAAGUUUCCACAUGCAUAAAUUGAAAGUUUUGUUGUUUUAGUUUUUAAUGAAGAGAAAGUGUGACCCGUUAAUGGUUUUUAUCUUUUUAGUUAACUUAAAACGCCUUUAAAUCACCCGGGCCAACACUUGAUAAGGCAAGUGGUCUCCAUCCAUUGAGAUGCACUAGUUUAUCUCUUGCGAGCCUUUGGGAGGUGGUUUGAAGGUAGGAUUUUCUAGAAUAACCAACACUUGAUAAGCUUUUGGACUCUAAGGAGACAUCCAUUAGUUAUCUCUUGCGAGCUUUUGACGGGUAAUCCAAGGUUAAAGAUCACCUUGAAUGGCAAGUACUAGGUGAGAGGUAUGAGCCAUUGCAAGAUGCAUUAGUGAGAGGGAUUUAGUGUUUGAACCCAUUAAAGGGAAGCAUCUGUACCACACCGGUUCGGGAAAUAACUAUAUGUUAAAUCCCCAAUGAGAGGAAAAGAAACAAGUGACCGGAACUCCCUUUUUGUAUAAGGAACCUGAGCCUAGUGAUCUAAACUCCAAGAAACACUUUUCUUUGUAAGUAAAAUCAGUUACUAUUUUUGGUUAGUUUAAAACCAAACCUUUUUCAUUCAAACAUCUUUAUGUUUUCUUUUAAAGCUAACCUUGAAAUGAAAAGGCACCAAUUCAUAUUUGAAUUAAUAUCAAUUGUGAAGUGAAAACCCAUCCCAGUGAACGAUCCUAGAGCCACUAUGCUAUAGUAGCUUUGUCUUUGCUACCCUAGUUCAUGGUUUAAUAGGUUAUAAAUUUUGUUGAUUACUCCCACAAUCAAAGGAGCACCAGUUGGACAUGAAUCAACUGAGACACUAAUUGGGCACAAAUCAGGAAGUUUUGUUAAUAAUGCUAGGUUAAUUUGUUAAUUUAGUUACUUUCUGCUUAAUUUUAAAAGUUUUCACUUUACUUUCCAUAGUUAUUAAGGAAAAAUUCUCAAAAUGAAAUGGGAGAAAUUGAAUUCUUACAUUUUUACUUGAAUUUUAGAAUUUGUAUUAUGCUUAUUGAAGCUGAUGAAUUAUUGAAACUCCUAUUGAAUUCAACCUUAUUUCUUCCACUUUAAUCUUACCACACACGGUGCACAUUAGGUUCCGAUUAUAAGAGGUGCGUUCUUAGCCUAUUGGAGGUUGGUCAAUUUGUUAAAGUUUGAGAAAGAUCUAGGUUAGGGGAGAGAGAAUAGUCUGACAUACUAUAAUCGAAAACUAAUAAACUUAACACUUAGAUCUUUGUGGAAGAGUAAGGAUUGGACCUUUGGGAGUGGAAAUUCGUUUGAUGCUUAAAUUUGCAUAAUGCUUACACUUUAUAAAUUGUGAUUAGGCAAGAGAUUUGAUGACUCUUGUUCAAGGUUGGGUUUUGCCUCUUUGAUGUUCCAUGAGAGAGUAUAAUCCUCAUCAUGCCACUUGAAAUUUUUUUUGGAGUGAUUAACAUGAUUUUGUAAAUUACUUUACUGUCUAUUUUUUUUUUAUCUCUCCUUCAUUGCUAAUGGACUAGCAAUAUGUCAGUUGAGGGGAGUGAUUACUACUCAAAAAGUACUCUUUUAUAGCUUGAAACUAACUGUUUUGAACACUUUUGAGUAGUAGUUAAUACCUUUUAACUCAAUUGGCACAUUAAAGAACCUAGCAAGGGUUACUAAUUAGUUUUUGGCAAGUUUUGGUGUUUUUGGUAGCUAUUUGAUCAUUGAAACAAGCCAAGAAUGAGGGAGAAUUUUGUGAAGUCCAUGGCAAUGCAAGUUAAAGCUCAAAUACAUGAAGAAUCCAAGCUUUGGAGCACUUCAUAGCCCUUUCCAAAGCCAAUCAGAGAUGCAAGGAAGAAAACCAGAGGAAGAAAUCCAACAAUUAGCAUUUUCGCAUGGCUGUGCGAAAUUUCGCACACCAUGCGAAACCACAAGAGGCAGCCAAAGAAUUUUGCACACUAUGCGAAAUUUCGCAUGGUAUGCAAAAUCUUCUUGUGCACCAACUCCGUUAUAUUUUUAUCUCAAAUAUUUUGUGUAAUUUCCUAGUUUCUCCUUGUAACCAACCUAGAUAUUUUCUUUUAUAUAUUUUUUAGGUAACAUCAUCUAUAGGGGGAGAGACAUAAGGAGGAUAUGGAUGUUUUUCAUAGAACACUUGUAAAUUUCCGGUAGUAAGAAAUAUACAGAGCUUUUUGCUCUACCUUACCUUCUCAUUUUGUUUUCACUUGUCUUUCUAGCCAAACAACCUCUGAGGAUGAUUUCUUAGGGAAUGAGUGGCUAGGUUUUACGUUUCUUGGAGUGAGGGAAGCUAGGUGAAAGACCCGAAUGCUAAGGUGGGAGUUGUCCUUGCUUUAAAUGAAAGUAGUUGUUAAACAUUAAUGGUUUUUAUUUUAAGGUUUAGCUUUAAAUCCCUUAAAAACAUCUUGAAUGGUCAAUACUUGGUAGGCUUUUUGGAUUCUAUGGAUGCUUAUUGCUAGAUCCCUGGAUGUCUAUUAGUUAUCAUUUAUGAGCCAUUGGAAGGUGGUUCAAGAUGAGGGUCUUUAAUGUUUGAAGCCAUUAAUAGGAAACAAUUACCAUUCUUUCAUGAAUCCUUUGGAUCAAAUCUUAAUUGCUAAAUAUAAAACUAGUUCGGGAGAUAACCAUCCUUUAUGUUAUUAUGCCCAACGCGAGGAGAAGAUUCGGAAUCUUCCCCUUUGUCUAAGGAACCCGAUCCUAGUGACCUAAAGCUCUAAGAGACCUUUUCUUUAUAGUUAACUUCACUUAUUGUUUUUUCUUAACUUAAAAUCAAUCUUUGCAACCACAAUUCCAUUUUCUUUGAAAGCUAAUUUUCAUAAGGAAAAUCACCAUUUUAUUUUCUUCCCUAAGUCAACUGUACGAUGAAAACCCAUUCCCAUGGACGAUCCUAGAGCCACUAUACUAUGUUAGCUAUGCUACCCUAAUGUGAGGUGAUUUAGGUUUUAUAAAUUUUGUUGAUAACACCUGUUUGAGCCAGAAUCAAAUGGCGCAACUGAACCAGGGACGAAUCAACAACUUAUAUGGGAGGGACACAAGUUUAAUUGAUUUGCAUUUCAACGUUAUAUAUAGGUAUGUUUUGGAAGAUUUGUUCUGGAAAUACUGCACCAAGUACGAUUCUUUUUGUCUUGAGUGGGUCUACUUGCAUGCCAAUUAACGAGUGGAAAAGUAGGAGCACCUACCUCAUGCUCGCGGAACCGAAGGUCAGUGAAGUGGGGCUCCUUUUGGCCUCUUGUGUUUCUAUUCCAACCAAGGCGGCGUAAGGAAAAACAACAAUAUGUUUGUGCUAAAUAUCAACGCAUGAUAGAUGUUUUUGUUUUUUGGUAUGUCAAGGCUAAUGAAUGAAAUGCUUUAGCUUGUUUUGUGACUGGAACUGCAAAUGUCCAAAUUGGAGUAUCUCCAUUUCUCACUUCGGAUGGUUAACUUAUAAACAAGAUAUAGGAAACAUGUGAACAUCUUGAGGAACAAUUUGAAUUAUUCAUUAGAAGUCCUGGGUUGAGUUCCAAGAUUUAAAUUAGACCCCUCUAGCAGCUUCAGGGGUACCUAGCAACCUAUAGCAUAUUAAUGAAGAUUUAGGAUUUAGACUCUAGAAUACAAAUUAAUAUGUAUCUCAUGCUUUGACUAGCUUCCCUACAUAUGCACAAAAUGGAGAUGACCUAAAAAAAUAGCAGAAUCUAGCUUCCCUACAUAUGCACAAAAUGGAGAUGACCCAAAAAAUAGCAGAAUUUCCUUAGUUUCUGUGGUUAAGGUGAUUCUCCGCUUAAUAUCACAUUGACUCAUUAUGCAAAAUCAACUGAGCUAAUUUUGUUUAUUUAUUUAAUGUCAAAUAGGAACUCCUAAUUAACCUAACCCUUGGCCUGUGUAAAUUGAUUUCACAUGCCCAAUGUUGAAGUAGAAGUCCAUAUUUUGAAUUUUAUUUUUGUAAAGGUAAGGAAAAUGAAGCAUUGUGUAAUUAUAAAAAUAACUUCAUUGGAAUUCACAAGGUUCACCCAAAAUGGAGCUACAUCCGUAUUCUAUCCUGCAGUAGACUAUAUAGAUUGUACAAUAGUAAAUUGCAAAUACAAUUAAUAAGUCUUGUGCUUCCUUACUAAUAAUCCUUUGACAUGAACAUUGCAGCACUAAGGUCCUCUUGGGAAGACACCUUGCACCCAUGAGAGCACGAAGAGGAAGCAAGGCAGAGUCAUGGGUGCAAUGUCAUGACUUGUUGUUGCACCAAGAGAGGCUUGGUGAUGGCAUGGUGUUGCAGUAGCAAGAAUGUUGCCUUGGUAGGGACAUAAUCUAGGGAUAGAUGCCAAGAAAGGCUUAGCACUCACAUGAGUUGCACAAAGAUGAAUGUAAUAGAGCAUCAGAGAGACGUCUUGGCAAGUAAAUGAAUGGAUCCAAGAGGCAACAACAUGAGGAGUUUCAAAUGGAUAAGGAAUGAGUCAAAGACAUUUGAAAGCUACAAGUUGGAUUCUAAUUACGAUUGCAAUUUGAGUUUGAGUAGGAGUUUAGAUUCUGAUUGUAAUUGUAGUAUGAGUUGGACUAGGAUUGCUUAUCCCUAGUCAAAAUAGGAGUGGUUCGUGUCACACCCUAUGAAAAGAGUUUGAGUAGGGACUAGGAUUGCUUACUCCUAGUCAAAUAUGGAGUAGGUGGUGCCACACCUAUAAAAAAAAAGGGACAACAUGAGAGAGAGAGAGAGAGAGAGAGAGAGAGAGAGAGAGAGAGAGAGAGAGAGAAAGAGAUAAUGAAUUCACUAAAGAUAUUGUGGGAGUUUUUCUUUGUUACGUCUUGUAUUAUUACUUAGAAUAGGAAUAAAAUACAAGUUUGGGCUAGAGCCCCAUAAUUAAUCUCGUGUGCCUUUGUGGUUAUUCUUUAUUUGUCAUCUCGUGUGGAUUGGAUUACAUUGACUUAGAGGGCUUCUAAGCACCACCUUUGUGGGUUAUUAUUUAUUUUCCAUUUCUUGUGGAUUAGAUUAGGUUGACUUUGAGGGCUUUUAAGCACCACCUUUGUGGGUUAUUCUUUAUUUUCCAUAUCGUGGGGAUUGGAUUAGGUUGACGAUGAGAAAAAUUAUGUGGGAAAUUUGUGUUGGGACACUUAUCAUAACCAGGUAAAAUCUGCCAAGUCCUUUGUAAUAUCUUCAACAAAUAUUUCAGACUAGUUCUUCACCAUAAACAUCAUAUUGUGUUUUGUUUUUCUCCUGGAUUCUGAGUUGAAUUGUUUCAAGUCAAUUGAAUGCAUCUGAAUAUUAUUAGCUUGUUUGAAGGCCUGGUGAUUUUCCAUUUAACUUUACUUUCUUUAGGUUAUGCUCACUAUAAGAAAAAUGAGAAAUAAUGACGCUUUUUACGCGUUAAGAAAGGCAACAGAUGAUGCUUCUCUAAAGCGUCCUCUUCGGCUCUGUCAUUAUAUGUGUUAGCCAAUAAUGACGCUUCUAGGAAGUGCCAUCUUUGAAUAAUGUUAAUAACGACACUCGUAAAAAGUGUCAUCUUUAAACAUAUUCUGGUCAAAUAAUUUUUACAAAAUUAGUAAUCUUCAAGCCGUUUCUGAAUCAUAUCUGAGCCUAUUUCUGGGGACCAGAAAACCAUCUUUUUUCCAUUCGCCUGAGAGGUCUGAUUAGCAUUUCUGGAAUCAAUCUCUAAACCCAAGCUUCCCUCAUCUACCCAUUUAACCCUCAUGCCCUCCUGUUUGAACAACUUUCCCACUAUAUACACAAAUUUUUUACCUUCUGUUGUUGGUAUUCGACCUCUUCCCAUUCCCAGCACAGAAUCCACCAUUAGUGCCACUUUGUGAAUAAAAUCAUCGAACCAGAUCUUUCGGGCGGAAGAUGAGCUCCAGAGAAAUAAAAUUUUUGGGGUCUUCCCAGCAUGAAAGUCAUAGGUAGCAUUAAUGACAUCAAGAAAUGGGGCACUGUUGAGAAAAAACAUGUUCCCAUCAACCACCCAAGAAUUGUACCAGACUCCAAACACUUCUGGAUUACAUAUGCCUUUACUAAGAUAUAUUUCUUGAUCUCCAUAUCAGAAUCUUGGAGACUCUUCAUUUUAUGAGCUCUGACACUACUGUGAAAUUGGUCCACAUCAAUCACAGGAUGACCCCUUCUAGCAAGAUCAAGCAGGAAGUCUGAAUUCGGGCCCAUAAAAAUGUAGUUCUGAAUAUUGAAACUCUCAAAGUGGCACAACAAAUUCCUUAUGACUCUUUCAGAUGCUCCAAACAGGCUCACAAGUAUAAUGGUAUCCUGUUUUUGCACAGAGUAAAGAAAAUAUCCGAGUUCUUCAAAACUCCUUACAACUAUUCCAGGAUGUACUUCUUUGAAACAGAAAUCGUACCACUUUAGCUUAGUCAGAGGUUGAAUCUAAAAUAACAAAACCCAAACUGAAAUCAAAAUCGAAAUCAACCCUAAUAGAUUUCAGAAACAACAAAUUAAAAGAGUAAAGCACAAAAGGGGGAAAACACAUAUGAAGCAAUCUCCAUACAAGCCCUAACCUUAGAUAAACCCAAAAAAAAAAAUCAAAGCAGAGAGUUACCAUAGAGCAUCUCUGUUUCAAGCUUAGAAAAUGUUUAAUGCCAUUGAUAACUAGUUGGCUAGUGGUGGACUUCAAGCUUCUCUAUUUCGGUGUUAGUAGCUCUCAAUGGCUAUGGUGAGAACAAAGAAAUGAGAGGCUUAGGGUUUGGGAUGUGAGGUUAUUGAUGAUGAUGAGGAUAAAGUUAUGGGCUCUUGGAGGGGUUAGGGAAAUUGAAGAUGGCUGAGAGUAAAGGCUAGGGUUUUUGAGAUAGUUAAUAGCUUUUUAGGGUGUGACUGUCCAUAGAUAGAAGAUAAAUGAGGGUGUGAGAAUUUAUAGAUCUCUAGGUGAUAUGGCGGGUGUGAGAAUGAAAUUUUAGAGGGAAUUGUGUGUUUGGUAGAAAUUUCACACAUGCAUAUAUAAUGUUUCAGAACAUGGCACUUUAAAAAUACGACAAGGAAGAAAUUAUUUAUUGACGCUUAAAUAAAGCGCCAAGGUCUCCAACAUUUUUGCAAUCAAUGACGUUUGUAAAAGGUGCCAUUGAAUAGGAGUGCCAUUGCUUUCCCACAAAGCAUCAUUGUUAAUCAAGCCUUUAAAAAACGCCAAGAUAUGUUGCCACUUAGGUUAAAUAUUGACGCUUUUAAAAAACGCCAAGGAAAAAAACGUCAUUAUUCAUGUUUUUUGUAGUAGUGGCUUGAUUCCUAAAAAGUAAAGGAAAGCAAAAAGUAAAAAAAUAAAAAUGUGGAGAGUUAGGACAUGCGUUAUCUAAUUGUCCUAGUCCCAAAUAUAUUAAGAAAGUCAUGUAGGUUACUUGGAGUAACGAGUCAAGUAAAGCAAGCCUUCUAGUGUUUAAGACAUUAGAUAUUACCGAACUGAUUAUGUCAUUAAUGUAUUGCAUUUGUUGUUUCUAAUAUAUAGAAGAAGAUGAAAUUAUUGGAAUAAGUGGGAAAUAGGAAUAAAUCCAAGGUACCAAAAAGUCACUUUAUCUUAGAUGUUGUUGGAAACAUAAGUGAUUUCACAAUAACGACUAUGAGACAAUCAAGGAUUAAUAAGAUAGACUUUAUAUGAUAUACCUCCCAAUUAGAGCCUAAAAAUAUGGAUGAAGCACUUAGAGAUGAAUCUUCAAUUUUUGUACUAUAGGAAGAAUUAAAUCAAUUUGUUAGCUAUUCUUUGGAUAUUUGAUUCAUCACAAGCUACAAAUCACUUUUGAUGACCAAACACGAAACUAAGAGGAUUGGGCCCAAUUCGAUGCCUAUCAACAAUGAUUUGUAUUCCACCUCAUUAAUUAUUCAAAGUUGGGAAGCUAGGUCUAACCACUUUCUCUACCUGUUCACCCUUAGAGGAGCAGAAGAAAAUUCUAACUUUGGUGCCUAAUGCCUUUGACAAUCUUUCGACAAAGAGAGUUCACUAAUUACUUUGAUUAUUUCUCUGUUGGUCACUGGGGGACAAGACUUUUGUAAUGAAGUCAACUAGAACUUGCCCUUUGAGGGCCAUUCAUGGACGAUAUUACACCAUGAAUUCCCUUAGGUCAUGUUUGGUAUGUGAGAAUGAGGAGUGGAAUGGACAUCUUAUUCAUUUUUUCAUCUAUUCAAAUGUUGGGAUAACUCAAGUGACCAUGAGAAUGAAAUCAAGAAUGAUUCAAGGGAAAUGAAAUCUUACUUAUAAGUGUGAUUUCAAUUAAUCUCUAAUAGAAAUUAUUUUGAAUCAAUAGUGCAAGUUAUUUUUAAAAACAUUUUUCCAAAAUUAAAAAAAUCAAUUUUUUUUUUUUCGAUAAGUUGUUUUUAAAAGGAUUUUUUUUAUUUUGUAAAAAGAAAAUUGUAAUUCAAUUUAUAUAAUAUAAACUAAAUUUUAUUUUAUUCAAAAAGAAAUAAUUUUUUAAUUAUAAAUAAAUUAAAAAUAAAUACUUUUAAUAAAAUAUAAAUAGUAUUAUUAUAAUAAAAUCAUAAAUAAAUUUAAUUUUUUUUAUAAAUAUUAUAAAAAUAUGGAUAUUAACAUUGGAUAAUUGAUUUAUUUUGUUAAAAUAAAAAAUAAUAAUUUUUAAUAUUAUUUUAUGUUAAAUGAAUUUUAAAAUAAAGAAAGUUUAAUUAUUUUAAGGUAUAGAAGAGCCAAAUUUUGCAUUACAUACAUAACAAACAAUAUUUAUUAGAAACAUUUCUCAAGGAGAAUCUUAUUCCAUCUCACAAAGAUACUCGUUUAUUCGAUGUUUGACCAUCCGUAACAAUCAUGUCAAUUCUACUGAUUUAAUAAUUCCUUUACAUUUAUUACUCACUUAUGAACAUGGUAUUGUGAUUUAUUUAUUUAUUUGAUGUAUAAUUAAUUAAUCAAUUUUUUAAAUUUCAAAUUAUUUUUAAAAACUAUUCAUUAAGGAAUUUAAAGCAUUAAUUAUGUCUAUUAUUUUUUAUAGUCAUUAUAUAUAUAUUGAGUUUUAAUUUAUUUUUAAAAAUUAUUAAACUUAUUAAUAAAUUCAAUAUAAAGUCUCGUUUCAUUUGAAAUUCAUUUCUUUAGUGAAAAUUUUGAAAAAAAAAUUGUUAUUUAUUUUACUUUGUUUUAAAAAAAUUGUUUCUAGAGAACAAUAAUCAAAUAAUGGUAUGAAUUUUUAAAAACAAUUUUGUUUUUAAAUCAUAUGCCCAAAUAAUUUUUUUUUAUUUAGCAAAAAACUUUGUUGUAGUAUGUGGCUCAUAUUGAGGGAAAGACAUAUAUGGAGAAAAAUGUGCAAAUGUUGGAGUGGAGCGGAGUGGAAUGACGACAUUUGUCAUUCAAACUUGUAUUUUUAUUGUUAAGGGUGACCGAUAGGUUGGUACGGUUUAGGGGUAUUUUUGGAAUUUCAUUACCUGAGGGUUAGUAUAAAUACCAUUUUAUGUAACCCUAAUUUUACAUAUAAUGUAAGUUUUCUUCCUUGUUCUUGUGGACAUAGGCAAUCCGUCGAACCACGUUAAAUCUGUGUGUUUUUUUUUCUUUUUUCUUUUUCUCUAAUUUCUUCACCAGGAAUCGUUACACUAAGAUCAACAAACUCUCAAAGAUGAUUUUUAAAAUGAAAAAAAUAAUGUAUAGUGUGAGAAUUUUUUAUUUUUUAUUUUUUUAAAAUGAAAAUAAAAAAUUGCUUUAAGGUAAAAGUGUGGAUAUUAUUGUUAAUUUAUUUCAUUUUUCAUUUUCAUUUCCAUUGUUACCUACAAUUGAAAUGGAAACAACUAAUCAUUACAACCUUACAUUCUUAUAUGCAUCCAAAUACAAAAAUUGAAAUCACCAAAUUCAUAUUCAAGGCAAAAUAGGAAUGAAAACAAAUAUUCAUUCUCAUUCUUUAUUCCCACGUGUCAAACAUGACCUCAAAGUUAUAAACAUGAACAAGAAGUCCUUGAAACACCAAUGAUCUCUUCUGGUAUAUAUAUGAGCUUGAUUGACAACUGUUUUAAAUACAGUUUUUUUUUUUUUUGUUUUCAAAAUCAAAACAAAUUUAUUUUUAUUUUUUAUAAAUAGUAGUUUUUUAAUAUUUUUUUUAAACCUUAUUAUGAAAAUAGGAUGUUUUCUAAUAUCAUAUUUUAAUUAUUUUCAAUUAUUUUCCCUUCUUUUAAGGAGGGCUAUUUUAAAAAUAUGAAAAAUGAUACAAAAUAAAGCAUUACAAAUAAAAAUCAUUUUUAAGAAAUAUAUGAAAAUAAUUUGAGAACAUUUGAAGUUCCUUAAUUAAACUUUUGUUCUAGAAAAUGCAAGAAAACUGUUUUUGAAAAUUGUUUUCAUAAUGAUAUGCAUUGAUCGUUUAAAAUUUAAUUACAUGAUAAAAAGACCUAUGUAAAAACCAGAGUUAUAUAAUCAGUCAUAGAUCAAAUCUACUAAAUAUGAAAAGUAAGUACAUAGUUGUAUAUGACUUAGAUGGAGCCUUCUCCGAAUGACAUUCUUUAGUCGGUACUCAUAUUUUUUUGUUUCGUGUCUUCAACAUAACACCUCAUGAUCCUUAAUAAAUCACCUGAAAACUAUAUUAGCACCUUAUUGUUUAAUAUUUCUCUAAAUUUUUUUAUUAAGCAAAUAAAUUCCAAAUUUAAAAUGACAAAUAAAAUUUAUUAAUUUUUAAAAAUAAUUUAAAACUCAAAAACCAAUUUAAUUGAUAUUAAAAGUCAUGAAACUUAAUAAUAUUAGAAAGUCAUGUAUCCAAAUUUAUUUUAAAUGACUUGUUUAAUUUCUUGUUUAUAUAUAUUAUAUUUUUAUAAUUUUUUUUACUAUACAAAUAAAUUUUAAAUUAAACAAAACUUAAUGCGUUGAAUUCAUUAACGAGUCUAAUAAUUUUUAAAAGUUACUUAAAAUUUAAAUACUAAAUCAAUUAGUACCACAAAUUCAUGGAAAAAAAUUGAUUUAUUACUACUAUAUUGUUUCUCUAUUGCAUAGAACCAUUAUUUUUCAAUUUUUUCAUUUGGCAAAUGAACAUCAAAUUAAACAAGACUAAGUGUAUUAAAUUCAUUAAUGGGUCUAGUAAUUUUUUAAAAUAAUUUAAAAUUCAAAUAUUGAUACUCCAAAUUAAACAAGACUUAGGUGGUGUUUGUUUUUUGGUUGAAUAGAAAAAGGUAAAAUAUUUGACUUUUUCUAUUUAGUUAAAAGUAACUUGUUGACAUCGUCCAAUAUAAUUAAAGUAAACCUAUUGAGGGCAAGUUCACUUUAAUUAUGUUGGACGAUGUCAACAGGUUACUUUUAACUCAAUAGAAAAAAUCAAAUAUUUUGACUUUUUUUUUAACUCAAAUAAUAAAUCCAUUAAUACAAAAAAAUUAUGGAUAAUUUGAAACUUUCUUUCUUUUUUUUUUUUUUUUUGCUACACAUAGCUAUAUUUUUAUAAAUUUUAUCAUUAGAGAAAUGGAUUUCAAAUCAAGUGAAACUUUGUAUUGAAUUAAUGGAUUUAACAUUUUUUAAAAAUAAUUUGGAACUAAAAAAAAAAGAUUUAAUUACUAAGAAAAUCAUAGAUCAAAACUAAUAUAUUCUGAUCCAUGAUUUUAUUAUUUUUCCUAUACAUACAAUUAUAUUUUUAUAAUUUUCUCACUAGGUAAAGAUAUUAUAAAUUAAGUGACACAUAAUUAAUAAUUUAAAUUUUUGAAUGAAUCUUUUAAUUUUAGGAAUAAUUUGAAAUUUAAAAAGUUGAUCCAAUUAAUUGUAAAUUAACUUAAAAUAUUAUAAAAUAUUAUGUUCAUAAUUAAGUACUAAAUGUAUAUAUGUAAUGAAAACUUAACUAGUUACAUGUUACAAAAGCCAAAAUUUAUUCAUUCUUUAUUUUAAAUAAAAUAUUAUUAAUAAUUAUUUUUUUUAAAAUAAUAUUUAGUAAUUAUUGUUUUUAAAUUAUUAUUAUUAAUUUUUAAUAAAAAAAUUGCAAAGUUAUUAAUAUCAUUAUAUUUCUAACAUAAAUUUAAAUAGUAUAUUUUUUAAUAUAUAUAUAUAUAUAUAUAUAUAUAUAUAUAUAUAUAUAUAUAUAUAUAUAUAAUUUAUGAUUUCAUUAUAAUAUUUUUAUUCAUGAUUGACGAAAAAUUAUUUAUUGUUUAAUUUAUUUGAAUUGCAAAACUAUUUUUCAAAAUUCAAGCGAGAAAAUAGGCCUGGAUUUGAAUUUCCUGUAGAAGAGAAGGAUGUGGAGAAUAUGUUGGGAGUAUUUGUGGAUAAAGAAAAGGCCAGGGUACUGAGAAAGGAGAGAGAACUUGCUCUUGCCAAAAGAGCCCUGCACAGGUAUUCUACUGAUUCUAAUUAUCGGUUCUUACAUGAUCAGAUUUCAGAUUUAUUUGCUGAGCUUCUGAAAUCUGAUACAGUAUUUAAACUCCGGUGAGCUUUACAAGAUUAGUCUCGCAUCCAAUUCCAAAUGGUGUCCCACAAUUGAUUCUUCUUAUGAUAAAUCCACCUUGAUAUGUGAAAAUAUUGCUCGAAAGGUUUAUCCUCGCGAGGAAUAUCCAGAAUACUAAGGAAUUGAGGAGGCUCACUAUGUUUAUAGAGUCAGGGAUAGGUUGAGAAAACAAGUAGUUGUUCCAUUACAUAAGGCCCUGGAGUUGCCAGAGGUUUUCAUGUGUUCGAACAAGUGGGGAUCACUUCCCUACAACCCUGUGGCUUCAGUGGCCAUGAAAUCAUACAAGAGCCUCUUCUCAAACCAUGAUACAGAGCGGUUUGGUGAGUAUCUUGAGAAAGUGCAAACUGGGAAGGCUAAGAUUGCAGCUGGUGCAUUACUUCCCCAUGAGAUUAUAGCUUCAUUGAAUGAGGAGGAUGCCGAGAGAGUUGCCGAGCUUCAGUGGGCAAGAAUGCUGGAAGAUUGAUCAAAGAAAGGGAGGCUCACAAAUUGCAUUGCAGUAUGUGACGUAUCAGGAAGUAUGAGUGGAACUCCAAUUGAGGUGUGUGUGGCUCUGGGGCAGUUAGUUUCAGAGCUCAGUGAAGAUCCAUGGAAAUUAAGGUAAUGUAAUUACUUUCAGUGCAAAUCCUGAGCUUCACAAGAUCCAAGGAGACAGCCUUGUAUCCAAGACUGAAUUUGUGAGGAUGAUGGAAUGGGGUGCCAACACUGACUUUCAGAAAGUUUUGACAGAAUCUUACAAGUAGCAGUGGAGGGAAAUAUGAGUGAAGAUCAAAUGAUAAAGAGGGUUUUCGUUUUCAGUGAUAUGGAGUUCGAUGAAGCUUGUGGGAGGUAUAACUAUUGUGACUAUGACUAUGAUAUGGAGGAAAUUGACGAGAGUCAGAAGGCAUCUCAGAAGUGGGAGACAGAUUAUGAAGUGAUACAGAGGAAAUUCCAGGAGAAAGGAUACAGAAAAGUUCCAGAGAUAGUGUUUUGGAACCUUAGAAACUCAUCAGCGACUCCAGUGACGGCCACAGAGAACGGGGUGGCCUUAGUAAGCGGGUUUUCAAAGAAUCUGUUGACCUUGUUUUUGGAAGGAGGUGGAAUUCUGAUCCCUCAGGAUGUGAUGGAAUUCGCCAUCUCUGAUGAAGAUUACAAGAAACUUGUUCUAUUUGAUUAAGAUAUCAAGAGAUUUAUCAAUAAUAAUAUAUUUUUUUUCUAUGUGAAAUACAUAUAAUAUUAACUGUGGAGUUAUCAAAGUUCUGGAGGUUUAAUUAUUUCUUCUUUUCAAGUUUUGUUUAUUUAAGGUUUUCUUUGUCUUUGUUAGGAAUUCCCCUUGGGUGGACCCAGCUGGGGAGUUGGAUUGAGGAAGUAAGCAGGCGAACUUGUGUUCUUCUAUGGACAGAGAAAAAAAAUAAAAUAAAAAAAUAAAAAAGGAGGUUAUUUGCAUUUGGAUGUCGUGGUUUGAGGGUACAACUACAAGCUCGAAAUUGUACAUAAUGUGAAAACUCCUGUGUCCAUUGCUGAGAACAGCAUAAAUGAUGGUGAUUUUCAAGUUGUGCCUGGUAUUCUACAGGAUGAAACAAGAAAGGAUCCAGGUGGUAUAUUGAACAAUAUCCCAAUCAUGUUGGUGGCAUCUUUAUUUAGUUAAUGGUAUUCAUUUGGUGGAAGCUGGUUGUUUAUGAUGUUUUUAAUUUUUUUUAACAUGAAGUUCGAUCAAAUACGUAUCUUAGUAUGUUUUGUUUGAGCUAAUUGGCAAAUGCGCUUUAAACAUGGUCACAUGGAUGCAGUUUUAUUUGUGAAAUGAUAAUAGUCGAUUACUUGGUCAGUAAGGUUUAUAUCUCUAACUUCAACAUCUUAUUGUAGUCUUUUAAAAUGUCAAAAGUUUAAUGCUUGAGAAAUUUUGGAAUGGAGACAUUCUAAACAAAGUUAAUAAUCCACAAGACUUGGUAAAACCGAUCAGAUGAUGCUUACGUACAUCAAUGCCUUCUUUAAGCCAUAUCCUAUUUUCAUUGAACGGGAUGUGCCAUCUAGUUUGGUUCUUUAAGCCUCCAAAUCCUAAACCUAGUCUCAAUUUAGAGCAAAUUUAGGGUGCAGGGCCUGCAUGCCUCCCCCUCCCCCUUCCACAAAUAGUAGUGACCUUGCUAUGCCUAUGCAUUGUCAAUGCCUCAUUUUCUAUGGUCUCCAAUGUAAUAUCUUAGUUUCAAUGUCUCUUUCCUUACUAUCUCCAAUGCAAUAGAUUGAUUUCAAUACCUCUUUACAACUAAGACCUCCAAAUUUUCUUGGUUCAAACCUACCAGAAUUUUUCUUCUCCUUUGCUUUCUAUCAAUAUUAGUUCCCCUAAUUUAAUAUAUACUUCUUUAUUACCUUCAACUCUACCUCUCUUUCUUUCUCUAAAAGCUUCCUCAAAGAUUUAAUUGCUUUCUUGCAUGUUUUAAGAAAACAAACAUGCUCAUAUUACAUUACCUCUACUUGAGAUCUACCUUAUACUCUACCUUCUUUCUUUACCUCCUAUAUCAUCUACUACAUUAGCUUCAAAAAUAUUAUUUAGUUUGAUACUAAAUAAGGCUCCUAAUCCUACUCUUCCUUCAACAAACUUUCUUUUUACAAGUUCCUUAAACUUUAUUUUUUAUUUUUUAUUUUUUGGAAAUUCGGGUUAGAAAGAUUCCAUUACUCUUACCUAAUAUUUCAACCAUCAAGUUGAAUCCACUUAUUGCCUAAAUCCAAGGAGUCUGCCCUCCACAAAAACAAGGAAAUUGAUCCCACAAUAACAAGGAGAUUGCCUUCCACAGAAACAAAGAGAUCUCCCUUCACAGAAGCCGAAUACAUUGCAAUCUAUUUUCUUUCUUGUAAGAUCAAAUCUUCAAUCGAGCUCCAUCUUAUGGGGGCAUAUUAGAGAAAUUUAAUAUUAUCCUUAAUUUACAUAUUAAUAUUUAUCUAUUUAUUAUAUAUUGAAUUAAAAUAGAAUAUAGAAUUUGAAUCAUAGUAGAAGUUUACUAUAAGAUUGAAUUACAAUAGUUAAUAGAGUUUAAAUUAUAAUAACUCAAAUACAUUUAUAUAUAUUUGACCUUACGAGAUUUUCUAUUUAUGUAUUUGAACUACAAUCCUUAUGAUCCUUAGGUCUCUAUACCUUCGUGAUGGGCUCCUUGACAUUUCAUAGGUUGUGCUACACAUGCAUUUGAAAUUUAGAGUGCAUUUGACAGUGAUUCUGGGAAGUGUUUUUGGCAUUUCUAACACUUAAAAUUUUUUAUUUUUCAAGUAUUAGAAAUGCUACAAACACUUUUGAAAAUUACUGUCAAACACACUCUUAGGAGCGCAUAUAGUAGAAAACUAGAAAUUGUGGUUUUUUUAGGAUUUACUGUAAUGUCAUUAGGAGGGUAGUAAGUUGAAACUGAGUAUGAAUAAAUAUUUCUUUCUUUGGGAUGUUCUUCUGGUAGGUGCUGAUGAAACUGUUCUUUUUACUGCCAAUGUCACAUAUCAGCCAGAAAUUGAAAAUUUCAGUCAAGGUGUCCUCGGUUUUAGUGGUGAGGAAAGCUAGAAAUUUUAAGGUGAAGUUCUGUUAAAAACCUUAAGUAGCUGGGAUAUCAGGCCUGUUUUGCUUGAAAAAAAAAGUUGCAAGAUAACUCAUAUGCCAAACAGGUUCUGAUAUUGUGAAUCUAUCGGCAGACAUCAGUAAUCUCAUCUUCUGAGAUGGAUGUUGGGGGUGCAUGUGGUGGUGGAGGGGCAAGGUUUCAUUUGGUUUAUUUUGUUGAUGGAUAUUGUCUAGCCCCCUGCGCCAAGUUUGAGGGGUGGUGGGUUGUGAUGGCCCUACAAUUACUAUUAAUUUCUUCCUCUUUUACCGAUUAAAGUGUCCGAACAGUCGAAGUUACCCUUAUGCAUGUCAACUUGAUCACUUACCUCUUCAAUGGAGUUUAUGCUGGUUCAUUUAGGAACUGAUUUUUAUUGUUAUGCAUUCUAUGCUGAUGUUUAGGCCUCUCCAUCAUCACUAUAUACAAAAAUUCUAGGUUGAUACUAUAGGUUGAGAUUUAUUUUUUAAAUAAAAAAUAAUAAAAAUAAAAAUUAUGGUGAUGUUUAGUUGUUUUAUGGAAAAUUUUAACAAGUUAUUUUUGGGCAAGUUUUCAAACAAAAAGAAAAGUAAAAGUUGUUUUGACAAAAACAUAUAGAAAAAAAAAAUCAUAGAAAAGAAAUAAUUUCCCCAUAUUCUAACUUUUUUUAAUUUUUCUCAAUGGGCAAAGGAAUAUCAAAUCAAGUUUGAGUAGGAUUUCUUAAUUUUUAAAAUAACUUACAAUUAAAAAAUUUUGGUGUUUUCAUUUUUGGACAAUUUUUUAUUAAGCAAAUGGACUCUGAGUCAUGCAAGAGAUAUGGUUGAUUAAUGGGUCAAACAAUUUUUUUAAAAUAAUUUAAAACUCAAAUACAUAAUCAAUGUCACAAAAUUUAUAAACAAAAAUAGGUUUAGAGAAGAUCUACACAUAAUUUUACUUUUCUAAUUUUAUUUUAUUUUAUUUUUUUGUUGGAAAAUAGUCUUCAAAUCAUGUAAGAUUUAAUAGGUUAAAUUUGUUAACAAUAAAUUUUAAAUUAUAAAAUAUAAUCUGGAACUUAAAAAUCAAUUCAAGUAAUGCUAAAAAAAAUCAAAUUUGGUAUAGAAUGACUACGUAAAAUUUUUUACAAAACAAAUGAAUUUUAAAUCAAGUGAGAUUUAAUGCAUUAGAUUUUUAUCAAAUAUAGUAAUUUUAAAAUUUAAUUUGGAACUCAACAAUAGACACAAUAAAUACCAAAAAAUAAUGAACCAAAAUUGGUUUGGAAUAACUCCACAACCUCUUUUUUUUUUUUUUGGUGCACACGAAUUUUCUUACUAGGUAUAUUGCUUUCAAAUUGAGAAAGAUUUACUAUUUAGAUUUUUUUUUUUAAUGAGUUUAAUGGUAUUUUAAAAUAAUUCAAAAUUUCAAAAAUUGACUAAUUACUAUUAUAAAUUCAUAAACCAAGACUAAUUCAAAAUGCAUUGGGGGCUAAGGGGGUUGAAAAUAGGGACAAUGGGAUGGGUUUGGGACAUGACACUCAUAUCUCAUUUCCAUUCCAAUUACAUAGUUAUCUCCCAUCCUUAUCCCAAACUUGUGUUGGAGCAAGUUGAUUUGUUCCCAUCUUUGUUGAUGAAAUGACUAAUAACCUCAUCCCCUCCUUAUCUUAGAUGUACAUUUUGUCAAAUUUGAUCAGGUAUGAUUGAUCCAAGCCCUAACCCUAAUUGGUAAUGACUGGAUACUACACCUAAUUGCAUUCUUCUUUCGUCGCAAAAUAAUGAGAUUAUAAUAAUCUAGCAAAUAAGAAAAAAUAGUAUGGAAGUUCAAUUUAACACCAUAACUAUCAAUAAUUUUAAGCUUAUAGAUGACUUAAAUGAUUAAAAACUAAUGCAAAAUACCAAAAAAAAAAGUUCAUAUAAAGAAUUCACAAGAGAACAAAAUGAACAAAAACCAAAUAUGAACAUGGGUCAACAUUAGUUAUGGAUUUGGAUUCCUUUCAAGGCCAAUCUUUGAACCAAGACUUCAUCAAAUCUACUACUUCAAAGGCUUUUGUGUUCUUCUUGGGUUGUGCUCUCAAACAAAGACUUCAAGGUGAUGCUCUAGAUGAUUGCAUUACACAUAUUUAGGGUGGAGAGAUUGGAGAAGCUUGAAGAUGCCAACGAUGGGUACAAUUGAGUGGUCAAUAAGAACAAUGUAGCCUAUGACUAGUUUGAUGUCGUGGUACAAGAGUUUUAGGCAUUGAGGUUAAAGCAAGAGCAACAUGGAAUUGAUUUUGGAGUCUUUCAAUUAGUGUAAAGGAGGAAGAAGUGGUAUUGAUUCUAGAAAUAGGGUUUUAGGUGGUGCGUUAGAGGAUGAAGAAGAAGAAAAAGAAGGAUCUGUUGGAAUUAGUGUGAGUGUGAAGAGAGAAGUAUAUAAAUAAGGGGAAGUAAAAGCAAAGUUCUAAAAGCUAUAUUUUUUUUUAUUGUUGGUGUAUGGUUGCAUGAUUAUCCCUAUAAAUAAUAGGAGUUUUUUUGGUAUUCUACUAGUAGUUGAAGGAUAAUUUCAUAAAUUUAUAUUUAGAGUGGGGUGGGGUGAGUUGUGACAAAAUUCAUACCCGUCCUAAACCUUGGUUCAGAUUUUUAAAAUAUCCUCAAACUUAUCAUAUACCCAACUUUUAUAUUUCAUACUUGUCUUGAUAGAGGCAGGUUAGGCCGGGUUACUUGAGUAACCUACAUAAUUGUCAUCCCUAGUUGAAAUACACUUUUUUGGCAGUGGCCACCAACUGAGCUAGAAGCUUGAUCGAUUGACCUACAAGAUUAGUUCUCAUCAUUUUAAAAAAAGUUUUGGCCUUGGUUGUGAGUGCAAUUGAAUCUAAACUGGCAUUUCCUUAAUGCAUCUACUUCAAUCCUAAAUUUCUUACUUCCUAAGCCUCAAUUGUUGUUAGGAUUUUGGAAAGCCCAUUUCCUUAAAUUGUAAAUUUAAGAAAAAAUAAAAUAAAAGUGAGACAUUUCUUGAUUGAAUAUUGUUAAAGGUCCCUUGGCAUUAAGACUUGGUUGAAGCCUUGGAAGAUUAGUGGAACUCUCAACUUGUGUUUGAAUCUUGAGGAGAGUGGACGUAAGCCAAAAUUUUGUCAAACCAUUAAACAAAUUGAGUUUGAAUCCUCAUUUCUUGAUUUCUUAUUUAUUUGCUUUUUCUUAUUAUUACUUGAAUUGUCAUUUGCAUUCAUUAAUGUUAAAAUUGGUUAUAAUUAACCAACACUAAUUCUCUUUCCCCUUCCCUUUCUUGGGUGUAAACCUAGGUUGGAUUAACUAGAUUAAUUUAUAAAAUCUAUUAAGAUGGUAAAAGAAUAAUUAUUCUUAACACACAUAAGAUCAUCUUCAAUCAAAUGACUCAUUGGCUAAUAUGUUGAAUUUGCUUAUUACUUGCAACUCAAAAUUGUGUUCUAGUUGAUAUGUCAAGUCCCCAGUGUAUGGACAUUAAAUUUGUAGUACGUGAUGGUAAUUAGAUGGUCCAACUCCAAGAAAGUGAUUGAAAACUAGUUCAAGAAAGGUGCAAAAGGGAAUUGUUUUGGUAUUUUCGUUUUUAUUCUUGAAGGUGGCAGAGCUAAAAUUUGUGAAAUCAAGCAAAACAUACUGAAAUUACAUUGAAAGAAAGAAAAUGGGAGUUAAUGUCUUGCAGUAGAUGAUAAGGACUUCAUGCAUGUAGUAUGACCCAUGUCUUGGACUGAUGCCAACUCACGGUUACACUUAUACCCUUGGUUCUCUCUUUACUACCUUGGCUAACCUAGAUCAGGCUAUGAGAUAGGCUCCUCACCACACCAUUACUUGCCCAUUAAUUAGAGACAUUUUCAAGCACUGAGGUAACAUGGUGACACCAAGAGGGUUUAUUCCUCGCCCUCCUCGCCCUCAACAAGUCUAGACUUGGUCUCAAAAAAAUGGAGAAAAAUGAGGUGUCGUUAUGUAGAAAUACAACAACCAUGCCUUCCUCAUUACUUUGAUUCAGAAUGUGAAGGUGAAAUUGAGAAACAGAAACUCUUGAAACCAAAAUGAAAAUUGAUACUUUUACGAAGAAUUACAACAACAUUGGAGGAAGACUACAUUCUUCCUCUUUAUUCCUACAUUUCUACACUACUUCUACUCCACUCCAUAUUUCUACAUACAUCUUUAAUCAGUCUUCCCUCCUUUAUAUAGAGCCAUCUUCACACAAAUUCCGCAAGGUAGAAAAGAGGAAUGAAACUUGGAGCAAGGUUCGACUACUGGCUGUAGCUUGUCAAGGCUGGAAGUGAACCUUUUUUCUUGGCUUUUCUGGGCAUGGGUAGUAACUUGUGGGUUCCUUUUUGGGAUACAAAUGGCUAGAACAUGUGGCACUAUCUUGUUGGAUGAUGUGUCAAGCAUGUGGCAGCCAUCUAGUGGCGAUUAUGUCAAUUUUGGGAUGGAGAGUUGGCAUCCAAUUGCAAAGAAAUAUGACGUCUACCAACAGGCAAUGUAAACCUAUGUAGAUCAUAUGAAGAUAGAGAGGAAAAAUAUAGAAAUGGAUAUAUACCUAGAACUAGCUUUUUAUUAAAUGAAACGGAGAGCCAACAAUGAAGGAAAAUAAAUUUUUUUGGCUUAUAUCAAAGAGUUCACAUUGUGCUACCCUAGGUUUUCUUAAAACUUACUUUUAUGAUAACAAAAAAAAAAAAAAACAUUAUUGUUUAAUCCUUUGUUUUAAACGCAUGUUUAGCAAGUUAUAAAAUGUAAAAAUCUUUCUAAGUUCAAAUAUGAAGAUAUGACAUCAUUUCAAGCAAGAUAGUCUCUAGGAAUUAAUGUAAAGCUAAAUUAAGGUGAAAUUAAAUUAGUUCAAUGCAUUAAUUUAAGAAACUUGACCUAUCAAAAGUACAAAAUUAGAUGAAAUCCAUUUCAAUGGUUAAAAUGAUCAAAAUCAAACUUUUUCUAAGUAUUUUUUAAAAGUAUCAAUAUUGAAAGACAAUUUUAUAUUUAGUCAGAGUUUGGACAAAACCAAAAAGCACACAAAAUCCAAGCGACCAUCUCUAGCUUGGAUGGUCGCUUGAUCUCUAGCUUGUGUACUUGGAAAGCAACAUCGAGAUGAUAUAUAUAUAUAUAUAUAUUUUAUAUAAUAUUGUUUGUCCAAAUUCCCUAAAAAUUAGGCCACCACAUGUUCAUAAUUCUCCCUUCUUGAAUUUGAAAACUCGGACAAUUGGACAAUGCGACACCUAAGUCCGGUUUCUAAAUGCUAAAGUGAAAGGGUAGGUAUGGACCAUUGAAAUGUGAUCACAACUUUUCUCUGUAGCCAUGUUGUCUCUUUUUUCUUUUGCAUGAUUUUCUCACCUUAACAGAAUCAUAGACUUGUUUAAUCUCUAAAUGGGAUUAAUUUCAUCCAGCUUUAAGCUACUAUAUUAUAUCUAGGUGGAGGACUUUUAAGAGUGCAACCGACAUAGAGCACAUGCAAGUGGGUAUAUGGGACAUGAAAUUUCUUCUUAUAAAGAUUGCAUGAUUUUUAUAUUAGAGUUGUUGGGGCGCAAUGUAUGUAGCUUGUUUUGCAGUUAAAUUAAUUGGAUAAGUAGACAUUGGCGUUUCUAAAUCUACUGUGAAGUGCUUCAUGUACGUGUGAAGUAUUAGAAAUUUCUUUCUUGGCAACUUGUUUUUUCUUUGCGGUCUACUGAUAGGUUUGACUAAAAUUAUAUUCCCUGUCAUGCUAAUUAAUUUUCACGUGCAUGCUCAAAAGAAGAGUAUGACCUUAGUGCACCAAAAUCACUUUGAUUAAUUUGUGAUAGGUUUUUGUGCAUCAUGACAUUAGCCUUAUUCAUUUAGAUAAUGUUUAGUUUUUAGAAAGUAUUAAGAAAAGGAAAAUAAAUAUUAAGAAAAAUAUUCUUAUAUUUGAUUGUAUUAUGAAAAAUGUCAUAAAAAAAUCAAAUAUAAUUUAAAUUAAUUAAUAAUUUAUACAUUUUCAAAUUAUUUAAUCUUUAUAUUGAAGAUAUAAUAUAAAUGAAAUGAGUUUUAAGUAUUAUAUAAAAGUGAUUUAUUGAUCUUGCAUAUAUGUAUUUCUUUUUUUUUUCUUCUAUUUUUUUUCUUUAUUUUAUUUUCCUUAUGUUUUCCUCAACAUUUUCCGGAACCAAACAUAGCCUUAGGAAAUCCACAAUUACCUUCAACUGAGUAUAUUCGGUUGUUUUAGCAAUGUUAGGCUGCUAACUUGUGUUGGUACGAACCUGUUAAGCCUAAAGAUGUAAUUAGUUAGGAUAUUCUUUUCCCUCUAGUCUUGUAGCUCCACGUGUAUAGUUGGUUAGGACCUCAUUGUAUAUAAUGCCUGCCCUGUUAUUGUUGAAGACAACAGAGAUAAAUAAUAUUAACAUUUUUCCUCUCAUCUCUCUUUGUUUCCCUCUGUUUUCAUCUCCUCUCUCAUCUUGGUAUCAGAGCCUCCAUGGAUUCUUUCAAAGAAACCUCCGAAUCACCUUCUGCUAGCAUUGUUAAUGUGCAAAACCCAUUAUCUCAGUCAAACAACCUUCCUUCACCAGCAGCCACACCCUCUUUUUCUUUCUUGUCUAUGAAUCAACCUCUCACAGUGAAGCUGGAUAAUGGAAACUACCUCAUCUGGAAGAAUUAGCUUCUGAAUGUCAUCAUUGCGAACAGACUCGAUGAUUUCAUUUAUGGAACUCGACCCUGCCCUCCUUGAUUUCUCAAUCUGCAACAACAAACCCUCACUCCAGAGUACUCGGUCUAGCAGAGAUACAAUCGACUUCUAAUGAGUUGGCUGUACGCAUCCUUGUCCGAAGAUAUAAUGACUCAGAUUGUUGGGUAUUCAACAACUGUGGAGAUUUGGAACGUCCUUAAUCAGAUUUACUCUGCCUCUUCAAUGGCGUGGGUUACCGAGCUUCACACCAAGCUUCAAACGCUCAAGAAAGAUGGACUCUCAGUUGGUGAAUAUAUUCAAAGGCUCAAAUCCAUUUGCAAUAGUCUUGCAGCAAUAGGAGAACUAGUUUCUGAGAAAGACCAGCUUAUCUAUUUGUUCAAUGGAUUAUAUUGUGAGUAUAAUUCUUUUGUUACCUCCAUUCAAAAUCGAUCUGACCAACCAACUAUUGAGCAAAUCCAUAGCCUAUUGCUUAGCUAUGACUUUCGGCUUGAACAACAAAACUCUGUUUCUCUCCAUUAUGCCCAAGUCCGUAUGGCUCAUCUGAACAAGAAACCUUAUAAAUCAACUCCUCAACCUACAUUCAAUCAUAUUCACAUUCAACCUAGAUACUCUUCUCCACCUUUUAAGCCAACCACUAGUCAAUAUCAACCCAGGAUUUUGGGCAAACCACAACCACAACCAUGACAGCCUCAACCUCAAUGGAAACCACAUUUUUCAAUCCAGAAUCAAAAGCCUCAGUGCCAAAUUUGUGGUAAAUUUGGACACACUGCUCUUAUUUGCUUCCAUUGCACAAAUUUGAACUAUUCACCCCAACCUUCUCCUAAAUCUUUCAAUACUGUUCUCACCACAAAUUCCCAGCUCCCUAAUCCUCCAAAAUUUUCUUACCCUACAAUGGCUCAUCCUGCUGCUACGCAUAACACGAUUCCUGAUACAAAUUGGUACAUGGACUCAGGUGCUACACAUCACUUUACUCCGGACAUCAACAUGCUUGACACUGUGACACCAUUUAGUGGUUUAGAACAGGUGACAGUUGGGAAUGGUAAGCAACUCUGUAUCUCACAUCUUGGUACUGCAAAACUACCAUCCUCGUAUUCUCCUCUUGUUCUACAUCAGGUAUAUCACACUCCAAAAAUUUCAAAUAAUCUUAUUAGUGUUAGAAAAUUGUGUUCUGAUAAUAAAGUUUUUGUUGAAUUUUAUGCCACUCAUUUUCUUAUCAAAGAUCAAGUUUCGAAGAGAGUUCUCUUUCAAGGUCAACUUGAUAAUGGCUUAUACAAAGUUCAGUCGUCAUGCUCUCCUUCUACUAUUUCCUUUCAUCCUCAAGUUUUCAUAGCCAACAUCAAGGAUCAAAAUUUGUGGCACAAGAGACUAGGCCACCCAGCUUUAUCUGUUAUUAAUCAAAUCUUGGAUUCUUGUAACAUUGCUCGAACACAGAAAAUUGGUUUUAAUUUUUGUAGUUCUUGUCAAUUAGCAAAAAGCCACAGGCUUCCUUUUUCUCUGUCUCCAUCCAUUGCAGAAAAACCUUUUGAGUUAAUUCAUACAGACCUAUGGGGUCUUUCUCCUGUUCGCUCUAUUUCUGGUGCUCGUUAUUUUUUACUUUUCAUUGAUGAUCAUACUCGUUUUACUUGGUUUUAUUUGCUCAAAACAAAAGAUGAAGCAUAUCCUACUUUUCUCAAGUUUCAAGCUCUCAUUGAAAAUCAAUUUAAUACCAAGAUUAAGGUUGUCCAAUCUGAUUGGGGAGGUGAGUUUCGAUCUCUCUCCAUACUGUUUUCAAAUAUGGGCAUUGUCUAUCGUUUAUCAUGUCCAUACACCUCACAACAGAAUGAGUGGGUUGAGCGAAAAAAUCACCAUGCGGUUGAAAUGGGAUUGUCCUUUCUUGCUCGCUCGGGUAUGCCCUUAUCUUAUUGGCCUUAUGCCUUUCAAACUGCCACUUACCUUAUUAAUCGUCUCUCUACCCCUGUGCUGCACCAUCAAUCCCCUUACUUCGCACUCUAUCACAAAUUCCCAGCUUAUACUCAUCUUAAGGUCUUUGUUCCUCUUGUUUUCCAUAUUUACGCCCUUAUAAUACCCAUAAACUCCAAUACAGGUCACUGGAGUGUGCUUUUCUUGGUUGCAGUUCACACCACAAAGGUUAUCUAUGUCUUGACAUUCAUUCUAGCAGGGUGUAUAUUUCUCGCCAUGUGAUUUUUAAUGAAGAUUCUUUUACAUUCAAGAAUUUGAAAUCUUCUCUCUCUUAGUCUAUUUCUUCUUCCUCUUCUUUAUUAGUUCCUCUGUUCAUUUCCUUGCCUCCCCUCUCCCCAUAUCCUCCUAUUUCUCCAUCUAUAUCUCAUUCUUUUCUCUCUUCUUCUUCUACCUCUAGUACUUGUUCCCCUCUCGUUGCUCCUACCUCUCUUCCUCCCUCUUCACACUUUGUGUCCCAUCUAUUCCACCUCCUUCUCCACCUUCUUCGAGUGUGGACCUGCUUGUACCUUGUGUGAAUACAAAUUUACUUACUUUUUCUCGCACUCACAAUAUUCAUCCUAUGGUGACCAGAUCUAAGGGUUUGUAUCUAUAAACCUAAGUUGCUAUUGAGUGUCUCCAUAGGUUCUCUCACUAAGCCUACUUCCUUUCUUCAAGCUAUUAAAGAUCCUUCAUGGAAGCAAGCCAUGGAAUUGGAGUUUGCUGCCCUUCAACACAACAAGACCUGGCAUCUAGUUCAUUCACCUUCCUCAGGCAAAGUAAUUGGUUGUAAAUGGGUCUAUAAGAUAAAGCUUUAGCCUGAUGGCUAAUUGAGAGAUACAAGGCCCGCUUAGUAGCUUAGGGUUAUCAUCAAACUGAAGGUAUUGACUACUUCGAAACAUUCAGCCUGGUUGUCAAGCCUUCUACUACCGUAUUGUGCUCAGUCUUACUUUUUCCCAGAAUUGGUGUAUUAGACAGCUGGAUGUUCAUAAUGCCUUCUUACAUGGUGACUUAGCUGAAGACGUUUUCAUGGAACAACCACCUGGAUUUGUUGAUCCUCUCUAUCCUACUCAUGUCUGCAAGUUGGAUAAGUCUCUCUACGGUCUUAAUAGUCACCUCGGGCUUGGUAUACUAAGCUGAGUACUUCUCUACUACACUUGGGAUUUGUUACUUCUAAGAAUGACUCUUCCUUAUUUAUUUGUCAUUCGUCUCAUGGGUUACUUCUUGUUCUUGUCUAUGUGGAUGAUAUAAUCGUCACUGGGAGCCACUCUCCUCAAGUUACUCACCUUAUCCAAUAGUUGCAUCAUCAGUUUUCUUUAAAGGAUCUUGGUCAUUUACACUAUUUUCUGGGCUUGGAGGUUCAUCACACCCCUACUGGUAUUCACCUCAGCCAAGCAAAGUAUAUCACUGAUCUCCUUACCCGGGCGGCUAUGUUGGAUGCCAAGCCAUGUCCCACUCCUAUGUCCUCCAACACAUAUCUUUCUCUUCAUGAUGGAGUGGCUCUUGAAAAUGGUUCAGAUUAUUGAAGUUUUGUUGGUGCCCUUUAGUAUUGUACCAUGACACGCCCAGAUAUAGCUUUUGCAGUAAAUAAAGUGUGUCAAUUCAUGCACCAUCCCUCUGAUGUUCACUGGCAGGCUAUAAAACGUAUUCUCCAGUACUUAAAGGGCACAUCUCAUUUUGGUCUCUUCCUACAGCCUUCCUAUGACUUCAACAUCACUUGCUAUACAGAUGCCGACUGGGCUUCCUGCCUUGAUGACAAGUGUAGCACCAGUGGCUACUGCCUCUUUCUUGCCUCUAAUCUGGUUUCUUGGUCAUCUUCCAAACAAAAAGUGGUCUCCCGCUCCAGCGCCAAAUCAGAGUACCGAGGGGUAGCAAAUGGGGCUGCUGAAAUUGCUUGGACUGAAUCUCUUCUUUGUGAACUUUCCACCCACUCGACCUCCCCUCAUUGUCUGUGACAAUAUCAGUGCCACAUACUUAGCUGUCAAUCCUAUUUUGCAUGCCCGCACCAAAACAUGUGGAAAUCGACUAUCACUUUGUCUCGGAACGUGUUCUUCAACGCUCUCUCUCUCUCCAGUUUACACCUUCGGAUGAUCAACUUGCUGAUUGCAUGACCAAGCCUCUCUCCACCCAACGUUUCAUCACUCUACGCUCCAAGCUCACUGUUCUCACUAGACCAAUGAGCUUGAGGGGGGAUGUUAAGCCUAAAGAUGUAAUUAGUUAGGAUAUUCUUUUCCCUCUAGUCUUGUAGCUCCACGUGUACAGUUGGUUAGGACCUCAUUGUAUAUAAUGCCUGCCCUGUUAUUGUAGAAGACAACAGAGAUAAAUAAUAUUAACAUUUUUCCUCUCAUCUCUCUCUCUGUUUCCCUCUGUUUUCAUCUCCUCUCUCAUCUGAACCAAAUGAUCCAUGUUAACCUUGGCUUGGUUUGAUUUGGCUCUAUCUUAGAGAGCUCAAGGAUCACGUCAACUCUGGUUUCUACUAUUCAGGUCCAUUCCCAUAUGAACUGGUUCAAAUUUGAGAAAAUGGUAACAGACCUUUAGUGAUGUUGGUUUGGAGCCAGUUGCCAAACCCGCCCUGAGCUUUACCACUAAUGUCAAGGGAGAAAGCCUUUUGAACAAAAACAAUAGCUUCAAGAGACUGAAUCGUGGAUGAAAUCUGAUCCACAUUUCUUCUCAUUUUGGAAACAAAUGAGAACUUAACUAAGAAGAUUCUACGGCCUCAUAGUGCUUUUCCUGAUCUAAGGUUGGUUCGUUUCCCAAAUUGUGAGAUGCACGGGCCAGACUUCAGAACUCUCACGCUCAGGAGUGUAUCCACGUGGUGGACAUAAGAUGGUGGCUUAAGAUCUGGUGUCGGUGGCUUUACUUUACUAGGAGAGUAGUGUGUCUUCAUCUCAUUCACUGCCGGAGGGUGGCGUAAGCAGUGACGCUAAGGUGGGGCAUAGUCAAUAUCAUUUGCAUUUGACCAUUAUAGUUUUCUCCCGGCUUGAAAGUAACCUUAUCGUGAUAAAGGAUUACUAGCACUAGUUCAGAUGACAGUCAUGUUAAAUUCGGACCAUGUUUGUGUCACAUUAUCAGCAACCAUGUGUUUAUGGUUCAUGCUUUCUGCAACUGAAAUUGAAAUUGAUAUAUAACCAGGUGAACUUCAAUCUAAAUUCUGGAAGUACUCAUGUGAGCGAUGGUGCCCAUCUGCAGAGUCCAUCAAUUGAAAAAUGGAGUGAGUGUAUCUAUAAGAGGGAAGGCUUGGCAAAUGUCCAGUUUUCUGGGAAUUCAACAAGGAUCUAAAAUAGAUUGUUUUCUUUGCUGAUUUCAAUGGUUGAAAUUUGAGAAGAUUGUGUCCCACAUAACACAACUAUUACUGGUCCUUCUGUUGCAAUUUAUCCUCUAAGGCUCUAGCAUGUCUUCCAAUUCCCACUUCCCUGUUACUCCAGGAAAGCUAUUUCUGUCAUUGUGAAGAAGAAAAGAGAAUGUAGAUAUCGAUGCUUUUAAGUGACUGGAGCAUUCAUAUCAGGUGGUCUGCAGCCAUAUAUGCCACUUUGUGAAGAUUGGAACAGUCAAUCACUAGGCUAUAUAUUAGUGUGGCCCAGCCACUUUAAUCAAGGACAAUUCUUCAUACUUAAAAGUCAAAUUCUGCCUUUAGUCUCAUUAUAAAUUGCUGUUUAAAUAUUAAGCAAACAUUUGUUUAAUGCGAUUAAGACAGUACUAACUCAAUACUUGUUCUAUUUUUGGAUGGAAAUGCUUGAUGGUUUCAUCAUUGGAUGGGAUAAAGGUGCAUUCAUGAUUAUGAAUACUUGUAGUUAUAUUUUCAUUCUCUUUUUUCUCAAUGAGACUUGUUGGCACAAUUUUUCUGUUCAGAAACCUACCUCUCCAUGGAAAAUAAGUUGUGAUUGAUAGUACUGGAUAUAUUCAAGAAAGCUAAAUAUAGAUAGCACAAAAUAUUAUCGACAUAAAUAGCAUUAACAGCGUACGUAUGUCUCAGUGCUCAUCAGCCAUAAGCAUGGGGCAAACACUUACGAUGAGCAACUUACGUCAAAAUUCCAGAAUAGGACAUAGAAGUGACAGAUCUAUAUAUAUAGAACACUGCAUAAGAGUCACAAGAAAGGAAAUUACGGGUGCAUAGCAGCUCUUAUUUCACAUACUACUCAUACUGAUCAAAGUCACUCAGUUGGGAUGGGUGGGAGUAGGAGGUUUGUGGGGUGGCUUGUGCGGAGGAGUUGGCAGCUUCUUUCCAGGACCUGGUGGCUUCUCUCCCUUAGGUGGUUUGCCAACUGGGGUUGGUGGCUUGUAUGAGUCUUCAGCAUUCUCUGCAGGAGGGUGACCAGGGUUGUGACCAUAAUGUGGUGGCUUCUCUCCCUUAGGUGGUUUGCCAACUGGGGUUGGUGGCUUGUGUUCUGGGAGUGGCUUCUCCCCCUUGGGAGGUUUUUCCAAUGGGGUUGGUUUGUGUUCAGGAGGUGGCUUCUCCACUGGAGGCUUGUGUUCAGGAGGUGGCUUCUCCACCGGAGGCUUGUGUUCAGGAGGUGGCUUCUCCACCGGAGGCUUAUGCUCUGGUGGUGGCUUCUCCACCGGAGGCUUAUGCUCUGGUGGUGGCUUCUCGAAUGGGGGAUGCUUAGGGUAAUCAGCAAGUGAGGGGGCGGUGAGAACCACCAGGCCAAGCAAGACCACUAGCAAGUAUGUAGGAGACAUCUUUGGGUUUAGACUCAGAUGGUGCAAAACUAGGAGAAUUGUCUUUUAUAGCGGAUCGCACCCAAUAAUGAAAUGACACGUGUCUUUAUGACCCAUGUGUAAUGGGGUCGAUUUGGGUCCUACAGUGUUGAAAACUUCGACAUCCACUUUUGGCCUUUUGCUUUCUCUACAGCCGCCUUGCUUUUUCCCUCUUUCCUUUUGUUUUCCUCCUGCCCCAUUCUAUCAACUAAACACAAUUAUGUAGUUGUUUAAUUCUUAAAUGAGAUAUUAUCCGUCAAUCGUAUCAUAUUUUAUCAACAGAGAACGGAGUGCAAUGUGGCAAUCCAAAGAAAGAAGAUCCAUAAUGCAGCUGUAAUUUUAUCGUUUACUUUUAUCUCUUGGACCACUGCAUUUUUGUUAAGAGGUGCAAUAAUACACGUCUUUAUCUGCCAUUCAAUGUUUACAGUAAAGAGAGGGCACAAAACUCUUCACUGCUCUGCAUGUGUCCCAAAAAUGCAAUUGGACAAAUUAUGAUUUGCAUGCUAAAAAGAGGCAAAUGAGGUUAAUUCGCACCAUAAUUAUUUUGUUUUCUGGACCCCGGGGCCCUUUGGUUGGUUUGGGGGUCAGAAAAUGAACAUCAUAGGGGGUUUUUCCCUUAUGUGCAUUUGUAUCUGAUGGCUUUAACUCGCCUUGUUACUACAAAGAAAUUGUCACAUAUAGGAACUUAUUCCAGGCUGAGUAUCUCCGCAUAGACCCUAUAAAAGAAGACAAGUCAUAAUGAACAUCUAACCUUUGUUCAAUUUGAUUCAAUGCCCCAUUGUGUCCACCUCACAAAUCUGAAUUAUUAUAUCCAUUGAAUACAUAAAUUAAUGAAGAAAAUAUGAAACCCAAGAUACAUCUCUGCACAACCUCAACCCUGGUUGCUAUGUUUCCCUUCUAUUCACAUGAGGAUAUUGAUUACGGAAUAGGGAAACCUAGCAAGGGUUUACUCGGCUCUGGUUUGAUGCUAAUUGCCAAACUUGCAACAAGCCCUGAGUUUGAAGCUCACAGAAGAUGUUAUACAGGCAGGGAAAAACCUUCAGAGUUCGCUGCCAAAGAUAAUUAUUAAGGAGAUAUCACCAAGAGAAUUCCAAGGAGUCUGAAUCAAAGACAAAUUGGUCGUUCGUGGAGGUUCUUACUUUCUUUUGGGUAUAACUCACUGAGGGCACUGUCUUUUUUAUUUUCAUUUCACAUUUAGAGUUCUGUUCUGGAAACAUAUAAAAGGAGCAUCAGUUUGUUCUUGGGUAACCCAUAGUCGUGAGUGGGUCCAUUUGCAUGCUACUUAGUUGAAAAGUUGGACCAUUUGCUCCGACGCCUACCUCCUGGAUUCCAUGCUCGGAUAAAACAAGAAUAAAAAAAUAUUUAUAAUUUACAAAUGGGGGAAAGAAAAAAAUGUCAACAACAAACUAGGAAAAAAGAGUAGUAAAAUUCAUGUCACAUGCUAGUGAGAGAAGGGGUUGUUACACUCACUCGAAGUUCUUUUCAAAAUAUCGCAUGGUAUUUUAUUUUAUGUGUGAGCGCAGUUGUGAAUGGAACGUGCAAAAGUCCAAAUUGGUGACCUUUAAUAAAUAUUUAAAACAAAAAACGAAAAAAAGGAGGGAAAAGGGAUCAGAAAAGAUAAAACAAUGUGUACAAAAGCUCAAUUAGUUUGCAAAUUACUGUUUGGAUUUUGAUAGUAUUUUAUUUGAUGUAAAAGAGAAUUUAAGAUAUUUCCGAAACAAAAGCAUUAGUUUGCUCCAUGUCAAUUUCGGCAUUUCUCAUAUGUUUCACACAUACACAGAAGAGCAUCGUUUUUUAAAGCAUGCAUUUAUGUUGGAUUAAUUUGGAUUUUGUGGGAACUGGGGCAAGGAUCACAUGGAAGAGAGGUUGACUUUUUUCAGUACUUCAAUGGUUGAGACAGGUGAAGGCCUGAUUGAUACUGAAGCCUGAAAUUGCGACUCCGUCAUUUGUCAAAACAUAUGACAGCUUCCAUGCUCUCGUUUGGUUGCAUUGUUCUGUGGUCAUGCAUACAUGCCACUUAGUGAUCAGUCUGUAACUGUCAAUCAUUGGGCUUUGACUGAACAACAUCAGCCAUGUAUAAAUACUUGCAAAUCAAACGGUCUUCUUCCUCCCAUAAGGAAUUUCGGUUUAAUUAUGAAGCAUGCAUUUGGCUGACCAUCAUAAACCACUUCUUUAAAUUGAUGAAUGAUAGUUUUUCAUUCAUUCUUUCAUUCGUUCAUAUACAGAGUAUAUAUAGAGGGUAAUCAUCAUUCUAAGAAUGGGAAAGAAUGAUACAAGGAAAUAAUGAUAUAAAGAAAUAACAACUAAUAUUCUAAUAUCUCAACUUUCCUAAUAUCUAAACAUUCCUAAUAUCUCAACACUAAAUGAUAUAAAGAAAGAAUGAUAUAAGGAAAGCAUUCCUAAUAUCUCAACACUCCUCCUCAAGUUGGUGCAUAGAUGUCAAACAUGUCCAACUUGUCUAAAAAUUUUGAGAACAGUUGACUUGAGACAUCUUUGGUGAGGAUAUCGGUCAAUUGAUCUUCUGAUCGAAUCUUAGGCAAUUCCACAAUCUUAUCAUCCAACUUUUCCUUAAUGAAAAAUCUAUCCAUCUCGACAUGCUUUGUACGAUCAUGUUGUACUAGAUUAUGAGCAAUGUCACAUGCUGCUUUAUUGUCACAAAACAAUCGGAUUGGUUGCCUAGAUAGGUAACCUAAAUCCUAUAAGAGGAGUCUUAGCCAUAAUGCCUCACAAAGUCCUAAAGUCAUACCUCUAAAUUCCGCUUCUGCACUUGAACGAGCGACGACAUUUUGCUUCUUACUUUUCCAUGUCACAAGAUUACCACCUACAAAGGUAAAGUAACCAGAUGUAGAUCGCCUAUCAUCCACUGCACCGACCCAAACAGCAUUAUACUUCUAUACUCUGAUGAUCAACAUUUUUAGCGAACAAAAUUCCCUUCCUAGGAGCAUUCUUCAAAUACCUCAAAAUACGCAUGACUACAUUCAUAUGUUGCUCUCCAGGAUUAUGCAUGUAUUGACUCACUACACUCAAUGUAUAAGCAAGAUCUAGUCUUGUAUGAGCUAAGUACAUUAAUCUCCCCACAAGUCUCUGGUAUCUUCCCUUAUCGAUUGAUACUUGAUUAGGCUCAACACACAAUUUCAGACCUUCUUCUAUUGGUGUAUUAAUAGGUUGACAUCCCGACAUUCCAGUUUCCUGUAGAAGAUCUAAGGCAUACUUUCUUUGAGACAGAAAAAUUCCUUCACUUGAUCGAGAAACUUCAAUCCCAAGAAAGUAUUUCAGACGACCAAGAUCUUUCAUUUCAAAUUCUCUAGAUAGAUACUUUUGCAAAGCUUUUCUUUCUUCAGGAUCAUUUCCUGUAACUACAUGUCAUCCACAUAUAUCAUAAGUGUCGUAAUCUUACCAUGUUGCUUUUUCAAGAACAAAGUGUGAUUUGAAUUACUUUGAUGAUAGCCAAAAGCUCUCAUUGAUUUUGUGAACCUUCCAAACCAUGCUCUCGGGGAUUGCUUCAACCCAUACAAUGACUUCUUCAAUUCGCACACCUUCUGACAUUGCUUUUCUGACACCAUGCAUCCUGGUGGAAGAUCCAUAUAUACUUCUUCAGAUAAAUCGCCAUGCAGAAAGACAUUUUUUACAUCGAACUAUUGUAAUGGCCAAUCUAGGUUUGCAGCUAAAGACAAUAAUACUCGAACUGUGUUGAUCUUAGCUACAGGUGCAAAUGUCUCUGUGUAGUCAAUUCCAUAAGUUUGAAUGUACCCACUAGUCUUGCUUUAAAUCGUUCAAUACUACCAUCUGCCUUGUACUUCACAGUAUAGAUCCAACGACACCCAACUAGCUUCUUUCCUGGUGGACAUUCUACGAGUUCCCAUGUUUCAUUUUUCUGCAAUGAUUUCAUCUCUUCAUUCAUGGUUGCUUUCCACUUUGGAUCAGCUAAAGCUUCCUGCACACUAUUAGGAAUAGCUACAGUAGAUAAUUGAUUUACAAAUGACUUAUUUGAUUCAGACAAACCAUGGUGUGGACCCGCAUUUUUCACGUGCGCCUCUACUCGAUCGGCGAGACUCGCUUUCUAUUUGUGAAAAAUUAAUUUUAGAAAAGUUGGAGUCGCCACCUAUUUUAUUUUUAUUUUGAAGGGAAAAUAAAACAAGAAAGAAAAACCCUAAAAAGUGACUCCAUAGUUUUGGAAAAAGCAUGUCUUUGGGAAACCUGAGUCUAGGUCCGGGGAUCAUGUUACUUAUUGGGAAGGUACCUCUAGGAGGUAGCACCCCUCUAAGCCUUAUGAAGGUCUCUACUAACUAAAUUAAGGGAAGUGUGGCAAUAAAUCGAUUGAUCAUAGAUACCUAAGUAGACUAGGUGAUUUUAAAGUGUGGCAUGUCAAACACAAUCAAAUUGCAAUAAAGGAGAGUUAGGGCGCGUACCUGAACCGCUUCUCAAGCGCUAUCAUAAAACAUCAAUGGUUAAUUUAAAUAAUAUAUCAUCCAGCAUGUAUUUUAUUAGAAAUAAUCAAACAAUGAAACAUGUAUAUCAGAACACUCAAGCAUUAUUAGACAUAAGCAUUAUUUCACUAUUCACAGAAUUCAGAAAGUAGGUGAUAGAGGACAUACCUGGAUAGCAUAGAUAAUUUGUAAUGUGCUUCCUCAAGUUGUAAGGGGUUAGAUAACAAAUAAUAAAAUAUAGAAAUCCUAGCAUGCUCGUUAUCUAAUUAGCAUAGCAAAAGUGAUCACAGUAUACAGAAUCAUCAAUUAUCACAUACAUCUUGUAUAUAAUUCCUAAAAAAAAUAGAUAGACAUGAUUUCAACAAGUGUCAAAUGUGGCAACAAAAAUAAAUUUUGAAAAGAUUUUCUUAUGUAGGGGUUUCACCAAUUCCCCAAAUUAAUAUACACGAAUUUAGCUUAGAAUUAUCCCAUUUAUUUGGGACUACAAGCUUUGAUUCGUGUUUUUGUUCAAAACCAAAAAUUUUUGUUGAAAAUCAAGAAGGAUGCGAACCGAACAAGAUAUGGUUGCAUAUUAUUUUUAAAUAAAUAAAUAAAUAAAUAAAGGAGAUUUUGAUCCUGAGGACUUUAAUGAGUUUUUUUUUUUAAAAUAGAUUUUUAAAAUGAUUUUUUUGAGAAAAGUAUUUUAUUUUAAAAUAAAAGGGAUUAAUUUGGGAAAAAAAUAAAAUAUAAGAAAUAAAAUACCAAACAAAACAAAAAUGAAACCUCAAAGUAAAAUUUUUUUAGUAAUUAACAAAAAUGAUAAUGGUGAUGGUAGAGGGCAAUCUUCAUGAUUUUCCAAUGGCCUCAGAAAGAAAAUCAAAUUAAAUGAAGGAUCACUAACAGGCAAGACAUUCUAAAUUAGACAAACUAACAAAGUAUCAAUUCAUGAACUAACCGCUAGGAUUUUGAAAGCAUAUAAGCUAAGAUAAGGGUGAUCAGGAACUAAUAUUAAUGAUUUUGAAAUAAAAACUAAAAAAAAGGAUCAAUUCGGGUAAGGAACUAAAAUUAUAAAAGUACCUAAACUAAUUAUGACGAGUUUGACUAAAUUAAACUAAAAACAUGAACUUUCAAACAUAGAAUUAAUUUUACUAAUGAACCAAAGCAAACUAAAAAUAUGUACUUUCAAGCAUAGAAUUAAUUUUAUUGAUGAACUAAACUAUAACAAAUAUCUAAACUAAAUAUAAUGAAUCAAAUUAAAUUAAAGCAACUUAAAAACGCAAACUUUCAAACAUAGAAUCAAUUUUAUCAAUGAAUUAAAACUAUAAAUGUAUUUGAACUAAAUAGAUGAAUCAAACUAAAUCAGAGCAAAAUUAAAAAAAAAAAAGAACUUUCUAACAUGAAAUCAAUUUUAUCAACAAAUAAAUGAAUGAAUAACAAGUAAUUAAAAGAAUAGCUACUACAUGAAUAACUGAAUGAAUAAAAUUCAAAUGUUUUCAAUCUGAAGCAAUCAAUCAAAAUUAAAUAGGGAUCAAAUCAAAAUAAUCGAAAUCGGAAAAACAAUAUGCAAUCUUUCUAAAGGUUUAACCAGACAAUUGAAUUAAAAUUAUGAAUAGAAUAAAUUAAUAAACCAAAUCGAAACCUAAAUUGUACCUAAAAAGAUUAAUUAAUUAAACUAAGAAAUCAAAAUCAAUAACAAAACUAAACUAAGGAGUAAAUUAAGACAAGACUAAUUAAAUUAAACUCACAAACACGUUUUAACUAUCAUAUGGAUUAAAACAAAAUUAGCAUGGACUUAUGAAUUACGAACAAAAAUAAUCAAAACUAUUUUAAAAAACUCACCUCUAUUAUAAGAAAAAAUCUGCCUUUGAUGCGUUGAGGUGGCUCCCCUCUCUGUGUGGAUCUCUCUGCUCCCCAGAAAAAAAAUGUCUCUUCCUCCGUUCUCUUUUGUUUCAGCAAAAUAAUAUAUCCCCUGCUGUGGAUCUCUCUACUCCCAGAAAAUAAUAUAUUCUCUCCGUGUCCUAAAGUGGACCUAGGGUGCCUAAGUGGACCUAGGGUGCCUAAAUGGGCCUAGGGUGCCUAAAUGGGCCAAGUGUAUCUAAAUAGGCUUAGGGUGCCUAAGUGGGCCUAAGUCUAAGUGAGCCUAAGUCUAAAUCAAGACUACCAAGGAUCAUAAUAAGGGGUUAGGCAAUCCCUUAACCAAAGUCUCCAAGGUGGCUAAAAAAAAGUAAGUAGUAUGAGUAGCUAUGGGUCACCAAGGAACUACUGUGGAGCAUUGAAAACGAAUUUAAAGACAUGUGCCAAAGGGACAAAAUUGAGGGUCUACAGAUGGUUAGACACAUAGUUGCUCAUGGGAUAUUUGACUUUGGUAAACAAUUCAGAUUCAUAUGUGGGUUUAGGAAUACCUUUAUUAUGACGGUGUGGUAAUCGUUUCAUGAAUGGAUCAGGUUGCAAAUUAAGAACACCCUCAGCAAACAACGAUUGGUUUGGUAUUUCAGUGAAGACAUCUUCGAACCCAAAUUGUUGACCACUCAUAUCCAACUCACCCGCUUCCUGGUUCACUAGUUCAGAUUGUCCAAAUUCAUCAUUCUCAUAGAUAUGAUAAUCAUAAUCGAGAGUCUGAAUUUCCUUAUGGUACUCCCCCUGAAGUUCAGACUUAGAUGAAAAAUACAUCGAAUAUUCAUGAAACAGCNNNNNNNNNNNNNNNNNNNNNNNNNNNNNNNNNNNNNNNNNNNNNNNNNNNNNNNNNNNNNNNNNNNNNNNNNNNNNNNNNNNNNNNNNNNNNNNNNNNNNNNNNNNNNNNNNNNNNNNNNNNNNNNNNNNNNNNNNNNNNNNNNNNNNNNNNNNNNNNNNNNNNNNNNNNNNNNNNNNNNNNNNNNNNNNNNNNNNNNNNNNNNNNNNNNNNNNNNNNNNNNNNNNNNNNNNNNNNNNNNNNNNNNNNNNNNNNNNNNNNNNNNNNNNNNNNNNNNNNNNNNNNNNNNNNNNNNNNNNNNNNNNNNNNNNNNNNNNNNNNNNNNNNNNNNNNNNNNNNNNNNNNNNNNNNNNNNNNNNNNNNNNNNNNNNNNNNNNNNNNNNNNNNNNNNNNNNNNNNNNNNNNNNNNNNNNNNNNNNNNNNNNNNNNNNNNNNNNNNNNNNNNNNNNNNNNNNNNNNNNNNNNNNNNNNNNNNNNNNNNNNNNNNNNNNNNNNNNNNNNNNNNNNNNNNNNNNNNNNNNNNNNNNNNNNNNNNNNNNNNNNNNNNNNNNNNNNNNNNNNNNNNNNNNNNNNNNNNNNNNNNNNNNNNNNNNNNNNNNNNNNNNNNNNNNNNNNNNNNNNNNNNNNNNNNNNNNNNNNNNNNNNNNNNNNNNNNNNNNNNNNNNNNNNNNNNNNNNNNNNNNNNNNNNNNNNNNNNNNNNNNNNNNNNNNNNNNNNNNNNNNNNNNNNNNNNNNNNNNNNNNNNNNNNNNNNNNNNNNNNNNNNNNNNNNNNNNNNNNNNNNNNNNNNNNNNNNNNNNNNNNNNNNNNNNNNNNNNNNNNNNNNNNNNNNNNNNNNNNNNNNNNNNNNNNNNNNNNNNNNNNNNNNNNNNNNNNNNNNNNNNNNNNNNNNNNNNNNNNNNNNNNNNNNNNNNNNNNNNNNNNNNNNNNNNNNNNNNNNNNNNNNNNNNNNNNNNNNNNNNNNNNNNNNNNNNNNNNNNNNNNNNNNNNNNNNNNNNNNNNNNNNNNNNNNNNNNNNNNNNNNNNNNNNNNNNNNNNNNNNNNNNNNNNNNNNNNNNNNNNNNNNNNNNNNNNNNNNNNNNNNNNNNNNNNNNNNNNNNNNNNNNNNNNNNNNNNNNNNNNNNNNNNNNNNNNNNNNNNNNNNNNNNNNNNNNNNNNNNNNNNNNNNNNNNNNNNNNNNNNNNNNNNNNNNNNNNNNNNNNNNNNNNNNNNNNNNNNNNNNNNNNNNNNNNNNNNNNNNNNNNNNNNNNNNNNNNNNNNNNNNNNNNNNNNNNNNNNNNNNNNNNNNNNNNNNNNNNNNNNNNNNNNNNNNNNNNNNNNNNNNNNNNNNNNNNNNNNNNNNNNNNNNNNNNNNNNNNNNNNNNNNNNNNNNNNNNNNNNNNNNNNNNNNNNNNNNNNNNNNNNNNNNNNNNNNNNNNNNNNNNNNNNNNNNNNNNNNNNNNNNNNNNNNNNNNNNNNNNNNNNNNNNNNNNNNNNNNNNNNNNNNNNNNNNNNNNNNNNNNNNNNNNNNNNNNNNNNAACCAAAGGAAGCAUGUUCCAGACGUCGAUGCCACAACCAAAUUUCAGACUUUUUCUUCUCCUCCUUAGAUCCAUCUGCCAUCAAGGCUUGUUGCAACUUAUUUGAAUCCUUUGAUUGCAAGUCCAAGUAUAGAGUUUCCCCCGCUUAAUACGACAACCAAUCGUCUGUCUUGUUUGAAUGUCCUUAAUCACACAAAAUUCAGGCCAAAAAAUGACAAUACAAGAUAAGGCUGCAGUGAUUUGAGAAACUAACAAAAGAUUGUAAUCUAAAGAUGGAACAACUAAAACAGAAUCCAAAUUCAAAGUAUCAGUAAGAGUUAAGGAUCCUUCCCCAAUGACUGGGGUUGUGUUACCAUUGGCUGUGGAAACAAUUUUUUGUGAGGAAGGUCUAAGGGGUGAAACCUGUCUAGAAUCAAAAGUCAUAUGAUCUGUAGCACCAGAAUCAAUUAUCCAUGCACUAUUAAUAACAGGUGUAAAAGUAUUUAAAAACUUACCACAAUGAUCUGUAGCGGCUACUAAUGCAGAGACUUUCUCAACAACAUUAGUCUUUGUUUUUAUUUCGGUAACAGUUGCAAUCAAGGUUUUCUUGGAAUUCUUCUUCCGUUGAUCACGAUUAUUAUCAUUAAUAACAAAGUGUUGAUAGCCUAAACAUGAUCUAAAGGUCCAUGGUGCAAACCCUCGGUUCCUCAUUGUUUUCCUGGUCAUACCAAGAGUUGUUGCUUUGAAAUUGUGGGAUAUCCAGACUGGUGGGAUCAGUUUUAUUGCAGUGAGUGCAUUUGAAUGUUGACUUAUCAAUAUUAGGGCUUGUCUUCGGAUGGUUGAUUGCUGUUGGACUACCAUAGCGACAAAAUAUCCAGGAUUUCAAUUCCAGGGCUCUGAUACCAUCUUCAAAUUGAUGAAUGAUAGUUUUUCAUUCAUUCUUUCAUGUACAGAGUAUAUAUAGAGGGUAAUCACCAUUCUAAGAAUGGGAAAGAAUGAUACGAGGAAAUAAUGAUAUAAGGAAAUAAUAACUAAUAUCCUAAUAUCUCAACUUUCCUAAUAUCUCAAUAUUCCUAAUAUCUCAACUUUCCUAAUAUCUAAACAUUCAUAAUAUCUCAACACUAAAUGAUACAAGGAAAGAAUGAUAUAAGGAAAACAUUCCUAAUAUCUCAACACCACUUCAUGAUAUAUAUAGUUUCUUACCCUUAAUCAAUGGUUUCUAAGUGAAUUUAUAUAGAAAGAAAUCCAAACUGUAGACAGCAGUAUUGGUAACACUCAAUAUUCUGUAUAUAAUAGAAUAAAUAGCGUCACAGUGAUCGUCGCCUACAAGCAAGGUACAAAUACCACAAAGAGUGACCCACAUAGACAUUCCCCAACAAGAUGUAGUAGUGACUGACACAUAGCCACAAUUAACACGUAGAAAAGGAUAAGACCGGUGCACAGUAGCUCUUAUUUUACAUACUACUUAUGCCAACCAAAGUCACUCAGUUGGGAUGGGAGGGAGAUGGAGGUUUGUGCGGUGGCUUGUGGGGCGGAGUUGAUGGCUUCUUUCCAGGAGCUUCUGGCUUUUUCAUCGGAGCUGAAGGAGGCUCAAUCUUAUGAGGCGGCUUGUACGAGUCUUCUUUGCUCUCGAAAGGAGGGUGGCCAGGGUUGUGACCAUAAUGUGGUGGUUUCUCUCCCUUGGGAGGUUUACCAAUUGGGGUUGGUGGCUUGUGUUCUGGGAGUGGUUUCUCUCCCUUGGGAGGUUUAGUGGGUGACUUGUGUUCUGGAGGUGGCUUCUCCACCGAAGGCUUGUGCUCCGGUGGUGGCUUUUUGGUUGGAGGGGGCUUGGGGUAAUCAGCAAGAGAUGGGGUGGUGAGAACCACCAGUCCAAGGAACAACACUAGCAAGUAUGUGGGAGACAUUUUUGAGUUUGGGCUGAUCAGAUGAUGCAAAACUAAAGCAUUACGUGACCUUUUAUAGCAAGUAGCUCCCAAUACCUACUUGACACGUGUUACUGUGACCCAUAAAUAUUAUGGGGUCUAUUUGUGCCCUACCGGGUUGAAAACUUGGACAAUUGGGCAAGGACCCGCCUGACUAUGGAGGACUACUGAGGUGUGAUCACAGCUUUAGGAUUUUUCUUCCUCUGCAGCCGUCUUGCCGUUGGCAUGAUUUUCUUAAUCUCAAAUAAAGGCAUAGUUAUAGAGUUGUUUAAUCUCUAAAUGGGAUUUUAUAUAUCUUCAGAUAGCCAUUAAUACAUUUGAUGAAGAAAGAAAGACAAGUGCAUACAACAUGUAUACGACUAGCUUUCAUGGAGUUCAUUUAUGAUCAGUUUUCCUGUACAUGUAAACCAAGAUCAUAUAUGUUUUUGUUCCACAACAAUUUUGGAAUCUUGUUUAUCCGUUUUUAUCAUUAUAAUGUCACAUAGGCUGCCAACUUGGGCGCUAAAUUAAAGAUCCAGUUGGGCAAGUUCGUUUCAGAAUUUCAAUGGUGGAUUCAGGAAUUGUUUUAUAAGAUAUGCAAAAUAGUAGAGGGAUGAAUAGUGUUUCAUUAAGAAAAGAGCCCUGUAAAAAUAUUGUUUAAAGGUGCCAUAGAAACUAUAAUCAAUAAAUAACUUUUUUUCCCCAUGGGUGGUGUUUCUUGUGGGGAUCAGUGACUGGUUUGAGUCAACGCCGUGUCUCUUUAGUCCAGAAAUCAACUAUUUUAUGCAUUGAAUACAUCAACAAAGAAAAUAUGAAAGCCAAAUGACACCUCCCCCGCAAAAACUAAACCCUGGUUGCUAACUUUCUAUGUUUCAGUUCCAUUCACACAAGAAUAUUAGUUCAAGUUUGAGAAAAAUGGCGACUUACCUAGUGAUAACUCGGUCUUGGUUUGCGAUUUGACUUUAACGUCAUGGGUUGAAGCCUCCUACAAUCAUCGUGUAUGCUAGUUCAAAGCUCGUGGAAGAAGUUAUACAGGGAGGGAGAAACCUCCACAGCAAGCUCCAAAAGAGAAUUAUCACAUUGAAAGCUCCAGUUGAACACUGGGUGAAAGCCAUAACAAGAUUGGUUUUCUAUCGCUCUUUUAAGUAAUGGAAGAUUAUUAUCUCUGCUUGUCACUACAACCGUGCAUGCUGCUAGAUCUUUCUAGACACUUCAAACAGUGAAACCAAGUAUGAUUCUUUUUCUCUUGAGUGGGUCCACUUGCAUGCCAAUGAACGAGUUGAAAAGUUGGACAAUUGGCCACAGCGCGCACUUACCUUCUGGAACCGAAGGUCAGUGAAGUGGGGUUCCUUUUGGCCCCUUGUGUUUCUGUUCCAACCUACUCCAGGAACCGAAGUUCAGUGAAGUGGGGCUACUUUUGGCCUCUUGUGUUUCUGUUCCAACCAAACAAAAAUGGGAGGGAAAAAUAGCAUUAUGCUUGUGCUAAAGAUCAACGCAUGAUAGCUGAAUAAGGGAGAAAAAGGCAUUGCUAUCUCAAUUUCAUAAACUUGAUAAGUAGUGACAUUAAUAGUCUUCCUCAUAGAUGGAUACAUGGUUUUAUUUUAUUUAUUUAUUUUUAUUUUUUUGUUUUAUGUCAAUGCUAAUGAAUGAAGUGCAUUAGCUUGUUUUGUGACUAGAACUACAAAUGUCCAAAUUGGAGCUUCUCCAAUAUAUUUCUCAGUGAGUUAUUGAUUAGAACUCUUGGAUUGAGUUCCAAGAUUUGAAUCAGACCCCUCUAGCAGCUUCAGGGGUACGUAGCAACCUAUAGCAUAUUAAUGAAGACUUAGGAUUUAGACUUAGGAAUACAAAUUAAUAUGUACCUCAUGCUCUGACUAGCUUCCCUGCGUAUGCACAAAAUGGAGAUGACUCCCAAAAAAAUAGCAGAAUCGCCUUAGUAUGUUUUUGUGGUUAAGAUGAUUCUCCACUUUAUAUAUCCACAUUGGUUCAUUAUGCAAAUUAAUCAACUAAGCUAUUUUUAUUUUUUCUUAAAUGUGAAAUAGGAGCUCCAAAUUAACCUAACCAUUGGCCUGAUUGAAUUGAUUUCACUUGCAUAAUGUUAUAGUAGAAGUCCGUAAUUUGAAUUUUAUUUUUGCAAAAGGUAACGUAAAUGAAGCAUUGUAAUUAAAUUUAUUUGUAAUUACAAACUAAUUUUAUUUUAUUAAGAAUUAAUUUAAUUACUCAUUUAAAAUAAAAAUCAGUUAUACUUUUACCAAGAUGAUAAUAUUCAUAUUUUUCUAGUUAACAUAUAUAAAAUAGUACACUUUUUCAUAUAAAAAAAUAAUUUAUGAUUUAUUAUAAUGUUACUAUUCACAUUUUACUAAAUUGAUGGUACAUGAUAGUGAGAGAAGGGGGUGUCACACUCAGCUAAAGUUCUUUUCAAAAUAUUGCAUGGUGUUUAAUUUUAUGUGUCGGCGCGCGUGUGAAUGGAACCUGCAAAAGUCCAAAUUGGCGUUUCUCCAUUUUCCACAUAGGAUGGUGACGUUAAUAGACAAAGAUACAAUAUCUGUAGACAUUGCUUAAAAAUCGAUGUGAAGUAUUAGAAAUUACAGGGCACUGUACUGGGGGAGCGGCUGCCCCGCCAAAGGAGGAAGAAUGUAGCAAUUUCUUCUGUUAGCCAGGCCUUAGGAUUUAUGCAUGGGAUGCCUAAUAACAAACAGAGAAAAUAUACUUUUGGGGAAGGUAUCCAACAACAGACACCAUCAUUCAGAUGGUGGGAAGGUAUCCAACAGAUGCCAUCAUUCAGAUGGUAACAUAUAUAUACAUUUAUUAGUGAGUUUUUUUAAUACCUAUAAAAAAAAAUAUACACUUUGAUAUUGUGGCUGAAUCCAUUACAUACUCAACUAACCUUGCUCAUUAGGGAUUUGACUUAACAAGGGCAACGUUGCAGUACAAGCUCAAAACUUUAUGCAGGUGACAUUACAUUUGGUAAAGAAGAGGAAAAUAACGAAAGCCAUCCAUAAAAGCAAAAUUCCACAUGGGAUGAAAUUCACAAGCUUCAUUUACGAUAGAGUCGCAUCCAGGCAAUUAAUUCCACAUUAGACCGCCUGUUGACAUGUGUACCAAUCUUUUUUCAAAAAAUAUUUAUAAAUAAUUGAUACUCACAAAAAUAAUUUAAUAUUUAUAAAGGAUAAAAAAAUAUUUUCAAAUCUAUAACAAUUUAUAAAAUAUUAAUAAAAAAUUAUCUCUUAAACUUAGUAUAGUUUUAUCAGAUUAAACUUUUAUUUUGAACAAAUAAUUUUAAUCUAAGUUUUAAAUUCUAAAAUUAUUUCCUUAAAAUAAAAUUUUAAAAUUCAACACUUCAAUUGAAAUUGUCUUUUUAAAAAAUAUCUUCUUAUUUUAAUCCUUAUAAACUAUAGUUGAUUGAAAAUACUAUUGAAGUUCUCUCUUAAAAAAAAGUCUUAUUUUAAUCUUCAUAAAUUGCCCUUGAUUUGAAAAUAAAUUUUCAGUUAUCAUAUUUUAAAUAAUAUCUAUAUUUAAAAUACUCUAUUUAAAAAAAAAUGAACUAAUUUUAAUUAUAUUAUAUUUUAUUUUUUUAUAUAUUUUUAAUGAUAAACCAAACAUAGAAAAUCAUUUUUCUAAAUAUUUUAAAAUUUCUAAGCAACCAAACAUAAUCUUCAAAAUAAAAGGAAAAUAAGGAGGGACAUUUGAGAAAUGGCGAUUAAAAAAAAGUGUACAAAAGCUCAAUUAAUUUUCUUCUAGUCUUUUAUAUAAAAAAGUAAAGGAAUUGAAAAGUAUUGAUAUGUAAAUUAAUAUUUGGAUUUUAAUAGUAUUUUAUUUGUCUUUCUCUAUCUCAUGUAAAAGAGAAUUUAAGAUAUUUCCUAAAGCAAAGCAUUAGUUAUCUGCAAUCAGUGGUGAUCAUGCCCCAUGUCAAUUUCGGACCCAUAUCUUAAAACUGUAUAAUUUGCAUUCAAACAUUACUGAUUUCUCAGAUGUUUCAUACUCCACAGAAGAGCAUUGUUUGUGAAAGCAUGCAUUUAUGUUGGAUUUUGGAUGAUGUGGGAACUGGGGCAAGGAUCAUAUGGAAGAGUGGUCGAUUUUGUUCUGUACUUUAACAUUUGAAAUAGGAGAAGCUCGGGCAUUUGUGGGGCUUAAUUGAUUUUGAAGCCUGAAAUUGCGUUUCUGUCAUUUUGUAAAAAAUAUGGCAGAUUCCAUGCUCUCAUAUGUUUGGUCUGUGGCCAUGUAUAGAUGCCCCUUAGUGACCAGUUUGUAACUGUCAAUCAUAGUGUUUUGACUCUGGCUCAACAACAUCAGCCAUUGACGGAUUUUCAUACUUGCAAAUCAAAUAGUCUUCUUCCUCCCUUAGGAAUUUCGGUUUAAAUGUUAUUAAGCAUACAUUUGGCUGACAAUUAUUAACCACUUCAUGAUAUGGUUUCUUACCCUUAAUCAAUGGUUUCUAAGUGAAUAUAUGCAGAAGGAAAUCUGAACUGUAGACAGCAGUAUUGAUAACUCUCAAUAUUCUUUAUAUAAGAGAAUAAACAACGUCAUAGUGAUCGUCGCCUACAAGAAAGGUACAUUUCCCAACAAGAUGUAGUUGUGACUGGUACAUGGACGCAAUUAACUCGUACAAAAGAAUAAGACCAGUGCACGGCAGCUCUUAUUUUACAUGCUAAUUAUGCUAACCAAAGUCACUCAGUUGGGAUGGGAGGGAGAUGGAGGUUUGUGCGGUGGCUUGUGGGGCGGAGUUGGUGGCUUCUUUUCAGGAGCUUGUGGCUUUUUCGGAGCUGAAGGAGGCUCAAUCUUAUGAGGCGGCUUGUACGAGUCUUCUUUACUCUCGACAGGAGGGUGGCCAGGGUUGUGACCAUAAUGUGGUGGCUUCUCUCCCUUAGGUGGCUUGCCAACUGGGGUUGGUGGCUUGUGUUCAGGAAGUGGUUUCUCUCCCUUGGGAGGUUUACCAAUUGGGGUUGGUGGCUUGUGUUCUGGGAGUGGUUUCUCUCCCUUGGGAGGUUUAGUGGGUGACUUGUGUUCUGGAGGUGGCUUCUCCACCGGAGGCUUGUGCUCCGGUGGUGGCUUCUCCACCGGAGGCUUGUGCUCCGGUGGUGGCUUCUUGAUUGGAGGGGGCUUGGGGUAAUCAGCAAGAGAUGGGAUGGUGAGAACCACCACUCCAAGGAACAACACUAGCAAGUAUGUGGGAGACAUUUCUGAGUUUGAGCUGAUCAGAUGAUGCAAAACUAGAAGAAUUACGGGACCUUUUAUAGCAAGUAUCUCCCAAUACCCACAUGACACGUGUUACUAUGACCAUAAAUAUUAUAGGGUCCAUUUGUGCCCUACCGGGUUGAAAACUUGGACGCUUGGCCGAGGACACACCUGACUAUGGAGGACUAUUGACGUGUGAUCACAGCUUUUGGAUUUUUCUUCCUGUGCAGCUGUCUAGCGGUUGGCAUUAUUUUCUUAAUCUUAAAUAAAGGCAUAGUUAUAGAGUUGUUUAAUCUCUAAAUGGGAUUUUAUAUAUCUUCAGAUAGCCAUUAAUAUAUUUGAUGAAGAAAGACAAGUGCAUACAACAUGUAUACGGCUUGCUUCAAUCGAGUACAUUUAUGAUCAGUUUUCCUGUGCAAGUAAACCAGUUUUUUGUUCCACAACUAUUUUGGAAUCUUGUUUAUCAGUUUCUAUCAUUAUAAUGUCACAUAGGCUGCAAACUUGGGCACCCAAAGAUCUAGGUGGGCAAAUUUGUUUCAGACUUUCAAUGGUGGAUUCAGUAAUUGUUAAAAGGUGUUUCUUCAUUAAGGAAAGAGUCCGGUAAAAAUAUUGUUAAAAGGUGUCAUAGAAACUAUAAUAAAUAAAUAACUUCUUUUCCCCAUGGGUGGUGUUUCUUCUGGGGAUCAGUGACUGGUUAGGGUCACCCAAAAUGAGUCCAGAUUAAAAUUGGUUCGAGUCAAAGCAGUCUCUUUUGUCCAGAAAUCAACUAUUUUGCGCAUUGAAUGAAUCGAUAAAGAAAAAAUGAAAGCCAAAUCACACCUCCCCUGCAAAACCUAAACCCCGGUUGCUAACUUUCUAUGUUUCAGUCCUAUUCAUAUAGGAAUAUUGGUUCAAGUUUGAGAAAAAUGGCAACUUACCUAGGGUUUACUUGGUUUUGGUUUGCGACUAUUUACGCAACCAACCAUGAGUUUGACUUUAACGUCAUGGGUUGAAGCCUCCUACAAUCAUGUAUGAUAGUUCAAAGCUCGUGGAAGAAAUUAUACAGGAAGGAAGAAACCUCCAAAGCUAGCUCCAAAAGAGAAUUAUCACAUCGAUAGCUCCAGAGAUUCCCAAGGGAACUGAAUCAAAGACAAGUUCCUCACUUUUUCUUCUUUUGAGGCCAAAUAUGAACCAAGGAUCACACGACCUCAUUCAACUUCAUAAGUUUGAUUUCAUGCAGUUGAACACUGGGUGAAGGCCAUGACAAGAAUUGAUUAAAAAAUUCUACCACUCUUUUAAGUAAUGGAAGAUUAUUAUCUCUGAUUGGCACCACAACAGCACAUGCUGCUAGAUCUUUCUAGACACUCCAUGCAAUGAAAGCACAAUGGAUCUUGUAAUGAUAGAAACUAAGCCAUGCUACAGUACUAGAUGAGGGGGUAAAACUAGUAGACAUCUUUCUAGACACUCCAUGCAAUGAAAGCACAAUGGAUCUUGUAAUGAUAGAAACUAAGCCAUGCUACAGUACUAGAUGAGGUGGUAAAACUAGUAGACAUGGCUGGCAGUUGAUUACUACUCAAAAAGUACUCUUUUAUAGCUUGAAACUAACUGUUUUAAACACUUUUGAGUAGUAGUUAAUACCUUUUAACUUAAUUGGCACAUUAAGGAACCUAGCAAGGGUUACUAAUCAACAUUUGGCAAGUUUUGAUGUUUUUGGUAGCUAUUUGAUCAUUGAAACAAGCCAAGAAUGAGGGGGAAUUUUGUGAAGUCCAUGGCAAUGCAAGUUAAAGCUCAAAUACAUGAAGAAUCCAAGCUUUGGAGCACUUCAUAGCCCUUUGCCAAGCCAAUCAAAGAUGCAAGGAAGAAAACCAAAGGAAGAAAUCCAACAAUCAGCAUUUUGGCAUGGCUAUGUGAAAUUUCGCACACCAUGCGAAACCACAAGAGGCAGCCAAAGAAUUUCGCAUGGUAUGCGAAAUCUUCUUGUGCACUGACUCUGUUAGAUUUUUAUCUUCAGAUAUUUUGUGUAAUUUCCUAGUUUCUCCUUGUAACCAACUUAGAUAUUUUCUUUUAUAUCUUUUUUUAUAUUUUUUAGGUAACAUCAUAUAUAAGAGGAGAGACAUAAGGAGGAUAUGGAUGUUUUUCAUAGAACACUUGUAAAUUUUUGGUAGUAAGAAAUAUACAAAGCUUUUUGCUCUGCCUUACCUUCUCAAGGGAUGAGUGGCUAGGUUUUCUUGGAGUGAGGGAAGCUAGGUGAAGGACCUGAAUGCAAAGGUGGGAGUUUUCCUUACUUUAAAUGAAAGUAGUUGUUAAACAUUAAUGGUUUUUAUUUUAAGGUUUAGCUUUAAAUCCCUGAAAAACACCUUGAAUGGCCAAUACUUGGUAAGCUUUUUAGAUUCUAUGGAUGCUUAUUGCUAGAUCCAUGGAUGUCUAUUAGUUAUCAUUUACGAGCCAUUGGAAGGUGAUUCAAGGUGAGGGUCUUUAGUGUUUGAAGCCAUUAAUGGGAAGCAAUUACCAUUUUUUCAUGAAUCCUUUGGAUCAAAUCUUAAUUGCUAAAUAUAAAACCGGUUUCGAGAGAUAACCACCAUCCUUUAUGUUAUUAUCCCCAACGCGAGGAGAAGAUCCGAAAUCUUCCUUUUUAUCUAAGGAACCCGAUCCUAGUGACCUAAAGCUCCAAGAUACCUUUUCUUUGUAGUUAACUUCAUUUAUUGUUUUUGCUUAACUUAAAAUCAAUCUUUGCAACCACAAUUCCAUUUUCUUUAAAAGCUAAUUUUUAUAAGGAAAAACACCAUUUUAUUUCCUUCACUAAGUCAACUGUACGAUGAAAACCCAUCCCUGUGGACGAUCCUAGAGCCACUAUACUAUGUUAGCUAUGCUACCCUAGUGUGAGGUGAUUUAGGUUUUAUAAAUUUUUUUGAUAACACCCAUCUGAGCCAGAAUCAAAUGGCACGACUGAACCAGGGACGAAUCAAAUGACGCCGCUACCAAGGAUGGUGCCAAAGUACAUUGACAUGACUUUUGGUGAACACUUGUGAUCUUCACCACAAGUUUGGUGAUUUUUCUUUUACUAAUUUUUUUUAUUUUAGCUUAUCUUUUAUUUAGUUUUUAGUUAACCUUAAAUUUUUCCUAGAAUUGUAUUUCUUUUGUUUUCUUUGUUUUUGUUUCAGUGAUCUUUAGUUGUGCAUGCCCUAUUGGAUAAGAGAUAUUGAGGGAAUACUUGUGAAGAUUGAAACUCCUCGAGAAACUGAGUUAGAAGUGUGCUUGAACAUCAUGGAUGUUCCACCUGAAGACCAGAAUAGCCAACAUGGUUAAGAGGAUAAUUUCAACACAUACCGAUCCAUGAGGAACCGCAUACAUCCACCUUGUAUGAGUGCACCGUCAGGCAUAAUGCCUCCCACUGAGCAGCUAGUAAUCUGACCUCACAUUGUGCCACUCCUACCUACUUUCCAUGGGAUGGAGAGUGAGAAUCCCUACUCGCAUAUUAAGGAAUUCGAGGAGGUUUGUAAUACAUUCCAAGAAGGAGGAGCUUCAAUUGACUUGAUGAGGCUCAAGCUAUUUCCUUUCACUUUGAAGGAUAAGGCCAAGAUUUGGCUUAAUUCUUUAAGGCCAAGAAGUAUCCAAACUUGGAUUGAUUUGUAAGCCGAGUUUCUUAAGAAGUUCUUCCCUACCCAUAGGACCAAUGGUUUGAAAAGGCAAAAUUUGAACUUCUCAGUUAAAGAGAAUGAGAAAUUCUAUGAGUGUUGGGAGAGCUACAUGGAAGCUAUUAACGUUUGUCCUCACCAUGGCUUUGACACAUGGCUCUUAGUGAGCUAUUUUUACAAUGGUAUGUCUUCUUCAAUGAAGCAACUCCUAGAAACUAUGUGUGGAGGAGACUUCAUGAGUAAGAAUCCGGAGGAAGCCAUGGACUUUUUGAGUUAUGUGGCUGAAGUUUCAAGAGGAUGGGAUGAACCAAAUGCUAGAGAGGUGGGAAGAAUGAAGUCUCAACCUAAUGCUAAGGGUGAGAUGUAUGUUUUGAAUGAAGACAUUGACAUGAAAGCAAAGGUUGCAGCUAUGGCAAGGAGAUUGGAAGAGCUAGAAAUGAAGAACAUACAAAAAGUGCAAGCCAUUUCUGAGACAUCAAUGAAAGCUAUGCCUUGUUCCAUUUGUCAAUCUUAUAAGCACCUAGUGGAGGAGUGUCCUACAAUUCCAGCAGUGAGAGAGAUGUUUGGUGAUCAAGCAAAUGUUAUUGAUCAAUUCAAGCCUAAUAACAAUGCUUCAUAUGGCAACACCUACAAUUCAAAUUGGAGGAACCAUUCAAAUUUCUCUUGGAAACGAAAGCCACCUCAAUACACACAACCUACUCAAGCACCUUAGCAAUCCUCGAAUCUUGAACAAGCUAUUGUGAACCUUAGCAAGGUUGUGGGAGACUUUGUGGGAGAUCAGAAGUCCAUCAAUGCUCAACUGAAUCGGAGAAUUGACAGUGUGGAGAGUACAUUGAACAAAAGGAUGGAUGAGAUGUAAAAUGAUCUGUCUCAAAAGAUAGACAAUGUCCAAUACGUAAUCUCAAGGCUUACCAACCUCAACACAGUGUAAGAGAAAGGAAAGUUUCCUUCUCAACCUCAUCAAAAUCCUAAGGGUAUCCAUGAAGUAGAGGCUCAAGAGGGAGAAUCUUCAAAGGUGAGGGAAGUCAAAGUAGUUAUCACCUUGAAGAGUGGUAAAGAGGUUGAUCAACCCACAUCCAAGCCAAAGCAUAAUGAAGAGAGUGUAGCAGAAAAAGAAAAGAGAGGAAAAUAAAGGAAUUAGAAUAGAGAAAAAUACAAAGAAAGAUGACCAUGAGUCUAGUGUGGAUGAAGAGCCCGAGAGGAUGGUGAUCAAGGAAGAUAUGAUGAAGAAACACAUGCCUCCACCUUUCCCCUAAGCUUUGCAUGACAAAAAAAGAACCAAUAAUACAUCAGAAAAUUUUGAAGUAUUGAGGCAAGUGAAGGUCAAUAUCCCUUUGCUAGACAUGAUCAAACAAGUGUCGACAUAUGAAAAAUUCUUGAAGGACUUGUGCACUGUAAAGAGAGGGUUGAAUGUGAACAAGAAAGCUUUAUUGACCGAGCAAGUGAGUUCCAUCAUACAGUGCAAGUCCUAGUGAAGUACAAAGAUCCGGGUUGCCGUACCAUCUCAGUGAGUAUUGGAAGGACUUGUGUGGAGAAAGCUUUGUUGGACUUGGGAGCAAGUGUGAAUUUGCUAUCCUACUCUGUCUAUAAGCAGUUGGGAUUUGGAGAGUUGAAGCCAAUAUCCAUCACUCUAUCUCUAGCGGAUAGAUCAAUGAAGAUUCCAAGAGGGAUGAUCGAAGAUGUCCUGGUUCAAGUUAACAAAUUCUACUAUCCAGUAGAUUUUGUUGUUCUUGAUAUGGAUCCGGUUGUCAAAUGAACUAAUUAUGUUCCUAUCAUACUUGGAAGACCCUUCCUAGCUACAUCAAAUGCAAUCAUCAAUUGUAGGAAUGGAGUCAUGCAACUCACAUUUGUCAACAUGACAUUAGAGCUCAACAUCUUCCAUUUGUACAAGAAGCAUAUCCAUCAGGAGGAAAAAGAAGGUCUAGAGGAAGUGUGAAUGAUUGACACUUUAGUGGAAGAGCAUUGUGAUCGAGAAUGCAAAAAGAUUUAGUUGAGAAUUUUGGGGAUCUUGAUGAAAGGUUACUUGAACCCUCAGAUUUGCUUGCUACCCUACUCCAUUGGAAGAGAAGAGAAGAAAUUCUACCCUUAUUCAAUGAGGAGGAGACGCAAAGAGCUGCAAAGGAGAAACCCCCAAAACUUAUUCUUAAGCCACUACCCACAGAGUUGAAGUAUGUAUACUUGGAAGAAGACAAGAAGUGCCCUAUUGUUAUAUCUUCAACUCUUACCAUUCAUCAGGAGGAUUGUCUACUUGAAGUCCUUAGAAGAUGUAAGAAGACAAUAAGGUGGCUAAUUUCUUAUUUGAAAGGGAUCAGCCCUUUAGUCUGCACCCAUCAUAUUUACAUGGAGGAUGAAGCUAAGCUAAUUCAUCAACCUCAGAGAAGGUUGAACCCUCACAUGCAAGAGGUGGUUCGAGCUGAAGUUCUGAAGCUACUUCAGACCAGUAUUAUUUACCCCAUAUCAAAUAGCCCAUGGGUGAGUCCUACUCAAGUUGCGCCAAAGAAGUCUGGGAUCAUGGUGGUGCAAAAUGAUAAGGGAGAAGAUGUCUCUACACGCCUCACUACAGGUUGGAGGGUGUGUAUCAAUUACAGGAGGUUGAAUGCAGUGAUAAGAAAGGACCAUUUCUCAUUGCCCUUUAUUGAUCAGGUGCUUGAGAGGGUCUCUGGGCUUUUUUUUUUAUUGUUUCUUGGAUGGCUACUCCGGGUACUUUCAGAUAGAAAUUGAUGUUGAAAACCAAGAUAAGACCAUUUUCACAUGCCCAUUUGGAACCUAUGCAUAAAGGAGAAUGCCUUUCGGCUUAUGCAAUGCACCCGCAACUUUCCAAAGAUGCAUGUUAAGCAUUUUCAGUGAUAUGGUGGAGCGUAUUAUGGAAGUCUUUAUGGAUGAUAUCACCAUUUAUGGAAGUGCAUUUGAUGAAUGCUUGGUCAACUUAGAAGCUGUUCUGAACCGAUACAUUGAGAAAGACUUAGUGCUUAACUGGGAGAAGUGCCAUUUCAUGGUACACCAAGGGAUUGUCCUUGGGCACAUUAUCUCCAAGCAAGGCAUUGAAGUUGACAAAGCAAAGGUUGAACUCAUUGUUAAGUUGCCAUCCUCAACAAAUGUCAAAGGAGUAAGGCAAUUCUUUGGCCAUGUCGGGUUCUAUAGGAGGUUUAUCAAGGAUUUCUCUAAGCUUGCAAGGCCUCUUUGUGAAAUAUUGGUGAAUGAUGUUAAAUUCAUAUGGGAUGAUGGAUUUGAAAGGAGUUUUGAAGAAUUGAAGCUAUUUUUGACAACCGUACCAAUAGUGAGGGCUCCCAACUGGCAACUGCCCUUUGAAGUAAUGUGUGAUGUCAAUGAUUUUGCUAUAGGAUUUUUUCUUGGGCAAAGAGAAAAUGGAAAACCUUAUGUGAUCUACUAUGCGAGGAAGGCAUUGAAUGAGGCACAAAGAAACUACACAACCACCGAGAAAGAAUUGUUAGCUGUAGUUUUUGCCUUGGAUAAGUUUCGCGCUUACUUGGUGGGGUCCUUCAUCAUGGUUUUUACUGAUCACUUUGCUUUGAAGUAUCUGUUGACUAAGCAAGAUGCUAAAGCAAGGCUGAUUAGAUGGAUUCUCUUACUUCAAGAGUUCAAUCUCCAUAUCAAAGAUAAGAAAGGAGUGGAGAAUGUGGUAGCAGACCACAUUUCAAGGCUAGCUAUCGCACAUAAUUCCCAUGCUUUGCCCAUUAAUGACGAUUUUCUAGAGGGGUCUCUCAUGUUGGUGGAAGUUGUCCCUUGGUACGCUCACAUUGCUAACUACCUGGUCACGGGAAAAGUUCCAAGUGAGUGGAAAGCACAAGAUAAGAAGCACUUCUUUGCAAAAAUUCAUGCCUACUAUUGGGAAGAGCCAUUUCUAUUCAAGUAUUGUAUGGAUCAGAUAAUAAGGAAGUGCGUUCCUGAAGAAGAGCAACAGGGGAUCCUUAGUCAUUACCAUGAAAAUGCAUGUGGAGGCCACUUUGCUUAUCAAAAGACAGCCAUGAGGGUGUUGCAAUCGGGUUUCUGUUGGCCAUCACUUUUCAAAGAUGCCCACACCAUGUGCAAGAGUUGUGAUCGAUGCCAGAGGCUUGGGAAGUUGACACGCAGGAACAUGAUGCCUUUGAACCCCACUUUAAUAGUUGAUAUUUUUUAUGUUUGGGGCACUAACUUCAUGGGACCUUUCCCUAUGUCUUUUGGCUACUCUUACAUCUUGGUAGGAGUAGAUUAUGUUUCUAAGUGGGUUGAGGCAGUCCCAUGCAAACACAAUGACCAUAGAGUGGUUCUCAAGUUUCUUAAAGAGAAUAUCUUCUCAAGAUUUGGGGUGCCCAAAGCCAUAAUUAGUGAUGGGGGUACUCAUUUUUGCAACAAGCCUUUUGAAACUCUCCUAGCCAAGUAUGGGGUGAAGCAUAAGGUAGCUACACCUUACCACCCUCAAACUCAUGGACAAGUUGAGUUAGCAAACAGGGAGAUUAAAAACAUAUUGAUGAAGGUGGUGAACACAAACAGAAAAGAUUGGUCAGUCAAGCUUCUUAAUUCACUAUGGGCAUAUAGAACAACUUACAAGACCAUUCUCGGGAUGUCUCCUUAUCGCCUAGUUUAUGGCAAAGCAUGCCAUCUCCCUGUGGAAUUGGAAUACAAAGCUUGGUGGGCAAUCAAGAAGCUCAACAUGGAUUUGAGCAGAGCUGGGUUGAAGAGGUUCUUAGACCUUAAUGAGAUGGAGAAAUUGAGAAAUGAUGCCUACAUCAAUUCAAAAAUUGCAAAAGAAAAAUUGAAGAGGUGGCAUGAUCAGUUGAUUUCCCGCAAGGAUUUUCAAAAUGGACAAAGAGUCUUACUUUAUGACUCUAAACUCCACAUCUUUCCGGGCAAGCUGAAAUCAAGGUGGAUAGGUCAUUUUACCAUUCACCAAGUGCAUUCAAAUGGAGUAGUGGAACUACUCAACUCCAACAAUAUCGAGAACUUCAAAGUGAAUGGCCACCGUCUCAAGCCCUUUGUGGAGUCUUUUUCUCACAACAAGGAGAAAUUCAUCCUCCUUGAUCCACAUCAAGCUUAACAAGACCAAUUUUCUUGAUGGACUUAGUCUUUCUAAAGACUAUCGAGUCCAUAACUUUUUGUUUUAUUUUUUAUUUGAGAUUUUUUCGGUAUUGUUACUUGUUUUGUUUUUUAUUUUUCGUUUUAAUUUUAUUUGGUUUGAUUUAACUUAGGUUUUUGAUGAUCAAUUACAGGGGGGAUUUCAAAUAGAGGAAAAACCAAGAUAAUUCGCACACCCUACGAAAAUUUCGCAAGGCAUGCGAAAUUUAUGGCUUAUUUUGCAUGGGGUGAAAAUUUUCGUACAUCUUACGAACCAAUUUCGAACACUUUGCGAAAAUAAACCAACCCUGCGAAAUCAUUUCGAUUACUCUACGAAAUUUUCGUAGAGCAUGCGAAAAAUUUAGCACACCAAACACCAUUUCGCAUACUAUGCAAAAACCUAAGGGGUCUGCGAAACCAUUUCGCACCUCCAAAUCCAUUUCGCACAUUGUGCGAAAACCAAGAGGCGCUGUGCGAAAAUGAAAAGUCGCCCUGUCAUCCCUUUUUAAACCCCUCGAGCCCUAAAAUCUCCAUUUCGCAAGCACCCCUGUCCUUGCGAAUCCCUCAUUUUCCUCUACUACCUUGCAACCUCGUCCCUUUCCAUUUGAUAUUGUGCCCCGCGCACAUCUCAUUUCAGAGACUCGCACUCCGCGCCCCCUCAAAGCAUGGACUCGAGACCCACCUUCCAUUUCCGACGUGGCACGGACCCAAGGAGCCCUUUCUGCCCCUUCACUAAGACACACACCAAGGCAGAAAGCCUCCUUUGCUCAAGUGCCUAGUGAUUCUCCAUCUUAGGCCUCAGAGGCCUCGGAGGCCCCGUGGAUUCCACCUUCCGAGGGUAGAGCAGCCAUUGGUCCUUCCUCUUCUACUCCUUAGCGUAGAUACGAGACGAGGAGACCACCUACUACACAAGGGGCGACUACUUCGAGCCUUGAGAAUUCAGUACGAUGCCUUCCUGCCAAGAGGGUCAAGACUUCAGGUCCAAGUGAGUCAUCCAGAGCUUCAUAGCCUAAGCCUCCUGUAGAUUCCAAGGUUCCUACUGACAUAUCACCGGAGUCUAUUAUCAGAAGCCCGAUGCUCAUAGCACCGCCCAUUGAGGGCAACUCAGAUUAUAGAGCGAGAUCUUUCCACUUGGAGCUAUAUUUUGAUCAGGAGGCCAUACGACAGCAGCCUGAGCUCCGAGACUCUUAUGGCUUACUGCAGAGGUACCAUCUUGAGGAACUUAUGACUCCUCGUGAGUUUUUUUAUCCCAGAGUAGCACUAAACUUUUACCAGUCCAUGACUACUCGUGGCGUCCCGAGUCCUACCACGAUUCACUUCACCAUUGAUAGACGUCAUGGUAUCCUCAAGGCCAGACAUAUUACAGAGGCUCUACAAAUUCCUUUCGAGCUAGAGGAUCCAUCUGUUUUUCGCUAAUGGUCCCCAGUAUCUCAGAGGGACAUGGUCCGUAUUUUAUCUAGGGGAACAUCUACAGAUUCGAUCUUUCUACGGAAGGAGCUUCGACCUGGGAUGCUCCUCUUAGAUGUGGUGCUAUGCUCCAACCUCUUUCCCUUACAACAUUCGGUACAUAGGUGAUGAGCUAUUUUGGACGCUUUAUUCCGUAUAUCAGAGGGCUUCUACUUUGGCCCGCACCACUUGAUCAUGGUCUCCCUCAUCCACUUUGAGGAGAAGGUUCAUAGGAAGAAGCUUCAGAGGGUGGACACCAUUCCAUUACUAUUCCUGAGGUUACUUUGCCAGGUCUUGGAGUACAUGGGCUUUCCUACUGAGCCUCGGCUCGAGCUUUGCCGCCUUUGUCGAGAGUGAUCCACUCUCGACAAAUGGAAUUAGUUGGCGGGCUAUUCUGCACCUCCAGGAGCCCCUCCCAUGGUAGCACCUCCAAUGUCCCCACAGGCAAAGUAGGGCGAGCUCCCGGCAAAGACUGUACCACCAAUGCCCACACUUGAGGCUAUUUCUGCUGCUCUGCCUAUGACUCCUACUGUUCCACCAGUUGGUCCUUUUACAUCCGAGCCUUCCAUCACCAUCUCGGCUUCGGAGUUUCGCGCCCUUGUGCAUACCUUUCAGACACUCACCACCACACAUACUCCUCUCUUCUAGCAAAUGGUUGAGAUGUGUGCCCAUCAGGACCGGAAGACUACUAUACUCUGCCAAAUUCAGCAGCACCUAAGACUUUUGCCUCAACCUCAACCUAACCAUCCCAUAUCAUCAGAGCCUCUAGCUCCAACUGAGGAUACUAUUCCACCUGAGAACACUACCACAGUAGAGGUCCGGUUUCCACCACCUUAAGAGGCCACCACAGCUACAUCAGAGGAUGUGUCAUCUCCACUUGAGGCUCCCACUACUUGAUCAUAGGACAUAUCUUUAUCUUAUUGUAUUUACAUAUUAUAUUACUAGAGAUUUGUCCUUGUUUUGAUACUUUAUAUUCUGGGAUUGGAUGUAUUGCCUGAUGAUAUCUCAAUUGUACUUUCUCAUAUUAAUAUAUAGACAUCAAUUUUUUUUAGUAUACUUAGCAUUUUUCUAUUUCCUCUACUCAUUACUCUUUUGUUUUUUUUUACUCAUGUGGUUUCUCUUAUACAACUCAGACUCCAUUUCACUCAGGAGGUACCACUUCCUCCCUUUAUUUUCAAUUGCUCUUGAAAUAUUGAGUGCAAUGUUGAUCUUGGUUGGGGGGAGAGUUGAGGAAGGAAGUUUUGUUAAUAAUGCUAGGUUAAUUUGUUAAUUUAGUUACUUUCUGCUUAAUUUUAAAAGUUUUCACUCUACUUUCCAUGGUUAUUAAGGAAAAAUUCUCAAAAUGAAAUGGGAGAAAUCGAAUUCUUGCAUUUUUACUUGAAUCUUAGAAUUUGUAUCAUGCUUAUUAAAGUUGAUGAAUUAUUGAAACUCCUAUUGAAUUCAACCUUAUUUUUUCCACUUUAAUCUUACCACACACGGUGCACAUUAGGUUCCAGUUAUAAGAUAAAAAACUAUCUCACCCCCUAAACUUAGAAAAAUUUACACUUGGUACCUUUGACAUCGUUUUAAUAGUGUUGGGACACCUUAUAAAAGGCCAAUGAGCCUUUAAAAAAAAAAAAAAAAAAAAAAAGAGAAAGAACAAAGUAUUGCACUUGCCUUGAAACCUGAGCAAGAUCCGAGGGGUAUACAGUGAAAGUCUUUAAAACCUGGUGCCCUAAGCCUUGAUUGGUUGGGAGUCACCGACCUCAAUGCUCGUUAUAAGGGUGAAUAGGUGGAGUUUAACAUAUUGUAGGUGCUUGGGUAUUGAAUUUCAAUCUCAAAAGUCCGGGAAAAAAUCUAAGGAGUUAGUGGUCAAAAGAUCCUUAAAGCUUGAUGCCCUAAACCUUGAUUGGUUGAGAGUCAUUGAUGGAUCCCCGCUACAUGGACAUUUUAGAAAACAAUACCUUUAGCAUUGCACGCCUACAAUGAAAAAAAAAUGUGAAAUAAAAGAGGUGCGUUCUUAGCCUAUUGGAGGUUGGUCAGUUUGCUAAAGUUUGAGAAAUCUAGGUUGGGGGGAGAGAAUAGUCCGACAUACUAUAAUAAAAAACUAAUAACCUUAACACUUAGAUUUUUGUGGAAGAGUAAGGAUUGGACCUUUAGGGGUGGAAAUUCUUUUGAUGCUUAAAUUUGCAUAAUGCCUACUCUUUAUAAAUUAUGAUUAGGCAAGAGAUUUGAUGACUCUUGUUCAAAGUUGGGUUUUUCCUCUUUGAUGUUCCAUGAGAGAGUAUAAUCCUCAUCAUGCCACUUGAAAUCUUUUUGGAGUGAUUAACAUGAUUUUGUAAAUUAUUUUACUGUCUAUUUUUCUUUAUCUCUCUUUUAUUGCUAAUGGACUAGCAAUAUGUCAGUUGGGGGGAGUGAUUACUACUCAAAAAGUACUCUUUUAUAGCUUGAAACUAACUGUUUUAAACACUUUUGAGUAGGUGUUAAUACAUUUUAACUCAAUUGGCACAUUAAGGAACCUAACAAGGGUUACUAAUAAGUUUUUGGCAAGUUUUGGUGUUUUUGGUAGCUAUUUGAUCAUUGAAACAAGCCAAGAAUGAGGGAGAAUUUUGUGAAGUCCAUAGCAAUGCAAGUUAAAGCUCAAAUACAUGAAGAAUCCAAGCUUUGAAGCACUUCAUAGCCCUUUGCGAAGCCAAUCAGAGAUGCAAGGAAGAAAACCAGAGGAAAAAAUCCAACAACCAGCAUUUUCGCAUGGCUGUGCGAAAUUUUGCACACCAUGCGAAACCACAAGAAGUAGCCAAAGAAUUUUGCACACCAUGCGAAAUUUCGCAUGGUAUACGAAAUCUUCCUAUGCACCAACUCCGUUAUAUUUUUAUCUUCAGAUAUUUUGUGUAAUUUCCUAGUUUCUCCUUGUAACCAACCUAGAUAUUUUCUUUUAUAUCUUUUUUUUAUAUUUUUUAGGUAACAUCAUAUAUAGGGGGAGAGACAUAAGGAGGAUAUGGAUGUUUUUCAUAAAACACUUUUAAUUUUCUGGUAGUAAGAAAUAUACAAAGUUUUUUGCUCUGCCUUACCUUCUCAUUUUGUUUUCACCUAUCUUUCUAGCCAAACAACCUCUGAGAAUGAUUUCUCAGGGGAUGAGUAGUUAGGUUUUACGUUUCUUGGAGUGAGAGAAGCUAGGUGAAAGACCCAAAUGCUAAGGUGGGAGUUGUCCUUGCUUUAAAUGAAAGUAGUUGUUAAAUAUUAAUGGUUUUUAUUUUAAGGUUUAGCUUUAAAUCCCUUAAAAACACCUUGAAUGGCCAAUACUUGGUAAGCUUUUCGGAUUCUAUGGAUGCUUAUUGCUAGAUCCAUGGAUGUCAUUAGUUAUCAUUUAUGAGCCAUUGGAAGGUGGUUCAAGAUGAGAGUCUUUAGUGUUUGAAGCCAUUAAUGGGAAACAAUUACCAUUUUUUCAUGAAUCCUUUGGAUAAAAUCUUAAUUGCUAAAUAUAAAACUGGUUCGGGAGAUAACCAUCCUUUAUGUUAUUAUGCCCAAUGCAAGGAGAAGAUUUCGAAUCUUCUCAUUUGUCUAAGGAACCCGAUCCUAGUGACCUAAAGCUCCUAGAGACCUUUUCUUUGUAGUUAACUUCAUUUAUUGUUUUUGCUUAACUUAAAAUCAAUCUUUGCAACCACAAUUCCAUUUUCUUUAAAAGCUAAUUUUUAUAAGGAAAAGCACCAUUUUAUUUCCUUCACUAAGUCAACUGUAUGAUGAAAACCCAUCCCUGUGGACGAUCUUAGAGCCACUAUACUAUGUUAUCUAUGCUAUCCUAGUGUGAGGUGAUUUAGGUUUUAUAAAUUUUGUUGAUAACACCCGUCUGAGCCAGAAUCAAAUGGAACCACUGAACCAGGGACAAAUCAACAGCCUAUAUGGGAGGGACACAAGUUUAAUUGAUUUGCAUUUCAGCGUUAUAGAUAAGUAUGUUUUGGAAGAUUUGUUCUGGAAAUACUGCACCAAGUACGAUUCUUUUUCUCUUGAGUGAGUCCAUUUGCAUGCCAAUUAACGAGUUGAAAAGUAGGAGCACCUACCUCGUGCUCAUGGAACCGAAUGUCAGUGAAGUGGGGCUCCUUUUAGCCUCUUGUGUUUCUGUUCCAACCAAGGCGGCGUAGGGAAAAACAACAAUAUGUCUGUGCUAAAUAUCAACGCAUGAUAGAUGUUUUUUUUUUUUUUUUUGGUAUGUCAAGGCUAACGAAUGAAAUGCAUUAGCUUGUUUUGUGACUAUAACUGCAAAUGUCCAAAUUGGAGUAUCUCCAUUUCUCACUUCGGAUGGUUAACUUUAUAAACAAGAUAUAGGAAACAUGUGAACAUCUUGAGGAACAAUUCAAAUUAUUCAUUAGAAGUCCUGGGUUAAGUUCCAAGAUUUAAAUCAGACCCUUCUAGCAGCUUCAAGGGUACUUAGCAACCUAUAACAUAUUAAUGAAGAUUUAGGAUUUAGACUCCGGAAUACAAAUAAAUAUGUAUCUCAUGCUUUGACUAGCUUCCCUACAUAUGCAUAAAAUGGAGAUGACCCAAAAAAAAUAGCAGAAUCUAGCUUCCCUACAUAUGCACAAAAUGGAGAUGACCCAAAAAAUAGCAUAAUCGCCUUAGUUUCUGUGGUUAAGGUGAUUCUCCGCUUAAUAUCCACAUUGACUCAUUAUGCAAAAUCAACUGAGCUAAUUUUAUUUAUUUAUUUAAUGUCAAAUAGGAACUCCUAAUUAACUGAUUACUGUCGAAAAGUGCUAUUUUGUAGACCUAAUUAUAAGGGUUUUAAGCACCUUUGAGUAGUAAUCAUAUUCAUUUAACCUAAUUAAUUCAUUAAGCUCCUUAGUAAUUAGUUCUAACCAUUUUUAGUGGCAAGUUUACAUGUUUUUCAUCAGCUUAUGAACCAAUUCAAGCAUGCCAAUUGAUGGAGGAGCUACUUGGGCGAGUUAAGCAAGGAUUUUGGACGUUUACAGGCUUGAAUUUCAAGUGGAAACACGAGCACAAGCAAUGGGAACACCAUUUCGCAAGGGGAGGCAAUUCACCUUGCCAAAUGACCAAUUUCGCAAGGGGAUUUUCCUCAUGGUGCAAAAUUUGGUCAUUUCGCACCAUGAAGAAACCACCUUGCAAAAUUUCGCAAGGUGGAUUUAGGCACCUUGCGAAAUGCCAAAUUUCACAAGGUGGCUUUUCACCUUGCGAAAUUUGGACCUUUCAUCUUCCCCCCUUGCGAAAUGCCUUUGAAAUCCCCUGUUUUGAGACGCUGUUGAUGAUAUUCCACUGCCGGUUCUCCAAGAUAUUUUGCUUGACUUUUAGCUUUAUAAAUACCUAUUUUACCCUUGUAAUCAACCAAUGAAAAGGUUGCUUUUGUAAUAGCUCUUGUAAUUUAGCUUUUUAUUGUCUUUAAAUAGAGGUGAAGAGCCUCAGACACGAUCAUCUUGUAACCUGUAACUUUAUAAGUUAUAAGAGCACUUUUGUUCAUACGCUUCUUUUCUCUUUUCUUUCUCAUUUUCUUAGUAGCCAAACAUCCUUGGAGGAUGAAAUCCCCAAGGAUGAGAGGCUAAAACCUUUUAGUUUCUUGAAGUAAUGGAUGCCAUGUGAAGCUCCCGUGUCAGGAUGGAGAUUUCCAAGCCAUAAAUGUAAGUAGCUGAGCGUCAUAAAUGUUUUCAUUCAAAGUAAAGCUUUUAAUCCCUCUGACUUGCUUUGAAUGGCCAAUACUUGAUAACCUUUUGGUCUCAAUGGAUUCUUAUUGUUAGAUCCACUGACGUUCAUUAGUUAUCUCCUACGAGCCAUUGUAUUGCAAGUCGAGGAGAUGACCUAUACCAAUAAAAGAGCAUUUAUGAGGUUCAACUACCCUUUUUGUAAGUUUUCAAGGACUAAAACUCAGUUGUUAAACUCAUACCGGUUCGAGAAGUAAGCAUCACCUUAGUUGCUUCCCCAACUCGAGGUGAAAAGUCCCAAAAUCUCCAUUUUUACACAGUGAGUUAAGCAUGGCUAUCCAAAGCUUUAAGAAACUUCUUUUUCCAUCUUUUAACCUAUUUUCAUGUUAGUUUAGUUUACAACACCUUCAUCUUUUUAUGUUUUCAUCUUAACCUAAUUUUUAUUAAGAAAAGUUCACUCCAUCCUCCGAACUUCACCAGUUAAAGUAAAAACCCUUCCCAGUGUUCGAUCCUAGAGCCACUAUGCUAUAGUAGCUUUGCUACUUUAGUGUAAGGACCUUAGGUAUAAAUUUUGUUGAUACCCUUACAUGCCAAGCUACCAAGAGUCGGGUUAUCAUUAACCUAACCAUUGGCCUGUGUAAAUUGAUUUCACAUGCACAAUGUUGUAGUAGAAGUCCAUAUUUUGAAUUUUAUUUUUGUAAAGGUAAGGAAAAUGAAGCAUUGUGUAAUUAUAAAAAUAACUUCAUUGGAAUUCACAAGGUUCACCCAAAAUGGAGCUACAUCUGUAUUCUAUCCUACAGUAGACUAUAUAGAUUGUACAAUAGUAAAUUGCAAAUACAAUUAAUAAGUCUUGUGCUUCCUUACUAAUAAUCCUUUGACAUGAACAUUGCAGCACUAAGGUCCUCUUGGGAAGACACCUUGCACCCAUGAGAGCACUAAGAGGAAGCAAGGCAGAGUCAUGGGUGCAAUGUCAUGACUUGUUGUUGCACCAAGAGAGGCUUGGUGAUGCCAUGGUGUUGCAGUAGCAAGAAUGUUGCCUUGGCAGGGACACGAUCUAGGGAUAGAUGCCAAGAAAGGCUUAGCACUCACAUGAGUUGCACAAAGAUGAAUGUAAUAGAGCAUCAGAGAGACGUCUUGGCAAGUAAAUGAAUGGAUCCAAGAGACAACAACAUGAGGAGUUUCAAAUGGAUAAGGAAUGACUCAAAGACAUUUGAAAGCUACAAGUUGGAUUCUAAUUACGAUUGCAAUUUGAGUUUGAGUAGGAGUUUAGAUUUUGAUUGUAAUUGUAGUAUGAGUUGGACUAGGAUUGCUUAUCCUUAGUCAAUAUAGGAGCGGUUCGUGUCACCCUAUGAAAAGAGUUUGAGUAGGGACUAGGAUUGCUUACUCCUAGUCAAAUAUGGAGUAGGUGGUGCCACACCUAUAAAAAAAAGGGACAACAUGAGAGAGAGAGAGAGAGAGAAAGAGAGAGUGAAUUCACUAAAGAUAUUGUGGGAGUUUUGCUUUGUUACGUCUUGUAUUAUUACUUAGAAUAGGAAUAAAAUACAAGUUGGGGCUAGAGCCCCAUAAUUAAUCUCGUGUGCCUUUGUGGUUAUUCUUUAUUUGUCAUCUCGUGUGGAUUGGAUUAGGUUGACUUAGAGGGCUUCUAAGCACCACCUUUGUGGGUUAUUAUUUAUUUUCCAUCUCUUGUGGAUUAGAUUAGGUUGACUUAGAGGGCUUCUGAGCACCACCUUUGUGGGUUAUUAUUUAUUUUCCAUCUAUUGUGGAUUAGAUUAGGUUGACUUAGAGGGCUUUUAAGCACCACAUUUGUGGGUUAUUCUUUAUUUUCCAUAUCGUGUGGGUUGGAUUAGGUUGACAAGGAGAAAAAUUAUGUGGGAAAUUUGUGUUGGGACACUUACCAUAACCAAGUAAAAUCUACCAAGUCCUUUGUAAUAUCUUCAACAAAUAUUUUAGACUAGUUCUUUCAGUUAGUGUAAAGGAGGAAGAAGUGGUAUUGAUUCUAGAAAUAGGGUGUGUGUAUUUGAACUACAAUCCUUAUGAUCCUUAGGUCUCUAAACCUUCGUGAUGGGCUCCCUGACAUUUCAUAGGUUGUGCUACACAUGCGUUUGAAAUUUAGAGUGCGUUUGACAGUGAUUCCGGGAAGUGUUUUUGGCCUUUCUUACACUUGAAAAUUUUUAUUUUUCAAGUAUUAGAAAUGCUACAAACACUUUUGAAAAUUACUGUCAAACACACUCUUAGGAGCGCACAUAUAUAGUAGAAAACUAGAAAUUGUGGUUUUUUUAGGAUUUACUGUAAUGUCAUUAGGAGGGUAGUAAGUUGAAAUUGAGUAUGAACAAAUAUUUCUUUCUUUGGGAUGUUCUUCUAGUAGGUGCUGAUGAAACUGUUCUUUCUACUGCCAAUGUCACAUAUCAGCCAGAAAUUGAAAAUUUCAGUCAAGGUGUCCUCUGUUUUAGUGGUGAGGAAAGCUAGAAAUUUUAAGGUGAAGUUUUGUUAAAAACCUUAAGUAGCUGGGAUAUCAGGCCUGUUUUGCUUGAAAAAAAAAGUUGCAAGAUAACUCAUAUGCCAAACAGGUUCUGAUAUUGUGAAUCUAUCGGCAGACAUCAGUAAUCUCAUCUUCUGAGAUGGAUGUUGGGGGUGCAUGUGGUGGUGGAGGGGCAAGGUUUCAUUUGGUUUAUUUUGUUGAUGGAUAUUGUCUAGCCACCUGCGCCAAGUUUGAGGGGUGGUGGGUUGUGAUGACCCUACAAUUACUAUUAAUUUCUUCAUCUUUUACCGAUUAAAGUGUCCGAACAGUCGAAGUUACCCUUAUGCAUGUCAACUUGAUCACUUACCUCUUCAAUGGAGUUUAUGCUGGUUCAUUUAGGAACUGAUUUUUAUUGUUAUGUAUUAUAUGCUGAUGUUUAGGUCUCUCCAUCAUCACUAUAUACAAAAAUUCUAGGUUGAUACUAUAGGUUGAGAUUUAUUUUUUAAAUAAAAAAUAAUAAAAAUAAAAAUUAUGGUGAUGUUUAGUUGUUUUAUGGAAAAUUUUAACAAGUAAAAGUUAUUUUUGGGCAAGUUUUCAAACAAAAAGAAAAGUAAAAGUUGUUUUGACAAAAACAUAUAGAAAAAAAAAUCAUAGAAAAUAAAUAAUUUCCCCAUAUUCUAACUUUUUUGAAUUUUUCUCAAUGGGCAAAGGAAUAUCAAAUCAAGUUUGAGUAGGAUUUCUUAAUUUUUAAAAUAACUUACAAUUAAAAAAUUUUGGUGUUUUCAUUUUUGGACAAUUUUUUAUUAAGCAAAUGGACUCUGAGUCAUGCAAGAGAUAUGGUUCAUUAACCGGUCGAACAAUUUUUUUAAAUUAAUUUAAAAGUCAAAUACAUAAUCAAUUUCACAAAAUUUAUAAACAAAAAUAGGUUUAGAGAAGAUCUACACAUAAUUUUACUUUUCUAAUUUUAUUUUAUUUUAUUUUUUGUUGGAAAAUAGUCUUCAAAUCAUGUAAGAUUUAAUAGGUUAAAUUUGUUAACAAUAAAUUUUAAAUUAUAAAAUAUAAUCUGGAACUCAAAAAUCAAUUCAAGUAAUGCUAAAAAAAAAUCAAAUUUGGUAUAGAAUGACUUUGUAAAUUUUUUUACAAAACAAAUGAAUUUUAAAUCAAGUGAGAUUUAAUGCAUUAGAUUUUUAUCAAAUAUAGUAAUUUUAAAAAUAAAUUUGGAACUCAACAAUAGACACAAUAAAUACCAAAAAAUAAUGAACCAAAAUUGGUUUGGAAUAACUCCACAACCUUUUUUUUUUUUUUUUGGUGCACACGAAUUUUCUUACUAGGUAUAUUGCUUUCAAAUUGAGAAAGAUUUACCAUUUAGAUUUUUUUUUAAUGAGUUUAAUGGUAUUUUAAAAUAAUUCAAAAUUUAAAAAAUUGACUAAUUAAUAUUAUAAAUUGAUAAACCAAGACUAUUUCAAAAUGCAUUGGGGGCUAAGGGGGUUGAAAAUAGGGACAAUGGGAUGGGUUUGGGACAUGACACUCAUAUCUCAUUUCCAUUCCAAUUACACAGUUAUCUCCCAUCCUUAUCCCAAACUUGUGUUGGAGCAAGUUGAUUUGUUCCCAUCUUUGUUGACGAAAUGACUAAUAACCUCAUCCCCUCCUUAUCUUAGAUGUACAUUUUGUCAAAUUUGAUCAGGUAUGAUUGAUCCAAGCCCUAACCCUAAUUGGUAAUGAGUGAAUACUACACCUAAUUGCAUUCUUCUUUCAUUGCAAAAUAAUGAGAUUAUAAUAAUCUAGCAAAUAAGAAAAAAUAGUAUGGAAGUUCAAAUUAACACCAUAACUAUCAAUAAUUUUAAGCUUAUAGAUGACUUAAAUGAUUAAAAACUAAUGCAAAAUCCUAAAAAAAAUAAAAAUCAUAUAAAGAAUUCACAAGAGAACAGAAUGAACAAAAACCAAAUAUGAACAUGGGUCAACAUUAGUUAUGGAUUUGGAUUCCUUUCAAGGCCAAUCUUUGAACCAAGACUUCAUCAAAUCAACUACUUCAAAGGCUUUUGUGUUCUUCUUGGGUUGUGCUCUCAAACAAAGACUUCGAGGUGAUGUUCUAGAUGAUUGAAUUACACAUAUUUAGGGUGGAGAGAUUGGAGAAGCUUGAAGAUGCCAACGAUGGGUACAAUUGAGUGGUCAAUAAGAACAAUGUAGCCUAUGACUAGUUUGAUGUCAUGGUACAAGAGUUUUAGGCAUUGAGGUUAAAGCAAGAGCAACAUGGAAUUGAUUUCGGAGUCUUUCAGUUAGUGUAAAGGAGGAAGAAGUGGUGUUGAUUCUAGAAAUAGGGUUUUAAGUGGUGCGUGAUUACUACUCAAAAAGUGCUAUUUGAUAGCCUUUAAUUAAUCCUUUUUAACACUUUUGAGUAGUAGUUUAGGCCUUUUAACUCAAUUGGCAUGUUAAGGAUCCUUUAAAGCAAUUUUGAUCACUUUGUGCAAGUUUUGGUGUUUUUGUUAGUAUUUUGAUCACCAAAGCAAGUCAAGAAUGAGGAGAACUAUGAGGAAUCAUGGGCAAAGCUUAGAAUUCAAUUGCCAAGAGUGAAUCCGGAUUGCAAGGAGAAAAAGCAAAGAGAAUCUGUCAUGAAGCCUAUUCUUGAUGACAGUCGUAGCAGCCACUUUUGGAGCACUUUCUGAAGUCCAAAUGAUGCAAGCUAUAUACCAUUUCAAAGAUCAGGAAGUCAACAAUCCAAUGCUUCAAACGGUGCGCGAUUCGGAGUUGAAACGAAGAAGUUGCAGCCAUUACAAGCCAGUCACUCUAAAGUGUUGCGGAAUCAGCCUUUUGUUGCGAGAAUUUCGCAGCACUUUUGUACAGUAAGGUGUUUCUCCUUCUGACGAUGCACGAACCAUGCCGCGAGAGGGAAGCUAGGAACUUCAAGAUGGAAGCCAACUUUGCAGCCUGGUGAAGAUAGCUUGGUCUUGCGAAAUAAUUUCGCAGCCCUCUUGGGUGUCUGCGAAAUUUCGCAGGCACCACUUUUUUCCUGCGAAAUGGCUCCGGAAGCCUCCCGAAGCUUGCUACCGACAUUGGGAGAUAUUUUCCAUUAGAUUUUUGUUGUCUAAAUUCCAAAAUACUCCUUGUAAACCACCAAUUACAUGAUUCCUUAGUUUUUAAGUUAGUAAAAAGACCAAAUAUCUAUGUAAUAAUUAGUUUUAUAUUAGUUUGCUAUAAAUACCUCUCGGGAGCAUGUUCUCAGAGAGGAGUUCCUUCUGUAACCAUUUUGGUAAGCAAGUAAAGUCUUUUCUUUCUACUGCCUUACCUUCUCACUUUGUAUUUUCAUUUUAUUUCUAAGUUAUGAAUUCUCUGAGGAGCUUUCCCCAGAGAAUGAGUAACUAAACCUCCAAUUCCUUGGAGCUAAGGUUGCCGGGGAAGGUUCCAAGUGCAAGAAUGCAAAGCUCUGUGGUUUUAGCUAGUAAUGAAGAGGAAGUGAAAUCCUUUAGUGAUUUCAAUGUUUUUAGUUAACUUAAAACACCUUGGAGUCACCUGGGCCAACACUUGGUAAGGCAAGUGAUUUCCAACCGUGGAAAUGCACUAGUUUACCCCUUGCGAGCCUCUGGUAGGUGACUUCAAGGUAGGAUUUUCUGGAAUUACCAACACUUGGUAAGCUUUUGGACUCCUAGGAGACAUCCAUUAGUUAUCUCUUGCGAGUUUGUGAAGGGGAAUCCAAGGUUAAAGAUCACCUUGAAUGGUAAGUGCUCGUGAGAGGCAUGAACCAUUGCAAGUUGUAUCAGUGAGAGAAUUAAAGUGAAAUCUAAUUGAAGGAGUCUCUGUACAUCACCGGUUAGAGAAUUGACUAUAAGUUGAAUCUCUAAUGCGAGGAAAUGAACCAUCUGACCGGAGCUAUGUCUUUUGCAUGAGGAACCACCCCAGUGAACCUAAAUCUCCAAGGAAUGCUUUUCUUCCUAAAUUAUUCCAAACUUCUGUUAAGUUAGUUAGUUUAAGUCUAAACCUUUACCAAUCAAACUUUGUGUUUUAUUUCUUAAGCUAACCGUGAAAUGAAACAAAACCAAUUCACUUGGAAUUGGUAUCCUUGAUUGCUUGCAAAUCAUUCCCAGUGAACGAUCCUUAGAGCCACUAUACUAUAGUAGCUUUGUAUUUGCUACCCUAGUGUAUGGUGUUAUAGGUAUAAAUUUUGUUGAUCACUUCCUCAAUCAAGGAACACCAGCUGAACACAAAUCAGCUGAGACACCAAUUGGGCAUGAGUCAAAUGGCGCCGUUGCCGGGGAAUGAGUGUCAAGAUCAUUGUGAUACCAUUUUUGAGCACUUGUGAUUUUCAUCACAAGUUGGUAAAGUUUCUUUCACUUUACUAAUUUUCAUUCUCUCUUUGUUUAUUUACAAUCUAAGUUUAUCUUUUUAAAAUUUAGUCUAGUUUAAUUUUGCUAUUGUAGCCUUGUUUCUCUUGUUGUCCUCUGUUCUUGUUGUCCUCUGUUUUCAUUUUAGUUGCAGCUGAAUACUAGUUGUGUAUGCCAAAGUGGAUACGAGACAUUGGAGGUAGGCUUAUUAAGUGUGAUACACCUCAGAGAGGAGAAUUGGAAGUAAUCUUGAAUAUCAUGGAGGCUGCACCUGAAGAUCAGCAUAGUCACCAAGGUCGUCAAGACAAUCUCAAUGAAUUCAGAUCAAUGAGGGACCGUAUGCAUCCACCUCGUAUGAGUGCACCAUCAUGUAUAGUGCCCCCUACAGAGCAACUAGUGAUCAGACCAUAUCUUGUUCCACUUCUACCAACUUUCCAUGGGAUGGAAAGUGAGAAUCCGUAUGCACACAUCAAGGAAUUUGAAGAUGUUUGUAAUACAUUCCAAGAGGGAGGAGCUUCAAUUGAUUUGAUGAGGCUUAAGUUAUUUCCUUUUAAUUUAAAGGAUAAGGCCAAAAUUUGGCUUAAUUCUUUAAGGCCAAGGAGUAUCCGCUCUUGGACUGAUUUACAAGCUGAAUUCCUCAAGAAAUUUUUUCCUACUCAUAGAACAAAUGGCUUGAAAAGGCAAAUUUCAAACUUCUCAGCUAAAGAGAAUGAGAAAUUCUAUGAGUGUUGGGAAAGAUACAUGGAAGCUAUAAAUGCUUGUCCUCACCAUGGCUUUGAUACUUGGCUACUGGUGAGUUAUUUUUAUGAUGGUAUGUCCUCCUCAAUGAAGCAACUCCUCGAGAAAAUGUGUGGAGAAGAUUUCAUGAGCAAAAAUCCAGAGGAAGCUAUGGAUUUCUUGAGCUAUGUAGCUGAUGUUUCAAGGGGAUGGGAUGAACCAACUAAAGGAGAAGUGGGAAAGAUGAAGUCUCAGUUGAAUGCUUACAAUGCAAAGGCUGGGAUGUAUACUUUAAAAGAGGAUGAUGACAUGAAAGCAAAGUUGGCAGCUAUGACAAGAAGAUUGGAGGAGCUGGAGCUGAAAAGAAUGCAUGAAGUGCAAGCUGUUGCUGAAGCACCAGUGCAAGUGAAGUUGUGUCCCAAUUGUCAAUCGUUUGAACAUUUGGUAGAGGAAUGCCCUGCAAUUUCAGCUGAAAGGGAAAUGUAUAGAGAUCAAGCAAAUGUUGUUGGACAAUUCAGGCCCAAUAACAAUGCUCCUUAUGGAAAUACCUACAAUUCAAGUUGGAGGAAUCAUCCAAAUUUUUCAUGGAAGGCCAGAGCAACUCAAUACCAACAGCCGGAUCCACCAUCUCAACAAUCUUCAAGUAUUGAACAAAUAAUAGCUAAUCUCAGCAAGGUAGUGGGAGAUUUUGUGGGAAAGCAAGAAGCCACCAAUGCUCGAGUGGAUCAAAGAAUGGACAGAGUGGAUCAAAGAAUGGACAGAAUGGAGAGUAUGUUGAACAAAAGAAUGGAUGGAAUGCAAAAUGAUAUGAAUCAAAAAUUUGAUAACAUCCAAUAUUCAAUUUCAAGGCUUACAAAUUUGAAUACACUGCAAGAAAAGGGAAGAUUUCCUUCUCAACCUAACCAAAAUCCCAAAGGUGUCCAUGAAGUGGAAAGCCAUGAGGGAGAAUCAUCACAGGUGAAAGAUGUGAAAGCUUUGAUCACUCUAAGGAGUGGUAAGAAAAUUGAGCAGCCAACACCCAAGCCACAUGUUGAGAAAGAAGAAGAGAUGAAGAAAGGGAAGGAAAUGGAAGAUAAAGGCAGUGAGAUCAGUGAAGAAAAGAAGGACUCUGAUGCAACAAUGAAAGUAAUUCCAGAGAAGGAGCUUCUGAAGGAAGAAAUGCUGAAGAAAUCAACUUUUCCACCUUUUCCUCAAGCAUUACAGGGGAAAAAGGGGGUUAGAAAUGCAGCUGAAAUCCUAGAAGUAUUGAGGCAAGUGAAAGUUAAUAUUCCACUGCUGGAUAUGAUCAAACAAGUUCCAACGUAUGCAAAAUUCCUAAAGGACUUGUGUACUAUCAAAAGAGGGUUGACUGUAAACAAGAAAGCCUUCUUGACUGAGCAAGUAAGUGCAAUCUUACAGUGUAAGUCUCCUUUGAAGUACAAAGACCCUGGAAGUCCUACCAUUUCAGUCAUGAUUGGAGGAAAGGUAGUGGAGAAAGCCUUGCUAGACUUGGGAGCAAGUGUGAAUUUGCUUCCAUAUUCUGUCUACAAGCAACUGGGACUUGGAGAGUUGAAGCCAACAGCAAUCACUUUGUCUCUGGCAGAUAGAUCAGUGAAAAUUCCAAGAGGGGUAAUUGAGGAUGUAUUGGUUCAAGUAGAUAAUUUCUACUAUCCUGUAGAUUUUGUUGUUCUUGAUACAGAUCCUACUGUAAAGGAAGCUAAUUUAGUUCCUAUCAUCCUUGGAAGGCCAUUUCUUGCAACUUCAAAUGCAAUCAUCAACUGUAGAAAUGGGCUUAUGCAACUCACUUUUGGUAACAUGACACUGGAUCUAAAUAUUUUCUAUAUGUCUAAAAAGCAAAUCACUCCAGAAGAAGAAGAGGGUCCAGAAGAGCUAUGUAUUAUUGAUACUUUGGUGGAGGAGCACUGCAAUCAACAUAUGCAAGAUAAGUUGAAUGAAAGUUUUGUGGAUAUUGAGGAAGGUUUUUCUGAAUCUCCUAAUGGGCUUGCUACUCUACAAAGUUGGAGAAAGAUAGAAGGAAUUCUACCUUUGUUCAAUGAAGAAGAGGAGGCAGCUGUUGAAAAAGAAAUUCCAAAACUCAAUCUGAAGCCUUUACCUAUGGAGCUGAAAUAUACAUAUCUUGAAGAAAAUAAUCAAUGUCCUGUCGUAAUAUCUUCAUCUCAAACCAAGUCUCAAGUGAAGGAUGCAAGCUUCAAAUGGGAUCCGGGCAAACUGAAUCAGGAAGGGCAAAAAGUUUUGAUGUAUGACACAAGACUCCAUAUCUUUCCUGGGAAGCUCAAGUCAAGGUGGAUUGGUCCAUUUGUUAUUCACCGAGUAUAUUCCAAUGGAGUGGUGGACUUAUUGAAUUCCAAUGGCAAGGACAGCUUUAGAGUCAAUGGAUAUCGUCUUAAGCCGUUCAUGGAGUCAUUCAAAUCAGAAAAGGAGGCAAUCAACCUCCUUGAACCUCAAAAAGCCUAAGUGAAAUGGGUUUGCUGGACGUGGUUUUACCACAGUCCAAAAAUUUUUGUAAAUUUUGUAAAUUUUCAAGUUGUUUCCAUGCUUUUAAUCUUAGUUUUUGAUUUUAAAUCAUGUUUUUAGGUGUGUUUUAAUCGUUUUAUAUGAUCCCAGGCGGAAGAAAUUUCAAGGGGAUUGAAAAGAAAAAAAUCGGGUCGAAAUUGGAGCCGAAACAGAGCAAAAACAGGGGAAAAACAGAGCUCUGCGAAAUUUCGCAGGGUGAAGGAAACUUCUGCGAAAUUGGCAUUUUGCUGCCAAACCAUUCCGCAGCACUGUAGAAGCCUCUGCGAGUGUAUUUCGCAAUUGCGAAAGUGGAUUUGGCACACGAGUGCCACUUCGCAGCACAGUGACAUCAAUUUCGCAGCUGCGAAACUCACUGCGAAGUUGCUGCGAAAAUGGCAAGUUGCUGCGAAAUUGGCGUUUUGUUGCGAAACGUAAUCUGACCCCUGGGCUUCCGUUUUUCCUAUUUAUACCUGUCAAAAGUGCUGCGAAAAAGGUUUCAAAAAUUAGAGCACCAUUCUCGCAGCCCUUUCAUCUUCUUCGCCAAGCCACGCCGUCCGUUUCUCCGGUCGUCUUCUCCGUUUAGCAGCGCCGGCCAAAGAUCGAUAGCCCAAAAAUGGCACGAACGCGAGGGGCAAAGUCUUCAUCCCCUUCGAACCGCAAAAGGAGUCUGCGAAAGGAGCCAAGUUCAGGCUCUGUUCCAGAACCUGCUCCAAAGCCUUCGCCGUCGAGACCACAACCUUCUCCAGUGAAGCCGGCGCCACCAAAGCCGCCGGCAAGGCGAUAUUUAACCAGGUCAGGUGGUCAGCCAUUGAAGAAGAAAGCCAGAGUUGAGAGCUCUGAACCAAUCGAUUUGACUGAGCAAUCCCCUGAGAAAUCACCAAAUCCUUCACCGGUACAAAUUCCAGUGCCAUCACCGGUUCCCUCGCCAAUUCCCUCACCAGAAGCAACUCCAAUUCCAUCGCCGGUACCAUCUCCGGCACCCCAAGAAAAAGCUCAGGAGCCUCAAGCGCCAAUUCCAGAGCCCCAAAUUGCAGCUGAAGCACCUCUGGAAGAAGUGAUCCGAAGGCCAAUGCUGCCUCAGCCCCCAAUCGAAGGAAACCUGGAUUGCCGAACUCGGGCAUUCCAUUCUGAGCUUUGCUUCGAUUUAACAGCAUUCAGAGUGAGGCCAGAGCUUGCCCAAUCCUUCCAACUGCUGAGGAGAUAUCAUAUGGAGCAUCUGCUAGCUCCAAGGGAUUUUUUCUAUCCCCGGGUAGUCACGGAUUUCUACCAAACCAUGACAACCAAAGAAGUAAGAAAUCCAACUCUGAUUCAUUUCAUAAUUGAUGGAAGGCAUGGUAUUUUGGGAGCAAGACAUAUUGCUGAAGCCCUGCAAAUUCCUUUUGAGCCAACUCAAUUCGACAAUUUUAAAGCUUGGACAAAUCCUACUGAGUUAGAGAUGGUUAGCACACUAACCAGAGGAGCUGCAAAUCGAUCGCAUUUGUUGAGGGGGGAGCUACCUCCAGUUAUGUUUUUGAUUGAUGCCUUUUUGAGGCAUAAUAUCUAUCCCCUGCAGCAUUGGACCCAAAGAAGGGGAAUUCUCCUAGAAGCCUUGUACAAAAUGUCUGAAGGAUUCUUCUUUGGGCCUCAUCAUCUGAUCAUGGCAGCCCUUCUAUACUUUGAGGAGAAGGUUCACAAGAAGAAGCUUCAAAGAGCAGAUUGCAUUCCACUCCUCUUCCCAAGGCUGCUAUGCCAAGUUUUGGAGCAUCUCGGAUACCCCUCUGAGCCUCAGCAGGAAAGAAAGAGAAUAUGCCGUGAGCCUUUUACCCUUGAUAAAUGGAAUAAUAUGACGGCCUACAAAAUUGAUCAGCCUGGGCAGCCUCAGCCAGCAGCAAGGAGAGUCUCCCCAAGACAUAUACCUGAAGGUAUAACACUUGCUACUCCUGCCAUCCCUCGAGCUCCACCAGCUGCACCUGCUCCAUCACAGCCAUCCACAUCAGCUGAGCCGAGGAUGGCCAUCCCUAUAUCCGAAUAUCGAGAGCUGUGCCGUGCAUUGGAGACUCUUACAGCUUCUCAGAGCAAUCUUGCUCAGGAGUUGGCAGCCAUUAAAGCAUGCCAGGAGCAGAUGUUAGCCUCUCAGACUCAACAAGCUGCCAUCCUAAGGCAGCUUCAAGUCCAUUUCGAUCUGCCACAAGCUGUAGAGCCCUCUAUUCCUACUCCACCAGAGCCACACUCUCAGCCUUCAGAGUCUCAUCCUCCAGAACCCGAAGCACCAGCUGAUCCACCUACUGAGGAGGCAGAUCCUUCUGCCUAGCACCAUCACCCCCCUCAUCAGACAUUAUAUAUAUAUUUGCUGUUUAUGUUUUUAUGCAUGUUUGUUUUGUUUUAGUUGAAAAGAAAUCCCAGUAUUUUGGUACUAUAUAUGGGAUUCCUUGUGUUACUUGUCUUUAGUAUUGUAAUCACAUGAACUCAAAGUAAUACAAGUUGACUAUUUCUUGUUAAAAGUUAGCAUUAAAGUUUCCUUAUUUCCUUUUCUCACAUAUUCUAUUCUUUUUGAAACAUGUGGUUUUCCCCAAUCAAUAUUCGAAUUUGAUAUCAGCAUGGAGGUACCACUUCCUCCCUUUUAUUACAGUCACUCAAAUCACAUUGAGGACAAUGCUCAGUUCGGUUGGGGGGUAUGAGGAAGGAAGUAUUCUAAACCUUUUUGGUAUUGCAAUUAUAUUGGUUAAUUAGUUGUAGAUUUUACUUUUUACUAGUGUUACUCUAUUCUCCAUGAAUUUUGAGGAAAAAUUUUCAAAUUAAACCAAGAGAAAUUGAACUGUUGUUUUUCACUUGACUUAGAGUAUGGAUUAUGCUUACUAAAGUGGUUCAAUUGUUGAAACUUCUACUGAAAUUGAAUUGAGUUCUUCCACUUUAAGCUAUCCACACACUGUGCACAUUAGUUUCCGAUUAUAAGAUGAAAAGCUAUUUCCCUCUUGACUUAGUAUAUUUUUGGGACUUGGUAUAUUUGACCUCAUUUGAUAAAAAUUGAAACACCCUGCAAAAGGCCAAUGAGCCUUUGAAAUAAAGAAAGUUGUUUGCUUGCCUUGAAACCCGAGCAAGGUCUGAGGGGUAUAUGGUGAAAAUCUUUAAAGCCUGGUGCCCUAAGCCUUAAUUGGUUGGGAGUCACCGACCUCAAUGCUCGUUACAAGGGUGAAUAGGUAGAGUUAGCAUAUGGUAGAUGCUUGGGUAUUAGAAAUUCAUUCUUAAAAGUCCGGGGAAAAAUCCGAGGAGUUAGUGGUUGAAAGAUCCUUAAAACUUGGUGCCCUAAACCUUAAUUGGUUGGGAGUCAUCGAUGGACCCCCAUUACAUGGACAAGUCAGAAAGAGUACCCCAUAAAGCUACCUUAAAAAAAAAAAAAAAAAAAAAAAAAAAAAAAAAGAUGAAAGUGUGUUCUUUUCUUAUUGAUUUUGGUCAGUUUGCUAAAGUGUUGAAAAGAGAUAGGUUGGGGGGUGAGAUUAGUAGCAUAUUAUUCUCGGAACCUAAGGAACCAAUACACAUAGAUUUUUGUGGAAGAUUGAAGUUUAGUUCUUAGAAAAUGAAAUGAUUUUAAAACUUCAGUUUGCAUAAUGCACUCCCUUGAUUGACAGUGUUUAGCAUAGGUGUUAUGACUCUUGUUGAGAUUUGGGUUUGUAUUUCUUUAAUGAUUCAUGUGAGAAAUAGAUCAUCAUGCCACUUGAGAAUUAUUUUCCUUUUAGCAUGAUGUUGUAAAUUUUAGAUUAGUUUGCUAUUUAUUUUUUAUUUUCUCUCCUAUAUUGCUAAGGGACUAGCAAUAUGUCGGUUGGGGGGAGUGAUUACUACUCAAAAAGUGCUAUUUGAUAGCCUUUAAUUAAUCCUUUUUAACACUUUUGAGUAGUAGUUUAGGCCUUUUAACUCAAUUGGCAUGUUAAGGAUCCUUUAAAGCAAUUUUGAUCACUUUGUGCAAGUUUUGGUGUUUUUGUUAGUAUUUUGAUCACCAAAGCAAGUCAAGAAUGAGGAGAACUAUGAGGAAUCAUGGGCAAAGCUUAGAAUUCAAUUGCCAAGAGUGAAUCCGGAUUGCAAGGAGAAAAAGCAAAGAGAAUCUGUCAUGAAGCCUAUUCUUGAUGACAGUCGUAGCAGCCACUUUUGGAGCACUUUCUGAAGUCCAAAUGAUGCAAGCUAUAUACCAUUUCAAAGCUCAGGAAGUCAACAAUCCAAUGCUUCAAACGGUGCGCGAUUCGGAGUUGAAACGAAGAAGUUGCAGCCAUUACAAGCCAGUCACUCUAAAGUGUUGCGGAAUCAGCCUUUUGUUGCGAGAAUUUCGCAGCACUUUUGUACAGUAAGGUGUUUCUCCUUCUGACGAUGCACGAACCAUGCCGCGAGAGGGAAGCUAGGAACUUCAAGAUGGAAGCCAACUUUGCAGCCUGGUGAAGAUAGCUUGGUCUUGCGAAAUAAUUUCGCAGCCCUCUUGGGUGUCUGCGAAAUUUCGCAGGCACCACUUUUUUCCUGCGAAAUGGCUCCGGAAGCCUCCCGAAGCUUGCUACCGACAUUGGGAGAUAUUUUCCAUUAGAUUUUUGUUGUCUAAAUUCCAAAAUACUCCUUGUAAACCACCAAUUACAUGAUUCCUUAGUUUUUAAGUUAGUAAAAAGACCAAAUAUCUAUGUAAUAAUUAGUUUUAUAUUAGUUUGCUAUAAAUACCUCUCGGGAGCAUGUUCUCAGAGAGGAGUUCCUUCUGUAACCAUUUUGGUAAGCAAGUAAAGUCUUUUCUUUCUACUGCCUUACCUUCUCACUUUGUAUUUUCAUUUUAUUUCUAAGUUAUGAAUUCUCUGAGGAGCUUUCCCCAGAGAAUGAGUAACUAAACCUCCAAUUCCUUGGAGCUAAGGUUGCCGGGGAAGGUUCCAAGUGCAAGAAUGCAAAGCUCUGUGGUUUUAGCUAGUAAUGAAGAGGAAGUGAAAUCCUUUAGUGAUUUCAAUGUUUUUAGUUAACUUAAAACACCUUGGAGUCACCUGGGCCAACACUUGGUAAGGCAAGUGAUUUCCAACCGUGGAAAUGCACUAGUUUACCCCUUGCGAGCCUCUGGUAGGUGACUUCAAGGUAGGAUUUUCUGGAAUUACCAACACUUGGUAAGCUUUUGGACUCCUAGGAGACAUCCAUUAGUUAUCUCUUGCGAGUUUGUGAAGGGGAAUCCAAGGUUAAAGAUCACCUUGAAUGGUAAGUGCUCGUGAGAGGCAUGAACCAUUGCAAGUUGUAUCAGUGAGAGAAUUAAAGUGAAAUCUAAUUGAAGGAGUCUCUGUACAUCACCGGUUAGAGAAUUGACUAUAAGUUGAAUCUCUAAUGCGAGGAAAUGAACCAUCUGACCGGAGCUAUGUCUUUUGCAUGAGGAACCACCCCAGUGAACCUAAAUCUCCAAGGAAUGCUUUUCUUCCUAAAUUAUUCCAAACUUCUGUUAAGUUAGUUAGUUUAAGUCUAAACCUUUACCAAUCAAACUUUGUGUUUUAUUCCUUAAGCUAACCGUGAAAUGAAACAAAACCAAUUCACUUGGAAUUGGUAUCCUUGAUUGCUUGCAAAUCAUUCCCAGUGAACGAUCCUUAGAGCCACUAUACUAUAGUAGCUUUGUAUUUGCUACCCUAGUGUAUGGUGUUAUAGGUAUAAAUUUUGUUGAUCACUUCCUCAAUCAAGGAACACCAGCUGAACACAAAUCAGCUGAGACACCAAUUGGGCAUGAGUCAGUGCGUUAGAGGAUCAAGAAGAAGAAAAAGAAGGAACUGUUGGAAUUAGUAUGAGUGUGAAGAGAAAAGUAUAUAAAUAAGGGGAAGUAAAAGCAAAGUUCAAAAAGCUAUAUUUUUUUAUUGUUGGUGUAUGGUUGCAUGAUUAUCCCUAUAAAUAAUAGGAGUUUUUUGGUAUUCUACUAGUAGUUGAAGCAUAAUUUCAUAAAUUAAUAUUUAGAGCGGGGUGGGGUGAGUUGUGACAAAAUUCAUACCCGUCCCAAACCUUGGUUCAGAUUUUUAAAAUAUUCUCAAACUUAUCAUAUACCCAACUUUUAUAUUUCAUACUUGUCCUAAUAGAGGCACGUUAGGCCGGGUUACUUGAGUAACCUACAUAAUUGUCAUCCCUAGUUGAAAUACACUUUUUGGCAGUGGCCACCAACUGAGCUAGAAGCUUGAUUGAUUGACCUACAAGAUUAGUUCUCAUCAUUUUAAAAAAAGUUCUGGCUUUGGUUGUGAGUGCAAUUGAAUCUAAACUGGCAUUUGCUUAAUGCAUCUACUUCAAUCCUAAACUUCUUACUUCUUAAGCCUCAAUUGUUGUUAGGAUUUUGGAAAACCCAUUUCCUUAAAUUGUAAAUUUAAGAUAAAAUAAAAUAAAAGUGAGACAUUUCUUGAUUGAAUAUUGUUAAAGGUCCCUUGGCAUUAAGACUUGGUUGAAGCCUUGGAAGAUUAGUGGAACUCUCAACAUGUGUUUGAAUCUUGAGGAGAGUGGAUGUAAGCCAAAAUUUUGUCAAACCAUUAUACAAAUUGAGUUUGAAUCCUCAUUUCUUGAUUUCUUAUUUAUUUGCUUUUUCUUAUUAUUACUUGAAUUGUCAUUUGCAUUCAUUAAUGUUAAAAUUGGUUAUAAUUAACCAACACUAAUUCUCUUUCCCCUUCCCUUUCUUGGGUGUAAACCUAGGUUGGAUUAACUAGAUAAAUCUAUUAAGAUGGUAAAAGAAUAAUUAUUCUUAACAUACAUAAGAUCAUCUUCAAUCAAAUGACUCAUUGGCUAAUAUGUUGAAUUUGCUUAUUACUUGCAACUCAAAAUUGUGUUCUAGUUGUGUCAAGUCCCCAGUGUAUGGACAUUAAAUUUGUAGUACGUGAUGAGUAAUUAGAUGGUCCAACUCCAAGAAAGUGAUUGAAAAGUAGUUCAAGAAAGGUGCAAAAGGGAAUUGUUUUGGUAUUUUCGUUUUUAUUCUUGAAGGUGGCAGAGCUAAAAUUUGAGAAAUCAAGCAAAACAUACUGAAAUUACAUUGAAAGAAAGAAGAUGGGAGUUAAUGUCUUGCAGUACAUGAUAAGGACUUCAUGCAUGUAGUGUGACCCAUGUCUUGGACUGAUGCCAACUCACGGUUACACUUAUACCCUUGGUUCUCUCUUUACUACCUUGGCUAACCUAGAUCAGGCUAUGAGAUAGGCUCCUCACCACACCAUUACUUGCCCAUUAAUUAGAGACAUUUUCAAGCAAUGAGGUAACAUGGUGACACCAAGAGGGUCUAUUCCUCGCCCGGAACAAGUCUAGACUUGGUCUCAAAAAAAUGGAGAAAAAUGAGGUGUCGUUAUGUAGAAAUACAACAACCAUGCCUUCCUCAUUACUUAGAUUCAGAAUGUGAAGGUGAAAUUGAGAAACAGAAACUCUUGAAACCAAAAUGAAAAUUGAUACUUUUACGAAGAAUUACAACAACAUUAGAGGAAGACUACAUUCUUCCUCUUUAUUCCUACAUUUCUACACUACUUCUACUCCACUCCAUAUUUCUACAUACAUCUUUAAUCAGUCUUCCCUCCUUUAUAUAGAGCCAUCUUCACACAAAUUUCGCAAGGUAGAAAAGAGGAAUGAAACUUGGAGCAAGGUUCGACUACUGGUUGUAGCUUGUCAAGGCUGGAAGUGAACUUUUCUUGGCUUUCUGGGCAUGGGUAGUAACUUGUGGGUUCCUGUUUGGCAUAAAAAUGGCUAGAACAUGUGGCACUAUCUUGUUGGAUGAUGUGUCAAGCAUGUGGCAGCCAUCUAGUGGCGAUUAUGUCAAUUUUGGGAUGGAGAGUUGGCAUCCAAUUGCAAAGAAAUAUGACGUCUACCAACAUGCAAUGUAAACCUAUGUAGAUCAUAUGAAGAUAGAGAGGAAAAAUAUAGAAAUGGAUAUAUACCUAGAACUAGCUUUUUAUUAAAUGAAACGGAGAGACAACAAUGAAGGAAAAUAAAAUUUUUUGGCUUAUAUCAAAGAGUUCACAUUGUGUUACCCUAGGUUUUCUUAAAACUUACUUUUAUGAUAACAAAAAAGAAAAAACCAUUAUUGUUUAAUCCUUUGUUUUAAACGCAUGUAAGGUGUAAUUAAGUUAGUUCAAUGCAUUAAUUUAAGAAACUUGACCUAUCAAAAGUACAAAAUUAGAUGAAAUCCAUUUCAAUGGUUAAAAUGAUCAAAAUCAAACUUUUUCUAAGUAUUUUUUAAAAGCAUCAAUAGUGAAAGACAAUUUUAUAUUUAGUCGGAGUUUGGACAAAACUGAAAAACACACAAAAUCCAAGCGACCAUCUCUAGCUUGGAUGGUCGCUUGAUCCCACCUAGAGAUGUGCAUGAGUAAAAGGAUUUGAAAAUGGAAAUUGACUAUGUAGUCGAUCAAUUAACUUUGCAACAUCAUAUGCAAUCCUAAUUGCUAGUCAUCUAAUCAAUUAGGUAGUCAAUCAACAGGCCAAAAAUAUGUUUAUAAUGACUAUUUUGUACAAAAACCACCUGUAUAGUUAAAUAUAAUGCAUUUCAUUUAUAAAUCUUCUAAUUCUUGAAUAACGAUCCUAUCAUCCUUUGAAAGUUUUUAUUACACUUUUUUUACUUUUGUUCUAAAACUUACACAUCACCCUUAAUUGUACCAUGAGAACCUAGCUAUUUUUUAUUUUUUUUUUUGUAAUUCAUCAAAGUUAGCUUUUGUAUUCAUUGUUGUAUUAUUUUUAGUAUAACUUAGAAAGCUAGUGUUUUCAAGUGAGUAAAAUUAACUUGUAAAUAUUGUAAAGAUUCAUCGACAUGUAUCUUAAACUAAGUGUACAAGUUAAAACAUUUGCUAGUAGAUUUUCUCAAAAUUUAGAAUAGAGCUUGAGACUAUUGAAAUAGGUGGGGUUGCACCAAACCACAUCACAUCGUUGUUUGCACCUUUUUUCACUCUCUUUUACUUAGUUGCUCUAUAUUUGUUGUCUAGUAAUAUCCUAUAGGCUUGAUGGGUUAGGGAGCAUCCCUUUGUGAAAAAAUUUUAUUCAAUCCUUAGUUGUAUCACGCAUAUAUAAAAUGCCUCAUUGUUUUAAUGGUAUUCAGUCGUGGCAUCACAGAUAUGGGCAUCUAAAUUUUAAAAGUUUGAAACUUUUAUCUAAAGAAAAUAUGGUGCUUUGCCUUUUUGUAAAGCAUGUUGAUGAAAUCCAUGAGAAUUGUGUACUUGGGAAGCAACACCGAGAUGACUUUUUUUUUUUUUUUAUAAUAUUGUUUGUCCAAAUUCCCUACAAAUUAGGCCACCAGAUGUUCAUAAUUCUCCCUUCUUGAAUUUGAAAACUCGGACAAUUGGACAAUGCGACACCUAAGUCCGGUUUCUAAAUGCUAAAGUGAAAGGGUAGGUAUGGACCAUUGAAAUGUGAUCACAACUUUUCUCUGUAGCCAUGUUGUCUCUUUUUUCUUUUGCAUGAUUUUCUUACCUUAACAGAAUCAUAGACUUGUUUAGUCUCUAAAUGGGAUUAAUUUCAUCCAGCUUUAAGCUACUAUAUUAUAUCUAGGUGGAGGACUUUUAAGAGUGCAACCGACAUAGAGCACAUGGAAGUGGGUAUAUGGGACAUGAAAUUUCUUCUUAUAAAGAUUGCAUGAUUUUUAUAUUAGAGUUGUUGAGGCGCUAUGUAUUUAGCUUGUUUUGCAGUUAAAUUAAUUGGAUAAGUAGACAUUGGCGUUUCUAAAUCUACUGUGAAGUGCUUCAUGUACGUGUGAAGUAUUAGAAAUUUCUUUCUUGGCAACUUGUUUUUCUUUGCGGUCUACUGAUAGGUUUGACUAAAAUUAUAUUCCCUGUCAUGCUAAUUAAUUUUCACGUGCAUGCUCAAAAGAAAAGUAUGACCUUAGUGCACCAAAAUCACUUUGAUUAAUUUGUGAUAGGUUUUUGUGCAUCAUGACAUUAGCCUUAUUCAUUUAGAUAAUGUUUAGUUUUUAGAAAGUAUUAAGAAAAGGAAAAUAAAUAUUAAGAAAAAUAUUCUUAUAUUUGAUUGUAUUAUGAAAAAUAUCAUAAAAAAAUCAAAUAUAAUUUAAAUUAAUUAAUAAUUUAUACAUUUUCAAAUUAUUUAAUCUUUAUAUUGAAGAUAUAAUAUAAAUGAAAUGAGUUUUAAGUAUUAUAUAAAAGUGAUUUAUUGAUCUUACAUAUAUAUAUUUCUUUUUUUUUUCCUUCUAUUUUUUCUCUUUAUUUUAUUUUCCUUAUGUUUUCCUCAACAUUUUCCGGAACCAAACAUAGCCUUAGGAAAUCCACAAUUACCUUCAACUGAGUAGAUUCUGUUGUUUUAGCAAUGUUAGGCUGCUAACUUGUGUUGGUACGAACCUAUUAAGCCUAAAGAUGUAAUUAGUUAGGAUAUUCUUUUCCCUCUAGUCUUGUAGCUCCACGUGUACAGUUGGUUAGGACCUCAUUGUAUAUAAUGCUUGCCCUGUUAUUGUAGAAGACAACAAAGAUAAAUAAUAUUAACAUUUUUCCUCUCAUCUCUCUCUGUUUCCCUCUGUUUUCAUCUCCUCUCUCAUCUUGGUAUCAGAGCCUCCAUGGCUUCUUUCAAAGAAACCUCCGAAUCACCUUCUGCUAGCAUUGUUAAUGUGCAAAACCCAUUAUCUCAAUCAAACAACCUUCCUUCACCAGUAGCCACACCCUCUUUUUCUUUCUCGUCUAUGAAUCAACCUCUCACAGUGAAGCUGGAUAAUGGGAACUACCUCAUAUGGAAGAAUUAGCUUCUAAAUGUCAUCAUUGCUAACGGACUCGAUGAUUUCAUUGACGGAUCUCGACCCUGCCCUCCUCGAUUUCUCGAUCUGCAACAACAAACCCUCAAUCCAGAGUACUCAGCUUGGCAGAGAUACAAUCGACUUCUGAUGAGUUGGCUGUACGCAUCCUUGUCCAAAGAUAUAAUGGCUCAGAUUGUUGGGUAUUCAACAGCUAUGGAGAUUUGGAAUGCCCUUAAUCAGAUUUACUCUGCCUCUUCUAUGGCGCGGUUUACUGAGCUUCGCACCAAGCUUCAAACGCUCAAGAAAGAUGGACUCUCAGUUGGUGAAUAUAUUCAAAGGCUCAAAUCCAUUUGCAAUAGUCUUGCAGCAAUAGGAGAACCAGUUUCUGAGAAAGACCAUCUUAUCUAUUUGUUCAAUGGAUUAGAUUGUGAGUAUUAUUCUUUUGUUACCUCCAUUCAAAAUCGAUCUGACCAACCAACUAUUGACAAAAUCCAUAGCCUAUUGCUUAGCUAUGACUUCCGGCUUGAACAACAAAACUCUGUUUCUCUCCAUUCUGCCCAAGUCCAUAUGGCUCAUCUGAACAAGAAACCUUAUAAAUCAACUCCUCAACCUACAUUCAAUCAUAUUCACAUUCAACCUAGAUACUCUUCUCCACCUUUUAAGCCAACCACUAGUCAAUAUCAACCCAACAUUUUGGGCAAACCACAACCACAACCAUGACAGCCUCAACCUCAAUGGAAACCACAUUUUUCAAUCUAAAAUCAAAAGCCUCAGCGCCAAAUUUGUGGUAAAUUUGGACACACUGCUCUUAUUUGCUUCCAUCACACAAAUUUGAACUAUUCACCCCAACCUUCUCCUAAAUCUUUCAAUACUGUUCUCACCACAAAUUCCCAGCUCCCUAAUCCUCCAAAAUUUUCUUACCCUACAAUGGCUCAUCCUGCUGCUACGCAUAACACGGUUCCCGAUACAAAUUGGUACAUGGACUCAGGUGCUACACAUCACUUUACUCUGGACAUCAACGUGCUUGACACUGUGACACCAUUUAGUGGUUCAGAACAGGUGACAGUUGGGAAUGGUAAGCAACUCUGUAUCUCACAUCUUGGUACUGCAAAACUACCAUCUUCGUAUUCUCCUCCUGUUCUACAUCAGGUAUAUCACACUCCAAAAAUUUCAAAUAAUCUUAUUAGUGUUAAAAAAUUGUGUUCUGAUAAUAAAGUUUUUGUUGAAUUUUAUGCCACUCAUUUUCUUGUCAAGGAUCAGGUUUCGAAGAGAGUUCUCCUUUAGGGUCAACUUGAUAAUGGCUUAUACAAAGUUCAGUCGUCAUGCUCUCCUUCUGCUGUUUCCUUUCCUCCUCAAGUUUUCAUAGCCAACAUCAAGUAUCCAAAUCUGUGGCACAAGAGACUAGGCCACCCAGCUUUAUCUGUUGUUAAUCAAAUCUUGGAUUCUUGUAACAUUGCUCGAACACAGAAAAUUUGUUUUAAUUUUUUAAAUUCUUGUCAAUUAGCAAAGAGCCACAGGCUUCCUUUUUCUCUGUCUCCAUCCAUUGCAGAAAAACCUUUUGAGUUAAUUCAUACAGACCUAUGGGGUCUUUCGCUCGUUCGCUCUAUUUCUGGUGCUCUUUAUUUUUUACUUUUCAUUGAUGAUCAUACUCGUUUUACUUGGUUUUAUUUGCUCAAAACAAAAGAUGAAGCAUAUCCUACUUUUCUCAAGUUUCAAGCUCUCAUUGAAAAUCAAUUUAAUACCAAGAUUAAGGCUGUCCAAUCUGAUUGGGGAGGUGAGUUUCGAUCUCUCUCCAUACCGUUUUCAAAUAUGGGCAUUGUCUAUUGUUUAUCGUGUCCAUACACCUCACAACAGAAUGGGCGAGUUGAGCGAAAAAAUCGCCAUGCGAUUGUCCUUUCUUGCUUGCUCUAUGCCCUUAUCUUAUUGGCCUUAUGCCUUUCAAACUGCCACUUACCUUAUUAAUCGUCUCUCUACCCCUGUGCUGCAUCAUCAAUCCUCUUACUUCGCACUCUAUCACAAACUCCCAACUUAUACUCAUCUUAAGGUCUUUGGUUCCUCUUGUUUUCCGUAUUUGCACCCUUAUAAUACCCAUAAACUCCAAUACAGGUCACUAGAGUGUGCUUUUCUUGGUUACAGUUCACACCACAAAGGUUAUCUAUGUCUUGACAUUCAUUCUAGCAGGGUGUAUAUUUCUCGCCAUGUGAUUUUUAAUGAAGAUUCUUUUCCAUUCAAGAAUUUGAAAUCUUCUCUCUCUCAGUCUAUUUCUUCUUCCUCUUCUUUAUAAGUUCCUCUGUUCAUUCUCUUGCCUCCCCUUUCCCCAUCUCCUCUUAUUUCUUCAUCUAUACCUCAUUCUUUUCCCUCUUCUUCUUCUACCUCUAGUACUUGUUCCCCUCUCGUUGCUCCUACCUCUCUUCCUUCCUCUUCACACUCUGUGUCUCCAUCUAUUCCACCUCCUUCUCCACCUUCUCCGAGUGUGGACCUGCUUGCACCUUGUGUGAAUACAAAUUUACAUACUUCUUCUCGCACUCACAAUAUUCAUCCUAUGGUGACUAGAUCUAAGGUUUGUAUCUAUAAACCUAAGUUGUUGUUGAGUGUCUCCAUAGGUUCUCUCACUAAGCCUACUUCCUUUCUUCAAGCUAUUAAAGAUCCUUCAUGGAAGCAAUCCAUGGAAUUCGAGUUUGCUACCCUUCAACACAACAAGACCUGGCAUUUGGUUCCUUCACCUUCCUCAGGCGAAGUAAUCGGUUGUAAAUGGGUCUAUAAGCUAAAGCUUCAGCCUGAUGGCUAAAUUGAGAGAUACAGCCUGCUUAGUAGCUAAGGGUAUCAUCAAAUUGAAGUAUGGACUACUUCGAAACAUUCAGCCUGAUNNNNNNNNNNNNNNNNNNNNNNNNNNNNNNNNNNNNNNNNNNNNNNNNNNNNNNNNNNNNNNNNNNNNNNNNNNNNNNNNNNNNNNNNNNNNNNNNNNNNAGCUUCAGCCUGAUGGCUAAAUUGAGAGAUACAAGGCCUGCUUAGUAGCUAAGGGUUAUCAUCAAAUUGAAGGUAUUGACUACUUCGAAACAUUCAGCCUGAUUGUCAAGCUUUCUACUAUCUGUAUUGUGCUCAGUCUUACUUUUUCCCAGAAUUGGUGUAUUAGACAGCUGGAUGUUCAUAAUGCCUUCUUACAUGGUGACUUAGCUAAAGACGUUUUCAUGGAACAACUGCCUGGAUUUGUUGAUCCUCUCUAUCCUACUCAUGUCUGCAAGUUGGAUAAGUCUCUCUACUGUCUUAAAUAGUCACCUCGGGCUUGGUAUACUAAGCUGAGUACUUCUCGCUACACUUGGGAUUUGUUACUUCUAAGAAUGACUCUUCCUUAUUUAUUUGUCAUUCGUCUCAUGGGUUACUUCUUGUUCUUGUCUAUGUGGAUGAUAUAAUCGUCAUUGGGAGCCACUCUCCUCAGGUUACUCACCUUAUCCAACAGUUGCAUCAUUAGCUUUCUUUAAAGGAUCUUGGUCCUUUACAUUAUUUUCUGGGCUUGGAGGUUCAUCACACCCCUACUGGUAUUCACCUCAGCCAAGCAAAGUAUAUCACUGAUCUCCUUACCCGGGCGGCUAUGUUGGAUGCCAAGCCAUGUCCCACUCCUAUGUCCUCCAACACAUAUCUCUCUUUUCAUGAUGGAGUGGCUCUUGAAAAUGGUUCAGAUUAUCGAAGUUUUGUUGGUGCCCUUUAGUAUUGUACCAUGACACGCCCAGAUAUAGCUUUUGCAAUAAAUAAAGUGUGUCAAUUCAUGCACCAUCCCUCUAAUGUUCACUGGCAGGCUAUAAAACGUAUUCUCCGGUACUUAAAGGGCACAUCUCAUUUUGGUCUCUUCCUACAGCCUUCCUAUGACUUCAACAUCACUUGCUAUACAAAUGCCGACUGGGCUUCCUGUCCUGAUGACAAGUGUAGCACCAGUGGCUACUGCCUCUUUCUUGCCUCUAAUCUGGUUUCUUGGUCAUCUUCCAAACAAAAAGUGGUCUCCCGCUCCAGCGCCGAAUCAGAGUACCGAGGGGUAGCAAAUGGGGCUGCUGAAAUUGCUUGGACUGAAUCUCUUCUUUGUGAACUUUCCAUUACUCCCCCUCCCCUCAUUCUCUGUGACAAUAUCAGUGCCACGUACUUAGCUGCCAAUCCUAUUUUGCAUGCCCGCACCAAACAUGUGGAAAUCGACUAUCACUUUGUCACGGAACGUGUUCUUCAAUGCUCUCUUUUUGUCCAGUUUACACCUUCUGAUGAUCAACUUGCUGAUUGCAUGACCAAGCCUCUCUCCACCCAACGUUUCAUCACUCUACGCUCCAAGCUCACUGUUCUCACUAGACCAAUGAGCUUGAGGGGGGAUGUUAAGCCUAAAGAUGUAAUUAGUUAGGAUAUUCUUUUCCCUCUAGUCUUGUAGCUCCACGUGUACAGUUGGUUAGGACCUCAUUGUAUAUAAUGCCUGCCCUGUUAUUGUAGAAGACAACAGAGAUAAAUAAUAUUAACAUUUUUCCUCUCAUCUCUCUCUCUGUUUCCCUCUGUUUUCAUCUCCUCUCUCAUCUGAACCAAAUGAUCCAUGUUAACCUUGGCUUGGUUUGAUUUGGCUCUAUCUUAGAGAGCUCAAGGAUCACGUCAACUCUGGUUUCUACUAUUCAGGUCCAUUCCCAUAUGAACUGGUUCAAAUUUGAGAAAAUGGUAACAGACCUUUAGUGAUGUUGGUUUGGAGCCAGUUGCCAAACCCGCCCUGAGCUUUACCACUAAUGUCAAGGGAGAAAGCCAUUUGAACAAAAACAAUAGCUUCAAGGGACUGAAUCGUGGAUGAAAUCUGAUCCACAUUUCUUCUCAUUUUGGAAACAAAUGAGAACUUAACUAAGAAGAUUCUACGGCCUCAUAGUGCUUUUCCUGAUCUAAGGUUGGUUCGUUUCCCAAACUGUGAGAUGCACGUGCCAGACUUCAGAACUCUCACGCUCAGGAGUGUAUCCACGUGGUGGACAUAAGAUGGUGGCUUAAGAUCUGGUGUCGGUGGCUUUACUUUACUAGGAGAGUAGUGUGUCUUCAUCUCAUUCACUGCCGGAGGGUGGCGUAAGCAGUGACGCUAAGGUGGGGCACAGUCAAUAUCAUUUGCAUUUGACCAUUAUAGUUUUCUCCCGGCUUUAAAGUAACCUUAUCGUGAUAAAGGAUUACUAGCACUAGUUCAGAUGAUAGUCAUGUUAAAUUCGGACCAUGUUUGUGUCACAUUAUCAGCAACCAUGUGUUUAUGGUUCAUGCUUUCUGCAACUAAAAUUGAUAUAUAACCAGGUGAACUUCAAUCUAAAUUCUGAAAGUACUCAUGUGAUAGAUGGUGCCCGUCUGCAGAGUCCAUCAAUUGAAAAAUGGAGUGAGUGUAUCUAUAAGAGGGAAGGCUUGGAAAAUGUUCAGUUUUCUGGGAAUUCAACAAGGAUCUAAAAUAGAUUGUUUUCUUUGCUGAUUUCAAUGGUUGAAAUUUGAGAAGAUUGUGUCCACAUAACACAACUAUUACUGGUCCUUCUGUUGCAAUUUAUCCUCUAAAGCUCUAGCAUGUCUUCCAAUUCCCACUUCCCUGUUACUCCAGGAAAGCUAUUUCUGUCAUUGUGAAGAAGAAAAGAGAAUGUACAUAUCGAUGCUUUUAAGUGACUGGAGCAUUUAUAUCAGGUGGUCUGCAGCCAUAUAUGCCACUUUGUGAAGAUUGGAACAGUCAAUCACUAGGCUAUAUAUUAGUGUGGCCCAGCCACUUUAAUCAAGGACAAGUCUUCAUACUUAAAGUCAAAUUCUGCCUUUAGUCUCAUUAUAAAUUUCUGUUUAAAUAUUAAGCAAACAUUUGUUUAAUGCGAUUAAGACAGUACUAACUCAAUACCUGUUCUAUUUUUGGAUGCAAAUGCUUGAUGGUUUCAUCAUUGGAUGGGAUAAAGGUGCAUUCAUGAUUAGGAAUACUAGUAGUUAUAUUUUAAUUCUCUUUUUUCUCAAUGAGACUUGUUGGCACAAUUUUGCUGUUGAGAAACCUACCUCUCCAUGGAAAAUAAGUUGUGAUUGAUAGUACUGGAUAUAUUCAAGAAAUCUAAAUAUAGAUAGCACAAAAUAUUAUCGACAUAAAUAGCAUUAACAGCGUACGUAUGUCUCAGUGCUCAUCAGCUAUAAGCAUGGGGCAAACACUUACUAUGAGCAACUUACGUCAAAAUUCCAGAAUAGGACAUAGAAGUGACAGAUAUAGAACAUUGCAUAUGAGUCACAAGAAAGGAAAUUACGGGUGCAUAGCAGCUCUUAUUUUACAUACUACUACUCAUACUGAUCAAAGUCACUCAGUUGGGAUGGGUGGGAGUAGGAGGUUUGUGGGGUGGCUUGUGCGGAGGAGUUGGCAGCUUCUUUCCAGGACCUGGUUGCUUCUCUGCUGGAGUUGAAGGAGGCUUAAUCUUCCGAGGUGGCUUGUAUGAGUCUUCAGCAUUCUCAGCUGGAGGGUGACCAGGGUUGUGACCAUAAUGUGGUGGCUUCUCUCCCUUAGGUGGUUUGCCAACUGGGGUUGGUGGCUUGUAUGAGUCUUCAGCAUUCUCAGCAGGAGGGUGACCAGGGUUGUGACCAUAAUGUGGUGGCUUCUCUCCCUUAGGUGGUUUGCCAACUGGGGUUGGUGGCUUGUGUUCUGGGAGUGGCUUCUCCCCCUUGGGAGGUUUUUCCAAUGGGGUUGGUUUGUGUUCAGGAGGUGGCUUCUCCACUGGAGGCUUGUGUUCAGGAGGUGGCUUCUCCACCGGAGGCUUGUGUUCAGGUGGUGGCUUCUCCACCGGAGGCUUAUGCUCUGGUGGUGGCUUCUCGAAUGGGGGAUGCUUAGGAUAAUCAGCAAGUGAGGGGGCGGUGAGAACCACCAGGCCAAGCAACACCACUAGCAAAUAUGUAGGAGACAUCUUUGGGUUUGGGCUCAGAUGGUGCAAAACUAGGAGAAUUGGCUAGCCUUUUAUAGCGGAUCGUACCCAAUAAUGAAAUGACACGUGUCAUUAUGACCCAUGUGUAAUGGGGUCGAUUUGGGUCCUACAGUGUUGAAAACUUCGACAUCCACUUUUGGCCUUUUGCUUUCUCUACAGCCGCCUUGCUUUUUCCCUCUUUCCUUUUGUUUUCCUCCUGCCCCAUUCUAUCAACUAAACACAAUUAUGUAGUUGUUUAAUUCUUAAAUGAGAUAUUAUCCGUCAAUCGUAUUAUAUUUUAUCAAGAGAGAACGGAGUGCAAUGUGGCUGUAAUUUUAUCGUUUAGUUUUAUCUCUUGGACCACUGCAUUUUUGUUAAGAGGUGCAAUAAUACACGUCUUUAUCUGCCAUUCAAUAUUUACAGUAAAGAGAGGGCACAAAACUCUUCACUUCGCACCAUAAUUAUUUUGUUUUCUGGACACCCCGGGGCCCUUUGGUUGGUUUGGGGGUCAGAAAGUGAACAUCAUAGGGGGUUUUUCCCUUAUGUGCAUUUGUAUCUGAUGGCUUUAACUCGCCUUGUUACUACAAAGAAACUGUCACAGAUAGGAACUUAUUCCAGGCUGAGUAUCUCCUCAUAGACCCUAUAAAAGAAGACAAGUCAUAAUGAACAUCUAACCUUUGUUCAAUUUGAUUCAAUGCCCCCAUUGUGUCCAUCUCACAAAUCUGAAUUAUUAUAUCCAUUGAAUACAUAAAUUAAUGAAGAAAAUAUGAAACCCAAGAUACAUCUCUGCACAACCUCAACCCUGGUUGCUAUGUUUCCCUUCUAUUCACAUGAUUUGAUGCUAAUUGCCAAACUUGCAACAAGCCCUGAGUUUGACACCUAGUAUCGAUGGGCGAAUUUAAAGUCUCCUCCAAACAUAUAUUCCACAGCUUGAAGCUCACAGAAGAUGUUACAGGCAGGGAAAAACCUUCAGAGUUCGCUACCAAAGAUAAUUAUUAAGGAGAUAUCACAAAGAGAAUUCCAAGGGGUCUGAAUCAAAGACAAAUUGGUCGUUCGUGGGGGUUCUUACUUUCUUUUGGGUAUAACUCACUGAGGGCACUGUCUUUGUUAUUUGCAUUUCACAUUUAGAGUUCUGUUCUGGAAACAUAUAAAAGGAGCAUCAUUUUGUUCUUGGGUAACCCAUAGUCGUGAGUGGGUCCAUUUGCAUGCUACUUAGUUGAAAAGUUGGACCAUUUGCUCCGACGCCUACCUCCCGGAUUCCAUGCUCGGAUAAAACAAGAAUAAAAAAAAUAUUUAUAAUUUACAAAUGGGGGAAAGAAAAAAAUGUCAACAACAAACCAGGAAAAAAGAGUAGUAAAAUUCAUGUCACAUGCUAGUGAGAGAAGGGGUUGUUACACUCACUCGAAGUUCUUUCCAAAAUAUCGCAUGGUAUUUUAUUUUAUGUGUCAGCGCAGUUGUGAAUGGAACGUGCAAAAGUCCAAAUUGGCGUUUUUCCUUUUCCCGUGUAGGAUGGCGACCUUUAAUAAAUAUUUAAAACAAAAAACGAAAAAAAGGAGGGAAAAGGGAUCAGAAAAGAUAAAACAAUGUGUACAAGAGCUCAAUUAGUUUGCAAAUUACUGUUUGGAUUUUGAUAGUAUUUUAUUUGUCCAUCUAUAUUUGAUGGAAAAGAGAAUUUAAGAUAUUUCUGAAACAAAAGCAUUAGUGUAAAACUAAAUUAAGGUAUAAUUAAGUUAGUUCAAUGCAUUAAUUUAAGAAACUUGAUCUAUCCAAAGUACAAAAUUAGAUGAAAUCCAUUUCAAUGGUUAAAAUGAUCAAAAUCAAACUUUUUCUAAGUAUUUUUUAAAAGCAUCAAUAUUAAAAGACAAUUUUAUAUUUAGUCGGAGUUUGGACAAAACCAAAAAGCACACAAAAUCCAAGCGACCAUCUCUAGCUUGGAUAGUCACUUGAUCCCACCUAGAGAUGUGCAUGAGUAAAAGGAUUUGAAAAUGGAAAUUGACUAAAUAUUUAGUUGAUCAAUUAAAUUUGCAAUGUCAUAUGCAAUCCUAAUAGCUAGUCAUCUAAUCAAUUAGGUAGUCAAUCAAGUGUUUGUAAUGACUAUUUUGUACAAAAAACCACAUGUAUAGUUAAAUAUAAUGCAUUUCAUUUAUAAAUCUUCUAAUUCUUGAAUAACGAUCCUAUCAUCCUUUGAAAAUUUUUAUUACACCUUUUUUACUUUUGUUCUAAAACUUACAUAUCACCCUUAAUUGUACCAUGAGAACCUAGCUAUUUUUUUUUUUUUUGUAAUUCAUCAAAGUUAGCUUUUGUAUUCAUUGUUGUAUUAUUUUUAGUAUAACUUAGAAAGCUAGUGUUUUCAAGUGAGUAAAAUUAACUUGUAAAUAUUGUAAAGAUUCAUUGAUAUGUAUCUUAAACUAAGUGUACAAAUUAAAACAUUUGCUAGUAGAUUUUCUCAAAAUUUAGAAUAGAGCUUGAGGCUAUUGAAAUAGGUGGGGUUACACCAAACCACAUCACAUCGUUGUUUGCACCUUUUUUCACUCUCUUUUACUUAGUUUCUCUAUAUUUGUUGUCUAGUAAUAUCCUAUAGGCUUGAUGGGUUAGGGAGCAUCCCUUUGUGAAAAAAUUUCAUUCAAUUCUUAGUUGUAUUACGCAUAUAUAAAAUGCCUCAUUGUUUUAAUGGUAUUCAGUCGUGGCAUCACAGAUAUGGGCAUCUAAAUUUUAAAAGUUUGAAACUUUUGUAAAGCAUGUUGAUAAAAUCCAUGAGAGUUGUGUACUUGGGAAGCAACAUCGAGGUGACUUUAUUUUUUUUUCCUUUUAUAAUGCCACACCUAAGUCCGGUUUCUAAAUGCUAAAGUGAAAGGGUAGGUAUGGACCAUUGAAAUGUGAUCACAACUUUUGGCCUUUUCCUUUCUCUGCAGCCAUGUUGUCUCUUUUUUCUUUUGCAUGAUUUUCUUACCAAAACAGAAUCAUAGACUUGUUUAGUCUCUAAGCUACUAUAUUAUAUCUCGGUGGACUUUUAAGAGUGCAACCGACAUAGAGCACAUGCAAGUGGGCAUAUGGGACAUGAAAUUUCUUCUUACAAAGAUUGCAUGAUUUUUAUAUUAGAGUUGUUCACGUGCAAUGUAUUUAGCUUGUUUUGCAGUUAAAUUAAUUGGAUAAGUAAACAUUGGCAUUUCUAAAUCGACUGUGAAGUGCUUCAUGUACGUGUAAAGUAUUAGAAAUUUCUUUCUUGGCAACUUGUUUUUUCCUUGCCAUCUACUGGUAGGUUUGACUAAAAUUAUAUUCCCUGUCAUGCUAAUUAAUUUUCAUGUGCAUGCUCAAAAGAAGAGUAUGACCUUAGUGCACCAAAAUCACUUUGAUUAAUUUGUGAUAGGUUUUUUUGCAUCAUUUAGAUAAUGUUUAGUUCUAAGAAAAAUUUAUAUAAAAAUGGUUUAUUUAUCUUACAUAUAUAUAUAUAUAUAUAUAUUUUUUUUUUUUUCAUUUUUUUUUCUUCUAUUUUAUUUAUUUAUUUUAUUUUCCUUAUGUUUUCCUCACAUUUUCCGGAACUAAACAUAGUCUUACGAAAUCAACAAUUGCCUUCAACUGAGUAGAUUCUGUUGUUUUAGCAAUGUUAGGCUGCUAACUUGUGGUGGUACGAACCAAAUGACCCAUGUUAAUCUUGGCUUGGUUUGAUUUGGCUCUAUCUCAGAGAGCUAAAGGAUCACGUCAACUCUGGUUUCUACUAUUCAGGUCCAUUCCCAGAUGAACUGGUUCAAAUUUGAGAAAAUGGUAACAGACCUUUAGUGAUGUUGGUUUGGAGCCAGUUGCCAAACCCGCCCUGAGCUUUACCACUAAUGUCAAGGGAGAAAGCCAUUUGAACAAAAACAAUAGCUUCAAGAGACUGAAUCGUGGAUGAAAUCUGAUCCACAUUUCUUCUCAUUUUGGGAAAAAAUGAGAACUUAACUACAAAGAUUCUACUGCCUCAUUCAUAGUGCUUUUCCUGAUCCAAGGUUGGUUCGUUUCCCAAAUUGUGAGGUGCACGUGCCACUCUCACGCUCAGGAGUGUAUCCACGUGGUGGACAUCAGAUGGUGGCUUAAUAUCUGGUGUCGGUGGCUUUACUUUACUAGGAGAGUAGUGUGUCUUCAUCUCAUUCACUGCCGGAGGGUGGCGUAAGCAGUGACGCUAAGGUGGGGCACAGUCAAUAUCAUUUGCAUUUGACCAUUAUAGUUUUCUCCCGGCUUGAAAGUAACCUUAUCGUGAUAAAGGAUUACUAGCACUAGUUCAGAUGACCGUCAUGUUAAUUCGGACCAUGUUUGUGUCACAUUAUCAGCAACCAUGUGUUUAUGGUUCAUGCUAUCUGCAACUAAACUUGAUAUAUAACCAGGUGAACUUCAAUCAAAAUUCUGGAAGUACUCUUGUGAUAGAUGGUGCCUGUCUGCAGAGUCCAUCAAUUGAAAAAUGGAGUGAGUGUAUCUAUAAGAGGGAAGGCUUGGCAAAUGUUCAGUUUUCUGGGAAUUCAACAAGGAUCUAAAAUAGAUUGUUUUCUUUGCCGACUUCAAUGGUUGAAAUUUGAGAAGAUUGUGUCCACAUAUCACAACUAUUACUGGUCCUUCUGUUGCAAUUUAUCCUGUAAGGCUCUAACAUGUCUUCCAAUUCCCACUUCCCUGUUACUCCAGGAAAGCUAUUUCUGUCAUUGUGAAGAAGAAAAGAGAAUGUACAUAUCGAUGCUUUUAAGUGACUGGAGCAUUCAUAUCAGGUGGUCUGCAGCCAUAUAUGCCACUUUGUGAAGGUUGGAACAGUCAAUCACUAGGCUAUAUAUUGGUGUGGCCCAGCCACUUCAAUCAAGGACAAGUCUUCAUACUUAAAGUCAAAUUCUGCCUUUAGUCUCAUUAUAAAUUGCUGUUUAAAUAUUAAGCAAACUUUUGUUUAAUGCGAUUAAGACAGUACUAACUCAAUACUUGUUCUAUUUUUGGAUGCAAAUGCUUGAUGGUUUCAUCAUUGGAUGGGAUAAAGGUGCAUUCAUGAUUAUGAAUACUUGUAGUUAUAUUUUCAUUCUCUUUUUUCUCAAUGAGACUUGUUGGCACAAUGUUGCUGUUCAGAAACCUACCUCUCCAUGGAAAAUAAGUUGCGAUUGAUAGUACUGGAUAUGUUCAAGAAAGCUAAAUAUAGAUAGCACAAAAUAUUAUCGAUAUAAAUAGCAUUAACAGCGUACGUAUGUCUCAAUGCUCAUCAGCUAUAAGCAUGGGACAAACACUUACUAUGAGCAACUUACGUCAAAAUUCCAGAAUAGGACAUAGAAGUGACAGAUCUAUAUAUAUAGAACACUGCAUAUGAGUCACAAGAAAGGAAAUUACGGGUGCAUAGCAGCUCUUAUUUUACAUACUACUACUCAUACUGAUCAAAGUCACUCAGUUGGGAUGGGUGGGAGUAGGAGGUUUGUGGGGUGGCUUGUGCGGAGGAGUUGGCAGCUUCUUUCCAGGACCUGGUUGCUUCUCUGCUGGAGUUGAAGGAGGCUUAAUCUUCCGAGGUGGCUUGUAUGAGUCUUCAGCAUUCUCAGCUGGAGGGUGACCAGGGUUGUGACCAUAAUGUGGUGGCUUCUCUCCCUUAGGUGGUUUGCCAACUGGGGUUGGUGGCUUGUAUGAGUCUUCAGCAUUCUCAGCAGGAGGGUGACCAGGGUUGUGACCAUAAUGUGGUGGCUUCUCUCCCUUAGGUGGUUUGCCAACUGGGGUUGGUGGCUUGUGUUCUGGGAGUGGCUUCUCCCCCUUGGGAGGUUUUUCCAAUGGGGUUGGUUUGUGUUCAGGAGGUGGCUUCUCCACUGGAGGCUUGUGUUCAGGAGGUGGCUUCUCCACCGGUGGCUUGUGUUCAGGAGGUGGCUUCUCCACCGGAGGCUUAUGCUCUGGUGGUGGCUUCUCCACCGGAGGCUUAUGCUCUGGUGGUGGCUUCUUGAAUGGGGGAUGCUGAGGGUAAUCAGCAAGUGAGGGGGCGGUGAGAACCACCAGGCCAAGCAACACCACUAGCAAAUAUGUAGGAGACAUCUUUGGGUUUGGGCUCAGAUGGUGCAAAACUAGGAGAAUUGGCUAGCCUUUUAUAGCGGAUCGUACUCAAUAAUGAAAUGACACGUGUCAUUAUGACCCAUGUGUAAUGGGGUCGAUUUGGGUCCUACAGUGUUGAAAACUUCGACAUCCAGUUUUGGCCUUUUGCUUUCUCUACAGCCGCCUUGCUUUUUCCCUCUUUCCUUUUGUUUUCCUCCUGCCCCAUUCUAUCAACUAAACACAAUUAUGUAGUUGUUUAAUUCUUAAAUGAGAUAUUAUCGGUCAAUCGUAUUAUAUUUUAUCAAGAGAGAACGGAGUGCAAUGCAGCUGUAAUUUUAUCGUUUACUUUUAUCUCUUGGACCACUGCAUUUUUGUUAAGAGGUGCAAUAAUACACGUCUUUAUCUGCCAUUCAAUGUUUACAGUAAAGAGAGGGCACAAAACUCUUCACUGCUCUGCAUGUGUCCCAAAAAUGCGAUUGGACAAAUUAUGAUUUGCAUGCUAAAAAGAGGCAAAUGAGGUUAAUUCGCACCAUAAUUAUUUGGUUUUCUGGACACCAUAAAAAGAUGUUAUACAGGCAGGGAAAAACCUUCAGAGUUAGCUACCAAAGAUAAUUAUCAAGCAGAUAUCACCAAGAGAAUUCCAUAGAGUCUGAAUCAAAGACAGAUUGCUCGCUCGUGGGGGUUCUUACUUUCUUUUGGGUAUAACUCACUGAGGUCACUGUCUUUUUUAUUUGCAUUUCACAGUUAGAGUUCUGCUCUGGAAGGUUUGUUCUGGAAACAUAUAAAAGGAGCAUCAUUUUGUUCUUGGGUAACCCAUAGUCGUGAGUGGGUCCAUUUGCAUGCUACUUAGUUGAAAAGUUGGACAAUUUGCUCCGACGCCUACCUCCUGGAUUCCAUGCUCGGUAAAACAAGAAUAAAAAAAAAUAUAUAAUUUACAAAUGGGGGAAAGAAAAAAUGUCGGAAAAAAUAGUAAAAUUCAUGUCACAUGCUAGUGAGAGAAGGGGUUGUUACACUCACUCGAAGUUCUUUUCAAAAUAUCGAAUGGUAUUUUACUUUAUGUGUCAGCGCAGUUGUGAAUGGAACGUGCAAAAGUCCAAAUUGGCGUUUUUAUUUUUCCCAUGUAGGAUGGUGACCUUUAAUAAAUAUUUAAAACAAAAGACGAAAAAAAAAAGGAGGGAAAAGGGAUCACAAAAGAUAAAAUAAUGUUUACAAAAGCUCAAUUAGUUUGCAAAUUACUGUUUGGAUUUUGAUAGUAUUUUAUUUGUCGUUCUAUAUUUGAUGUAAAAGAGAAUUUAAGAUAUUUCCGAAGCAAAAGCAUUAGUUUGCUCUGUGAUGUCCCACAUCGAAUAGGGGAGAAAGUUUCUGGCGCUAUAUAUGUAGAGGCUCCUCUUAACCAAGUAGAUGCGUUUUAAAACCAUGAGGGCCCCCUUAGGUCCAAAGCGGACAAUAUCUACAUGAUUGGGUGUAAGUCAUUACAAAUGGUAUCAGAGCCGAUCCCCGACCCCGGUGUGGGGGUUUGUUUGGCCCUGUAAGGGGUGUUUGUCUGUUUGACCCCACAAUCCCAUGGGACACAACGAGGACGUUGUGUCUGCAUGGGGGGGCGUUUGUGAUGUCCCACAUCGGAUAGGGGAGAAAGUUCCUAGUGCUAUAUAUGUAGAUGUUUCUCUUAACCAAGUAGAUGCAUUUUAAAAUUGUGAGGGCCUCUUUGGGCCCAAAGCGGACAAUAUCUACAUGGUUGAGUGUAAGUCAUUACAUGCUCCAUGUCAAUUUCAGCAUUUCUCAUAUGUUUCACACAUACACAGAAGAGCAUCGUUUUUUAAAGCAUGCAUUUAUGUUGGAUUAAUUUGGAUUUUGUGGGAACUGGGGCAAGGAUCACAUGGAAGAGAGGUUGACUUUUUUCAGUACUUCAAUGGUUGAAAUAUGUGAAGGCUUGAUUGAUACUAAAGCUUGAAAUUGCGACUCUGUCAUUUGUAAAAAAAUAUGACAGCUUCCAUGCUCUCGUUUGGUUGCAUUGUCCGGUCGAGAGGUGCAAAAAGCAUUCUCUCUCUUCUAAUAGUCUUUUCGUUUAAAUCAAGGGAUUUGCCUUCCCGGUCGAGGUCCAAUAGAGGGUAACGGUCACCUACUAAACAUUAAAUGCUCCAACAACUAGUGAACUGAUCGACCCCAGCUCGACUAGUUGAGGUUACUUUUUGGUUUUCUUGUCUCCCGAGGUUAGAAACCUAUAAAUAGAGAGCUUCACUUCAUUUAUGAGUAAGAGAACACCUAAAUUUAUUUGUUUACCUACUUGUUUUUGCCAUAAAAGCUCUCAUUUCUUUUCUUGGUGUAUUAAAUCUCCAUUUGCAUAUCCUUUAGUGCACCUUUGUGAUUCAUUCUAGCCUUGAGUUGUAUUUAAGCCUUUGUUGAGCUAGGUUGAGAGUUUCAUACUUGUUUAUUGAGUGUUAAAGCCUUCAAGUGAGUUAAAACUUGAAGAGAUUGUGUAAGAGCCCAUUGGAGUCGGAAUCCAAGUGUAAAGGUGAUUAAAAGCUUGGUUGAAGCUUCAAGUUAGUGGAACUCUCACUCGGUUAUGAGCUUGAGAAGAGUGGACAUAGACAAGGCAGUGUCGAACCACUAUAAAAUCUGAGUUUGAUUUCUCUAACCUUAUCUCUUUAUAUUUGCUUCUCUUGUGCUUAAAUUUUUUGUGUUUAAAAAGAAUUUUUAAAAACUCAAUUCACCCCCUUCUUGGGAGUUUUUCUCUUUUAAGAUCAGCUUUUAUUUUCUCAAUUGGUAUCAGAACUAUGCCUCUUGUUUAAGACUUAAUCGUCUAAGAGGAAAUGGCUAAUCCAUCAAGUUCAUCUCACAUUGAAAGUUUUGCAACCAAUAGACUUCUUUUUUUUUUUUUGCGGGAACUGAUUAUCCCUAUUGGAAAACUAAAAUGACUUGGUUUUUACAAUCAAUUGAUUUAGAUGUAUGAGAUGCCAUUGAAGAUGACCUAACUUUUCCUUCAAAACUAGUUGAUGGAGUCAUGGUUCCAAAACCUAAGCAAGAAUGGGAUGAGCGUGAUUGAAGAAAUUUUCAAUUAAAUGCUAAAGUCGUUUAUACUUUGCAAUGCUCUAUGGACAGAAAUGAAUAUAAUAGAAUAUGUCAAUGCAAAUCGGUUAAAGAAAUUUGGAGAUUGCUUGAAAUAACUCAUAAAGGAACAAAUCAAGUUAAAGAGUCAAAAAUCAAUUUACUUGUUCAUAGAUAUGAAUUGUUUUUUAUGAAAGAUAAUGAAACUAUUGUUAAGAUGAUCACUAGGUUCACCAACAUUGUUAAUGGUCUUAAAGCCUUGGGAAAGACCUACAAGGAAUCCGAAAACGUGAUGAAGAUCUUGAGGUCACUUCCAUCAAAGUGGCAUACCAAGGUCACCGCAAUUUAAGAAGCAAAAGACUUGAUCAAGCUACCUUUGGAGGAGUUCAUAGGGUCAUUGAUGACAUAUGAAAUCAAUUUGGCAAAGAAGUAACAAAAAGGUGAAGACAAAAAGAAGAAGAACAUAACUCUCAAAGCUACAACUAAGGAAGAAGAAGUUGAAGAAGAAAAACAAAUUGAAGAAGAUGAAGAUUUAGCCCUCAUCACAAGAAAGUUCAACAAAUUCAUGAGGGGUGAAAGGUUUAGAAGAAGAAGGUUCACUUCUAGAAGAGACUUUUCUAAAAAGGAAUCUUCAUCUAAUGGUGACAAAAAGAGAUGGGAAGAGAAAAGAGACUUGGUGUGUUUCAAGUGCAAGAAACCGGGACACAUUAAAUAUGAUUGUCCUCUCUACAAAAGUGAAGUCAAGAGGAAAAAGAAUAAGGCAAUGAUGGCCACUUAGAGUGAAAGUGAAGAUGAAUCAUCCGAAGAAGAAAAUGAGAAAGAAGUGGCAAACAUGUGUUUCAUGGCAAUAGAUGAACUUGAUGAGGUAAAAUCUAACCUUAGUGAUUAAGAUAUACAUGAUGCAUUUGAAGAAUUGUAUGAGGAUUUUUAAAAACUUAGUUUGAAAAAUAUUUCUCUUAAAAAGAAAGUUCAACAACUUGACAAAGAACUUAGAGAAGUAAAAGAAAAAUUUUCAAAUGUUAAAGUUUCUAAAACUCAUCUUGAAAAAGAAAAUGAGAUUCUAAGAAAGAAAAAUGAAUAGUUGAACUCCUCUCUUUCAAUCUUUUCUUCUAGACAAAAAUCUUUUGAAAUGAUUCUAACUAGCUAAAAAUGUGUUUUUGACAAACAAGGGUUAAGAUUUAAAUCUUCAAAAAAUCAAAAGUAUUUUAAAAACUAUUUUGUAAAGGAAUCCACAAGUGCAAGUCCUUCCACUACUUGCAACUUUUGUGGAAGAGAAUGGCACAUUAGUAGUACGCCCUUUAAGAAAUGGUUCUCAAAAGAAUUUAAAUGCAAAAACUAAAAAAGAUUUGGAUUGAGAAAUCCAAGGUCACUAACCCUCAAGGACCCAAAAAGAUAUAGGUACCUAAAUCAACUUGAGUUUUAUGUUGUAAGGUUCAAAGAAUGAUAAGUGGUUCUUAGAUAAUGGUUGCUCAAGACACAUGACCGGAGAUGAAUCCAAGUUUGCUUUUCUUAAAAAGAAAAAUGGAGGAUAUGUUACCUUUGGAGACAAUGCAAAAGAAAGGAUGAUUGGUCAAGGCAACAUUGGUAAUGGCACAUCCUCUCUCAUUGAAAGUGUUUUAUUAGUAGAUGGUUUCAAACAUAACCUUUUAAGCAUUAGUCAAUUUUGCGACAAAGGUUUUUAAGUGAUUUUUUAAGCAUCUCAUUGCAUCAUCAAGGAUAUUCAAAAUGAUAAAACCAUUUUCAUGGGCCAUAGAUGUGAUAAUGUUUAUGCUAUAAAUAUUUCAAAAUAUGAUGGCCAUGAUAGAUGUUUUUCAAGCAUGCAUGAUCAAAGUUGGUUGUGCCAUAGGAGAUUGAGACAUGCUAACAUAGACCUCAUUUCCCAACUCAACAAAGAUGAACUUGUUAGAGGCCUUCCCAAAAUAAUUUUUUAAAAAGAUAAAGUUUGUGAAGCUUGUCAAGUGGGAAAGUAAAUCAAAAACUCUUUUAAAAACAAAAACUUCAUUUCCACAUCUAGGCCACUUGAGUUGUUGCAUAUGGAUUUAUUUGGUCCCUCUAGGACACCAAGUCUUAGAGGAAAUUCUUAUGCAUAUGCUAUUGUGGACGACUUCUCUAGAUACACAUGAGUCUUGUUUUUUAGUCAAAAGAAUAAAGUUUUUUAUGAGUUUUCAAAGUUUUGCAAUAAGAUUCAAAAUGAAAAAGGUUUUUCAAUUACUUAUAUAAGAAGUGAUCAUGGGAGAGAAUUCGAAAAUAUUGAUUUUGAAGAGUAUUGCAAUGAGCAUGGAAUUGACCACAAUUUUUUGGCUCUUAGAACUCCUCAACAAAAUGGGGUAGUUGAAAGGAAAAAUAGAACUCUUCAAAAAAUGACAAGAACCAUACUAAAUGAAAACAACUUACCAAAAUAUUUUUAGGCCAAAACGGUUAACACUUCUUGUUAUGUUUUAAAUAGAGUAUUAUUGAGGCUCAUACUUAAGAAAACUCCCUAUGAGCUUUGGAAAAACAAAAAACCCAACAUUAGUUAUUCCAAAGUCUUUGGAUGCAAUAUUUUAUAAUAAACACCAAAGACAAUCUUGGAAAAUUUGAUGCAAAAUUGGAUGUUGGAAUUUUCCUUGGUUACUCAACUUCAAGUAAAGCUUUUCGAGUUUUAACAAAAGAACCAUGGUUGUAGAGGAGUCCAUCCAUGUUAUUUUUUAUGAAUCUCCAAGAAAGAGAGAGGAUUGAUGAUGAUUUAGGUUUGAAGACCUCUAUAGGAAGAUUGCAAAUCGAAGAUAGAAGACAACAAGAAGAAAAUGGAGAGAAUCCAAAGAAAGAAGGAUCACCAUUGGCACUACCCCCUCAUCAACAAGCGCAAGGUGAAUCAAGUCAAGAGCUUCCUAAAGAAUGGAAGUUUGUCAUCAAUCACCCACAAGAUCAAAUUAUAGGCAAUCCAUCUAGUGGGGUAAGAACUAGAUCCUCUCUUAGAAAUAUUUGCAAUAAUCUAGCUUUUAUCUCUCAAAUUGAGCCUAAAAAUAUAAAUGAUGUUUUAGAUGAUGAAAAUUGGAUAAUUGCAAUGCAAGAAGAGUUAAAUCCAUUUGAAAGAAGUGGAGUAUGGGAAUUAGUACCAAGACCUUCAAAUCAAAGUGUUAUUGGAACUAGAUGGAUCUUUAGAAAUAAAAUGGAUGAAAAUAGCAUAAUUGUUAGAAAUAAAGCAAGAUUGGUAGCCCAAGGUUUUAAUCAAGAAGAAAUGAUAGAUUAUGAAGAAACCUUUGCCCCCGUAGCUAGGUUGGAAGCCAUUAGGAUGCUACUUGCCUUUGCAUGUUUUAAAGACUUUGUUUUAUAUCAAAUGGAUGUGAAAAGUGCUUUUUUAAAUGGUUUUAUAAAUGAAGAAGUAUAUGUUGAACAACCACCCGGUUUUCAAAGUUUCAACUUUCCUAACCAUGUUUUUAAACUUAAAAAGACACUUUAUGGUUUGAAACAAGCACCUAGAUCAUGGUAUGAAAAAUUGAGUAAAUUUCUUUUGAAAAAAAUGUUUUAAAAUGGGAAAAAUUGACACAACUCUUUUUAUAAAAACCAAAGAAAAUGAUAUGCUCUUAGUUCAAAUAUAUAUUGAUGAUAUCAUUUUUGGUGCUACUAAUGUCUCUCUUUAUGAAGAAUUUUCUAAGUGCAUGCAUAGUGAGUUUGAAAUGAGCAUGAUAGGAGAACUCAACUUCUUCCUUGGACUUCAAAUCAAGCAACUAAAGGAAUGAACCUUCAUCAAUCAAGCAAAGUAUAUAAGAGAUCUUCUCAAAAGGUUCAACAUGGAAGAAGCCAAAACAAUGAAGACUCUAAUGAGCUCAUCCAUUAAGCUUGAUAAGGAUGAGAAAGGUAAAUCCAUUGACUCUAUUAUGUAUAGAGGCAUGAUAGGUUCUUUGCUCUAUUUGACCACUAGUAGACCUUACAUUAUGUAUAGUGUGUGUUUGUGUACUAGAUUUCAAUCUUGUCUUAAAAAAUCUCACUUAAGUGUCGUGAAAAGAAUCCUCAAAUAUUUGAAAGGGACAAUGGACAUAGGCUUAUGGUAUCCUAAGAGUGAUAACUUUGAAUUAAUUGGUUUUUUGGAUGCUGAUUUUGUCAGUUGUAGGGUUGAAAAAUAAAACACUAGUGGCACUUUUCAUUUCUUAAGACACUUACUUGUCUCAUGGCAUAAUAAGAAGCAAAAUUUGGUAGCUUUGUCAACAGCAGAAGCUAAAUACAUAGCAACUGGUUUAUGUUGUGCACAAAUCCUUUGGAUGAAAUAAACACUUAGUGAUUUUGAUUUAUCUUUUGAGCAUAUUCCUAUUAAAUGUGAUAAUAGUAGUGCCAUAAGUAUAUCAAAAAAUCUCGUGCAACACUCUAGGACUAAGCAUAUAGAGAUUAGACAUAAUUUUCUUAGAUAUCAUACACAAAAGGAUGAUAUAACACUUGAAUUUGUAAGCAUAAAAGACCAACUUGCCGAUAUCUUUACAAAACCUCUAAGAACAUUUUGUUGAUAUUAGAGGACAAUUAGGAGUGAUUUCUUUAUGAUCUAAUGUGAUGAAUUCUUGAUGAAUAUACUUUUUGAUUGCAUGAAUUUCAUGUCAUAUAUGCAUCAUAUAGAAAUAUACUUAGAUAAUGGUCAAAUUUCGACCAAAAAUCAAAAUUCCCAUGGCAUUAGGCAUAAAAAUUUUGGAAUUUCAACUGAAAAUGGUAGGAGGAGGAUCACAAAAUGAGAAAGUAUGCAAAAAUUGAAAAAUCAAAACGUUGACCAAGCGGUCAAUCGGACUAGACCGAUCGACUAGUUUGUCGAGAUUUAGGAUUUUUAAGAGACUCCAACGCUUCAAUUUUUGCACCGUUCUCCUCUAUUUCUUCACGGUUUCUCUGAUUUUGUCUUUUAGAGACUAAUUUGAGUGCGUUUUGGAUCAAUUGAAGCAUUUUGGAUUGGAUUUUAGGAAGAUUGAAAGUUAAGGUUUCGGAUUUGGGUCGCCUUCUCUUCCUCUCGCGUGUCACAAUCAGCUUUAGCAUUGUUCUCUUUCCAUUUUCACACACCUAGGGUUUCAGUUGUGAGCAUCUCUCUCUCUUUACCAACCACUACUCCCUUGCUUCUUCCAUAUGGCUCCUAGGCGAGAGUCCGCUACUUCUAGGGCACAAGGCAAGCACCCAACUGAGUCGUCUCAGUCAAAGGCACGUCGAAAAGUGAGAUUUGACAUUGCCUUGUUCAGUUCCAUGGAGGACUACCAACUAUACAAGCAACACUUUGCUUAGAGACGAGUAGUUCCCAAGAGAAAUAUUAAUUUUCCUCAACUUCAGCAUUUCGAAUUUAAGGGUCUAUUUACUAGGAUGGUUGGUUGUCUAUUGUCACAAUUUCGGAGCCGGUUUUCCUGACCUUAGUGCGAGUUUUUUACUCGAGGGCGACUUAUGGCAUGGGUGGCAUGAUCAUUUCUACUGUUGGAGGAGUUGAGAUCUGUCUGGACCCAGAGAGCAUCUGCCAUAUUUUCGAUAUUGCUCUGGUUGGACUCAAAGUAUACAAGUCCAAAAUGUGGCCCAUUGUGCCAGGAUUUGAGCUUAGAGAGGUCAUUCAGAGGAUUUGUGAACUUCCAGACGCCCAGGAGAUGGGCAAACCAUUGCCACACAGUUUGACGGUCAUCAACAGGGUGCUACACCAUAUAUUGUGCUCUAUCUUUCUACCACGAAGUGGACAUUGAGAUGAGGUCUCUUAUUAUGAGGCAUUCCUUAUUGACUCCAUUCUAACGGAGAGACGAAUUCAUCUACUAUGUCAUCAUUCACUAAGCCUCCUCACAGUGACAUACCACCUCAUCAGGCACCUCUUGCUCCUGACCAUGCUCCAUUGAUGGAUUUAUUUACUCAUAUUAGCUCUCUAGGCACUCGCAUGAAGGAGUUUGUUGUAGUUAGUGAUACAUGGUUCUACUCCAUAGAGGAUCGCAUGGAUCAGUAUCAGACUGGCUUCACGUCACAGUUUGAGUAUCUCCAAUAGAGGAUUGAGCAUAUUGAGGAUCACUUGAGCAUGAGAAGAUGAUGGCUUUUCUAUGCUCUGUGUUUCCACCUCCACCUCGUCAACCUUGAUUUCUUAGAGACCCAUUGUUUUCAUUUUGUAAUGUUGCCAAAAGGGGGAGAUAUUUAGGAUCUAGGACUCUAUAGGAGACUUACAUGCAUAUCAUUUUCAUAUCAUUGUUUGGAUCGUACAUAUUGGAUAGUGAUACUUUUUACUUAUAUAUGAUAUGCCUAUAUGUUUCAUGUCUUACAUUGUUUCUUAUUGCAAAUUAUCUCUAACAUGUCUUGAUUAUCUUUUUUUUAACUUCAUAAAUUUUGAUUGUUAACCCAUGAUUGGUUUGAGGGGAAGAUUCUUCUUCUCCUAGAUAACCAAGGUUUGUCAUCAUAAAAAAAUUGGAGAUUGUUAGCCCAAGGGUUCUCCUAAUCAUGUUUUGAUGAUAACAAACCAUGCUUAAGUUACUAAUUGGUUUGAAUUAUAAAGAAUUUCAAGUGUUAAUUUGAAAAUUCAUCAAAGAACCUAAUGGAUGCAAGAUCAAGAUUUUUGGAAGACCUUUAAUCAUAAGAAACAUAUGUAAGAUGAAUGCAUGGGUGCACUUAAGAUUUGCAUAUCAUUUCAUGCAUAUUUGGAAAACACGGUUUAUGCUUUAAAGUUACAUUUCCAUCAAAAUUUGAGAUCCAUCAAAUGAACCUUAGGAAAAAUGUUUUAAAAUUGGCAUAUAAUUUUACCUAAAGACCUUGCCUAAGUGUUAGAAGCAAAAGGACAAAAAAAAUAUAGGUUUUCUGGUCAAAAAUGGUGAACCAGUCAAGGCAUUGUCUAAAUCAGCUCAAUCGGCCAAGGUACCGGUCGAUCGGUUUCCCUUUCCCUGUCGAGAUCUAGUCAAGAGGUACAAAAAUCACAAUCUCUGUCUCUUUCUCUCUUUGUCUAUCUUCCAGUAGUCUUUCCUUCCCGGUCGAGGGAUUUGCCUUCCCGAUUGAGGUCCGAUUGAGAGUAAUAGUCACUUGCCAAAUAUUAAAUGCUCCAACAGUUAGUGAACUGGUCGACCCCCACCUUGCCCAGUUGAGGUUACUUUUUGGUUUUCUUGGCUCCCGAUGUUAGAAACCUAUAAAUAGAGAGUUCCACUUCAUUUAUGAGCAAGAGAACACUUGCAUUUAUUUGUUUACCUACUUGUUCUUGCCUUAAAAGCUCUCAUUUCUUUUCUUGGUGCAUUAAAUCUCCAUUUUGAUAUCCUUUAGUGCACCUUUGUGAUUCAUCUUAGCCUUGAGUUGUAUUUGAGCCCUUUUUUUAGCUAGGUUGAGAGUUUCAUACUUGUUAAUUGAGUGUUAAAGCCUUCAAGUGAGUUGAAACUUGUAGAGAUUAUGUGAGAGUCGAUUGGAGCCGAAAUCCAAGUGUAAAGGUGAUUAGAAGCUUGGUUGAAGCUUCAAGUUAGUGGAAUCCUCACUCAAUUAGGAGCUUGAGGAGAGUGGACGUAGCCAAGGAAGUGUCGAACCACUAUAAAAUUUGAGUUUGAUUUCUCUAACAUUGUCUCUUUAUAUUUGUUUAUCUUGUGCUUAAAUUUAUUGUGUUUAAAAAGAAUUUUUAAAUACCCAAUUCACCCCCCUCUUGGGUGUUUUUCUCUUUUAAAAUUAGCCUUUAUUUUCUCACAAACUAUUGUAGUAUAGUGGUUUUUAGGUGUCAUCCAUUAGGAUGAAUUGUUCUCGGUAAUUAAGGCGUGAAUGAGAGGAGAAUUAAUGAUUGUGAUUAAGUAAAAUUGAUUUGAAAAUUCAUGGUGAAAAAUCAAUUUAACAAUGGUUUCUAAUUGAGAAAAACAAUGAAAUGUGAAAUAAAAUAAAAUUAAUAGGAAAUGAAAUUCUCGAAGUUAGAAUUUUCUAAAAAACAAAUUCCAUGGUGAAUGGAUGUUGAGAUCUAAUUUUCAUCAAGUUAGAUUGAAAACCGAAAUUUUCAUAUAAACUGAUUUUUUAUUUAGUUUUAGGUCUAGAUUUAAUUUCCCUUAAAAUUAGGUUAUUUAAUCCAAGAAAUCAAUUCAAAUCAUAUAUUCAAUUCAUCUUAAAUUAUCUUCCAAUUAUUCACACAAUGCAACUAUUCAAUCUCAUCAAAUCUAGCUUUUAAGAAUUUAAUGAAUCUACCUAGUUUGCAUUGUAAUAGUCAUCCAUGACAAUUUGAAGAGAAAAAUAAUUCAAUUAAUCAAUCACUUGGAUCAAAUUACCUUUGCAAUUAAAGUUCAUUUCUCUAAUUCACCACAGAUUUUGUCUCUAGAUCCUCCUUUCUCAAAGAAAAAUGAGAUUUAGCCACACAUGAUUGGAGAUUUGGUCUCAUAAGGCAUGUUUAGCUAGUGAUAAAAUGAGAGAAAAUAAAGAAAAAUAGAGAAUUCGAUUAAGAAAGAAAAUCUAAAAAAUUCUACAAUUAGAAAUGUCCAAAAAGCUUUUUCAUGAGAAAAUCAAGUUUCUAUUUAUAGGCCAAGGUCAAGUGGACACUUGACAUCAUCUAAGAGGUCUUCCGGAAGCUUCUUCAUCAAGAAAUCUGGAGUUUAAUAAUAAAAUGGUCAUUUCACAAGAGCUCAAACAAUUUCGCAUGAUUAUGUGAAAUAAAAAAUGCAACAACAGCAAUUUACAUCUUCUUGGAGCAUUUCGCAUGACUGUGUGAAAUUUUCACAUGAUCAUGUGGAAUCGACUUGACAACUCUCAUUUAGCCUACAACAUAAUUCCACCUUUUGGUCCAUUUUUCAUAGUCAUGCGAAAUGGAAAUAUUUGAUUUUUAAGUUUUCUUUUGUCAUUUCUUUCAUUUCCUUCUCUUGAUUCCACUUCAACUACCUCCGAAUCCUGGUCCAAACCAAUUGCAUUACUUCUUUCAUUAUGCAUUUGGAUCAUCAUCAACAUUAUUUGUUCUCUUCAAUUUGAUUCAUCUCUUUUGUCACCAAUUUAUCAAAAUCAUACCUUGAAAUGACUCCAAAACUUCAUAAAACUUGUUAGUAACUCUUGCAAGGGCAACAACAUAUUAAUUAAGUGUUUUAGGCAUAGUUACUACUCAAAAGAUGCGAAACUCAUGAUAAUUAUUAUAUAAAAUAUGCUCUUUUUGAGUAGUAAUCAACUUUCUUGCAUAAGCAGACCUUUUAGGGUGGAGUACUAAAGACCAAUAUGCUUGUCCUUGUUGUAAUAAAGAAACUUGCUCUUAUUGAUUGCACCAUGGGAGAAAAUUUUGCUACAUGAGUUAUCAUCAAUUUCUUCCCACCAAUCAUAGAUUUAGACGUGACAAGAGGCCUCUUAAUGGCAAGGAGGAACUGACACUCACACUUAUACAAUUAUCGGGCAUUGAUGUGUUGCAACAAUUAGAAUAACUUACACCAAUUAUGUUGGGGAAGUCACAAAAGGCAAACAUGAAAACUAAAAGGAAAAAAGAAAAAUGUUACAUAUCACCACAACUGGAAAGAAAAAAGUAUUUACUUUCAUUUGCCAUAUUGGAAAGCACUUAUUUUACAUCAUAAUAAUUUAGACAUAAUGCAUAUUGAGAAAAAUGUGUGACAAUAUAAUUGAGACAUUGUUCAGUAUUGACGAAGAAACAAGGACAACCUAAAUAGUCAUCUCGAUUUACAAGCUCUAACUAUUAGAAAUGAGAUUCACCCAAUAGAAAGCAGGACCAAAUUUAUUUUGCUUGCAACAUGCUACUCACUCACCCCAAAUGAGAUUAAGGAAUUUUGCAAGUUUUUGAAAUCAAUAAAGGUCCCCAAUGGCUAUUCUUUCAAUAUCUCUCGUUAUGUGCAACUCAAUGAAAGGAAGAUAUAUGAGCUCAAAUUGUAUGAUUGUCAUGUCCUAAUGCAACAACUUCUCUCACUUGUAGUUCGUGGAGUUCUACAUAAGAAUGUUUGUGGAGUUAUCAUAGAAUUGCGUAAUUUUUUCAAGCAAUUGUGCUCAAAGGUGUUAGAAACAAAUCACUUACACCAACUUGAGAACAAUAUUAUUGUCAUACUAUGUAAAAUGGAGCAAAUAUUUCUUCCAUCAUUCUUUGAUAUUAUGGUGCAUUUACUUGUGCAUCUAGUAAGGCAAAGGUUGCAAGACUUGUGCAAUAUUGUUGGAUGUACCUAAUUGAACGAUAUUGUUAUAAUUUCAUAUGAAUCAUUUAAUUUUAUUUUAUAUUAUGUUCAGUUCAUUAACAUGUACAUUGGUCUACAUAUGGAUGAUGAUAGGUACCUAAGCACUUUAAAGUCAUAUGUGCGUAAUAGAACUUUUCUAGAAGGUUCUAUUGUAGAAAGGUACCUUGCAAAAGAAUGUACAACAUUUUAUUCUAGGUACUUGAAUGAUGUGGAAAUAAAGUAUAAUCACAAUGAUAGAAACUUUGUUGGUUUCAACACUAGAGGAGAUGAAAGGGGUUAUCUUUAAACAUAUUGGACAUGCAUUGGGAAAGCCCAUAUUUCAUUAACUUAGUUCAAAAGAGUGGUCACAAGCACAUUUAUAUGUGUUGACAAAUUGCGAAGAUGUCAUACCAUUCAUUGAGUAAAAAAUUUAUUUGAAUUUUAAUUAAAGCUCUAGUUUAUAUCCUUAAUCAAUGUUUUUUAAAUUCACAAGGAGCACAAGCAAACCAUCAAGGCUAGACCACAUAUACGUGUUUGAGACGUAGAUUUAAUUCAUAACAAGGAAUUUAUCAAGUGGUUUGAAAGACAUGUAAGUAUAUUCCUUAUUAUAAGGGAUUUAUUUCACAUUAUGUUUAUAUUGAAUCCAAACCUAUUAUUGAAUUGUAGGUUGAACAAUUACAUAAUGAAGGUCAUAUAUCUGAACACCUUCUCACAUUAUCAUGUGUUCCAAAUUCAUUAGUUACAUGCUUCAAAUGAUAUAUUGUCAAUGGAUUUAGAUCCCACAUUAAAGAACGUGAUAAAAAAGUUUUUAAAAAAAGACUCAGAAUAAUGGAAUUGUUGUAGUUGCAAAAACGUCAAGCUUUACAAGUGCAUGUGAUAUGAGUCCAAUUAUUAGUGAUGCUCUCUACUAUGGUGUUCUAACUAAAGUUGUUGAGUUACAUUAUCUUGGUGAAAAUAAGGUUGUUUUAUUCGAGUUUGAUUGGUGGGAUGUUACAAAUAUUGGAAAAUUGAUAAAAGAUGAUGAGUACAAUUACACAUUUGUUAACUUUGCAUGAAUUCUAACCACGAACGAACGAUUUGUACUUGCAUCUCCAGCAAAGUAAGUGUUCUAUGUGAAGAAUGCGAAUGAAUCAGAUUGGCAUACUAUCAUGGAGAUGCAACCUCAAGACCUCUAUAAGAUGAACGGGAUAGGAUCCAAUGGUGAUUUUGAACCAUUUCAACAAAGUGAACUACAUGAUCACUAAUAUAUCUCAGAUUUAGUUGAUGAAGAUAUAAUCAAGUGGAACAAAAGUGAUGUUUUAGGACUAAUCAUCCUAAAAAAUAUUGUAGUUUCUUAAAAAAAAAAUGAAAAUGAAGAAGAUAAUUGAACCUUUGUCAUACUUUAAAAAGCAACUAUGCAUUGUUCAUUUUGUAUGUUUUGGUUUUCUUCAUUUAAUUUCCUGAUUUUUGUGAUUCAAUGUCAUAUUAUUGAUCUUGAAAUAUUUUUCUAAUUUUUCAUUCUACGAUGGUUUCAACAAGGAUGACAUCAAGUCAAAAAAGGAAAUGUGGUCCCACACACAAUAUUGCAUUACAGGGAUUAAGGUCAGGGAAGAAGGUAAAAGUUGCAUUUAAUGAGUACAAUCAAUUGGUUAAACAGAAAAAUGGAAAACACUUAUCGAGCUACAUAGGGACACUUGUAUCUAACCAACACAAUGUACCUCUCCAAGCUAGUGAUUGGAAAAAUGUUCCAAAUGAUGCAAAAGAGAAAGUAUGGCCUUUGUUUUGGUAUGUUGUAUUUCUCACUAUAUGAUGUCAUUUCACUGUUAUUCUAUUUUGUGACUAACGUUUGAAUCAUAUGUAAGAAAAAUUUGAAGUAGAUAAAGACUGAAAAGAUUACAUGUUGGGUAUAGCCUCAAAUAAAUAUAGAAGCUAUAAAAAUAUGAUGAAUGCAAAAUACUAUGACCCUUGGCAUAAGGAUGCAUGAGGAGAGGUUAAUACAUAAAUCACCAUUUGUCUCUGAUGUUGAUUGGAAGUGGCUUGUCUCUGAUGCAUAAACCAAAUCCCCCACUGAAUGUUUGAUAUUUGAUAGCAGGAAAAACACACCCGCAGCUAUACACCUCCAUCAUUCAGAUAAUUAUAGUGGGGGAGAUGAUUCAUGGUUGCCCUUAUACCCUUUAUUUGCACCAUCUAUUGAGAUUCUUUAUCAUGGCCAGGUUUUACUGCAGCAAUAAGAUAUGGUGGCAACAAUUUUAUCUAUAGGUGCGGUUCCAGACCGCCUCCAUAGGUGCGGUUCCUGACUGCCUCCAUAGGUGCCUCUUCUUGUAAUGUUUGUUCUGGGAAUUACACUUGAAAGCCUUAUCGUGAUAAGGGAUUACAAACACUAGUUCAGAGGACAGCCAUGUUAAACUUCCACUAUGUUUGUGUCACAUUAUCAGCAGCCUAGUGUUUAUUGGUCAUGCUAUCUGCAACUAAUAUAACCCGGUGAACUUCAAUCUAAAUUCUGAAAGUACUCAUGUGACAGAUGGUGCCUUUCAGCAGAUAUCAUCAAUUUAAAAGUAGUGUGUGUGCCUAUAGGUGGGAAGGCCUUGGCAAAUGUUCAGUAUUCCGGUAAUUCAAGAAGGAUAUAUCUAAAAUAGAUUUUCUUCUUGCCCAUUUCAAUAGUUAAAAUUUGAGAAGAUUGUGUCCACAUCACACAAAUAUUAUUGGUCCUUCUGUUGCAAUUUACCUCUGAACAUGUCUUCCAAUUCCCACGGUCCUGUUACUCCAGGAAAACUAUUUCGGUCAUAUUGAAAAAAAAAAUAUUAAAGAAGGUACACAUGCUUUUAAGUGGACUGGGGCAUUCAUAUCAGGUGGUCUGUAUCCACAUAUGCCACUUCGUGAAAGGUGGAACAGCCUAAUCACUAGGCUAUUUAGUGUGGCCCAGCCACGUUAAUCAAGCACAAGUCUUCAUACUUAAAGUCAAAUGGUGUCUUUAGUCUCAUUACACAUCGCUAUUUGAAGAUUAACUCAUCACUAGUGUAAUGCGAUUAAGACAGUCCUAACUCAAUAUUUGUUCUAGUUUUGGAUGCAAAUGCUUGCUGGUUUCAUCAUUGGAUGGGAUAAAGGUGCAAUCAGGACUAUGAAUACGUGCAGUAAUACUUCAUUCUCUUUUUUCUCAAUGAGACUUCUUGGCACAAUUUUGCUGCUCAGCAACCUACCUUUCCAUGGAAAAUCAGUUGUGACUGAUAGUAAUGGAUAUAUUCUAGAAAGCUAAACAUAGAUAGCAUUCAAUAUUAUCGAUAUAACAUUAACAGCGUAUGUCUCAAUGCUCAUCAGCUACAAGCAAUGGACAAACACUUUGAGUAACUCACAGCAGUCAAAAUUCCUAAACAGGACAGACGUGACAGAUCUAUAUAUAGAACACUGCAUAUGAGUCACAGGAAAAGAUAAUACGGGUACAUAGAAGCUCUUAUUUUACAUAUUACUCAUACUGAUCAAAGUCGCUCAGUUGGGAUGGAUGGGAGAAGGAGGUUUGAGGGGUGGCUUGUGCGGGGAAGUUGGCAGCUUCUUUCCGGGAGCUGGUUGCUUCUUUGCUGGAGUUGAAGGAGGCUUAAUCUUCCGAGGUGGCUUGUAUGAGUCUUCAGCAUUCUCAGCAGGAGGGUGACCAGGGUUGUGACCAUAAUGUGGUGGCUUCUCUCCCUUAGGUGGUUUGCCAACUGGGGUUGGUGGCUUGUUUUCUGGGAGUGGCUUCUCUCCCUUGGGUGGUUUGCCAACUGGGGUUGGUGGCUUGUGUUCUGGGAGUGGCUUCUCCCCCUUGGGAGGUUUUUCGAAUGGGGUGGGUUUGUGUCCUGGUGGUGGCUUCUCUCCCUUGGGAGGUUUACCAAUUGGGGUCGGUGGCUUGUGUUCUGGGAGGGGCUUCUCUCCCUGGGGAGGUUUAGUGGGUGGCUUGUGUUCUGGAGGUGGCUUCUCCACCGGAGGCUUAUGCUCUGGUGGUGGCUUCUCGAAGGGGGGAUGCUCAGGGUAAUCACCAAGUGAGGGGGUGGUGAGAACCACCAUGCCAAGCAACAACACUAGCAAGUAUGUAGUAGACAUCUUUGGGUUUGGACUCAGACAGUGCAAAACUACGAGAAAUCGCUAGCCCUUUAUAGCGGCUCGGACCUAAUACUGACAUAAUAUAAAAUAAAUAUUAUAUUUUAUCAAGAGAGAACAGAGUGUAAUUUUAUCAUUAAUACCGAUCGAGGCCAAAGAAAGAAGACCCAUAAUCCAUUUCCCACAAGCAUACACAAUGCAGCUGUAAUUUUAUCAUUUACUUUUAUCCCUUGGACCACUGCAUUUUUGUUGAGAGACACAAUAACACAUUUUUAUCUGUCAUUCAACAUUUACAGUAAAGAGAGGGCACAAAACGCAAUUAGAUAAAUUAUGUUUUGCCUGCUAAAAAGAGGCAAAUAACUUUAUUUGCAACAUAAUUAUUUUGGUUUCUAGUGACCCCGGGGCCUUUCGGUUGGUUUGGGAUCGGAAAAUGAACAUCAUAGGGGGGGUUGUGCCCUUAUGGGCAUAUAUAUCUGAUAGCUUCAACUGGCCUUGUUCCUAGAAAGAAAUUGCCAAAGAUAUAAACUUAUUCCAGGCUGAAAGUAGAUGAGAGUCAUAAUGAACAUCAACCUUUGUUCAGUUUGAUUCAAUGCCCCCAUAGUGUUCAUUUCACAGAUCUGAAUGAUUAUAUCCGUUGAAUACAUAAAUUAAUGAAGACAAAUAUGAAACCCAAGAUACAUCUCUGCAUAACAACCCCAACCCUGGUUGCUAUGUUUCCCUUCUUCUAUUCACAUGAGGAUACUGGUUAUAAUUGUCAAACUUGCAACAAGCCCUUUGACACCUAACGUCAAUGGACGAAUUAAAAGUCUCCUUCAAACGUCUAUUUCACAGCAUGAAGCUUAUAAAGGAUGCUGACAACCUUCAGAGUUAGCGACAAAAGAUAAUUAUCAAGGAGAGAUAGUUCCAUGAGAAUUCCAAGGAGUCUGAAUCAAAGACAAAUUGCUCACUCAAGGGUUCUUAUUUUCUUUUAGGUACAAAUCUCUUGAGUGUUGUUAAAGAAACACGUCACUGUCAUUUUGAUUUGCAUUUAACAUUUCACUUUUGUUCUGGAAGGUUUGUUCCGGAAACAUAUCAAAUGAGCAUCAUUUUCUUCUUCGGUGACACAUGGUCGCGAGUACGUGGGUCCAUUUUCAUGCCACUUAGUUGAAAAGUUGGAAAGAAAAAACAUGCCAACAAGAAGAUAGUGAGAGAAGGGGCACUUCAAGCCUUUAACAUGAACAAACAGUAAAUAAAAGAUGUUUCUCCACUCAUAAAAGUGUGUUAGAUAGCAAUAUAACGAAUCACAUCCAAAAUCUUUACUAGGCUCAAACAUAAAGAAGACUCAUUUUUAAGAAAAGAUAAAAAUGGCAUUGUCUGAUAGUAUCCAAUACACGAGAUGGCACUUAAUUUGUACAAGAUCUGUCAAUGCUGACGCACAUUUUCUGAUUAAAAAAAAACUGAUCAGUCAAAAGCAAUGAAGAGAAGUGAUGACAAUGAAUGAUGCUUCCAAUAUUUUCACCCCUUAUAGUGUUCUUCAUGAUUCAGAUAUAUAAUUGGAAAUAGAACAACCCUAUGCCAUACAUUCGUCUAAGUAUGGUGUCUAAUUUUUUGUGUCAGCGGUUGCGAAUGGAGCGUGCAAAAGUCCAAAUUGGCGUCUCUCCAUUUCCACAUAGGAAGGUGACCUUUAUUGACAAAUACCCAAUAUUUGUAGACAUUCCUUAAAUAUCAUAACUUCUUGUUGAUUUGAAAAUCAUUUUUCAACUACCAUGUUUUAAUAAAUAUUUUUUAAAAUGUAUUUUUAUCAAAGUCCACCAUGAUGGAUAAUAUUCACCAUGCAAUAAUUAAUAAAGUACAAACUAAGCGAAAUGAAAAGCAUUUUCUUUGCUUUGAGUUGAUUUUGGUUGCAUUGAGUUGAUUUUGGUUUCAUGGUUUUUUCAACUCUUAUUUUGAUUGGAAGAUGUCAAGAAAAGAAAACAUAAAGAAAAAUUAAAAGGGAAAAAAGAAGAAAAAUAAAAAAAAAUAGAUUUAAAAGUUAAUAAAUUAUUUUUUAUAUUUAUUUUAAUUCAUUUCACUUAUUUUUCUUUUACUAUAUAAAAUUUAAAUAAUUUAAAUUUUAUAAUUAAUUUAAUUACAUUUCAUUUUCUUCUAUAUUUAAAUAUUGGAAAAAUAUUUUACUUAAUAUUUUUUUCUUUAAUUUCUUUGGCAUUUUGGGAACCAAACUUAGCCUUUAAAAUAAAAAACAAAAAAAAAAUGAAAAUAAGGAGGGAAAAGUGAGAAAAGAUAAAAACAAUAUGUAAAGGAUUUGAAAAGUAUUAGUUUGUAAUUACUAUUUGGAUUUCAAUAGUAUUUUAUUUGUCUUUCUAUAUUUCAUGUAAGAGAGAAUUUAAGAUAUUCCCCAAGGCAAAGCAUUAGUUACCUGCAAUCAGUGGUGAUAAGGCUCCAAGCCAAUUUUGGGCCCCAUAUCUUAAGACAGUACAAUUUCCAUUUCAACAUUUCUGAUUUCUCAGAUGUUUCACAUACCACAGAAGAACAUUGUUUGUGAAAAUAUGCAUUUAUGUUGGAUUUUGUAUGCUGUGGGGACUGGGGCAAGGAUCAUAUGGAAGAGUGGUUGACUUUUUCUGUACUUUAACGGUUGAAAUAGGAUAAGCACGGGCAUUUGUGAGGCUUAAUUGAUUUUGAAGCCUGAAAUUGCGUUUCUGUCAUUUUGUCAAAAAAAUGGCAGAUUCCAUACUCAUAUGUUUGGCCUGUGGCCAUGUACAGAUGCCAUUUAGUGACCAGUUUGUAACUGUCAAUCGUUGCGUUUUGACUCUGCCUCAACAACAUCUGCCAUUGACGGGUUUUCAUACUUGCAAAUCAAAUAGUCUUUCGUCCCAUCAGGAAUUUCGGUUUAAAUAUUAUUAAGCAUACGUUUGGCUGACAAUCAUUAUCCAGUUCAUGAUUUGGUUUCUUACCCUUAAUCAAUGGUUUCUAAGUGAAUAUAUGUAGAAGGAAAUCCGAAGUGUAGACAGUAGUAUCGAUAACUCUCAAUAUUCUCUAUAUAAUAGAAUAAACAGCGUCAUAGUGAUCGUCGCCUACAAGCAAGGUACAAAUACCAAAACGAGUGACUCACAUAGACAUCUCCCAACAAGAUGUAGUAGUGACUGACACAUGGACACAAUUAACUCGUAGAAAAGGAUAAGACCAUUGCACAGCAGCUCUUAUUUUACAUACUACUUAUGCUAACCAAAGUCAAUUAGUUGGGAUGGGUGGGAGAUGGAGGUUUGUGCGGUGGCUUGUGGGGCGGAGUUGAUGGCUUCUUUCCAGGAGCUUCUGGCUUUUUCAUCGGAGCUGAAGGAGGCUCAAUCUUAUGAGGCGGCUUGUAUGAGUCUUCUUUACUCUCGACAGGAGGGUGGCCAGGGUUGUGAUCAUAAUGUGGUGGCUUCUCUCCCUUAGGUGGCUUGCCAACUGGGGUUGGUGGCUUGUGUUCAGGAAGUGGUUUCUCUCCCAUGGGAGGUUUAGCAAUUGGGGUUGGUGGCUUGUGUUCUGGGAGUGGCUUCUCUCCCUUGGGAGGUUUAGUAGGUGACUUGUGUUCUGGAGGUGGCUUCUCCACCGGAGGCUUGUGCUCCGGUGGUGGCUUCUUGGUUGGAGGGGGCUUGGGGUAAUCAGCAAGAGAUGGGGUGGUGAGAACCACCAGUCCAAGGAACAACACUAGCAAGUAUGUGGGAGACAUUUUUGAGUUUGGGCUGAUCAGAUGAUGCAAAACUAAAGCAUUACGUGACCUUUUAUAGCAUGUAGCUCCCAAUACCCACUAAGUAUUGUGGGGUCCAUUUGUGCCCUACGGGGUUGAAAACUUAGACAAUUGGGCAAGGACCCACCUGACUAUGGAGGACUAGUGAGGUGUGAUCAUAGCUUUAGGAUUUUUCUUCCUCUGCAGCCGUCGUGCCGUUGGCAUGAUUUUCUUAAUCUUAAAUAAAGGCAUAGUUAUAGAGUUGUUUAAUCUCUAAAUGGGAUUUUAUAUAUAUCUUCAGAUAGCCAUUAAUAUAUUUGAUGAAGAAAGAAAGACAAGUGCAUACAACAUGUAUACGACUAGCUUUCAUGGAGUUCAUUUAUGAUCAGUUUUCCUGUACAUGUAAACCAGGAUCAUAUAUAUGUUUCUGUUCCACAACUAUUUUGGAAUCUUGUUUAUCAGUUUUUAUCAUUAUAAUGUCACAUAGGCUGCCAACUUGGGCGCUAAAAGAACCAGUUGGGCUAGUUCGUUUCAGAAUUUCAAUGUGGAUUCAGGAAUUGUUUUGUAAGAUAUGCGAAAUAGUAGAGGGAUGAAUAGUGUUUCAUUAAUAAAAGUGUCCUGUAAAUUAGAAGGUGUCAUAGAAACUAUAAUCAAUAAAUAACUUUUUUUCCCCACGGGUGGUGUUUCUUGUGGGGAUCAGUGACUGGUUUAGGUUCACCCAAAAUGAGUUCAGACUAAAAUUGGUUUGAGUCAAUGCCGUGUCUCUUUUUUCCAGAAAUCAACUAUUUUAUGCAUUGAAUAAAUCAUACAAAGAAAAUAUGAACGCCCGCAAAACCUAAACCCUGGUUGCUAACUUUCUAUGUUUCAGUUCUAUUCACGCAAGAAUAUUAGUUUAAGUUUGGGAAAAAUGGCAACUUACCUAGUGAUUACUUGGUUUUGGUUUGCGACUAUUUACGCAACCAACCAUGAGUUUGACUUUAACGUCAUGGGUUGAAGCCUCCUACAGGAAGGGAGAAAGCUCCACAGCUAGCUCCAAAAGAGAAUUAUCACAUUGAUAGCUCCAGAGAUUCCCAAGGGGACUGAAUCAAAGACAAGUUCCUCACUUUUUCUUCUUUUGAGGCCAAAUAUGAACCAAGGAUCACACAACCUCAUUCAACUUCAUAAGUUUGAUUUCAUGCAGUUGAACACUGGGUGAAGGCCAUGACAAGAAUUGAUUCAAAAAUUCUAUCACUCUUUUAAGUAAUGGAAGAUUAUUAUCUCUGAUUGGCAUCACAACAGCACAUGCUCCUAGAUCUUUCUAGACACUCCAUGCAAUGAAAGCACAAUGGAUCUUGUAACGAUAGAAACUAAGCCAUGCUACAGUACUAGAUGAUGAGGUAAAACUAGUAGACACGGGUGGCAGCCUAUAUGGGAGGGACACAAGUCUAAUUGAUUUGCAUUUCAGCAUUAUAGAUAGGUAUGUUUUGGAAGAUUUGUUCUGGAAAUACCGCACCAAGUAGGAUUCUUUUUCUCUUUAGUGGGUCCACUUGCAUGCCAAUUAACGAGUUGAAAAGUAUGAGCACCUACCUCGUGCUCGUGGAACCGAAGGUCAGUGAAGUGGGGCUCCUUUUGGCCUCGUGUAAACUUGAUUCAGAAGUGAAGUUAAUAGUCUUCCAUUCAGAUGGAUACAUGGGAAUUUUUCUCUUUUAUUUAUUUAUUUAUUUUUUUUUUGUGUGUGUAUGUCAAAGGAUAAUGAAUGAAGCGCGUUAGCUUGUUUUCUGACUGGAACCGCAGAUGUCCAAAUUGGAGUUCCUUCAUUUCUUACUUAGGAUUGUUACAUGUAUAAACAAGGUAUAAGAAAUAUGCCAACGUGUCUUGAGGAGUUAUUGAUUAGAAAUAACAAGUCACCCGACUGUAGAGUUCCAAGAUUUGAAUCUUCAGACCCUAUAGCAGCCUCUGGGGUACGUGGCAUCCUAUAGCAUAUUAAUGAAGGCUUUUUCGAUUUAGACUUCACAAUACCAAUUAAUAUGUAUGCACAAAAUGGAGAUGACCCCAAAAAAAACAGAAUCGCCAUAGUUUAUGAGGUUAAGGUGAUUCUCCACUUAAUAUCUACAUUAGCUAAUUAUGUAAAUCAAAUGAACUUCUAUUUUUCCUUUUUUUUUUUGGUUUAUGUCAAAUAGUAGCCCAUAAUUAACCCAACCAUUAGCCUGUUUGAAUUGAUUUCACAUGCACAAUGUUGUAGUAGUUCAUAUUUUGAAUUUUAUUUUUACAAAGGUAGUUAAGGAAAAUGAAGUAUAAUAAUUAUAAAAGCAGACUAUAUACACUACAAUAAUUGUUAGAAUGGUAUCUCAAAUUCUAAUUUAAAAUAUUAUUUUUUGUAAAAGAAAUAUUAUAUAGAAUAUUUCCUAAUUUUAUAAAUGAUUAUAAUUAGAUCUUUAUAAAAUAAGGAAAGUUGGUAAGAAUAUCUUUAUAAAUAUUUUAGGUCAUGAGAGAAAGAAAUGGGAUAAAAAUGUGAUGAAGAGGUGAAAUAAGAGAGUUGAUUAGGAUAUAGAUGUGAAGAAGAAAGGGAUUCAAUAUAUAUAUAUCUUUCAAUUACCACAUUAAAACCCUGUGAACCUUUUAUAUGGUUUACUUUAUUUUUAUAUUCCUCCUUUAAUAUAUUUACAUUAAUGCUUCCAUUGGCACAACAAUAACGAAUUACAAAUACAAGCAACAAGUCCCAUGUUUUAUUACCAAAAGCAGGUAAAAUCCACCUAAUAUAUUACAAUAUAUUCAUCCAAUAUUUUAGACCAAUUCUUCACCAUAAAUAUCAUAAUGUGGCUUUUGUUCUUUCUUAAAUUUAAAUUGAAUUGUCUUAUAUCAAUUUGUUUGUGAUUUUUUCAUUAACUUCACUUUCAUUUGGUUAUCUUUGGUUUUUGAAAAGUAUUAAGGAAUUAAUUAACAAAAUAAUGUUAAGAAAAAUAAUUUUCUCUCUUUUGAUUUUGAUUUUGUAGUAGAAAAAUAUAAUUAAAAUUAUUUAAAAAGUAUGUAAUUUUAAAUUAUUUAAUAUUUAGAUAAAAAAAAUAAGUCUAAUGAGUUUAAAAUAACAUAUAAAAAUAAUUUAUUUAUUUUAAAUUUAUUUUUUAUUUUCCAUUAUGUUCUCUUUCUCUUUUACUUUUUCAUAUUUUUUCUUACGAAGAAUCAAACACAACCUCAUAUUAUAUGUCAAGUGUUUGUCUAUAUUUGAGCAAUGUUAGAUACGGCCAUGGAUUCAUCAAACUAAACUGAUUUUAAUAGAUACUUCACAAAUUGAUUUAUACACUAAAUCAUUGGAUAGCAAUGAUGCAUUGGAAUUAAACGUAGGAUGAAGCUCGAAGAACACUGUUUGUGUAACAACAUAUUUAUGAAAUUAUGCAAAGGAUGAGCUUCGGGGUAGUAGUACAAGGUCAUUAAUGGAGAGCCGUGUUAAACCUUGAUUGUGAUUGGAUUCCGUUAUCAGCAACAGCAACCUUGUUUGUAACCUUGAAAGUCAUUCUGUCCACAUCGAAACUCCAAUUUGACGUUUGUAAUUACCAUUCCUGGAGUGUUCCUUGAUUGAAAUUUAAAUAAUAAUUGCGGCCCACAAGGAAUAUUUUCGAUUCUGUGGGAAUUUGACAAGGUUUGUUAGAGAAGACUGGUGACAUGUUGACUUCAAUGGUUCAAAUAGGAGACGUAUGUGGAUUUGGGGGGUUUAAUUGAAACUGAGUCCCUAUGGCUUUUUAAUAUUUGCAUUGAGCAGUCUCCAUGUGACUUCCUAAUUCCCACCAACCCUCCUGUCCAUGCUGUGAAACUAAAUUGUAAUUUAUCAGCCUUUGUCAAUGGUUUCUAAAUUAAAGAUAUAGACCAUGCAUGUACUUUAAUAAAAGCAAAUCUAAAGUGUAGAUAGCAGCAAUGGUGACACCCAAUAUUCUCCAUAAAAUAGAAUUAGAAUAAGCAGUGUUACAUUGUUCAUGAUCACCUACAAGCAUACAAGAACUUCCAUGAAUAACUCAUAGCAAUUGCCAACAGGGCGUCGUAGAGACUCAUACAUAGAACACUAUCCACCCAGAGGAAAGGACAAGACCAGUGCGCUGCAGCUCUUAUUUUUCACAUGUAUACCACCACUCGUAAUAACCAAAUUCACUCAGUUGGGAUAGGUGGGAGAUGGUGGUUUGUGGGGUGGCUUGUGGGGAGGAGUUGGAGGAGGCUUUAUUUUCUGAGGCGGCUUGUAUGAGUGUGCAGGAGGAUGCCCGGGAGUGUGACCAUAAUGUGGUGGCUUCUCUCCCGUAGGUGGUUUGCCAAAUGGGCUUGGUGGCUUCUCUCCCUUAGGAGGUUUACCAAUUGGGGUUGGUGGCUUGUGUUCUGGGAGUGGUUUCUCUCCCUUGGUAGGUUUGCCAAUUGGGGUUGGCGGCUUAUGUUCUGGGAGUGGCUUCUCUCCCUUGGGAGGUUUGCUAAUUGGGGUUGGCGGCUUAUGUUCUGGGGGCGGCUUCUCUCCCUUGGGAGGUUUGCCAAUUGGAGUUGGCGGCUUAUGUUCUGGGAGUGGCUUUUCUCCCUUGGGAGGCUUGCCAAUUGGGGUUGGCGGCUUAUGUUCUGGGGGUGGCUUCUCUCCUUUAGGAGGUUUGCCAAUUGGAGUCGGCGGCUUAUGUUCUGGAAGUGGCUUUUUUCCCUUGGGAGGUUUGCCAAUUGGGGUUGGCGGCUUAUGUUCUGGGGGUGGCUUCUCUCCCUUGGGAGGUUUGCCAAUUGGAGUCGGCGGCUUAUGUUCUGGGAGUGGCUUCUCUCCCUUGGGAGGUUUUGUUGGUGGCUUGUGUUCUGGAGAUGGCUUCUCCCCUGGAGGCUUGUGCUCCGGAGGUGGCUUCUGAAAUGGCGGGGGCUUGGGGUAAUGAGCAAGAGAUGGAGUACUGGUGAGAACCACCAUUCCAAGCAACAAUACUAGCAAGCAUGUGGGAGACAUCUUUGAGUAGUUGUAGCUAAGAUGGCGCAACACUGUAGGCAUUGGGUGGCCUUUUAUAAAGGGCUGGACCCAACAGCCAUAUGACACGUGUCAUGAUGACAAAUGA